rnacentral:lncRNA from 1 species
CUAUGUUUUCACUAUGGCGCAACUCAAGAAGCAAUGGACUUAGAGCAAUAAUAAACGAACCUCAAAGCAAUGAUAAAUUUGACUAGCUAAAGGCAAGCGGGGAAAAACGAAAAGAAAUUGACGGGCAACAUAAUAUGACCACAAUAAUAUCAUAGCCCUAUGAUUUCUGGUUUUGAGAUGUGUACAUUUGUAACUUUCUUGAUAACAAUUAAUUCUUGAGAUAAUUAUCAGAGGGACAAUUGUAUGCCAUCUACCACUAUUUUUAUAACAAACUCAGUUCUUCAGAAGAAGGAUAUAGAUUCGAUAGGCUAAAGAUUUUUGAGUAUAACUUGAUCGUUGUAUCUGGAGCAUGAAACAUUACUGUUAAGGUAUACAUUAUAUAGUUUCAGGCUUUCAGCUACUCAAAUAUCAAUUAGGUUGGUCCACAUCAAUUUUUUUUUUGCAUGUGAUUUUCUUUUGAGCAAACAGAACAUGGGGAGCAUUUAGCUGUUGCAAGAAUAUCAUCUGGAGCUACAAAACAAUUUCACACUGCAGAGUUGAAUAAAAAUGUUGGGCAAAUUACAUAUAAUCCUCCUGUGGCUUUGUCUGUUGCCACAUGACCCUUCUAACAUUUUAAAAUAUCCAAUUCACCCACUAUGAUUUUAUGUAAAGCGGAAACUUGAUGGAGAAUAGCCUAUAUAAUGUCGUUAAUUGAAAUACCAUUAGUACUUUUACUUAAAUGCUAAAUCAAUCGACGAUUUAAUUACCUUAUAUAAAAGUAUAAGGGGAUUAUAUGGAUAAAUAUAAAAAUCACAGGAGGGAUAAAGUGGACAAUUAUAUAUAAGAGAAUUACAUUGAAAUUAAGACUUUAUCACACACGCUUUUAGAGCGCGUUUGGUAUAAAUGCCGUAACUAAUUGUGCAUUCCAUCAUUUUCCGCUUUACAUAUAACUAUGGGGGGUAUGUGGCUAUUUUGAAAUCUUAGGGGACCAUCUAGCAUUAUAUAAAAUCACCCUAAAAUAUAGUUAUAAGUAAUUUACCCUAAAAUGUUAGAUUCCAGGAGCAAUUAAACAACAAUCAGAACAGGGCAUCAAAAACUGCACAAGCCACUAAGAUAGUUGAUCAAGAACAAAAACUGGACUUACAGGCAUCUCGAACUGAACCUUUAACAAUAUAACCGCGCUCGAGCAGCAGCUUCACCAGCCAUGAAGCUAUGUAACCCGAAGCUCCGGUCACACACACCAUUUUCCCUUCUCCUGCUCCACUCAUUUUGUUAAUAUUUUUGUGUGUGAACCUGUCACCUGUUUGCCUUACUUCUGGACUUAAUGGAGGGAGGCAUAUAUGGUGUAUAUAUAUAUAUGGUGAAGAAGACGAAAGAUUGGAUAUGAGAUUACGUGGGAGACUAGGGAGAUCCAUAUGUAUUCUUGCAAUUUGCAUGCAUCAUCGCUGACAUACGUAUGGUAUAAUCGCGUCACAUCCCAUUUUAUCAAGGUCAAUUGAUCAGUGUAAAAUAGAAAUGAACAAUAAAUACAAUGGUAAAUUACCUUCUACACCCUAUGAUUUGAUGUUUUAUCACAUAACUCCCUAUAAUUUAAAAACCUAUAUAUGACCCUUUCGUAGUUUGGGUUAUUGUGUCACUUUAGAUUUUUCUGUUAAAACUAACGGUCAAUAGUAAAAAGUCAAAUUCAAACUACUAAAUUGACAAAUUCACCAUUUCACUACUUUUUUUUUCUUGUUUUCCUUUUCUUUCUUUCCUUUUUUUUUCUUGGAAAGAGAAGAGAUGACUUUGAAAACUUGUAUUUUGGCUUACAAAACCUUAAUUGUUUCCAAAUACAAAAGAGACAGAAGGGAAAUAAAAAUAAAUCAACAAGAAACAAAAAAUAUGGAAGGUAAAGAUAUAACAAAUAAAUAAGAAACAAAAAAACACCAAAUCUUUUUUACUAUGAAUAUCAUUAUAGGUUUUUAAACCAAAUCUUUAAUAGUAUUUUCUAGUUCUUAUUUAUCUAUUUUUUAUUUCAAUUUCUUCUUUUUGAUGUUUGGAGGAAAAAAAAACAAGUAAUGAAGGGAUAAAUUUGUCAAUUUAUUAGUUUGACUUUUUAAUAUUAACUGUUAGUUUUAACGAAAAAACUAAUAAUGACACAUUAACCCAAAUCAUGAGGGGGUUAUAUAUAGUUUUUAAACUAUGGGAGGUUAUUUGAGAAAAUAUCAAACUAUAGACGUUAAAAUGCAAUUUAGCCUAAAUCCAAAAUCAGGCGGUUGCAUAUGAAAAAAUACCAAGGUUCUUGACUUUGCUCAAUACAAUUCCAAGUCUAGAGACACAAUUUUUAAAUUCACUACCAGGAUAAACCAUUCUCCUUUUUUUUUCCAUUUUUUCGGGUUAAAAAGUACAAACUACUUGAACUAGAAACUAGUCCUGACAAAGUUUGUGGGUUUUUUGCAAGAGUUUUAGUUAAAUAUUGGUUACUUCGCCUAAUUUGCACCUAUUUUAUCAUGUAAAUUCAUGCACACUUUUAAAAAAAUAAUGCAUGCACUUAUAUUAUUGCCUUUCUUACAUUUAAAUACUUUUUUCAAUUUAAUUUUACUUUUCUGGCAAAACUAAAUCUGAAGCCCAUUUCAAGAAAUAUCCACCGAAUACCAGGUCAACAAACCGCCUUCGUAAUAAAGAACGAAAGGGACCGCAGCGGUCUUUAACACGCAGCGGUCUUUUUGCAUCUAAGAAAGCUUUUGAUUGGCUAGAAAUCCUUCUCUGAUUGAGAACUGGGAAUUGACUUGAUGAUGGCAACUCCAUUUAGAAAACUGGUCCACACCCUUGAAUGUGGUUUAAAUUUAAUAGGGAUAAUUUCAUAAACCUCCCCUGAGGUUUCUGACAUUUACACUCACCUCCCCUGUGGUUUGAACAAUUACACUAACCUCCCCUGAGGUUACUAAUCCUUUACAAAUUCAGUCCAAAUGAUUAAAAUAUUGUUUUAGAGAGUGAAAUUAGAAUUUUGUACCUGAUUUGCCCUUUGUGUUACAUAUCCAAUGAAUGACAAAGUAUUACAAAUUAAUUAAUAAUUAAUAAACUUUAAGGAGCGUAGUUUAUAGGAAAAAACGUAUUACUUAGUUAAAGUACCAGCUCUUUACGAGUAUUUUACUUUCAAACAUUUACUUUAUUACAAAUAUUUAUUCUCAAAUACAGAUUUGUAUUACUCUCAAAUAUUUAAUUUUUGUUAAAUAAAAAACCUACCAGUUUUUCUUCCGUAGAAAUAUUAAUAUAACAUUUUUUCAAUUUUAGUUAUAAAUAUUUAUGUAUUUAGUAUAAAUUAAAUGAUUCAGGAUUAAAUACUCAUAAAGAGCUAAUACUUUACUCAUGUAAUGGAUGAAAAUCAUAAAAAAUUAAUACUUUAUGGGCCAUUUCUUUUUUUAAAAAAUAUUUAAUUUAUGUUAAAUAGAUAACUUACUGAUUUUCUUUUUGCGAGAAUAUUACUGUAACACUUUUUAAUUUUUAAUUACAAACGUUAAUAUAUUUAUCAUAAAUUAAAUAUUUGAAAAUAAAAUAUCUGUAAAGAGUCGUUACUUUAAAUAGGUUAUGUGUAUUUGCCUAUAAACUAUACUCUUUAAAGUAAGGAGUAUAGUUUAUUGAUUUAGCUAGUAGAGAAUCUUUUGUAGGUGGCGGGUUAGUCCUCUUAAGAGACAAAAAUGGGUAUGCUUUUGGUAAAACGAUUAGUUUAUACGUGUAAGUACGAGCGUGCACAGAAAAGUGGUUGGAUCUAUUUAACUGUCCGCACAAUCAAUAAUCUUUGGUAAGCUUUCGACGAAACUUCAGAGAGAGAGAGAGAGAGGGGGGGACCACACUGGAUCGACGUAGUAUUAUGUAAACUAUUGGUAUAGUAGCUGUUAUGGUACUUAUGUCUAAAUGAAAUAUUUGUGCUUGAAUCUCGCACCUUCUAAAGAAGCCAGGCAAAAGGAAAAGAAACAUAUAAAUAUUAUUGUUCUUUGAAACAUUUUUAAAAAAGAUGGGUGAAAAUGAAAAAAAACUUUAAUUCCAAGACCAUUUAUUUUAUCAAUUACACUCCUUACUUAAAUUAAUAAACUACACUCCUUAACUUAAAUCAAUAAACUAUACUCUUUACUUUAAAGAGUAUAGUUUAUAGGUAAAUACACAUAACUUAUUUAAAGUACCCGCUCUUUACAGAUAUUUUAUUUUCAAAUAUUUAAUUUAUGAUAAAUAUAUUAACGUUUGUAAUUAAAAAUUAAAAAGUGUUACAGUAAUAUUCUCGCAAAAAGAAAAUCAGUAGGUUAUCUAUUUAAUAUAAAUUAAAUAUUUUUUUAAAAAAGAAAUGCCCCCAUAAAGUAUUAAUUUUUUAUGAUUUUCAUCCAUUACAUGAGUAAAGUAUUAGCUCUUUAUGAGUAUUUAAUCAUGAAUCAUUUAAUUUAUGCUAAAUACAUAAAUAUUUAUAACUAAAAUUGAAAAAGUAUUAUAUUAAUAUUUCUACGGAAUAAUAACUAGUAGGUUUUUUAUUUAAUAAAAAUUAAAUAUUUGAGAGUAAUACAAAUCUGUAUUUAAGAAUAAAUAUUUGUAAUAAAGUAAAUGUUUGAAAGUAAAAUACUCGUAAAGAGCUGGUACUUUAAAUAAGUAAUACGUUUUUGCCUAUAAACUACACUCCUUAAAGUUUAUUAAUUAUUAAUUAAUUUGUAAUACUUUGUCAUUCAUUGGAUAUGUAGCACAAAGGGUAAAUCAGGUACAAAAUUCUAAUUUCACUCUCUAAAACAAUAUUUUAAUCAUUUGGACUGAAUUUGUAAAGGAUUAGUAACCUCAGGGGAGGUUAGUGUAAUUGUUCAAACCACGGGGGAGGUGAGUGUAAAUGUCAGAAACCUCAGGGGAGGUUUCUGAAAUUAUCCCAAUUUAAUAACACCAUUUCAUCAUUUCUGACGACUGCUUCUUCUAUAUCGAUCCUAGCUCACUGCACACGCCAGUCGUGUGAAACUUGGCAAAAGAGUUACACCUCCGUCCUAAAAUUGUUUGUCGCAUUUCGAGAUCCAAUUUUUUAAAAAUAGCAGCUUGAUGAUGAUAUUUGUAGAUUUGUUUUAAAAAUUGUCAUCAAAAAUUCAAAUUUUAAAUUGAAUUUAGUAUGAAAUAUAGAUAAAGAUUGGAAUAACAUUGAAAAAAAGAGAUUAAAAGUUAUUUUGAUUUUGAUAAGAUGAUAAAUAUUUUAGAACGUUUCAAAAUAAAAAAAAAUAUAUGACAUUUUCAAUGAAACAAAAGGAUGGUGAGAAUAUAUAUAAGAUACUGAAAACUAGCAUCCAUCUGAAACAGUCAAAUCAAAGCCAACAUAUUACUUGUAGUUUGGUUAUAACCAUAUCUCAGCUUGCUGGUAGCCCAAAAAUUUAGCAAAAUGAAUUAGGAAACCAAGUGCGAUAGAGCAUAUUUCACCCAAAUAUAUUAAAAGUGAAAAAGAUUUAUUUUUAUUUAGUCAAUCUGAUUUUUUGUGUCCACAUGCCCAUAAAGCUCAAGGACCAAAAAGCCAAACAUACGAAGUGAAAAUGUGAAGAGCAAUAAUUUGAAAGCAAAUAAAAAAACGGGUAGAUGGAUAGAAAACCAUGUCGAAGGUCUCUUCUCUUUUGAGUACGUAAGUGGCAGCAAUCAAUUCCCAAAGAGUGGGCUCUGGAGUUGUUAGUUACGUUGAAAAAUCAUGAAGCAGAGUUGUUCGAGAUGUUAUCUUGGGCUAUUUGGCUUGGGAGGAACCAAAAGCUGCAUGAAGAUAAACGAGUGGACCCUUUUGAGUUUAGUUAGCUUUGCUUCGGGUGCGCUCCAAUAAUUCCAAGAAGCUAAUGUUACUCAGAAAUGUCCAUCCUUAUCAAAUCAAUCUCACUUGUGGCAACCUCCAGGCGAUGGCAAGUUAAGGUUUAAUUUUGACGGUGUGGUGUUUAAGGAAACUCAAUCUAUUGGUUUAGAUGACGGUGCGGUGUUGAUUUAUCUAGUUUAGGCCCUCCAAUUGUGGACGUCACGAGGGACUUAACUAGUUUAGAGACGUCUAGUAUUUGAGGGAUGAGUAGGAAUCACAAUAAAAUCACUCAUAUAUUAGCUAAGAUCGCAAAAUUCAUAUGUGAUCAUGUCUUUUGGUGGAGAGAUCAUCCAGAGUUUGUUGUGCCAUUUCUAAUGGCGGAUUUGUUAGAAAGUUAAUGAAAGUUCAAUACAGGUUAUGUUGAGUAAGACGUUGGAUUGAAAAUUCAAGAUUUUGAACUGAAAUUUCAAGAUUUUGAGAUGAAAAUAAAAGAUCACGCUAAACUUAAUGGAUUCAAAUCUUAAUAUGUGCAAAUGCGUUUAAUAACCAAAAUUGGACAUCUGAAUUAAUUAAGUGCUACUGAAUUUUCUAAACGAAAUUUGUUCUAAAAAAUAAGUGAUAAACUAUGCAUUUAUUACUGAAUGUGAUAUACACUUAAAUAUACUUGAUUUAAUACUUAACAAUCUAAUAAAUUAAUGGACUCAGAUUUUAGAUUUCAAUUUUAUCAAAGUAACCUAAAAAUAUAGACUAUAGAUAAAAUAACUGCAGAUAAUGAUUUAUGUUGAGUAAGCUUUCAAAGCUACGUUUCCCAAAACAAACUUUAGAUAAUCAUUCUCUAAUUUUUGCUUUCACUCUAGAAGAUGCGUACAAUAAUGGGUGUAUACAAAAAUGGAAGUUAAAUUGAUAACACUAAGCUCGCCAAUUCUCAUAAAAAAAAUGAUGACAUUGCCUGCAUUAAUUCUAGUAACGGACUGAAGACAAUAAUUAAUAGGUGACUAUAUGGUGCCUAAGGCACACAAUAAAAUGUGGACUUGGUACCAUUAUUUAUUUUUGUGAAAGGAUAAACCUAUUUUGUAAGGUGUCGCAAUUCAUCAUCAUGAAAUGAGUGGUAAUUUUAAAGCAUUAAUAGUGAAUUCACCUUCAUUUUUAACGUUCAUAUCGCAAAGCCUAUUAAAAAAUUUCCACCAGCACAAAUUCCACUUUUAAUAGGUUCGAAAAUUCACUCACAAAUUUAUCCACAAAUCCCAUUAACAAAAAAAAAAAAAGAAAAUGCAGAAAGUUAUCAACGGAACUUCUAUAGUGCGUUGACGCGCGACACGUGUUGGUUGGAGAUUACUAGAUGGGAGUGGGGUUAAUCAAAGGUGGUAUUUUAGUAUUAAGCCCAAAAACCACCGGUAACAAUGGUAUUGACCCAAUUUCUAGAGGAAUUGACCCACAUAAACUGUGAAAGAUUAUUUUCUCUGUCAUUUAAGGCAAUUUCUGAACAAGAUUUAGGCGUAUAAUAAAGAAAUUAUCAACCCCAACCCCCAAUAUUAUGCUAAUAUGCAAUUGGAAAAAAUUAAAUGAAUAUUUACUUGAAGUUAAGAAGUGGAUACCAAUCGGUAGAAAGUGUUUAUAACAUACUCCGAAAUGCCAAAGGACUUCCCAAAAAGUGGGAAGCAGGACAACAUCUGAAAUAUAGUCCAAGUUUGAAGUGCUUUAUGUCAAACAUAUUUCAAUAUAGAAAAAAAAAAAAUUACUGGUUAGCAUAUGUUUGUGCGCAGUAUUUGUUGAUUGGGAGACGGUUCUAAGGAGGCGGUUUUGCAACAAAUAAGUAAACGGGAUGUCGAUUACUUGGAGUUGUAUCUUAUGCUGGAAAAAUAAUUAGACAUGUCAGUUAAGUAAUAUUUCAAUUUAAAUAAAGUUAGUUAGGAACUAGAACUCGUAACAUGGUUGGAUAUGGUUAGUGAAUAGGAUAUGAAUGUUGGGGGAUAGAAUACAACUAGAAUUACUAAGACAAAUUAAGCGUGACACUUUGAAUUCAAAUUUUACUAACAUUGCAUAAUAACACCUUUGACUGAUAAUUUUUUUUGAUACGGAAACUGGAAAAAUUUUAUUAAGAAGAGGAUAGAUCCGUAUUAAUUGCGAAAGAAAGAAAAAAUGGUGGAGAAAAUCUCCAACUAUAAAUACCUGAAAUAGAACUAGCAUUACUAUCUAAGAAAUGAGCAGGCACAAUUAGAUUCCUAGGAAUCCAAUCAGCCUCCCAAGUAAUGAAAUUCUGUAAACUAACAAAGAUAUCAUCUAACAGCACUCCAUAAGCUGAAUCAUCGGAUUCCAUAUUUUUAAGCAUGUUGAUGAUCUUCAAAGAGUCACCCUCUAAAACAAUCUUAGAACCUUCAACUGAAGUAACGAGGAAAUUGCAGAUAUUGCAGCAUAAGUUUCAGUUACUUCAGGAGAAAAGAUACCUAAGAUUUUGUGAAAAAUACUAGCAACAAAUUUGCCCCAUUCAUUCCUCACAACAAUUCCAACUCUAAAGUUGUCGUCUUCAUAGAAUAUUGCACCAUCGAAGUUUGCACUGCACCAUCGAAGUUUGCCUUUAGAAAUCUUGCAGAGGGCUUUAUCCAAUGAAGUUGAGCAGUGGAAGAGCAUAUUGGAAUGUUUGGAAAUGUGUUUAUUUCAUGGUAUUUCUAUAAGAAAUUGAUAGAGAGGGAGAGACCAAACUGAGAGGAUCACGAUAGAACCAUCAAAUAAUGCAUCAUUUCGGUUAAACCGUAGAUUCCAAAGAAUUAUGGCUACCAAUUCCAUGUCCUGCUUUUUCAAAAGAUGAAGGCCAGACAACCGAGACGAAACUUGAUCGGUAGAGUCUAAUCUUAUCUUUAGUGUAAGAAAGCUAAGGGCCCAAGGUUAAAUUGCUACUGGACAGCACAAGAAAAGAUGAUUAACAUCAUCAAUAGGGGCCUUACAUAAAGAACAAGUAGGAUCAAAAUAGACUCCGCGACUAUUCAACUUGGAAGUUAUAGGUAGAAUGUCUUUGCAAAUUCACCACAAGAAUAUUUUAACUUUACUUGGUAUGUUGAGUUUCCACAAGCAGGGCCAAAUAUCAUCCAUAGAACCAUUACUACAUGAAGCUACAUCUUGUCAAUUUGUAGAUUAUAUUUUGAUAAGAUGAUAGGCAAUUUUCACUGUGAAGGAGCCAUUUUUAGAAUAGUGCCAAAUGAGCUUAUCUUGAUUUCGUCUAUCACCCAAUGGAAUACUCAUAAUCAACUCAAUCACAUCUAAGGAUAGCAACGGGGGCGGUGCCCGCGGGGGCUAUUGGGGCAGAGGUUGGGGCGGGGGGAAUUUUUCCCCCCAUUUAGAAACGGGGCAGGGGGCCCACCCAUUUGGAAAAAAAAGAGAGAUAUAUAUAUGUACAUAAUUAUAUAUAUAAUAGUAUUAUCAAUUAUACAUGUCUAUUAAUAAAAAUUAUUAAUUAUUUAUACUAAAUUUAUUAAUACAUUUAUAUUAAAUUCCUAACUACACUUAAUACAAUAACACUUUUUUUCUAAAAAAAACACAAUAAUAAUUUAGUGAUUGUAUUUGUAUCAAAAGUAAAAACAAUUAUUUUAGUUAUAUUUGUUUUAUCAUAUUAGAUCGUAUUCAAAUAACUUUUGUUUAAUUAUUUUUAUGAGUUUCAAUUGUGAAGUUAUAAUGAAUAAUAAUUUGGUGAUAUGUUGAUAUUUUAGUACUUGAUUACUUGCUCAAAUUUAAUUAUAAUAAAAUUAUAUAAUAAUUUUUUUAACCCCGCGGGGGAAGCGGGGCGGGGGCGGAGGACGGGACGGGGACGGGGGGGAAUUAAUAGGCAACGGGGCGGGGGUGGGGGAGGGGCCACCCCUAAUCACAUCCUGCCAAAAAAGCUCUUGAAGCAAAUCAUAUUUCCAUUUCCUGCUAUUUUCAUCAAUUAAACAAUCUAUAGUGGACAUUUCUAGUAGCACAUCAAAACGAGAUAUAAUUUUGAAAUUAGAAAGACGUGGAAUCCACCUCUCUUUCCAAAUUUUGAUAUGAUUCCCGUGUCCAUCUCACCAUCUACUACCAAAAACACCUUUGAUUGAUAAUUAAAUAGUUAAAAAAAUAUAUCUACUUAAUUUGUUUACUCAAUAGUUAUGUGAACUAAAACAUAAAAAAGAAGGUCAAUUAUUAUAUUAGUGUUAUAUUUGUAAUAUUAGUUCCCUAUAUAGUAGGUUGCCGAGUUGGGCAUAUUUAUAUUCUACCAAGUAAAUGCCCUAUCUUUUCGAAACGUGGCAAAAAAAUUGUGUUUGUUUUUUUUGGUAGAUUUCAUUCUUUUUCUUUUUUGGUAACAAUUAAUUUACUAUUCAUUUUCACUUCAUUAUUUAUAGUAAAUUUCAAUCAAUUAUCAAUUACUUACCUUAUAUGCAUUUUUAUUAAUUAUACCUUUAUUUUUUUUAAUCAACUUAUAGCUUUCCUUUUUAAUUAGGCACUCGUUAAUAUAUGUCUUAGGUGUUAAAUUUUUAGAAAUAUAAGAUGAAUUAGGGAGAGCAUAUAAAUGUAAGGGAAUUAAUUAGAAAAAUAUAUAAAUAAAAGAAAAAGUAGUAAUAGUUGCGUAUAUAUAUGGCAGGUUAGGUGGAAUGCAGGUGUGUUAACGAUUACCCAUAGGGCACCCAUUAGAAAUACUCAUCAAAAUUUGGAUUAAUUUUUUUUCCUUUCAUUGCAAUCAUUACUACCAUUUUUCCUAUCAUUUAUUACUAUACCUUCAUGUUUCUAAAUACCAAUAAAUGUAUUACUCUCUUACUUUUUAUUUGAUUGUGCUAAUUAUAGCUUUCCUUUUACUUAAUCAAUUAGUCAAUCGAUCAAUCAACCAAUGAUUUUAAUUCUCUUUUCAAUCGCACGAUCUUUCUUUUAUCCAUCAUUAGGGAGAUUUACAAUUUAGUCACAUAUUUGUUAUGUGUACAAUAAUUAUGCAAUCAUAAGCACAAACUAAUGCAAUUCUAAUAAUUUUGCAUAUAUGCAUUCAUAUUGUAUUGCAACACCUUUAAUAAUUCAUUAUAUGGUUACAAAAGCCAAAAAAAAUCUAGUAUUACCUAGACCUUAGAUAGUCCCCAAUGUAUACACUGAUACUGUAUAAAAUGAUUUUAAACCGUUAAUAUAUAUACUGAUUGCAUAUGAAGAUUCAUCCCUAAUUUAGACCUCUUAGAUAGUUUGCAUGCAUUAUAUUCCCUUUUUUUAAUUUCUUAUUUAGUUUACCUUAUUACCAUUUAUGAUUUUUUUUUAAUUUAAGCAACAUCUUCCAAUAUUUUAUCACCAUUUUAAGUUAGUUCAUUUUUAGGAGAUAGUAGUAUAAGUGUGGUAGUUUGUCCAAAUAACUUUGAAUAUGCAUAUACAACCCAAAAAUAAAAUGAUAGUUGUUUAUAUUCUUAUCACUCAACGAUGAUAGUGUUAUGUAAUUUAAAUGAUUGAGAUCUAUUGCCAUCCAAAUAUGAAUUUAAUAUGAGGGUAUGAUAACUAAAAAUGACUAUAGAAUCUCCCUAAAUACUAAAUAAUGCGAAUAGAGAUAUUCCCUCAAAAACUUGUAAAGUACUUAAUGUGUAUACGGGUAAAUUCUUGCAAUAGUGAAAGGAAAAUAUCUUACUAGCCUUGAAAUUUUGGCCCGUGUAUUGACUUUUGUUAGCUAAAUUAAACUAUCUUGGAGUGAAGACAUAAAAUCUGCGGCAAAUUUUGAGAGAGUUGUGAACAUAGCUUAUUUAGCGUACAUAUUUUUUCCCGAGUUUGAAUUCUCUCACUUACAUGACAAAAAGAAAAAACUAUCGUACAUUUAACUUCCAACUAACAAUGAUGUAUAGGUAAUAAAUUAUAUGUGAUAAGAGUAUAUUUUACGUAUUUUUAGUGUGCUUUAUUAAUUAGUUUUGGUGUGUUUUAUUUAGUUUUAUAAAUAAUUAACUAAGAUUCUAGUGAAAAUAUGCAUUUUGUGGUUAAAGUGUGAAAAUUGCAUUUCUAUUGAUUUUUAUGGUAAAAAUUUCAUAUUUUGUAGGUUUAAUGAUUCAAUCAUCAAAUGAAGUGCAUUGAGAAAAUAUUUGGAUGAUUGAAGAUGGAUUAAAAUGGUGAAAAUAAAAUAUGAAGUGUAAAAGGAAAAAUGCAAUUUGAAUCAAGAAAAGUCAGCUUUGACAACUCUGACACGUUUUGGUAUUUUAACUAUAUCUGGAGCUACACAGAUUGGAUUGAGGUGAUCUUUAUACCAUUUUGAAGCUAAGAGAUAGAUCUAAAUUUGGUAUGAAGACAUCAGAAUCUAAUUCAGCCGUUUUCAUUGUCCAAAAGUUGAAAUACCGAAAUUCAACUCAGCUGAGAAAUGCAACUUGAGAACAAAAGAAUCAAACAAAAGUCAGCUUUGGCAUCUGUUGGUAUUUUGGCUAUAUCUUGGGCUACAUACAUUGGAUUCAGAUGAUCUUUAUAUCAUUUUAAAGCUAAGAGACAGAUCUACAUUUGGUAUGAAGACAUCAAAAGUCCAAUUCGGCUGUUUUCCUGGUCAAAAUGUCAAAAUACAGAAGUAAAAGUCUGCUGCUGAGAGCUGAAAACGCGGAAUUGACCAGUCAGUGGUAUUUUUAUCAUAUAUCGGUCUAGACAGCUCUAAAUUGGAUGAUUCUUGAGGCAUUGGACAGCUAUUUCAAUGGGCUACAACUUCUAUGUUUUUCACAAGAGCUAAUUUAGCCGUCAUUAUAGAGAAAAUAACAGUUGAAGUAGCCAGAUUCUGGUCAGAAAUAGCUGCUGGUACAACCUGUUUUCUCCUUCAACAAUUUACAGCUAUGGAUGAACGUAUGACAACCAAUUAGCAGCUGUAAAAGGGAUGUUUCAAGCCUCAUUUCCUGAUUGCAUUCAUCUAUAUAUAGCCAUGGACUUGCAGGAUUCAAAAUAACUUGGGAGAAGGCUAGAGAAACUCACCAGAAAUGUAGUUUUCACUAGAGUUUCCUUGGUUCAUUAGUAUAGUAUAGGUAGAGUAGUUUAUCCAUCUUGUAUUUGUAGUUAGAUUUGGAUGAAGAUUGGAGGAGCAAAGAUGAAGAGGUCGAUCUCAUGUGACAAGGGUGAUAUCUCUUCUACUACUUUCUCUCUUGUAUUGGAUUUCAUGUUUAAUUAUAAUACAAGUUGGCUUUGUGUUUUUAUUAUGUUUAGUUAAAGUUUAUGCCUAGAGUUAUGGUUGAACUUGCUAUAUUUUGUUUGUGAGGUUUACUUGGCUAUUUGAUGAUAUUAUUUUGAGUACAUUAUUUAUCACUUUUGGUUAUCUAAUCAUGAUUAACUGGCCAUUAAUUAUGAUAAUCAUAAGGUGUUAAGUUUGCAAUGAAAAUUGGAAUUUAACACUAGUUCAAAGAAGUGAUAAGCCUAGGGAGUACACUCACGAAAGUAGAGGUGCACCUAUGUGGCUUAAGUGACUUGUUUCAUGUAAUUUCAUAGAAGAAAUGAACUUGUAAUUAAUUUCAUAACCACGAGAGUAGGUAUGGGUUAACUACAAGUAUAGUUGAUUCACUACGAAAGUUGGUUUCACAUACAUUAGGAAAUUACGCCAUAACUAGUCAAGAUAAUAGCAUUCACUUAACCGGUAAUCUCAUUUGCAAGAGUAGUAAGGAAUUCCAUAUCUCUAGGAGCUUUCUAGUGUUAUUUUCAAACAUUUUAUAUUUGUGGUAGUCUAAAUAAUAAAGGAGUUUGAAAACAUCGGUAAUUGCAUUCUUCCCUGUGGGAUCGACCCUUAAUACCCUAUACUCGCUCACGAUUCGUAUACUUGCGAUAAAUCGCGUGUGGGGUAUUUAGGAAUUUAUAAAUGUAAAACUUGAUUGGGAUGAGUUUAAUAUUAUAUGUAUACCCCGCGCACGUCAAGUUUUUGGCGCCGUUGCCGGGGAAGAUUUGGCAAUAUCGGUGUGAAGAGCAACUUUAUUAAUUUAGACAAUUUUUCUUAUUUUUGUUGUUUUUAUCUUGUGUGUUUUAUGUCAUUUUUUUUGAGUCAAUUUUUAUUAUUAUUUUUUUUUUCUGUUUUAGUUUGUGUCUUGGAAUCUAUCCUUCUUAACUAAUCUUACUUUUGAGAUUGUUUAAAAGUAAUUUUAGAUAAUGAGGAGGGUAGGUGAAUUGGGAGGACAAAGCUUGAGAAAUGAAAAAUUGGCAAUGGAUGGUUACCUAGUGCAAAACUCCUUCAACAGAGGUAACCAAGAAAUUACUGAAGGUAUGUCUUUUGAAGAUGGUUUGAAGUGCUUAAAGGCAAAAUUUGAUGCAAUUAUGUUACAAGUUCAAAUGGGCACAAUUAUGCAUGAAAUUGAGCAAGGGAGGAAUAUUAAUACUUUUAAUUCUUAUCAUAUGAUUUGUCACUUGUGUGAAGGUUAUCAUGCUACUAAUACAUGUAUGCAAGCACAAAAUGUGGGUUAUUAUGAUGAAUUAGAGCAUUACAAUCCUUGUUUUGAUCAAUAUAGUGCUAAUUGGAACAAUUCUCCUAUGGAUGGUUGGGAUAAUCAAUGUACUUAUAAUAAUUCCUCAUAUUUUUACGAUUACCAAUCUGAAUGUGUCCAAUAUGAAUCAAAACCAUCUUGGGAGUUGGCAAUUGAAAUGGUAGCUAAUGAUUCUAAACCAUCUUGGGAGUUAGCUUUAGAAAAAUUAGCUAAUGCAACUUCCGACCGUUUUGAUAGGGUUGAAGAAAGAAUAGAUGAACUGACUUCUCACUUUAGUAGAAUACAAGAGAAAUUGCACGCAUUGUGUGAAGUUAUUUCUUCUAAUGAUAUGAAAGAUGACCCUAGCAUGAAUGGUAGGAAUGUUGUAUGUGAAAAUGGAUUGCAUUUGGAUGAAAAUGAUGAAUUUCAAUUGUGUUUUAAUGAGCAAAUAUCCAUUUCACAUGAUAAUAUCUUUGGAACUAACUUUGAGCCUCAAGAGGUGAGUUUUAAUGACUCAUUUUUCACCCCUCUUGAGGAGUGCAUUGAAAGUAUAGGUUCUAAGGGUAUUGCUGCCCAAGAUCCUCUCAUGGCAUCCCCGUUGGUAAGUUCUCAAGUGGUGUAUUUUCAAGGUAAUAUUUAUGAAACACUUGGAAUAGGUAAGCCACUUCCAUCUCUCACAUCAUUAGAAUAUGUGACUUUUGCUAUAAAGUCACCUUUUAAUGAUCCACCACGACCUAAAAUGGUGGAUUAUUCGUUAACUAAACCUCCUUGAAAAAUGAGGUUCAAUAGUCGAGCCAACGACUAUAAAUAAAAGCGCUUAUUGGGAGGCAACCCAAUGUUUUGGCUAUUUAUGUUAUUUUGGUGUGAUUUUAUGUUUAAAGCAUGUGUUUGAGUUAUUUUGUUAUUUUUCAUUUGUAGGUAUUGGAAAUGGAAGCAAAAGUGACCAAAUGAGAUGAAAAAGACGAAAUUUGAUCAAGGAACUCAACCCCUCGAUUUGAAUAAUUGUUGUUUUUGAUCCGUUAAAAGGGGCUAAAAUGCAUGUUUUUAAUGUUUUACAUGUGUGCACAUUGAUAAAUUUUACAAACAAAUGAUUUAUGAUGCAUUUUGAGUGAUUGGGGUAUUAUUUGUAAAUUUUCAAAAGUUGAAUUUCUGCUAAAAUUCGCAGCAGAAAAUGCGUUUCUCAAGAAAACGCGCCUCUGAGUCGCGUGUUCACAGAAUCGCGUUUUCAAUUCUGCACCUGCAGAACAGAAACGCGCCAUUAAAACGCGACUUUAAGUCGCGUUUUGAAGGAAGUCGCGUUUUGUUGCCUGGAUCAAAGAUGAAAACGCGCCAUUGAAAACGCGACUUGAAGUCGCGUUUUCUCACAGAACCGCGUUUUCAGUACUGCAACUUUUGGGAAGAAACGCGCAUUCAAAACCGCGAGUUAAAGGCGCGUUUCUACUCACGUUUUCUGAGCAUUUUUUUUUUUGAAAGAAAAAAUGCAGGUUCCUUGGUUCUCUUUUUCUUCUUUUCCUCAUAUAUUUUCUUGUACCUUGAGUUGCUUAUUGUGUAUUUUUUAUAGGUACAUCACCAAAACAAGGGCUUGAAGUUACGGAUAGCCGUUUUGAUGUUUUAAGCCUUUGUUAUCACUUUGGUUUCUCAUUUUCCAUUCUUAGGUUUAUAUCACUAAUGGUUAUCAAAUGGAACUCAUGAAGCGAUGAAGAAAGGCGAACAACGUACCUUGAAGCUUCAUACUCAAUCACAUCAUAGGGGAGUAUUACUUUCUUUAUCUUCAUUUUCCUUUUUACACAUUGAGGACAAUGUGUAUGUUAAGUGUGGGGGGAGAAUUGAGAUUAUAUAUAUUGUAUGUGAUUGACUUAUUAGUUGCAAAUAUUGGACUUGUGUUAAAAUUUUCAAAAUUUUUCUACAAUCUUGUCCAAAAUUGCAAACUUGCCCCAAAAAGUUUCAAUUUUUUCGAUUUUAUCCAAAGGGGUAACAAGUUUCAUACCAUUAGUAGUUCAAAUUUCUUCUACAUUUGAGAUAAAUAUAUGUGAUUUGGAAACUUCUUUUCUCAUUUAACUUGGAAAUGACUAUUAUGUGAUUAUAAUUUUGCAUUUGUAGGAAAAUAUAUCUUGUGAAGUGGAGAAAAUUAUGCAUAUAUUUUUUUUGCAUAUUUGAUGAAAUUUCUUCUCUUUAUUGGAUUUUAUAAGUUAAGUGAUAAAUAUGGUCAAUAAGUGCAAUACUCUUCUCAUGAUUAUUCUUUUGAGGAAUUUAUUAUUAUCUUUGCUGUAAAAAGAAAAAAAAUGGAAAGAAAAAAAAAGAAAAAAAUCCAGUAUCAUCAAACUUCUUCAAAUGGGCUCUUUAGCUACUAACCCCUUCAAAAAUAAUUUAGGCUUACGGUUCUGUUGAUGUCGCAAUUGCAGGAGGUUCAGAAGAUAACGAAAGGCUCAUCUAAGAUUUCUUAAGGUGUUUGGCUUAUAUUGCUAGAUUUACUUAAUCUAUUUUCAUUCUUCUCCGAUGUCAUUAUUGUUAAAGUUCAAUUCAUAAGUUGGUUGUGUUAGAAAAUUGGCUUAAUUUCUUUUUAGAUAGGUUUUUGUUUUGUGCAAAAGUAACUAGUUUCCUAAUUGGUUUUAGUUACUCGGAAUAGUAGCCAAGAAAUUUCUUAUUUUGUUUAGAAUUAGAAGUUAUUUCUUAUUUUCUACAAGUCUAGGAAUUAGAAUUAAUUUCCUGUUGUUAUUUGGAUUUUUUGACCAAAUAAUAUUUUUAUAAAUAGGUGGGUUGGCAUACUAUAAAAGAGACACAUAAGGGCACACAAGGACGACAUGUAACCUUAUACAUGGGUGGUGAGAGAGAGUUCUUAGGAGAUGAGAAAUGGUAUACAAAGGUUGGACUUGAGUUCGAGUUGUAUUCUUGUAUAAGGUUUUUCUCUCAUAAUAAAUAACAAGUUUCUCUCCGUGGACGUAGGUUCAAUGGAGUCAAACUACGUUAAAUAUUGUGUGUUGUUUAUCUUUUAUACUUGUGGCUUGUUUCUCAUUAAAUUAUUGUGUACUUGAUAUCUUAAUAGUUAUUUAUUCUGCAUUUAGUUCCUAACAAAUGGUAUCAGAACUUGAUUGCGAGAUUGGGCUGCUCACAAGCACUUGGAUCCCAACAAACUGAAUAGUUGGAUCAAGAGUUUGGUUGUUCAAGGAUGGAUCCUAGUUAGCUAUUGAGAUCAAGUAGGUUGGUGACUGUUACCAAUUGAACAAUUUAAUGGGCGGUAUCCUUUUUCAAGAGUUUGGCAAAAAAGCAUUGACGGUGAAUGAUGAAAAGUCGAAAAGCAUGGAGAUACUUGACGGUGAAUCUAGGCAGAUGAUUCAAGAGUCAAGGAAAAGGUGGAAUCCAAUAUCGAUUUUGGACGUGAAUCGGUGGAGACUUUCUCACAACUUCAACGGUUGAUACUUCAUCUCGGUGAUUUUUAGAUUUCGCUUAUGUUUUUUGAGUGGUACGGCACCUGACCCAAAAAAAUAAAGAGAUUUAAUUUCUAUGCGCUAGAAGACUCUGACAGUUACGAGUCUUUUGUUUCAGGUGAAUUUUUGGAAACCACACGUGGCGAGAUAGUCUUGAGGAAGGGAAGAAGUAUGAUGAUUUUAUCACUUGGUUGCCUCAAUGAUUAAGGUUAGAGCUCAUAGAAGGAGAUUUUGGGUUGCAAGUGGUGGUGAGAAGAAAUCCUGUAAAGAAAAAUGGUGAAUUGAGGCAUCUUCUCACGAAUCAACUGGAGGUUGUACUAGGUGUAAAUACACAUAUUCAUUUGGCAAUUAAAUUAAUUUGGUAUCAGAACUGUAUUGAUUCGGGUGUGUAGUUCGGUACCAUAUUAUUUGGUAGUUGAAAGUAAAUAAUUGUUAAAAGAAAUUUUCGCCAAGAUAGAGAUUUGUUAGGAAAUUGAUUUAAUUUCUUUUCAGACAGGUUUUUGUUUUGUGUAGAAGUAACUAGUUUCCUAAUUGGUUUUAGUUACUUGAAAUAGUAGCCAAGGAAUUUCCUAUUUUGUUUAGGAUUAAAAAUUAUUUCCUAUUCUAUACAAGUCUAGAAAUUAGAAUUGGUUUCCUAUUAUUAUUUAAUUUUUUGGCCAAAUAAUAUUCUUUAUAAAUAGGUGGGUUGGCAUACUACAAAGAGACACACAAAAGCACACAAGAGACGACAUGUAGCCUUAUAUGGGUGGUGAGAGAGGAUUUUUAGGAGAUGAGAGAUGGUAUACAAAGGUUGAAUUGGGGUUCAAGUUGUGUUCUUGUAUAGAAUUUUUCUCUUAUAAUAAAGAACGAGUUUCUCUCUGUGGAUGUAGGUUCAAUGGUGGAGCCGAACCACAUUAGAAAAUAGUGUGUCAUUUAUUUUCAUGUUUGUGGCUUGUUUCUCAUUAAAUUGUAGCGUACUUGAUAUCUCAAUAGUUGUUUAUUCCAUGUUUGGAUCCUAACAGAUUGCUAAACCAAGAUUGAUGUAAUUGCGUCCUAUAAGAGAGUUUGCAAUUCAAUUGAUUAAGGGAAGAACAGAGAAAAUCCCUGAAAAUGGGAAUUAAAGGAAACAAAGGAAACCCUAAAACUAGUUUCCAAGAACAAUUCUGUCGAAGACAGAAAACAAAGAAAAUAGUAUCAAAGGCUAUAUCGUUAUUUAGGAAACAAGAAGCACUUGAAGGUGAAUGUUGCAGAAAGUAGAAGAUCCCACUACAAUUUACUAAUUCAAGGAGCUGUAAUUAAGAAAGAAAGAAGACAACUCAGAGAAUUAGGGAUUGUUAUUAAUUGAUGAAUGAGUAGGAAGAAUGUAGAUGAAGAUGAUAAUCAAUUACAAGUAAUGGAAAUCGGAAAUCCUAGAACUGCCUUCAACUUACCACCCUCCUCUCUUUUAUUCGGCUACUACACUUGUCCAAGUCAGCUAAUUCAUUACAACCAACUGACAUACAAGAAUUAUAAGGAUUUAUUCAUUAAGUCCCUAUCAUACUCGCUUUAUUACAAAAAAAAAAAAAAACCCUAUCAAUAAAACUAAGGUAACAAAUACUUCCCCCUCAGAGAAUCCUUGUCCUCAAGGAUUAAAUUCAGGAAAUUGUUGUUUAAGGUCAAACCAGAAUUCCCAGAUAGCAUCUUCAAGAAAAGAAUUGCUUCACUAUGCCAAAACUUUUGUAGCAAGAGAGUUACCACAUUUCACCAAUUUCUGAUCAAGUAUGGCUAUAGGCUCCAUUAAUAAUUAUCCCUGUGUAUUGAUUGUGUAUUGAUUGCAAAAGGAAUGUGUGAGGUAACUAGUGAGUGCCCACUUUCUUCUUUAGAAGAGAUACAUAAAAAAUAGAGUGUAUUUUUGCCAUAUUAGGCAGCUAAAGCUGAUAUGCAACAGGGUGUACUCUUUUGAUCACUUGGAAAGGUCCAAAAAACUUAGAAGCUAACUUCUGACAAGAGUGUACCUUCAAAGAGUGUUGCCUCUACAGUUGUAGUUUCACAUAUACCCAAUCUCUUGCCGAGUACUGUCUAUCAGACCUGUGUUGGUCAGCUUGUUGCUCCAUCCUAUUUUGUGCCUUAUGAAGGUUGUACUUUAAGUGAUGCAAAACUAUCUCCCUUGCUGCCAAGAUUCUAUCCACCACUUCCACUACUGAAUUCCCAAGUAGACAAGGCAUAUGCAGAGAUGGUGCAUGACCAUACACCACCUCAAAUUGGAUAACCUUAGUGGCAGCAUGAAAUUUGGUAUUGGACCAAUAUUCAGCCAAGGGUAACUAGAUAGACCACUGCUUUGGAAAAUCUCCACACAUGCACCUCAAAUAUUACUCCAAACACCUGUUUACCACCUCAGUUUGACCAUCUGACUGAGGGUGGUAGGUAGAAGAGGUAUUAAUCUGCACUUUUAGUAACUUAAAAAGUUCUUGCCAAAAAGUGCUAAUGAAGACCACAUCCUUGUCACUAACAAUGCUCUGAGACAAGCCGUGAAGUCUACAGAUCUGAUCCAGGAAUAUGUGCAAAUAUAAAUGCUGAAUAAGCAUGUGACAAUGCCAAGAAGUGUGCAUACUUACCUAACUUGUCAACCACCACCAAGAUGGCUUGUUUACCAUGUGCAUUAGGUAAACCUUCCAUAAAGUCCAUGGAAAUUCACUCCAAACCUUUUGAGGCACACGUAAAAGUCGUAAUAAACCCAAAUAAGCAGUAUUGUCAUAUUUGUUGCACUGACAGACAUCACAUGCAGCCACAUAGUUGACUAUGUCUUGAUACAUUCUUCUCUAAUAAACCACUGACUUCAACUUCUUUUAGGCAGCAUAAACUCCUGAAUGCCUCCAACAGCACUAGAAUGCCACAAGUGAAUUAUAUUAUUCUUGAAUUGGCAGUCAUUUUCUACCACUAGUCUCCCCAUCCUCCUUAACUGCUAGUUGCUCCAUGUGUAAUAAGGUGAGACCUUAGAAAGAUCAAAUUGUAAUUGAGUGAUGAAGUUCUAUAGCCUUAUAUCUAUUUGCCAUCCCUUUUUAAUCACUAUCAAAGAUCACUGUUAACAAUGAUGAUGGCAAGAGCUUCUCUUGGUUCUGCUAGUUUUCUAAAGAGAGUAUCUCUCACCAUAUUAUAUGCUUCUUUCCUGUAGUGAAGCUCAUAAUAAAAUCUUACUAGCUUAGUCAUCCAUUUCUGCUGCAUAAGAGUAGGGCUGUCAAUGGUCUGGGUCUAGACCCGGACCCGGACCGGAUCCGUCAAAUUUAUCCGGUAUGGGUAGGGAUUUAAUUCCGUUACCCGGACCCGGAUCCGGAGCCAUUUUGCCAAACAAAAAAACGGGUCGGAUACGAAAUAUAGUAUUCCGACCCGUAUUGGACCCGGAUCCGGAUAUAAAUGGAUUACUAAUUUAAAAAUAUAUAUAUUUAUUAAUAUAAUUUGAUUAGGAUGAUGUAUUUGAGUGAUCAAUAUAAUUGGACACCCGGAUCCUAAUCAAUAUAAUUUGAUUAGGAUGAUGUAUUUGAGUAAGGUUAAUUUGAUUUCUUUUCUUAUUUGAUUUUUUUUGUAUUAGUUAGAAAUUAGUUUAUAAAUAUAUGUUUUUUCUCAUUUUUGUUAGAAAUUAUAAAUUUUGUUAGUUUUUUUUCGGGUAGACCCGGAUCCGGAUCCGGGACCCGUCGGAUCUGGAUCCGGAACAUAGAGUAAAGACCAUCGGGUAAACGGGUCGGGUCCGGAUCCGAUAUAGUGUGCCGGGUCCGGGUCUGGAAUAAUGAAUUCCGGCCCGGACCCGCCCGUUGACAAGCCUACAUAAGAGUGUUCAAUCUUUGUUCCAUCAUAUAUUCAAUGCUCUAAUGGUCAUUUUUAAUGAUAACGUACCUUCCAGGUAGAUAAGGUCUCCACUUCUAUACAGCAGCAACUAUGGCCAAUAUUUGCACUUUUCCAAUAUACUAUCAUAUGCUAUUCCCCCACACACCUAAAUCUUAUAUUGUCCCCAAUGUAAAAUAAAGAAUAAAAGAAAAGUAAUGGGGAUAACGAAACUUCCUUGAUAACUGAGGGGGCCGUCGACAGCUACAGGUGAGGGGCGAAUGACUGUGGAGCUCGACGUAUGUUGAUGGUUGGUGGCGGUGGAGUUCGGAUGGAGAAGGAUGGAAGAAAGAAAGAAAGAAGAAAGAAAAAGAAGAGAGAAAGAAAGAAAGAAAAAGAAAAGGAAAAAGAAAGGAAAAGGAAGAGAAAAGAAAAGGGAAAUACGAAUGGGAAUUGCUCCAAUCCGAGCUGGUUUUUUGUACUACUACUUUGCUUCUUGUACGAAGCUUGAAGUUGCAGCAAGCGCGGAAAUUUUUUUUUUUUUACAUCUAAUUUUGAUUUUUUUCUUUUUCUUUUUCCUUUUCUGUAUUUCCUUUUCUUUUCUUUCUAAUUUUUCUGCAAAAACAAUCAAAUGAGAUGGAAUGAUUUUUUUUAAAAAAAGGUAAAAAUAUAAAUAGAGAUAAAUAAAUAAUAAUAGUUAUUAACAAAUCAUAAAAUGAUUUAUGAAAUUUUUUUGGUGUCUACAUAUAUACACAUACUAAUAAUUUUUAUAUUUAUAUAUUUUUCCUAUUUAAUCUUACCUAUAAUUCUUUCUUAUUUUAUUUACUUUUUCUAAUUAAUUUUAUAUUUUUAAAAAUAUAACAUCUAAAAAUAUAUAUUAACGAAGAGGACAUCCGUUAGACAGGUCCUAUUUUAUGUAAUAUAUAUCUCUACAUGAAAAAAACUUUUUUAAUAGGUAUCCCGUUUUUUGACAUGAAAAAUACCUUUUGACUACAUUCUGACUAGCGCCAAAAGCUAUCCACUUUUGACAUGCUGCCCAUGCAGGCCUAAUUUUUUUUAGUACUGAAUUUGUUUUGGAUACGUUAGUAUUUCUUGAAUUUUAGAAAAUGCUUCUCUUUAAUAAAUGUAAGUUCAUUUUAAUCUUGAUUCGCAAGCUUUUUCUUGAAAAUGGUUUGCCAUUUCUUAUUAGUUGUUACAGUAAAUUUAGCAUGCAUAUAUGCUUUUUGUCAAAAUUCAAUCAUUUCAAAAUCUAGAAGGGAACUUCUAAAAUACCUGCAUCCUCCUUUUUCUUUUUUCUUUUUUAUUCCCCCCCCCCCCCCCCCCCGGCUUUGUAUUCAGAAUCAGAUUGUGUUCAAUUAGUUGGAAUUUGGCUUUGGAGUUAAAAGGGAUUUCCAUUUUUUCCUAGGUAUUCCACAGCUUGCAUAACAAAAGCACAGAGGCGGAAGAAAACCCAUGAUUAAAUCAUACAACAGGCUUGUAAGAAAAUGCCCACUCUGAAAAAAUGAAAAGUUGAAUUUCCUAUUUUCAAAUUUACAUGCAAAAAAUGAAUAAUGACAUGCAAGAAAUAGUCUGCUAUUUCGCCAUGUUUCACAGUUUAUGAGAAAUAUAUUACAAAUAAAUCCACAUAAAUGGUGGGAAUAAUAACUCAAAUAUGGUGGGACAAAUAAACAUACAGGGUGACCCCUGCCAGCUGAGAUAACUAGCUGGUUUAUUUAAUUUAAUAGUUUGAAUACAAUAGUAAAUCAAUGCCAUAGCUCAGAUACUGACUAAAUUUUUCUCCCUGAAGAAUUCAACAGCAUCUUUUAGGCUGACCUCCAAAGGAGUGAAUUGAACUCCCAACCUUUUUGCCUUCUCAUUGGAGGCUCUGUAGUUUGGGCUGAUAAGGUUGGUAUUGUUUGACAUUCUGCUGUAUGCGGGACAAUACACAAUUAUGGCAAACAUAAAUAAAGCUUAGGUAAUGAAAAUGCAAAUGUAAAUUCAAAUGCUUGAAAAUCUACUGGACAAUUGCCUCAUAUCUACUGUAAAUUGUGCCUUUUUUACGAAGUUUCAAAAGACCUUUUAAAAGAUAACUUUAGUUGUGAUAUGAAUGAAAUUUAUUUUUCUCUAUAAAAAAGCCUAAAACGGAAUUUCUAUUUUGGAGACAAAGCCAAUUUGGUGAUAUAUCCUAGUCCAAAGAAGACCAUCUUCUAGAAAUCAACCUGAGAAAGAGCUCAUUUUUUAUGGAACAUGAGACCAAAAGAAAAAAAAAAGAAGGCAGAAAAUUUAGGAUUUAGUGUCCUUUAAAAGAGAGUAUAAAAAUAUGUGAUACAUUUUGGACGUAUACAAGGCCAUCAGCAAAAGCCUGCAAAGACCUAAACAAGGAAAACAAGACUUACUUAUCAGGAAAUUGGUGAGUUGGGUAAUGCUCAUGCAAAAUCUUGAUGAUCUGAGAGGCAUUUGCACAUCUUUCAACCAGACAAUAUCUUCCACUUGCAGAAGGGGUUUCAAGGGCAAGAACAUGUGCAUUGGCAACAUCUCUAACAUCAACCCAGCUACAUGUUGCCUUAGGAAAUGGUUCAACCCCUGCAUUUGGCACCUAAGAUCUUUAAACACAUUUUUUUGCAGGCUCUUCAGCAAACAUAAGUGAAACCAAUUUGGUUUGUUUGGAUUGGCAUGAUUUCAGAUAAAAUAAUUUGCUUCACAAAUUCCAAUCACCUUUUUAUCUCACAUACAGCACAUCACAAAAGUGUUACAGUAAUUAUCUCAAAUAAAUCAUCUAAAUAAACUUCUAUCCAAACAAAAUGUUGUUUGCCAUGAAAAGAGUCAAAUUUAGAGGCCAUGGCCUGCCUUCCAGAAGAAAUGUGUGGUAUGUACUACUUUGUUCUGUUUUAGUAUCAGCAAAGCCACAGAGGGGAGGGAGAUGUGAGGAAUGAACUACUUGAGACAAUUCAGAUAAUUGGUGAAUAAUAAGAAAGAUUAAUCCCAACAAUCUUCUAGUUAAUCUGUCGAGUUAUUACCUGGAAUUUCUCAGAUUUAGAGUUAGGUUUCAAAGGAUAGUUUAUUUAUUUAUGUGAGGAAUAAACAAGCUUUAGCAAGUCUGAACAACAUAAACAGUGACUACUCCUAACAAAUUUUUCCUCACAAUUACCACCCAAAAAUUUCUUUUCCUUCCUGUUAAUCACAUAGAACCUCAAUGUUGUUGAAAGGAAGAUGCACACAACGUGAAUUUCAGAUGAAAGAUUGUACUGCAAACCUUUAAAACAUCAUAAGCUGGUCAGAGUUUAUAGCUUGAUAUAUCAGUUCACAUUCUGACCUAUGUCUGUCAAUCAUGUGAUAAGCCAGCAGUGCCUUGAAAUGUUAUUAGUCAUAAGUUUUUUGUUCUACUGUAACAAAGAAAGUUGUGGUGCAUAAUAAAGCUACAAGUAACAUAGAUGGAAGAGUCAGUUAGACAAUGAUUACUAAGGUGAUUCAAUAAAUUUUGAAACAAACCCUUUAAUAGGUUGAGGAACAAAACAGCGCUCGAAUUAACAGAUGGCUGCAAGAGAGGACCAAUGACCAAUCCUGGAUGAAUUGUAAUCACGUCAAUGCCAUGCUCCUUUGCAAAUUUCCAUGCAGCAUUCUCGGCCAUGGUUUUUGAAAGUUCAUACCAAGACUAUCAACACCGAAAAAUCAGUAAAUGUUGGUAAGAUGGUAGCAGAAAGUAAUUAGAUUUGUAAACUUUAAGAAGUAACAUUAUAAAUUUCUACAAAUUUGACAAAACCAGCAACUUACAUCAGUUGAAACUAUUAUUGCUGUAGCUACAAAGCACAGAGUGAAAGCAUCCACAUUUCCCAGGACAAGCUAUGCUAUAAGUGAAUAAGUAGAUUUCUCAAGGAUCCUAGGAAUGGUGUAAACUUUCUAUAUUCAAGGAAUGAUGCAAAGCACCAGUGUCGACAUAUCCUGAUCAUCUGAUCUCUUAAUCCACAAGCUAACAGCAAAACUACAAGGGACCUUGACACUUUAACACAAAUAGCCAUAUUCAUAAUAUUAUAGCAGAAGUUCCUUUCCAACUGACCGACCAAAUAUUGCUCAUCUAGGUGUGUAUUCUCAGACAAUAGUAUAGAAUUUGAUCAUGCAAGAGAUGCAUAAUUAAGUAGGAAAACUUUCAUAUUGCUCUUUCCCCGACUAUUCCACACUACAUUAUUAAUUUUUCAUUAAAGUUAAGUUGUUACUUAGAUAGAAGGAAAGAAAUGGACUGACCAUUCUGGUUACAAAAAUAUCCUUUUUUUGCCUAUUAAAGUACCACCAAGUCAUGAAGAUCCUAACUUAAUUAUCUCCACAGCUGGGCUAACUCCUCAUAUGUGUUCCAACAACAAGUUAAAACUAAAGAAUUCCAGCAUUCCAUAUUAGAUUUUACUGGAAGAAGACAGAUAAUAUAUGUACCUUUUGCUCCUCACAGUAUGAUGGUUCGGAAAACCAACUUUCAUCAACUACCACAUCCUCCUUUAAUUCUCUGUUUUUUGAAACUGCAACCAUAGAGGAUGUUAUAACUACUCUUUUGACAGAAGAAGAAUUUGCACAUGACCGCAGCACAUUCAGUGUUCCGCUUACUGCAGGUUCCAGUAGUUCUGCCUAUGAAAUCAAACCAAGUAAAAAAGGAAGUCAUUACCAGUCAUAGGUAAGACUAUGCUUUUAACCUGCAAAAAACUUAUCAUUCUGGUAUUAUGUUUGAGAAUUUCACCACAAAUGCUGUAAACCUACAGCUUUAGUUACUUAGCUAAAGGAUGCAUAUUGUUGUCUUAUCUCCUCUUGCUGCUAAAAUAAGUUCUCAGGUCCUUUAUUGUUGUUUUUUCCCAAAUUUUUUCAGCUUUCACUGGGUGACAGGAACUUAAGACCAAUAGAGGAACAACUGAAAUAAGUCUCAGAUGUGGUCACCAAUUAAACCGUUUGCUACCAAAUAUCAACCGAUGAAAUUCUGUUCUGGCUUGAACAGGACAGACAGAAAAUAUAAAAGGUGUAGCUCCCAUGAAUCCUGCGAACAGAUUUUAGCGUGAACACAUAAUGCAUGUUGCAAUUUCUUUUAGUGUCUGUGAGUCAACCUUGUUCAUUGAAAUGACUAAAAUCAAAGUUCUACAAAGUUACUUAAAAAAAAUCCAUAAACACAAUUUGAGAAACAGACAAGGAUAGGUGUACUGCAUAAAAUUAAGGCACAAUCAUUAAUAGAAGUUAAUCAACUUACAAAUGAAGAUACAUAUAAUUUGCAGAUGCUUGAACAUAUAUUGUAGUUUCUAUAAGCUUCUUAUUCAUUCUGGUAUGGGCACGCAAAAGCCAUUGGCUCUACACUGGCUGAAUAAUUAGUUGGUCAAAGCAGGGAUUCAUUUGCUCCAGGACAAGCUUAUAGCUUGCUCUAUAACCUUACCCUGACUGACUUACCCAGGAAAAUAGUUAGUCGGACCCAAUCUACUGCCCAAUUGUGGACCAUUUGCUAUGUUUAUGGCUCUUAAUGUUUUUAUUUCACAACAUUACACCCUUUGAAUUGUUUCGCUGAAGUACCAAUUUCCAGAUCAUUUCAUAGAAACAUCAUGUAUACUGAUUAAAAAGAGACUAAAGCACAUAACACACGACAGUCUUUUUGUGAAUGACCUGCUGGAACAGAUUAGUUUUGUAUGUACCAAAUGUAAAGAAAUAUUCUUCAGGUGUUUGACCUGAUUGCUACAUUAAUCUCCUCCCUUUGGUUAAUAAAAGAAAAAGUAGAGCCAUAGAAUUGGAAACAUUUGAAUCUAACUCUCUUUUUUUUUUUGCCUUUACAGUUAUAACCUUGUCAUAAAUCACAUAUAGAGGAGUAGACUAUCACCCAAAAAAGCCAGUAAAAAUGCAACAGAGGAAGAUACUAAAAGAAGUCGUACAAUUAUAAAUCAGAAAAUAUGCUACGAUUCUCAAACUUCACUUGAUAAAUAGCAGAUUUUGUAGACAGUAGAGAUUUUUCAAUCUUGUAAAGCAAAUGUACCUCUGGAUUGCUAAAUGAAAGUUUGAUUGGAGAUGCAGUAUGGAAAACCCCUUCACAUCCCUCGACUAUUGCAUCAAACGAUCCCUCUUCCAGUAAGUUUGCCGAGUACAACUGAAGCCUUUCCUUAGCUCCAUCAAGUGAUGUCAAAUGUUGUGUCCUUUCCGGAUCAUCUGUGUCAUGAUUGUAUCAGUAGAAUGUUCAGACAGCUAUAAUCAAAACCUUGCCGCCUUGGUAAAGUGUACUAUGUUUUCACUAUGGUGAAACUCAAGAAGAAAUGGACAUAGAGUAAUAAUAAACGAAUCUCAAAGCAAUGAUAAAUUUGACUAGCUAAAGGCAAGCGGGGAAAAACGAAAAGAAAUUGACGGGCAACAUAAUAUGACCACAAUAAUAUCAUAGCCCUAUGAUUUCUGGUUUUGAGAUGCGUACAUUUGUAACUUUCUUGAUAACAAUUAAUUCUUGAGAUAAUUAUCAGAGGGACAAUUGUAUGCCAUCUACCACUAUUUUUAUAACAAACUCAGUCCUUCAGAAGAAGGAUAUAGAUUCGAUAGGCUAAAGAUUUUUUAUUAUAACUUGAUCGUUGUAUCUGGAGCAUGAAACAAUUAAGUUGGUCCACAUCAAAAAUAUAUAUAUAUAUUUUGCAUGUGAUUUUCUUUUGAGCAAACAGAACAUGGGGAGCAUUUAGCUGUUGCAAGAAUAUCAUCUGGAGCUACAAGACAAUUUCACACUGCAGAGUUGAAUAAAAAUAUUGGGCAAAUUACAUAUAAUCCUCCUGUGGCUUUGUCUGUUGCCACAUGACCCUUCUAACAUUUUAAAAUAUCCAAUUCACCCACUAUGAUUUUAUGUAAAGCGGAAACUUGAUGGAGAAUAGCCUAUAUAAUGUCGUUAAUUGAAAUACCAUUAGUACUUUUACUUAAAUGCUAAAUCAAUCGACGAUUUAAUUACCUUAUAUAAAAGUAUAAGGGGAUUAUAUGGAUAAAUAUAAAAAUCACAGGAGGGAUAAAGUGGACAAUUAUACAAACUAUAAGGGAAUUACAUUGAAAUUAAGACUUUAUUACACACGCUUUUAGAGCGCGUUUGGUAUAAAUGCCGUAAUUAAUUGUGCAUUCCAUCAUUUUCCGCUUUACAUAUAACUAUAGGGAAUUAUGUGGCUAUUUUGAAAUUUUAGAGGGACCAUCUAGCAUUAUAUAAAAUUACCCUAAAAUAUAGUUAUAAGUAAUUUACCCUAAAAUGUUAGAUUCCAGGGGCAAUUAAACAACAAUCAGAACAGGGCAUCAAAAACUGCACAAGCCACUAAGAUAGUUGAUCAAGAACAAAAACUGGAGUUACAGGCAUCUCGAACUGAACCUUUAACAGUAUAACCGCGCUCGAGCAGCAGCUUCACCAGCCAUGAAGCUAUGUAACCCGAAGCUCCGGUCACACACACCAUUUUCCCUUCUCCUGCUCCACUCAUUUUGUUAAUAUUUUUGUGUGUGAACCUGUCACCUGUUUGCCUUACUUCUGGACUUAAUGGAGGGAUGCAUAUAUGGUGUAUAUAUAGCUAUGGUGAAGAAGACGAAAGAUUGGAUAUGAGAUUACGUGGGAGACUAGGGAGAUCCAUAUGUAUUCUUGCAAUUUGCAUGCAUCAUCGCUGACAUACGUAUGGUAUAAUCGCGUCACAUCCCAUUUUAUCAAGGUCAAUUGAUCAGUGUAAAAUAGAAAUGAACAAUAAAUACAAUGGUAAAUUACCUUCUACACCCUAUGGUUUGAUGUUUUAUCACAUAACUCCCUAUGAUUUAAAAACCUAUAUUUGACCCUUUCAUAGUUUGGAUUAUUGUGUCACUUUAGAUUUUUCCGUUAAAACUAACGGUCAAUAGUAAAAAGUCAAAUUCAAACUACUAAAUUGAUAAAUUCACCAUUUCACUACUUUUUUUUUCUUGUUUUCCUUUUCUUUCUCUCCUUUUUUUUUUUUUGGAAAGAGAAGAGAUGACUUUGAAAACUUGUAUUUUGGCUUACAAAACCUUAAUUGUUUCCAAAUACAAAAGAGAUAGAAGGGAAAUAAAAAUAAAUCAACAAGAAACAAAAAAUAUGGAAGGUAAAGAUAUAACAAAUAAAUAAGAAACAAAAAAACACCAAAUCUUUUUUACUAUGAAUAUCAUUAUAGGUUUUUAAACCAAAUCUUUAAUAGUAUUUUCUAGUUCUUAUUUAUCUAUAUUUUAUUUCAAUUUCUUCUUUUUGAUGUUUGUAGGGGAAAAAAAACAAGUAAUGAAGGGAUAAAUUUGUCAAUUUAUUAGUUUGACUUUUUAAUAUUAACUGUUAGUUUUAACAAAAAAAACUAACUAUUAGGGGGUUAUGUAUAGUUUUUAAACGAUAGGGGGUUAUGUGAGAAAAUACCAAACUAUAGAGGUUAAAAGGCAAUUUAUCCUAAAUACAAAAUCAGGCGGUUGCAUAUGAAAAAAUACCAAGGUUCUUGACUUUGCUCAAUACAAUUCCAAGUCUAGAGACACAAUUUUUAAAUUCACUACCAGGAUAAACCAUUCUCCUUUUUUUUUUCGGGUUAAAAAAUACAAACUACUUGAACUAGAAACUAGUCCUGACAAAGUUUGUGGGUUUUUUGCAAGAGUUUUAGUUAAAUAUUGGUUACUUCGCCUAAUUUGCACCUAUUUUAUCACGUAAAUGCACACACACUUUUAAAAAAAUAAUGCAUGCACUUAUAUUAUUGCCUUUCGUACAUUUAAAUACUUUUUUCAAUUUAAUUUUACUUUUCUGGCAAAAUUAAAUCUGAAGCCCAUUUCAAGAAAUAUCCACCGAAUACCAGGUCAACAAAUCCCCUUCGUAAUAAAGAACGAAAAGAACCGCAGCGUUCUUAACACGCAGCGGUCUUUUUGCAUCUAAGAAAGCUUUUGAUUGGCUAGAAAUCCUUCUCUGAUUGAGAAAUGGGAAUUGACUUGAUGAUGGCAACUCCAUUUAGAAAACUGGUCCACACCCUUGAAUGUGGUUUAAAUUUAAUAACACCAUUUCAUCAUUUCUGACGACUGCUUCUUCUAUAUCGAUCCUAGCUCACUGCACACGCCAGUCGUGUGAAACUUGGCAAAAGAGUUACACCCGCCGUCCUAAAAUUGUUUGUCGCAUUUCGAAACCCAACUUUUUAAAAAUAGCAGCUUGAUGAUGAUAUUUGUAGAUUUGUCUCAAAAAUUGUCAUCAAAAAUUCAAAUUUUAAAUUGAAUUUAGUAUGAAAUAUAGAUAAAGUUAUUGGAAUAAUAUUGAAAAAAAGAGAUUAAAAGUUAUUUUGAUUUUUGAUAAGAUAAUAAAUAUUUUAGAACGUUUCAAAAUAAAAAAAAAAAUAUGACACUUUCAAUGAGACAAAAGAAUGGAGAGAAUAUAUUAUAUAAGAUACUGAAAACUAGCGUCCAUCAGAAGCAGUCAAAUCAAAGCCAACAUAUUACUUGUAGUUUGGUUUAUAACAAUAUCUCAGCUUGCUGGUAGCCCAAAAAUUUAGCAAAAUAAAUUAGGAAACCAAGUGCGAUAGAGCAUAUUUCACCCAAAUAUAUUAAAAGUGAAAAAAGAUUUAUUUUUAUUUAGUCAAUGUGAUUUUUGUGUCCGCAUGCCCAUAAAGCUUCAAGGACCAAAAAGCCAAACAUACGAAGUGAAAAUGUGAAGAGCAAUAAUUUGAAUAUAAAAAAAAAAAGCAAGUAGAUGGAUAGAAAACCAUGUCGAAGGUCUCUUCUCUCUCUUUUUUUUUUUUUUGGUUUGACCAUGCAUGGUGCAUAUGAUAUGAAGGAUAAUUGUAAAGCACCAUAUACUGCCCAAGGAAAGUAGAUUACACAGUGGGAACCAAAAAUAGAAGAAAAUAAAGCCUCAUAUGAACCGAAUCUUUCCCCUUGCUUUUUUUCUGGGAAUUUAAAGGUAUAAUGCAAGAAAUAACUCCUGGUCAUGCAAAAUUGCCAACAAAAAAUGCGUCUUUGGUUUUAAAUUCCUUAAUAACAUACUAUCCAGCAUACUAUUUAGCAUAAUAACAUACUAUCUCAGAUGCAUCCACUCCAAAUAUCCUGGCCGAGAUGGUAUAUGAGGCCAAUUUUCUAUCAAAAAUAUAGGUCGUCUGUAGCAGGUAAUGACGUUACCUCACUACAACAAAAAUGGCCUUUAGCGGCAUUUAAAGGUGUCAGUAUAGAAAAUCUAACCUGACACUUUAUCUAUCCUGACACCCAUGGCGGAUCGAGUGUUGUCCCUUCCAAUGUGGGAUAGCCUCAAAUCUUUAGCAGCAUUCAAAUGUGUCAGGCAAACCAUGCUGCUAUAUCUUUACCUCUGCCAACAAAUCUCUUUUUUUGUGAUAAUCGAAAGUGUCUGUAUAGCGUUAGGACAUCAGAGUAGGGAAUCAGUAGGAUAUCAAAUUUAUGAAGACAUCUUGAGUUGUCUUAAUAUAUGGCUUUAAGGACACGUAGCCAUGUGAAUUUACAAUGUGUUGGACGACAUGCCCAUUUGUUGUUAGUGUUUUUUCGAAGCUACAUAAUUUAUCAACCCAUAUGACAAGGGUUUAUUUUACGUAUUUUUAGUGUGUUUUAUUAGUUAAUUUUGGUUUGAUUAUUUAGUAUUAUAACUAAAAUAACUAAGGUUUUGGUAAAAAACUACAUUUUAUUUAAAAUGGCUAAACAUUGCAUUUUAUGGAUUUUUAUGGUAAAAACUUCAUAUUUUGUAGGUUUAAUGAUUCAAUCAUCAAAUGAAGGCAUUGAGAAGAUAUUUGGAUGAUUGAAGAUGGAUUAAAGUGAGGAAAAUAAAAUAUGAAGUGUAAAAGGAAGAAAUGCAAUUUGAGGACAAAAAUCAAGAAAAGUCAGCUUUGACAACUCAGACAUAUAUUUUAUUUUGACUAUAUCAGGAGCUACAAUGAUCGGAUCAAGGUGAUCUUGGUACCAUUUUGAAGUUAAGAGAUAUAUCUACAUUUGGUAUGAAGACAUCAAAGUCCAGUUCAGCCGUUUUCAUAGUCCAAAAGUUGAAAUACCGAAAUUCAACUCAGCUGUCCAAAGUGGAAAACAGAGUUCCGACCAGUGUUUAGUAUUUUGAUCAUAUCUCAGUCUACAAAGCUCCGAUUUGGAUGAUUCUUGAAGCAUUGGAAAGCUAACUCAAAGAUAUACAACUUUGAUGUUUUGCACAAAAGCCAGUUCGGCCUGCAUCAUGGAGAAAAUCGCAGUUGAAGUAAGGACAAAGUGAAAACGCGAGUGCACAAAACGCGAGUUGUAGACGCGUUUUGUAAAGGCGCGUUUUCUGGCCGAAAUUCUGCAAUUUGCUCAGUCAAUUCUCUUGUGUUCAUACCACUUUCCAGCUAUAAGUUGCAAGAGAAUUCGGUGCACAUGCUUCAGAAGACAAAAGGGCAGACAAGGUGGCUUAUUUUCAAGUCAAAAACAUUUGUUAUUGACUAUCCUAACAAAGUUGAGAUUUGGGAAUCAAAAUGUGGAAAUUGACUUGGAAAAAUGGAGCUCUUAAGCAGUUUAUAUGCAGAGACAUUUUGGGUGGUCUGAGAAGGGGGAAAUAUACGGGAGAAGCUUGAGGAGUGCAGAAAUGUAGUUCUUCCAUUUCCUUAGUGUAGGAUAGUGUAGUAAGUGUAGUUCAUCCAUUCUUGUAUAAUGGCUAGAUUAGGAUGAAAAUGGAGAUGAAGAAAGAGAAGUUGAAGCUCAAGUGACAUGGGUUAUCUCUUCUCCAACUCUUUAUCUUUUGUAUUGGAUUCUUAAAUAUAGUUAAUAUGCAAUUUCUGGAUUUUAUAUUUAAUAUGUGUCUUUAAAGUUUAUACCUUGGGUUUGGUUGAACUUUCUAUGAUUGUUAGUGUUUAUCAUUUGGCUAUUUAACUGCUAUGAUUUGAGCAAGUUAUUUAGCACUUUAACUCUUUAAAUCAUGAUUAAUAUGGUACCAUUAAUUGUGAUUAUCUAAGGUGUUAUUUCUGCAAUGAAAAUUGAGAUUUAACAUUAGUUCAAGAAGUGCUAAACAUAGGGAGUACACUCACGAAAGUAGAGGUGCACCUAUGUGGUUUUUAGUGAUUCAUUUCAUGUAAUUUCACUGAAGAAAUGAACUUGUAGCUAAUUUCAUAACCAUGAGAAUAGGUAUGGAUUAGUUAUAAGUAUAAUUGAUUCACUACGAAAGUAGGAUUCAAAUGCAUAAGGAAAUUACACCAUAAUUAGCCUAGAUGUAGUAAUUAAUGAUCCAAAUAUAGCACUUGCAUGAGUAGUUAGGGAUACCACAACCUAAGGAGCUUUUAUUUGUUAUUUUGUAUAAUUUCAGUAGGAUAAAUUUGCUAUAAUUCAUUGAUAGUCUAAAUAAUAGAGAAGCUUUAGUAAUACCGGUAAUUGUUCACUCUUCCUUGUAGGAUCGACCCGAUAUAUACCCUAAACUACUAGUUGAUCUGUAUACUUGCAGUGAACGGGUGUAAUUCGGUAUUUUUUAGCUUGCACGUAUGUAAAAUACCCGUCACCAUACACCAAAUGAAUUUUCCUUGUAGAUGAAUAUCUAAUAUGACUGAAUUCAGAAUGUAUGGGUCUGUUAAAUCUAUUGAAAAGUUUAGAGCACAGUUAAAAUAUAUGGGUCCAUUACAUACAUUAGUUUGAAUCAUAGAAAGUAAAGAAGUUUUAUAUCUUUUGAGUUUAGUAUCUCUUAAUGCUAGAUAUAUAGGAGCAUCUACUCCUAGAUGGAAUAAGGGUUUUACUGUAAUUUGUAUUAAACCUAUAUGAAUAUAUCUAUAUUAAAAUGUGGAUCCCUCCAUUGUAUAAACCUAAUGACUGUAAUCCUAAUAUUAUAUCAUGAUUUAUAUUUUUUACAAUUAUGAAAUUAUGUCUAAUACAAUAUUCAUUGUUACAUAUUGAUCCUUUUGUAAAUUUAUAUUUUACUUGUAAAUUUUCUCCAUUUGCUGCCAUUAAGGUUUCCUUUGUUCUUUCACAAUAUUUAGUAGAAAUUAUUCCUUCUUUAAUACAACUUGAAUCAGGCUCCACUUCUAUUAAAGCUCUACAUAUAUUUCUUUGAAAUCUUCUACUGUAAUAGUUACUAAAGCAUACCAUUUUUGAAAUAUCAUUUUUUCUAUGGUAUUUAAAUAUUGAAUUUCAUCUGUUGUUUUUUUUUUGGUCUUUCUGAUAUACUUAUUUCUUCUGUUUUAGAAUUGGAAGUUGAUGGUUGAUUUUCUAGUAAUGUUAUUUUUGCUUCUAUUUCUAAAUCUUUUGUUUUUAAUUCUAUGAUUUCUCUUUGUAAUUGUUUUACUUGUAUUUUAAGAUCAUUAAUUUCUGUUUGAAGAUCUUUAGUGGUUUCUUUUUUCAUUAUAUUUAUGUUUAGAUAUUUAUCUAUUAAUUUAGAAAUACUAAAAGGUUCUAUUAUUUUUGGCAUUUUGUCUUCUUGUAUAAUUAGACUUUUUAAUCUUUCUAAAUACUCUUUUUUAGCUACUGGAUCAUCAAUUUUUUCUAUUAUAUCUAAUAAAAAUUCUUUAUCUUCUUUUUUGGUUAUAACAUUUAUAUAUUUUGAAGUGUUAGAACAAUUACAAUUUUCUUCACUUUCUGUACUAGAUAUAUCAUUAUAAUAAUCAUCUUCAGAAUUUUGAUCUUUUUCAUUAUUAAUAAAUUAAUUAAUUUAUUUUUAAUUUCUUCUUCUUUUGCACAAAUCUCUGUAAUUUUUUCUUUUAAUUUACAUUUGUUUGCUUUAUGUCCUAUUUUUUCACAUUUAUAACAAACAAUUUUUCUUUUAAUAAAUUUUCUCUUCUUUUCUGGUUUAUCUUCUUUAGAUCUUUUAUACUUUAUUUUCUUAUUAUAUUUUUUAACUUUUUUGUUAUAUGCAGAUGGUGAUUUAAUUCUUUAGUAGCAAAUUCUAAAGCUCUAUUAAUUGGUUUUAUUGUUCCUUGAUAUAUAUCAUGUCCUAAAAAUCUUAUUUUUGUUUGGAAUAAUUUCAUUUUUGGUGCUGAAACAACUAAUCCAUUUUUCUUAACUACUUUUAAAAAUAUAUUUAAAUGUUUGAAAUGCUGUUCUAUUGAUUCAGAAAAUAUUAAUACAUCAUCAAUAUAAACUAUGCUAAAUGAACUAUAAGGAUUGAAAAUAUCAUUCAUUAUAUUUUGAAAUUCUGAUGGUGCAUUUUUUAAUCCGAAUGGCAUUACGUUCCAUUCAUAAUGACCAAAAGGUGUUGUGAAUGCUGUUUUAUAUCUAUCUUUUGGUGUUAUUAAUAUUUGCCAAUAUCCUGAUUUUAGUUGUUUCAGCACCAAAAAUGAAAUUAUUUCAAACAAAAAUAAGAUUUUUAGGACAUGAUAUAUAUCAAGGAACAAUAAAACCAAUUAAUAGAGCUGUAGAAUUUGCUACUAAAUUUCCAGAUGAAAUAAAAGAUAAAAAUCAAUUACAAAGGUUUUUAGGAUGUUUAAAUUAUAUAGCAGAUUUCUUUCCUAAAUUAAGACAAGAAUGCUCUAUAUUAUUUAAUAGAUUAAAAAAGAACCAUUUCCACCAGUGAUUGAACCAGAUUGGGAAUUCUCUACUGCAACUUUUUUGAAUGUGAAGAACCAUGAAUGAUUGAAUGGUCUAUACAAAAAAAGCAAAAGUCUAAUUAUACAAGAAGACAAAAUGCCAAAAAUAAUAGAACCUUUUAGUAUUUCUAAAUUAAUAGAUAAAUAUCUAAACAUAAAUAUAAUGAAAAAAGAAACCACUAAAGAUCUUCAAACAGAAAUUAAUGAUCUUAAAAUACAAGUAAAACAAUUACAAAGAGAAAUCAUAAAAUUAAAAACAAAAGAUUUAGAAAUAGAAGCAAAAAUAACAUUACUAGAAAAUCAACCCUCAACUUCCAAUUCUAAAACAGAAGAAAUAAGUAUAUCAGAAAGACCAACAGAUGAAAUUCAAUAUUUAAAUACCAUAGAAAAAAUGAUAUUUCAAAAAUGGUAUGCUCUAGUAACUAUUACAGUAGAAGAUUUCAAAGAAACAUAUGUAGCUUUAAUAGAUAGUGGAGCUGAUUCAAGUUGUAUUAAAGAAGGAAUAAUUCCUACUAAAUAUUGUGAAAGAACAAAGGAAACCUUAAUGGCAGCAAAUGGAGAAAAUUUACAAUUAAAAUAUAAAUUUACAAAAGGAUCAAUAUGUAACAAUGAAUAUUGUAUUAGACAUAAUUUCAUAAUUGUAAAAAAUAUAAAUCAUGAUAUAAUAUUAGGAACACCUUUUUUAAUUCAAAUUUACCCAUUUUCAGUUAGUCAUGAAGGAAUUUCAAUAAAUAUAAUGGGAAAAACUGUUAUCUUUAGAUUUCUAACUCCAGUAAAACAAAGAGAAUUACAGACAUUACAAACAUCCUCUAUUUACAAAACAAUAAAUAGUAUUACUAAAGUACAACAACAAAUAAAUUAUAUAAAAGAAGAAAAAUCUUAUUUAAAAAUUGAAGAACAAUUAAAAGAAAGUAAAAUGCAAAAAAGAAUUUCAGAAUUAGAAGAAUUAUUACAAAAAGAAAUUUGUGCAGAUAUUCCUAAUGCUUUUUGGGAUAGAAAACAACAUAUGAUUGAAUUACCUUACGAAACAGGUUUUAAUGAGAAAAACAUUCCUACUAAAGCAAGACCAAUACAAAUAAUUCUGAUCUAUUAGAAUUUUGUAAAAAGGAAAUAAAAACAUUAAUAGACAAAAAAUUAAUAACACCUUCAAAAUCACCUUGGAGUUGUGCUGCAUUCUAUGUAAUGAAUCAAGCUGAAAAAGAAAGAGGAGUUCCAAGAUUAGUUAUAAAUUAUAAACCAUUAAAUAAAGUAUUACAAUGGAUUAGUGAAUAAUACAAUAAAUUUAUAAAUUUAGAAUUAAUAGAGGAUACAAUAAAUUAAAGUAACCAUUUUUAUAAAUUUAAUAGAGCUCAAAUGCAAAUAAUACAAUAAAUUUAGAAGACAUUAAAAAAGUUUAUCAACAAAAUAAUUAUACAAAUCAAAUCCUUCAUACAAUUUCUCAACAUAUGGAAGUAUUAAACACAAAAAUAGAUACUAUAAAGAAACCAGAAUUAAAAUUCCCUAAUAAUAUUUCAGCACCUCAUUUUCAACCUAGAAGUUUGACAAGAGAAAAAGAACAAGAUUUAGAUUCAAAAUCAGAAGACAAAGCAUCGGCGAAUUAGUGAGAAAAAGAGAACAAAACACUCUCGUGUAAAAAUCCUUAGACAAAUCUCUCAAUCCCUCUUUCCAACUACUCUUGUAUUCAAUUACUUUUGUUUCCUUCCUUCUCCAAAUAUAAUAAAGAUCAAGGAUUCAACCAUUCAUCAAGCUUCCGUUAUCAAAGGCCACUCUAAAUUUUCAGUAAGUCCAAUUUUUAUACUAAAUUUUCUAUGAACAUUUCAAUAGAAAGUAGCCUGGGUAGAAGUGGUAUCAGAGCCACUUAUCACAUUAUCUUUACAGUGUUAUUAAGGAAAGUAGAUUACACAGUGGGAACAAAAAUAGAAGAAAAUAAAGCCUCAUAUGAACCGAAUCUUUCCCCUUGCUUUUUUUUUCUGGGAAUUUAAAGGUAUAAUGCAAGAAAUAACUCCUGGUCAUGCAAAAUUGCCAACAAAAAUGCGUCUUUGGUUUUUAAUUCCUUAAUAACAUACUAUCCAGCAUACUAUUUAGCAUAAUAACAUACUAUCUCAGAUGCAUCCACUCAAAUAUCCUGGCCGAGAUGGUAUGAGGCCAAUUUUCUAUCAAAAAUAUAGGUCUGUAGCAGGUAAUGACGUUACCUCACUACAACAAAAAUGGCCUUUAGCGGCAUUUAAAGGUGUCAGUAUAGAAAAUCUAACCUGACACUUUAUCUAUCCUGACACCCAUGGCGAGUGUUGUCCCUUCCAAUGUGGGGAUAGCCUCAAAUCUUUAGCAGCAUUCAAAUGUGUCAGGCAAACCAUGCUGCUAUAUCUUUACCUCUGCCAACAAAUCCUUUUUUUGUGAUAAUCGAAAAUGUCUAUAUAGCGUUAGGACAUCAGUAGGGAAUCAGUAGGAUAUCAAAUUUAUGAAGGCAUCUUGAGUUGUCUUAAUAUAUGGUUUUAAGGACACGUAGCCAUGUGAAUUUACAAUGUGUUGGACGACAUGCCCAUUUGUUGUUAGUGUUUUUCGAAGCUAAGCUAUGCUGACACUUUUAAUUGCCAGGAGAAUUUUCCCUGGUUUUUUUUUAUGGAAGCAACCUGCAAUUAGUCCUCCUUGCUGUACAUUCCAUCAACCAGAAUCCCAAGGGACUUGUAAAAUUAUCCCAAAGAGCAGAAUGCAUAUGGCAAUGUAAAAGAAGAAGUCGAUACUCAAAUAUAAUUCAUUGAAUUAAAAGUCGAUAACAAGUACAAACAUAGCAAAUACUAAAACGCAAACAAGUGCUAAAAGCAAGUACUAAAAUAUCAAACCAGUACCGAAAGAUUCUCAUUUACAAUAACUUAAAAGCUCUAUCGGAAGCACAAAAUAAAAGACUCCAUCCCUAAUAAGUUGAAAGAAGUAGAAGUAGCUUCCAAACUUUCCAUUUUGUUGAGAGUCCUCAGGCAUAACCACGAAGUCCCCAUCAUUCUUCAGCUGGUUCCACCUGUGCACAAAGACCAAGGGGAUCAUUAGAUCAUCAUAACUAGAACUAAAAUUCCAGAAAAUCCGCAAUGUAUUUAAGUGCAUAUCUCACCAAAUGACAAGGCCAAGCAACUGGUGCACCAAGUGCAUCUUGAAUCGUUUGUUGUAAACCAUAUGGUCUAAUCAAUUGCUCACGUGGAGUCAUUGCAACUUGUAUCUGUAUUUCACACCAGUUUGGCCCAAGAGCUUGUCCCCCGACCUCAUCCAAUGGAUUCAGACUCCGUAAAUAUCCCUUUGCCACGAUUUUUGUUGGGUCAAACAAACUUUUUAGUGAAACCAUAUUCCCUACCUAGUAAACAUCCAACAAGUACAAGAAUCAAACUCAUGCCAAAUUCCAGAUUACAAAUGCAAAAGUUUAGAAGUUGUAAAUACUUACUCAAAUAGGUCGCGUGGCUCGCGAUGGAGCAUGGCUUGACACAUUGUUAGAUGAUGAUGAAGGAUGUCUCGGGCUGUCAAUUGGAGAGCCCCUUCCAUGUUGAACUAAAACCAUUUUCUUCAAGCUGGCUAUUUCAUCAUCUUGUCGCUGAAGCCUUUCCUCCAAACGGACUAAUGUUGACUGUUGUUGAACACUUAUACGGUAGCAUGUGUUACGACUAGGAAUGUCUUCCCAUAAGUCCGUUGGAUUCACACCGUCACUAAGCAAGCGAACAUGACCAUGUUUGUCUUGCCCAACCACCUGGGCAAAUAUAUCAUCACGACCAACUGGAUCUUGCGAAUCCGAUGGAAGCUGAUUUUUCAGCUCAGUCAUUUUUUCCUACAUAAUAAAGGAAAACACUUGUUAUUGCAAAAGACUGUCUGAAAACAUCCAUGGUAGAAUUGAUAGGCUUGUGUUCUCGGAUCCUUACCAAAUUCUCAGCAACUAUGGUACUUGAUGGAGUUCCAUCGGCAUGGGUAUAAAACUUAUUGAACAUUUCUACUCUAGUAGGAGGUCUUCCCAACUGUUUGGCCUAUAAGAAAUUGAAUCGUUUUAAUUAUAGUUUUAGCAUUUAGCAUAUAAUUAAAAAACAAGCUAACAUAAUGAAACAUGUACGAGCAAAAAAAAUUAGCAACUAAAAAGUGGAUGAGGUAUCACCAAGUGGUUCCGAAGAUGAGCAAAUGACUUUUUUCCGGUUGUGUGGUUCAUCUUCUUCUCCCCUCUAGCUUUCUUGUUCCUCUCACUUAGUUUCUAAAUUUCAAAAUCAAAAGCAAGAUUACAGCAUUGAAUGAACACAACUUUAUGAAGAAUGUUGUAGCUGAUUUGUACCUUUGCUUCUUCACUUUUCCAAUAAGCCCAAAGUUUGAUCCAUUGCUCUUCCCGUACCCUUAUGUCCUUUUGAAACCGAGCUUCAGCAUUUGGCACGGCAGAAUCAAAAUAGUUAGCCUUUAAAUCUGCCUUCCAGCUUCUCCAUUUUUUGCCAAUAGAUCUUAAGGUCCAAGCUUCCAGUCCCAUAGGCAAAGCAAACCUUUCCUGAAACGUAGUUAGCAACAAGAAAAUCAACACAACUUCACAGUAAUUUUUGUACAAAGCAUACAUAAUACAAAAGCUGCCAUUACCUUUAUCACUUCUAACAUGUCCAUUUUAAGUUUCCUUGGCAUCUUAAGCCAUGUUUCAACAUCUAUUGGACAAUACAUACCAUUCCUAGCCAAACUGCCCAAGAAUUCAGAGAAAGAGUUUUUCUCACUUAUUGGGAUCCCAUUGUCAUCGAGUUUAAUCUCAAUCCGUGGAAGUUCCUUAGGCCGACCCCAAAUUUCUUUCAUAAAUAUAGGGCCUCGGGUUUUAUGAUUUACUUCACUUGAAUCAUUUGUAGUUUCUUUUCCUGUUUAAAAUAAGAAAAAGGUGCAAGUUAUGAACAUAACAAAAUGCACUUCUGGAAUUGGUUCAAAACAGUUAGUAAUACCUGCAUUGUCCGAGUUGCAUGACAUGAAGGUGGUGUCACUGGAAUGUGGACCUCGAGAAUCCUGAUUUGGACUUUCUUCAGUUGCUUCAUGCCUUGUUCCAAGUGGAGAUUGUUGAAUUGGAGAGUUCUGGCACUGCUCAUGCGACUUGGAACCUCCAUCAGCUUGUUGAGUAACUUGGUCACCUGAUUCAUGCAUUAUUCCCAAUGUAGAAUUCUGAAUUGCAGAUUGAGGUGCCCGAGCAGCUUCUCCUUGCACUUGUUCAAUUACAUUUUCAUGGCUUGUUCCAAGUGGAGGCUGCUGCCUUGUUUCAUAACAUGAGGGAGGUUGCUCAAUUGGUUCAUCUCUCAAUCCAUUUGCAGCGGCUUACAUUUUCGACCUCUACGGGCCAUACCUGCAUAAUAUUUGAGUGAAGAAAGGGACAAAUGUAAAUGUUUAAAAUUUAUUGAAGCACACUCUCUACCUAUAGUUUCUUUAACUUACAAAUGCUAUUAUAAAGAAGUACUACUUGAACAAUAAACUGGCAUGACAAGUAACAAAUGGCAUUCUGCAAGAAUAAACCAGGGGAAGACUAUGGAGCUGUCAACAGAACAGAGAAACAAAUGGAGAAUAUAUGAUUCAAUGCAGCAACUAAUUGGAAAUGAAAUGAAAGCUACAUGCUUAAGUGACUGCAAGAAUAUACAUGGGAAAUGCUUUGAUCUACAUCCUUUCAGCAUGAAAGAUAUGCAGAAUUUACUACCGCUAGACACGAAACUUUUUCCAUAUUGUUUGAGAAUGAUGCCUAUGAUCAAAAGUUGGUAUGCUUAUGCUCAAUGAGGGUGUAAGUAGAAGAGUCCACGUAAUUUUAACUUCAGUAAUGGAGCAAACUAAUAAAUGAUUGUCUUGAAUUAACGAAAUAUACUUGGCCAUGUGAUAACCAAAAAUUGCAGAGGAUAAUGUAUUCUACCAACAAAUACAAGUCUUGGUUUUGUAUGUUUAGGGUGGCAAUCGGGUCGGUUAUGAAGCUCUACUGAAUACUUUUAUUUCCAGAUUCUGACAUGGUUCUGCAUUUAUCAAGAACUUGUCUCAUCUAAACAAGAGCUCAAGCUUUACGUAGCAUUGACGAUUCCAAACCAAAUUACUUCUCUUUUUGCCAGAGCCACAUCCACAGUUAUGGGUUGACACUUAACAGUAAAUGCACAAACACUUCCAAUACAAUUGUAGCAGUACAAACAAUACAGUUGUAGAACAGGAAGGAGACGAAGAGCAUCACGGUGAAAGACUGAAAACGAGAACCCAUCACCAAAAAUAGAUGGUUGAAAUUGUACAUUCAGUUCACAGUAGCAGUCUCCAUUCGACCAGGCUCACCUAGAAAUGUGCUUCUCAGAAAUGUGCUUUUCACACCGCCACCACCCCAAAAGCUUUUCACACCACCACCACCCCCAAAGCAAACAUUCUACCUAGAAAUGUGCUUCUCAGAAACGGAGAAGGUGCUUGUCAGAGAUGGGAAUCGAAUAGCCUAAAAACUAAAUCUACCAAGCAAUGCAAGAACAUGUCUACCAUGCAAUGCAGAAUUAGACACAAAAUACUGAAAUUACCUCAAACUAUGGCUUGAAUCCCUAAUUUCUCGGUUUCCCAAGCUUUGAAGCCCUAAUCUCUGAUUUCUUCCCACCAAGCCAACACAACAGCCGAAUUAGGGAUUUGCCUGGUGCGAGCUCAACCAAGUUACCCAAAAGGGUGCGAGUUCAUGGACGGCAAUUGACUCAAAUUGGUUGUGCGAGCUUGAAAGAGAGAGAGAGGACAAAGGCAGAGGACAACGAGAGAGGGAGAAGAUGUCUGAAAUAAAGGCAGUACUAAUGACGCCAAAGUAAAUUAGUCAAGCCUCUUGAAUUUUUCAAUUUGCUGCGCUACUAAUGACAAUUUUUGUGUGUUUGGGCAAAAUUUUGUUAAAGCUAUAUAACAACUAAAAAUUUGGUUAAAGCUAUAUACAAUAUAAUAUAACAACUAAAAAUAUAAAGGCUAAAAAUCUUGUUAAAGCUAUAUAACAACUAAAAAUAUAACAAAUAAAAAUUUUGCAAGAGCUAUAUACAAUAUAAUAUAACAAUCAAAAAUUUUGUUACAGCUAUAUAACAACUAAAAAUAUAACAAAUAAAAAUUUUGUUAAAGCUAUAUACAAUGUAAUAUAAUAACUAAAAAUAUAAAAAUAAUUAAAAAUUUUGAGAAGCUAACAAAAAACAUUCUUUUAAUCAAAAUGUUUUCGGUUACUCAAUUUAUUUUAUGCUGCGAGCAAUUAUGUACGGCUUGUAGUCUAACAAGCCAUUGGAAGGAUCGAAUUAGUUUAUGAAACAAGAAAAUUAACUUGUGAAUGCAUGAACUUUCCAUUGAUAAACAUUGGGAUUAGAAUUGACUGAACAUAAACAAUGAAUAUAUAUAUAUAUAUAUUCAAUGUUUUCAAUUCCAAAGCAAUUGCCAUUGAACUUUGUGUUAAUUAGAAACUUACUAUCACUUACAAGAUCUUACUAUUGAACUUUUCAAUGAUUAACCUUAGGCUUACACUUACAACGCAUUAAUUGAACAUAAACAUAUAUAUAUAUAUAUAUAUAUAUAUAUAUAUAUAGGGUAAAAAACAAAAAGGCCCCCUGUGUUAACCUAAUACACAGAAAAGCUCCCCAUGGUUUCAAAAUAUACAACACGAUCCCUCAUGCUUUGAACUAAAUUGUAAAGGUGACGGAAUCCGUUAAACUUAACGGAAAUGGACGAAAUGACCAAAAUGCACUGAUAUAAUUAAGCAAAAGACAGCUCAAAAAAAUCAUUUGUUUCAUUCUCUAAGUAGAGAGAAUUGAGGGUUAAGGGGUAGAAUAUGCAUAUUUGAUAAAAAAUAGGCAUAAAAAUUUUUUUUAGGUUCCAAUAAGUCAUUUCCGUUAAGUUUAACGGAUUCCGUCACCUUUAUAAUUUAGUUCAAAACAUGAGGUGUCGUAUUGUAUAUUUUGAAACCAUAGGGGAUUUUUCUGUGUAUUAGGCUUACCACAGGGGGUUUUUUGUUUUUUACCCAUAUAUAUAUAUAUAUAUAUAUAUAUAUAUAUAUAUUCAUUGUUAAAAAUUCCAAAGCAAUUGCCACUGAACUUUGUGUUAAUUAGAAACUUACUAUCACUUACAAGAUCUUACUAUUGAACUUUUCAAUGAUUAACCUCAGGCUUACACUUACAACGCAUUAAUUGAACAUAAACAUAUAUAUAUAUAUAUAUAUUCAAUGUUUUCAAUUCCAAAGCAAUUGCCAUUGAACUUUGUGUUAAUUAGAAGCUUACUAUCACUUACAAGAUCUUAAUAUUGAACUUUUCAAUGAUUAACCUUAGGCUUACACUUACAACGCAUUGAUUGAAGGAUAAUCUAAAAUUGCGACUAAACCGAUUAAAUUCGAUCAAAGAUCAGUUGGACUAGAAAGCUCUAUCGGAAUUAACUUUUUGUAUUGUUAUUGGUUUAAAAAAUAAUUUUUUCAUGGUAUUAAAAAAUUAUUUAAGAAAUUUAUAGAUUAAAGUUUCAAAAUAUUUCUAUUGAUAAAAAAUUAGACCUCGGUUAUUGGGAAAAAGAAUUGGCCAUAAAAUAAUGAUUCACAAAUGUAAUAUUACAGCUUACAAUUAAUGGAAUUGCUUAUAAAAUAAUGACAAGUAUUUAUCCAGCCCAUUGGGCUCUUAAAAUAAGUAAUGGGUUCCUUGGAAAGUUGGAUAGUUUUAUGUUUGGUCUGAAAUGAUUUGCACAUUCCGUACGUUGCCAAUUGUUCUCCCCAAAUCAUAGCCUCGGUUGCCAAUUGUUCUCAUGCUAUUAAAAGAAAAAUCAUUCCAAUACCAUUUUUAUGAAUAAGACUGACGAUUACUAACCAAGACUAGAAAUCCAAAAACUGGACCAUGGGAGUAUCAAUGAAGAAAGGCCUUAAAGAGGCAAAUUAAUACACAAGUUUUAACUAAUAGCACCAACUCUUUUAUCACAUCUGUCAGAAGGCUUAACAUGACAUCGAGAGCACUAAACUCAAAAAAAAAAAAUGCAAAACCCAUCGACAAAAGGAAAUAAAGCCUAGGCCUCGCAAUUGAAACAGAGAAGAAUAAGGCCAGUAAGCUUUAAAGCUAUAAAAGAUUCUAAAUCAGAUUAUAUUGGGACAAAUCAACUUCAAUCCCAAGUCCAUUCUCACGAACCCAACUAAUUUCCUCAUUUUCAUUCUCAACAACAGGAUUGCCAACAUCACUUUGCAAAUAUGUCUCAACAUCCAUGGUUGUGCCAUGUUAUAUCCAGCUCUUGCAGUGGUAGAGAUAACCACUUGCCAAUCCUUAUCAGUUGGAUCUUCCAUAAAAAACCUGUGAUGCUUGUGAAGCAAGUAUAAAUGGCUCAACAUGAGGCCUCACGUUUGCAAAAUUGACUAAAGUAAACCCAUCAGCAUCUUGUUUCAUUCUCGAACCAUUUGAUAUCCAAUCACAUUCGAAUAACACCACCCGGCGACCUCCGUAAAUUAAUUCAAUCAUAUUUUUCAAGAUGCCGAAGUAAACUAGUUCACUCAAAACUGGAUUUUGAUCCCUUAUACUUGCAAAACUGGAUGUUGUUGCAUUGACUGUAACACCACUAUUCUGCGUUUUUCUUUUCUUCUCAACUUCUUUGGUGUGAAACCGAAAUCCAUUAACAACAUACCUGCCAUGUUGGAUUCCAACAACAUCUGGACCUUUAGUAAGGAACCUCAACUCUCUCAACACCGAAACAUUUUGAGGAAGUUCUAACUUGUCAAUCUGUAAAAAAAAAAAAAAAAAAAAAAAGAUGAAACAAUAUUUGAAGUCCUACAAUUCAAAUUGUACUUAAUAUUCAGAAUUUUACUUACAUGUUCAGCAAACCAACAUGCAAAAUUUUCACUGUGCAAGCGCUCUUUUAGAUGCUGUGGAACUUGAGGAUGUCCUUCUUCUAUCAAUCUACGAUGCUGCCUAGAAGUACAUGAGUCAAAAUUGUAAUCAUACAUUGAAUUCUACAAUAAAAUUUUAAUGCAUCAAGUUGUAGUUGAACUUACUCUAUGUAAGGUGUGACAGCAUCACAGUUAAAUAAAAUACUGAUGUGCUUUACUCAAGAUAUGAGCAUCAAAGACUGUUGGCUUGCCCCUCCCCAAAGGAUGUCCUGAUUCAGAGAAUAUAUCUAAACCAUCUUCAAUUUCCUUAUGUACUUCUUCAUUUCUGCUUGGACGAUUGAAUUUUGUCUCAACAUAGUCCGCAAGAUACAAUGAGCAAAAGUUAAUGCAUUCUUCUGCCAAGUAGCCUUGAGCAAUCGAACCUUCAGGCCUACUUUUAUUUCGAACAUAAGAUUUUAAUGUUCCUAAGUACCUAAAUUAUCAUCAUUCCAAACUCUCUAAUUAGUUCCACAAAUCAAAGAAAGCAAAAAAGGAAUAAACAUUUAAGGCAUAAUGAGAAUUACAAGCAGUACCUCUCUACAGGAUACAUCCAACGAUAAUACACCGGCCCACCUAAUUUCACUUCAAUUGCCAAAUGAACAACUAAAUGCACCAUGACAUCGAAGAAGGUUGGUGGGAAGCAUUUCUCAAGAUCGCAGAGUAUGACGGCAAUUUCACUUUCCAAACGAAACCACAUCUUGAGGACAAAUAACUUUAGAACAAAGCUGCCUGAAGUAUCUACUCAAUCGAAUCAAAGGAUAGCGCACUGAUUUUGGUAAAGUCUUUCUCAAAGCUAUAGGCAUCAAUUGCUGCAUUAGGAUAUGAUUAUCAUGACUUUUAAGCCCUGAAAUUCUUGGUGGUUUUACUCGAACGCAUCUUGAGACGUUAGCUGCAUAACCAUCUGGAACUUUCACCUUUUUUAGCACAUUGCAAAACAUAGUUUUCUGUUUUUUAUCCAUUGCAAAGGAAGAUGGAGGUAAGUACACCUUUCCAGGUUCUGUCUCAAUGGGAUGCAGCUCUUUUCUUAGUCCCAUUUCUCUCAAAUCACGGCGGGAAUUAUAAUGGUCCUUUGUUUUAUCCUCGGUGUCCAGCAAUGUCCCCAAAUGUUUUCACAAACAUUUUUCUCAAUGUGCAUGAAGUCAAGAUUGUGUCUUAAGACAUUAUCUUUCCAAUAUGGCAAGUCAAAGAAAAUACUCCUCUUUUUCCAAUUGAAAGGCAGCUUCGGAUUACCUUUCACAAGUUUUCCAAAUUUAAUUUGCAAGUCUCCCAAUUCACUCACAAUCAUAUCCCCGGUUUGCAAAGGUGGUCGCUUUCCAUGUUCUUCGGUGCCAUCAAAGAAUUGGGCUUGCUUUCUAAAUUUAUGCUUACUAUCUAAGAAUCUCCGAUGACCUAUGUAGCAAUAUUUGAAACUAUGAGUCAACCGUCGUGCAUGAGUGAACUUGUGACAAACAGGACAAGCAUAUUCACCUUUAGUGCUCCACCCAGAUAACAUUGCAUAUCCAGGGAAAUCACUAAUGGUCCACAACAGAGCCGCAUGCAGUUGAAAAUUUUCUUUUUGGGAUGCAUCAUAAGUUUGAAUGCCAAAAUCCCACAAUUCGGUCAGUUCUUUAACUAGAGGCUGUAGAUAAACAUCAAUAUUAUUCCUAGGAGAGGAUGGUCCGGGUAUUAACAAAGACAACAUGAAGUACGGUUGCUUCAUACACAUCCACAGAGGUAAGUUAUAUGGUAUUAAAACUACAGGCCAAGUACUGUGUGUAGAACUCAUGUUGUUGAAUGGAUUAAACCCGUCAGAUGCCAACCCCAAUCUAACAUUUCGACAAUCCUUAGCAAAUUCUGGAUGUAGAUGGUCAAAAGUUUGCCAAGCUGGAGAAUCAGCUGGAUGUCUCAUACAACCAUCUUUUGUACGUUUUGCCUCAUGCCAUCUCAUUUGAGAUGCAAUUUUAGAAGACAUAAAUAGUCUUUGUAAUCUAGGUUUUAAGGGAAAAUGCCGCAACACUUUUGAGGAAUUUUCCUUUUUUCCCCAGUUGGAUCAUUUUCUGAAGCAACCCACCUAAGCUCGUUACAUGUUUCGCAUGAAGUUCUUUUUUCAGCACUACCCCUAUAAAGAGAACAAUCAUUAGGACAUGCAUCAAUCUUUUCAUAACCCAGCCCCAAUGUAUUCAUCAAUUUCUCAGCCUCAUAGUAAGAAGACGGCAAAUUAGUCAUGGCCUCCGGAAAUGCUUCUCUCAACAGCUCAACAAGCAUAUUAAAAAUCUUGUUACUCAUCUUACCCAGGCAUUUUAGGUGAAGCAAACGAAUAAUGAAAGACAAUUUCGAGAAAUUUUUGCAACCAUUGUACAAAUUCUGUUGAGAAUCAUCAAUCAAUUUGUAAAAUUUUUCAGCCUCUGAAACAGGAAUGUCCCCUUCUCUAUUCAAUUCAUUUGUUCCAUGUGGUAUCCCAAAUACAUCAUGGACCAAGUCUUGCAUGUCAUUAGUCCCAUUUGAAAACCCAAUUGAUGUAUUUUCAGAAUUAGAUGUGGCUUCAUUGUAGUUUGAAAGUUCUCCAUGUGCUGUCCAAUUAUUAUAACCCUUGAUAAAUCCUACCACUUUCAAAUGAUCAUAUGCUUCCAUUUUUGUCACACAAACACCCAUGCCACAAUCUUUGCAAGGACACAAAAUCUUUCCGUCACAACUUGAUCUAGAAAAUGCGAAGUUUAGAAACAUUUGAAGUCCUGUCUCGUACUUUUCACUUGUUCUUGGAAAAUCCAUCCAUCUUUUAUCCAUACUUUUAAUAUAAAUAAAUGUCCUCCAACGAGCUUCCAAUAGCCUACUUUUUAAACUCAGGUCGUGGCUUACAAGUCCCUAAUUUCAAGUUCAAGAAUUUCUCAACAAAAAGGAAUUUAUCAAGCAGCCAGCAAAUAAAGGAAAUCAACAAAAUGCAAAAUUUCUCAACAAUCUAUAAAAACAGAAUUUGCAAGUAAGCGGAUAGAAAUUUUAUUUACCUAAUAACAGAAAAAAACCCUUCGUACCAACUCCUGCGCUCACGUCUUCGCAAAAUUCCUAAGUUCAAUCUGAAAUGUCAAUGGUUAAACAAACACAUGAGCAUGAAAACUAAAGGUGAAAUUCAAGAAUUUUACUAAAUUUUCAUCAAAGUAUACAUACAUCUUUGGUGUGUAGUGAUUAAUUUUAUAAGUCAUCUCUUUAGAAAGGCAUGCAAUUGACGGCAUAGGUAAUUGGAAAAAGAAUGACAGAAAAGUCCCCUAGCUUCUAAUCAUGCCUAUGAAGAUCCUUAUGAACAUGUCAAAAUACUUUGACCCAACUACAUCAAUGUCUCUGUCUUAUUAAUCUAAAAGUCCCCUUUUUUGGGCUCAAAAUUUGCACUAUAAUAGACUGAUCAAGUGCAGAAGACACUUAGUACAAGCGUUAUACUAUAUAUUUCAAGCAACUCACGUACUGAUUAGACAUACAAUUUAAAACAGAAAAAUGAUGUAAAGAUGCAAGUACUACAUAGAAUUUAACAUAGAAAAAAGCAAUAGUGAUAUAAGUGAUACCAUUGGGUGAAAUAUGCACUUAGCCGGAGGACCACCUUUGUGGCAAAAGCCAAAAGGCAGCAAAGGUUACCAUUGUUAUGCAAAUUUUGUGCCUCACAUUGGCGGUCCAUUAUCUGCAUCUUAAUUGUCUUUGGGCUUAUAUAGUCACGGUUUCCCAAUUCUGUCACCAGAAUAAUUUCCUGCUAGGCAUAUAUAGACCAUGGUCCUUGUUUCAUUUAUUUAUAUCGAACUUGUUGCUGAGUGUUCAUGAUUACGAUAAGCAAUGCAAUUUGGUUGAAGCUCUCUAUUCACAGUUUUGCUUAACCGUCCCCAUCCCCAAACAGAACUAGCUGCCUAAACAAACUUCAAUUACAGCUAGGUUUCAUAGAAAAAAAUGAAAAACAGGGGGAAUUGACUUUUUAUCGAACAGGUUUUGGGCAACAUACUAAUCACCCGUGGACACUUUAUUAGCUAGCCUAUGUACAAUUAUGGCAUGACGAUAGAACAAAUGUAACAUGGACAUAAAGAUCGAUCUCCUCAAAAAUACGCAAUCCAAUUGAACAAAUUUCCUCAAGUUUUCAUCUCCAUUGCAGCUAAAGAAAAAGCAUCCAACACCGAGUUGCUAUUAAUGCUACAAUUAGAUAGAUAUCAUAUUUAAAUCUUUCAACAAUCUUAAAUGAGGACAAUAUAACUCAACUAGCGACAGCUCAGGCCAAGAAUCUUUACUUCUCAGAAAAAAAUUUCCAAGUUGCAGGUAAUUUCUUGACAACGAAAUCAAACAUAAGAGCUUCAUUGUGUUUACCACUUCGAUUUUGGAACAACAUUUGCGCGCCUGAAGUAUCUUCCAGCUUUCCCAAUGUACAGCUCCGAUCUUCUAAUUUUACUCCCUGCCUGCCCUUCCAGAUGUCUUAGCCGAAGGAUUUAAAGUUGAGGUUAGAAAAGAUGAAGAUGGUUGUUUGCGGAGACAGCUUGACCAACAUUCUGGAUUGGCUGAGAUAGAUUGUAUGCGGAGAGGUGAGAGAGAUGAGAAGAAGAAAAUUUUCACCAAGUCCUUUUGCCGGCAAAAUGAAACUUCAGAGUACUUUACCAAGUGUCUGGAGCCAAAUUAAAACGAUGUCAUUUUCUGUCUUUUUUUUUCUCACAUUUUCCCAAGUGUCAUGAUAGGUAGUCUAAAGACACAUUAUUAUUUUAUAUCAUGAUAAAAUAAAAAAAUUAUAGUACAGAUUAUUGAGUUGGUUAAUAAGUGUCAUGAUACGUUUGGUAUAACGACACAAACCAACAAGUGUCCUUAUAAACAUGUCAGAAAAGGCCAUUUUUGUUGUAGUGCCUGUUGCGUUUUGAAUUUCUUAAAUAAAGGUCUUCUCUUACCCCCAAGCUAAAUUUCACACACGUUGCUCUUAUUCCUAAAUAUUUAGAGCCCAAGCAAGCAAAUAUCUCAAUUCCGUCCACUAAGUUUAUGUAAUGUAGUGUACAAAUUAGCGUCUAAAGCCAUCUCUAAUCGAGUCCGUGUUCUUUUACCGAAUAUUAUUUCUGAUCUCAAUCGGCUUUUAUUCCUGGCCAAUUAAUCACCAGUAAUGUCCUUGUUGCUUAUGAAGUCCAUCAUUAUCUUAAAUGUAAAAAUGCAGGCAAGGAGGAACUCAGGUCGAUUAAAAUGGAUACGAGCAAAGCGUAUGAUCGAGUUGAGUGGAUAUUUCUCUUAAAAAUAUUACUAGCUUUAGGUUUCAAUUCUAAAUUUAUUUUCUUAAUUUUCAAAAGUAUUUCAACAGUUUCUUAUUCUUUUUUGCUCAUCGGUUUGGGAUUUGGCCACUUAAAACCUAGUUGGGGUAUUAGACAAGGAGACCCACUUUCCGCAUAUCUAUUUAUAUUGUGUGCAGAAGCUUUUUACAUUUUAUCUCAGAAGCUAGUCUUUGUGGAAAGUUGGGAGGCAUUGCUGUUGCGCCUGGUGCUUCAUCCAUUUCUCAUUUGUUUUUUGCCAGAUGAUACUCUUUUAUUUGGAAAGCUACAGGGGAGGAGGCUUCAAAUUUUAUGCAGGUUAUCAAUCUUUAUGAAGGUGCAUCAGGCCAGCCGAUUAAUGUGGAGAAGUCAGUGGUGGUAUUUAGCAAGAAUACUCCAGAAGCUGAUUAAUUGGCAAUUGAAUGUGCUCUUCGAAUGCCGCCUGUGGAAUCACAUGAAAAGCACCUCUGGGGUUGCCUACUAUCGUUGAGAGAUCUAAAGGUGAGGUCUUUAAUUCUAUCAAACAAAGGGUUUUUAAACGGAUUAAUGGAGCAGCAGUUAUCUCGAGCAGGAGAAGAAAUUUUAUUGAAUGUCCCUUGUAAAGUUAAGCAUUAUCUCUGGAGAAUUUGCUGUGAUUUCUUGCCUACUAAAGUAAAUCUGCUCCGGAGAAGAGCUUCAGUGGAGCUCAACUGUCUGUCUUGUGGUUUUGAUAUUGAGGAUCUUAUUCAUGCAAUUUCUUUCUGGGCGUUAAGCUGCCUUAAAGGGCAAGUACGUAAGUGGCAGCAAUCAAUUCCCAAAGAGUGGGCUCUGGAGUUGUUAGUUACGUUGAAAAAUCGUGAAGCAGAGUUGUUUGAGAUGUUAUGUUGGGCUAUUUGGCUUGGGAGGAACCAAAAGCUGCAUGAAGAUAAACGAGUGGACCCUUUUGAGUUUAGUUAGCUUUGCUUCGGGUGCGCUCCAAUAAUUCCAAGAAGCUAAUGUUACUCAGAAAUGUCCAGGCGAUGGCAAGUUAAAGUUUAAUUUUGACGGUGUGGUGUUUAAGGAAACUCAAUCUAUUGGUUUAGAUGACGGUGCGGUGUUGAUUUAUCUAGUUUAGACCCUCCAAUUUUUGACAUUACGAGGGACUUAACUAGUUUAGAGAUGUCUAGUAUUUCAGGAAUGAGUAGGAAUCAUAAUAAAAUCACUCAUAUAUUAGCUAAGAUCGCAGAAUUCAUAUGUGAUCAUGUCUUUUGGUGGAGAGAUCUCCAGAGUUUGUUGUGCCAUUUCUAAUGGCGGAUUUGUUAGAAAGUUAAUGAAAGUUCAAUACAGGUUAUGUUGAGUAAGACGUUGGAUUGAAAAUUCAAGAUUUUGAACUGAAAUUUCAAGAUUUUGAGAUGAAAAUAAAAGAUCACGCUAAACUUAAUGGAUUCAAAUCUUAAUAUGUGCAAAUGCGUUUGAUAACCAAAAUUGGACAUCUGAAUUAAUUAAGUGCUACUGAAUUUUCUAAACGAAAUUUGUUCUAAAAAAUAAGUGAUAAACUAUGCAUUUAUUACUGAAUGUGAUAUACACUUAAAUAUACUUGAUUUAAUACUUAACAAUCUAAUAAAUUAAUGGACUCAGAUUUUAGAUUUCAAUUUUAUCAAAGUAACCUAAAAAUAUAGACUAUAGAUAAAAUAACUGCAGAUAAUGAUUUAUGUUGAGUAAGCUUUCAAAGCUACGUUUCCCAAAACAAACUUUAGAUAAUCAUUCUCUAAUUUUUGCUUUCACUCUAGAAGAUGCGUACAAUAAUGGGUGUAUACAAAAAUGGAAGUUAAAUUGAUAACACUAAGCUCGCCAAUUCUCAUAAAAAAAAUGAUGACAUUGCCUGCAUUAAUUCUAGUAACGGACUGAAGACAAUAAUUAAUAGGUGACUAUAUGGUGCCUAAGGCACACAAUAAAAUGUGGACUUGGUACCAUUAUUUAUUUUUGUGAAAGGAUAAACCUAUUUUGUAAGGUGUCGCAAUUCAUCAUCAUGAAAUGAGUGGUAAUUUUAAAGCAUUAAUAGUGAAUUCACCUUCAUUUUUAACGUUCAUAUCGCAAAGCCUAUUAAAAAAUUUCCACCAGCACAAAUUCCACUUUUAAUAGGUUCGAAAAUUCACUCACAAAUUUAUCCACAAAUCCCAUUAACAAAAAAAAAAAAGAAAAUGCAGAAAGUUAUCAACGGAACUUCUAUAGUGCGUUGAUGCGACACGUGUUGGUUGGAGAUUACUAGAUGGGAGUGGGGUUAAUCAAAGGUGGUAUUUUAGUAUUAAGCCCAAAAACCACCGGUAACAAUGGUAUUGACCCAAUUUCUAGAGGAAUUGACCCACAUAAACUGUGAAAGAUUAUUUUCUCUGUCAUUUAAGGCAAUUUCUGAACAAGAUUUAGGCGUAUAAUAAAGAAAUUAUCAACCCCCAACCCCCAAUAUUAUGCUAAUAUGCAAUUGGAAAAAAUUAAAUGAAUAUUUACUUGAAGUUAAGAAGUGGAUACCAAUCGUAGAAAGUGUUUAUAACAUACUCCGAAAUGCCAAAGGACUUCCCAAAAAGUGGGAAGCAGGACAACAUCUGAAAUAUAGUCCAAGUUUGAAGUGCUUUAUGUCAAACAUAUUUCAAUAUAGAAAAAAAAAAAUUACUGGUUAGCAUAUGUUUGUGCGCAGUAUUUGUUGAUUGGGAGACGGUUCUAAGGAGGCGGUUUUGCAACAAAUAAGUAAACGGGAUGUCGAUUACUUGGAGUUGUAUCUUAUGCUGGAAAAAUAAUUAGACAUGUCAGUUAAGUAAUAUUUCAAUUUAAAUAAAGUUAGUUAGGAACUAGAACUCGUAACAUGGUUGGAUAUGGUUAGUGAAUAGGAUAUGAAUGUUGGGGGAUAGAAUACAACUAGAAUUACUAAGACAAAUUAAGCGUGACACUUUGAAUUCAAAUUUUACUAACAUUGCAUAAUAACACCUUUGACUGAUAAUUUUUUUUGAUACGGAAACUGGAAAAAUUUUAUUAAGAAGAGGAUAGAUCCGUAUUAAUUGCGAAAGAAAGAAAAAAUGGUGGAGAAAAUCUCCAACUAUAAAUACCUGAAAUAGAACUAGCAUUACUAUCUAAGAAAUGAGCAGGCACAAUUAGAUUCCUAGGAAUCCAAUCAGCCUCCCAAGUAAUGAAAUUCUGUAAACUAACAAAGAUAUCAUCUAACAGCACUCCAUAAGCUGAAUCAUCGGAUUCCAUAUUUUUAAGCAUGUUGAUGAUCUUCAAAGAGUCACCCUCUAAAACAAUCUUAGAACCUUCAACUGAAGUAACGAGGAAAUUGCAGAUAUUGCAGCAUAAGUUUCAGUUACUUCAGGAGAAAAGAUACCUAAGAUUUUGUGAAAAAUACUAGCAACAAAUUUGCCCCAUUCAUUCCUCACAACAAUUCCAACUCUAAAGUUGUCGUCUUCAUAGAAUAUUGCACCAUCGAAGUUUGCACUGCACCAUCGAAGUUUGCCUUUAGAAAUCUUGCAGAGGGCUUUAUCCAAUGAAGUUGAGCAGUGGAAGAGCAUAUUGGAAUGUUUGGAAAUGUGUUUAUUUCAUGGUAUUUCUAUAAGAAAUUGAUAGAGAGGGAGAGACCAAACUGAGAGGAUCACGAUAGAACCAUCAAAUAAUGCAUCAUUUCGGUUAAACCGUAGAUUCCAAAGAAUUAUGGCUACCAAUUCCAUGUCCUGCUUUUUCAAAAGAUGAAGGCCAGACAACCGAGACGAAACUUGAUCGGUAGAGUCUAAUCUUAUCUUUAGUGUAAGAAAGCUAAGGGCCCAAGGUUGAAUUGCUACUGACAGCACAAGAAAAGAUGAUUAACAUCAUCAAUAGGGGCCUUACAUAAAGAACAAGUAGGAUCAAAAUAGACUCCGCGACUAUUCAACUUGGAAGUUAUAGGUAGAAUGUCUUUGCAAAUUCACCACAAGAAUAUUUUAACUUUACUUGGUAUGUUGAGUUUCCACAAGCAGGGCCAAAUAUCAUCCAUAGAACCAUUACUACAUGAAGCUACAUCUUGUCAAUUUGUAGAUUAUAUUUUGAUAAGAUGAUAGGCAAUUUUCACUGUGAAGGAGCCAUUUUUAGAAUAGUGCCAAAUGAGCUUAUCUUGAUUUCGUCUAUCACCCAAUGGAAUACUCAUAAUCAACUCAAUCACAUCUAAGGAUAGCAACGGGGGCGGUGCCCGGGGGGCUAUUGGGGCAGAGGUUGGGGCGGGGGGAAUUUUUCCCCCCAUUUAGAAACGGGGCAGGGGGCCCACCCAUUUGGAAAAAAAGAGAGAUAUAUAUAUGUACAUAAUUAUAUAUAUAAUAGUAUUAUCAAUUAUACAUGUCUAUUAAUAAAAAUUAUUAAUUAUUUAUACUAAAUUUAUUAAUACAUUUAUAUUAAAUUCCUAACUACACUUAAUACAAUAACACUUUUUUUCUAAAAAAAAACAAAUAAUAAUUUAGUGAUUGUAUUUGUAUCAAAAGUAAAAAUAAUUAUUUUAGUUAUAUUUGUUUUAUCAUAUUAGAUCGUAUUCAAAUAACUUUUGUUUAAUUAUUUUUAUGAGUUUCAAUUGUGAAGUUAUAAUGAAUAAUAAUUUGGUGAUGUGUUGAUAUUUUAGUACUUGAUUACUUGCUCAAAUUUAAUUAUAAUAAAAUUAUAUAAUAAUUUUUUUAACCCCGCGGGGGAAGCGGGGCGGGGGCGGAGGAGGACGGACGGGACGGGGGGAAUUAAUAGGCAACGGGGCGGGGGGGGGGAGGGGCCACCCUAAUCACAUCCUGCCAAAAAAGCUCUUGAAGCAAAUCAUAUUUCCAUUUCCUGCUAUUUUCAUCAAUUAAACAAUCUAUAGUGGAGAUUUCUAGUAGCACAUCAAAACGAGAUAUAAUUUUGAAAUUAGAAAGACGUGGAAUCCACCUCUCUUUCCAAAUUUUGAUAUGAUUCCCGUGUCCAUCUCACCAUCUACUACCAAAAACACCUUUGAUUGAUAAUUAAAUAGUUAAAAAAUAUAUCUACUUAAUUUGUUUACUCAAUAGUUAUGUGAACUAAAACAUAAAAAAGAAGGUCAAUUAUUAUAUUAGUGUUAUAUUUGUAAUAUUAGUUCCCUAUAUAGUAGGUUGCCGAGUUGGGCAUAUUUAUAUUCUACCAAGUAAAUGCCCUAUCUUUUCGAAACGUGGCAAAAAAAAUUGUGUUUGUUUUUUUGGUAGAUUUCAUUCUUUUUCUUUUUGGUAACAAUUAAUUUACUAUUCAUUUUCACUUCAUUAUUUAUAGUAAAUUUCAAUCAAUUAUCAAUUACUUACCUUAUAUGCAUUUCUAUUAAUUAUACCUUUAUUUUUUUAAUCAACUUAUAGCUUUCCUUUUUAAUUAGGCACUCGUUAAUAUAUGUCUUAGGUGUUAAAUUUUUAGAAAUAUAAGAUGAAUUAGGGAGAGCAUAUAAAUGUAAGGGAAUUAAUUAGAAAAAUAUAUAAAUAAAAGAAAAAGUAGUAAUAGUUGCGUAUAUAUGUGGCAGGUUAGGUGGAAUGCAGGUGUGUUAACGAUUACCCAUAGGGCACCCAUUAGAAAUACUCAUCAAAAUUUGGAUUAAUUUUUUUUCCUUUCAUUGCAAUCAUUACUACCAUUUUUCCUAUCAUUUAUUACUAUACCUUCAUGUUUCUAAAUACCAAUAAAUGUAUUACUCUCUUACUUUUUAUUUGAUUGUGCUAAUUAUAGCUUUCCUUUUACUUAAUCAAUUAGUCAAUCGAUCAAUCAACCCAUGAUUUUAAUUCUCUUUUCAAUCGCACGAUCUUUCUUUUAUCCAUCAUUAGGGAGAUUUACAAUUUAGUCACAUAUUUGUUAUGUGUACAAUAAUUAUGCAAUCAUAAGCACAAACUAAUGCAAUUCUAAUAAUUUUGCAUAUAUGCAUUCAUAUUGUAUUGCAACACCUUUAAUAAUUCAUUAUAUGGUUACAAAAGCCAAAAAAAAUCUAGUAUUACCUAGACCUUAGAUAGUCCCCAAUGUAUACACUGAUACUGUAUAAAUGAUUUUAAACCCGUUAAUAUAUAUACUGAUUGCAUAUGAAGAUUCAUCCCUAAUUUAGACCUCUUAGAUAGUUUGCAUGCAUUAUAUUCCCUUUUUUUAAUUUCUUAUUUAGUUUACCUUAUUACCAUUUAUGAUUUUUUUUUAAUUUAAGCAACAUCUUCCAAUAUUUUAUCACCAUUUUAAGUUAGUUCAUUUUUAGGAGAUAGUAGUAUAAGUGUGGUAGUUUGUCCAAAUAACUUUGAAUAUGCAUAUACAACCCAAAAAUAAAAUGAUAGUUGUUUAUAUUCUUAUCACUCAACGAUGAUAGUGUUAUGUAAUUUAAAUGAUUGAGAUCUAUUGCCAUCCAAAUAUAAAUUUAUAUGAGGGUAUGAUAACUAAAAAUGACUAUAGAAUCUCCCUAAAUACUAAAUAAUGCGAAUAGAGAUAUUCCCUCAAAAACUUGUAAAGUACUUAAUGUGUAUACGGGUAAAUUCUUGCAAUAGUGAAAGGAAAAUAUCUUACUAGCCUUGAAAUUUUGGCCCGUGUAUUGACUUUUGUUAGCUAAAUUAAACUAUCUUGGAGUGAAGACAUAAAAUCUGCGGCAAAUUUGAGAGAGUUGUGAACAUAGCUUAUUAGCGUACACAUUUUUUCCGAGUUUGAAUUCUCUCACUUACUUACUGACAAAAAGAAAAAACUAUCGUACAUUUAACUUCCAACUAACAAUGAUGUAUAGGUAAUAAAUUAUAUGCAUGGGAUAUUCCCAUAAAUAAAUGAAAUAUAUUUACACGACAAAGAGUAAAUUCUUAAAUUAAGAAGAAAUAAUAUUAUAGUAGCUGUCAAUUUGUUUAUAUGACUUUUUGGUUUGUCUUUACUCAUGACAACCAAUUAUGUUAUUUUGAUGUAAAAAUAUCCAAAAACGGUUGAAUACAAUGUGGGACAUUAUUAUUAUUACUCGGAUACCUCAAUAUUUAUAAAAUUGAUUAAAUUGGAAUCCAUUUGGAUUUAACAGUAUUUUGAAAAAACUAUUUUUGUUGUUCAAGUCUAUAGUAAUAAACUUUAAAAAUAACCUCAAAAAUAAUUUAAAAAUACAACAUAUCUCAAAUACAUUAAAAAAUAAUUAAAAAAUUUCCCUAAUUCUUCUUCCCCACCUACCCACUACAACCACCACCACUACCCAUCACUGUCCACUACCACCACCAUCACCCCACACCCAUGACCCUUCUUCCUCUCUCCUCUCUCUCUUCUCCCUCUCUCUCUCCUCCUCCUUUCUCUUAUUCUCCUUCUCCUUUCUCCUUCCUCCUCUGCCUUGUCUUUCCUCCCUUCUCCCUUCCCUUUCCCACCCCCUAAUCCCCCCUUCCCUCUACUGACUGUGGCCUUCUUGGUCUUGACCAGAAAGGUUGCAGCCAGAAGCCACUAGUGUUGCAACCAAGGUCACAGAUGGAGUCGCGGUUACCAUCCACGAUUGGGAGAGGUUUGAGGGUCAGAAACGAGAGGGACGGGGGAGAGAAGGAGAAGAAAGAGGAGGGAGAAGGAAGAGGAAGGGGAGAAUGAGAGGGAGAAGAGAGGGAAAAAGAGGGAGAGACAAGAGAGGAGAGAGGGGGUAACGGCGGUGAGUGGUGGUGGUGGGUGGCGUAAAAUUUUUUAAAAAUACCCCAAAAAAGUUGUAAAUUAUAAAAAUAUCCCAAAAAUGUAUUUUAAAAAGCCCUAAAAAUACCUUUAAAAAACCCCCCAAAAACAUCUAUAGUACAAGUUAUUUAUAUAUAUAUAGUUACCGUAAAGUUUUUAAAAGAUACCCCAAAAACAGUUAGUCCAAAUGGAGUCUUGAGUUUUGAGGUUAAGGUUCAAUGAUUGACCACAAUUUAGGUCAAAGUAAAACUUGGCCGAAAGUUUAGUGGGUAAAAUAUAAUUUUAAAAAUUAAUCAUCUUCCCUGAUCCUCACAGUUGCAAUGGUGAACUGUCAGCCCCUUAGGACGUGUUCCAGACGGAACGCGCGCAACCGUGGUAGAUUUCGGUCACUCAUGGUCAAGUUGGAAGGCUGAAGGUGAACUGGUUGGGAAAAACUUGGACACAUGUUUGAUGAUGUAUUCCAUGCCUAUGUAUGGGUUUGGAAAAGUUUCAGGGCUAGGAAAUGUCUCUAAAUUAGUGGGGAAAUGAGGGGUGGCUUUACUAGCGGUCCGAAAUUUUUAGCUAGGACUACUAUAGAGAGAGAUAACUAUAACUAAGCCAAGUCAAUGCCAAGGGCUGGGGUUUAUGGGUUAUUUUGGAUGGUUCCAAGCAUUUGGAGCUGUGGUGCCUAAGUUGCUAAGUGUUGGGCAAGUUGGGCACGGAACUAAGCAAAUGGCGAGAAGCUGGGUGUGCGAAACUGUGUGACCAUUGCCUGUGCGCUCCAAAGACGAACGUUGGGACUGUCUGGCAGUUGCUAGUCGUUUGCUGGAGUUGCGGACGGUUAUCAGUCAACUCAGACACGUUCUUAUCGGUUUCUGACUUCAUGUACAUUCGGGUCGGACCAACGGUUGGGUCUUGUCAACUAUAACAAUGCAUAUAAAUAAAUGGCUAGGUAGGGACUAAAGGCAGAUAGUGAGAAACACCCUUAGAUGUUCUGCACGCUAAAUGUUUGUAGAAUUGUCCUUGUAAUCUCUAUAGUGAAAUACAAGGUUGGCCGUUUGGUUGUAACUUGUGCGUGUUGUUCCUUUGUUUUUGCCUAAGUAUUCUAUGUUGAAUACUUGUAUGCAAGUGUCAGUGUAAGGGCUGACUGGAAGCGCGGCUUAUCAAUGCCAUUACAUGCUUGUUAGGCUAGUGAGCGAAGCGUAAACACCUCGUAAUAGUUUGGUAUCAAAGCACGGCUUUGAUCUAUUAGACUGUGCUUCUGUUAUGUGUUUUGUUGGUUAAUGAUGGUUGGACACAGGAAUUCUGUUGCAAUGAUUGGAAUGGUUGCAAUGUUAGGAACUUGCAUUCGAGGACUUGAUGCAGUGUCUAGGAGAUGGCCUAGAAGGCUUCAAUGUCAUAGAAGUUCUAUUGCAGACUAGAGAGAUGAUCAACACCCUGACUGCACAGAUGGAUGAAACCAGGCAGACAGUUUCUUCUGUUGGGAUGUUGAGAUGCUAAGGAAUGAAAUGACUGCGUCCCAUGCAAAGAUCGUGGCUUUACAAUCGAAGAUCAAUGUGUUAAAAAGGCAGUCGGCUCUUGUAACACACAGACCUUUCAAAAAUCUUCGAAGGGAAAGUGAAAGUCCUAGAUCCGAAACCAUACCAAGGUAGUAGGAGUUCGAAGUAUUUGGAAAACUUUUUGUGGGAUUGUCGAGUAGUACUUCAAGGCUAUUGACAUUCCUGAAGUAGAGAAGGUGUCAAUUGCAUCAAUGUGUCUUAGUGGUGAUGUAAAGUUAUGGUGGAGAACAGUGCAAUCAGACCUACCAAACCCAAGAUCGGCACUUGAGAAGUACUGAAGGAGGAAUUGAAGAAGCAAUUCCUUUCCACGAAUGUUUAAUGAAAAGUUAGAGGUGUAUUGUGAAACUUAAAGGAGAAUAAGAAAGUACAGAGUACGUUACAGAGUUCCAAGCCUUGAUGUUAGAUGUAAGGGAAAUGUCUGAGGAAGACAGACUCUACAUCUUCAUCCAUGGACUUCAACCGUGGGUACAGAUGGAGUUGCGGUGAUAAAAUGUUCAGACCGUGUCUCAAGCACUUGCUACUGUCGAGAAGUUGAUAGACUUCAAGUCCAUAGGAUCCAAAAGUGAAAAAAAAAGAAGGCAAGGAUAAGGCUAAGGGCUCGAAAGGUGGUCAAUUCUCAAAAAGAAUAAAAAGAAGCAGACAGUACAACGACCGAAACUAGCGGUGCUUCCUCUUCUAAGAAGAAGCAAACAUCCAACCCUAAAAAGGAUGGCUGCUAUACCUGUGGAAGACCACACUUAACCUGCAAUUGCCUCAAUAAGAAGGACCAGAACGUUAGUGCCUUAGUGGCAGAAGACAAUAGUGACCAGUUGGAGGUCCAGGAUGCACGGGUCAACCCCAUGUAAUUCUUGAACGCCAUCACCGAUACUAAUGUCUGUACUCUUUACAAUGGUUUGAUGUAUGUGCAGGUUACAUUGAAUGGUAACCAUAUAUUGACGAUGGUUGAAAUGGGAGCAUCAUAUAGUUCUAUGAUGGAAAAAGUGAUGAGUCGGUUCCGGUUACAGUUGAAAGACUUGGGUUUCAAAAUUGAAGGCUGUAAACUCUGAAACCAAACCAGUGCUAGGCAUGGCGACCGUAGAUUUAGAGUUGGAGCCAUGGAAGGGUUGGUGCAAUUUCAUGGCAAGUCAAAUGGAUGAUUUUGACUUGAUUCUAGACAAAGAUUUCAUAGUUGCAAAUAGGAUCUAUCCAAUUCCGCACUUGGAUGGCGUCAUGGUGAAUGAUGGCUAGAGUCCAGGCUUUGUUCUUGUAGUAAAGUUGCAGAAACAAAAGAACAAUCAACAAAAGAACAUGGUAUCAACGAUAGAGAUUGAGUCAUAUCUUCUGAGGCGGUGAAGUUGUGUAUAUUGCUGCAUUGGUGGAAACCAAACCUAACAUGUACCAGGAAGUACCUAACGCCAUGGCCCACGUUCUAGAGAAGUUUACAAUAUCAUGCCUACAAGUUUUCGAGAUAGCUUCCUCCAUCCUGUGCGUGGAACACAAGAUCGAGUAGGUUCCAAGAGCCCAACCACCUGCCCAAACUCCUUAUCGCAUGUCCCCGAUAAGUUGGCUGAGUUACGAUACCAACUUAAUGAAUUGCUAGAUAGCCAAGCGCUGAGACCGUCAAAGUAUCCGUACAGUACUCCAGUGUUAUUCCAGAAGAAGGCUGACGAAACGUGAGGUUCUGUGUAGACUAUUGUGCCUUGAAUAAGAUCACGAUAAAAAACAAGUACCCAUCCCAAAUGUGUACAACUUGUUCGACGAGCUAGUGAUGACACGAUUUUACACCAAAAUUGAUUUGCGGUCUGGGUACUGGCAAGUCUGAAUAGCCCCAGGAAAUGAGGAAAAGACGACGAUAGUGACGUGGUAUAAUUCAUUUGAAUUUCUCGUUAUGCCAUUCAGUUUGACGAAUGCACCUGCUACCUUUUGUGGACUAAUGAAUGAUGUCUUGUACGAUUUUCUUGAUAAGUUUGUCGUAGUGUACUUAGAUGAUAUUAUUGUGUAUUUGAAAUCCUUGAAGGACCAUAUAGAUCAGAGGGUAAUAUUCUGCAAGUUGAGGAAUACGAACUCUAUGUAAAGUAAGAAAAGUGUGAGUUUUACAGGGAGCAAAUCACUUUUCUUGGCCAUGUAUUGAACAAUGGUCGGAUCCAGAUGGAUCGCAGGAAGGUUGAGGCGAUUCUUGACUGGCUUGCACCCCAGAAAGUCGCAGAACUAAAGUCAUUCGUUGGUUUGGCCAACUACUACAGGCACUUCAUCUAGGGAUACUCAAAGAUGACCUACUAAAGAAGGAUAGACCGUGGCUGUGAGAUUAUGAGUGCGAAGAUGCAUUCAGAAUGCUGAAAAUAGCGGUUGCUUCUGUGCCAGUGUUGCAACUUUCAAAGCUUUUGAAGUGCAUACUGAUGCUUCAGAUCGUGCGAUUGGAGCGUACUUAUGCAGGAGAAGCACGGAUUGCAUUUGAAAGUAAAAAGCUAAAGAAUGCGAGCAAAGAUAUAGUACGCAUGAGAAAGAAAUGACAGUUGUUGUACAUUGUCUCAAGAUAUGGAAGCACUAUCUAUUAGAAACCAAGUUUGUGGUGGUGACUAAUAACAUGGACAAUACUUGCUUCAAGACACAGAGAGAGUUGACCCCGAAGCAAGCUCGUUGACAAGAGUUUCUGGCUGAAUUUGACUUUGACUGGAUUCAUAAGUUAGGAAGGGAGAAUGCAGUGGUCGACAUACUUAGUAGAAAGUAUGUCGAAGAAUACAUUGUUGUGCUUAGCACUGUUGAGACGGACUUCAGGGACAGAUCAAGUGGGAGUCCCCGAGUGACCCAGUUUAUCAAAACUUGGUGUUCGUGAAGUCAAAGUUCGUCGUUAUUGGCUGGAGGAUGACUUACUAUUUUGCCAAUAGUGGUGAAGCAUAUGUUCCAGCAGGAGGGGGACUUAGGCGACAGUUACUACGAGAGACUCACAAUGCUUCUUGGAUUGGUCAUUCUGGAGUUGAACGAAUGCGGGCAUUAUUGUCGCGUAGCUUCUAUUGGCCAAAGAUGGAAGAGGAUAUUGAAGCAUACGUGAAAACUUAUCUUGUUUGUCAACACGACAAGAUGAGAGGAAGAAGGAGCCAGGCUUGUUGCAGCCUUUGCCGAUCUCUGAUCGACCAUGGCAAUCAGUUUCUAUGGACUUCAUUUCGAGAUUCUCUAAGGUCGAUGGUAUGGCUUUUGUCUUUGUAAUUAUUGACAGAUUUUCUAAGUAUGCUGUGUUUGUUGGUGCACCAAAGGAGUGCUCGGUUGAUGUUGUCGUUGAGUUAUUUUUCAGACAUGUUAUGAUGUAUUUCAGAUUACCCAAAGAUAUCAUAAGUGACAGGGACAUGAGAUUCAUAGGUAGAUUUUGAACCGUGAUGUUCGGGUUGCUAGGUUUCGAACUGAAGUUCUCAACUGCCGCAUACUCUUAGACCGAUGGACAAACGGAGAGGAUCAAUAUCUUGCUAGAAGAAUACUUAAGGCAUUACGUGACGACAAGUUAGAAAAAUUGGCUGGAGUUGCUGGAUACUGCAUAGUUUUACUACAACCUGCACAAGUUAUUCGUAACUAAGUUGAGUCCAUUUGAGUUAAUGAACAGGCAACAACCUCUGACUUCACCUGAAGUUGCUCUUCAAGAGUUAGUUUGUUGAUGACACAACAACGCAUGAAGAAGUACGCAGACCAACAUAGAUCGGACUUAGAGUUCCAACUGACUCCCCAGAUUUGAAAAAAAGUAAAUAACAAGACAGUCCAUCGUGGGAUCAUCCCUGAGUACAAUAGACCAUUUGAGGUAAUCAAGAAGGUGGGUCAUAUAGCUUAUCGUUUGAAACCACUUGACAAACUCAAGAUCCACCUGACCUUCCAUGUGAGUUUUCUGAAACCCUUUUACCAAGACGAGAUGGAUGGAGGACGGAGGCAAGCAAAGUGUGCCUGCACAGUGAUCCGCAAGCAAUUCCAGAAUGAUGUGAAGGCUUUGCUGGAUUACAGAAUGAUGGGACAAAGAAAAAAGAAUAGAUGGACAAACUAUCUGAUCCAUUGGAACGGUGAAACAAAAUUAGAUGCUACUUGGGAACGGAUGUUACCUUGUGACAGUUUCAAGAUAAGAUUGCUGAGUACUUGAAGAACGUGCGAAAGCAAACCAAGUUGACGAGGGCGUCAACCUCUUCAGGUGGGGUGGUUUAUCAGCCCCUUAGGGUGCGGUCCAAACGAAAAGUGCACGACCGUGGCAGAUUUCGGCCGAUCAUGGUCAAGUUGGAAGGCCGAAGAUAAACGGGUCGAGAAAAGUUUGGACACAUGUUUGAUGAUGUUUUUCAUGCCUAUGUAUGGGUUUGGGAAAGUUUCAGGGAUAGGAGAUGUCUCUAAGUUAGUGGGGGAAUGAGGGGUGUCUCUACUAACGGUCCGAAGUUUUUAGCCAGGAAUACUAUAUAGAGGAAUAACUGUGACUAAACCAAGUCAAGACCAAGGGCCGGGGGCCGGGCCAAGGGUGUGGUACGACUAGACUUUGUGGGUUAUUUCAGAUGGUUCCAAGCAUUUGGAACCGUGGUGUCUAAGUUGCUAGGUGUUGGAGCAAGUUGGGCACGAAACGUAGCAAAUGGUGGGAAGUUGGGCGCGCAAAAUCGUGCGACCGUUGCCUGUGCUUGCAAAGACGAACGUUGGGACUGUCUGGCAGCUGCUAGCAGUUGUUGGAGUUGCGGAAGGUUACCAGCCAACUCAGACACGUUCUUAUCGAUUUCCUAACUCAUGUACAUUUGGGUUGGACCAAUGGUUGGGUCUUGUCAACCGUAACAAUGCCUAUAAGUAAAUGGCUAGGCAGAGACUAAGGGCAGAUACUAAGAAACAUCCUUAGAUGUUCUGCACGCCAAGUGUUUGUAGAAUUGUCCUUGUAAUCUCUAUUGUGAAAUACAAGGUUGGCCGCUUGGCUUUAACUUGUGCGUGCUGUUCCUUUGUUUUGUCUGAGUGUUCUACGUUGAAUACUUGUGCACAAGUGUGAGUGUGAGGGCUGACUGGUAGUGCGACUUACCAGUGCCAUUACGUGCAUGUUUGGCUAGCAAGAGUAAACACCUCGUAACACGAACACUGGUCGCCCAUCUUCAACCACCAUCUAACACUUCUUUUCAAGAUCAAUUCUUGCCCAACACUCAUUUUAUUCGCUUGAGUCAUGAUUAUGGCAUCACUUUUCUUCAGUUUAAACCCUUUGACGAUACAAAAAUAAGGUCACAAUUGAAAUUCUGAUUCGAAAAUUUGAAACUUUCGGGAUUGCCUCCUGCUAUGGGCUUUUCUCAAACUCGAUCAUAUGCCCAAACAAAUUCAUCAACCAACACUCACUCUGCCCUUGGGGCACCCAAUUAACCCCUUUAAAACAAUUUUGAAGACACCCGAAACUAGGGUUGGGCAAAAAUACUUGUUAAUCCAAAAAUCUGACAUAUCCGAUUCGAUUCGAUUCAACAAAUAGGGUUCCGGUGUGUAUUAUUUGAUCGGUCAAAAGAAAGUUGGAUAAUUACUUGUAUGCGGCGUUAGGUGGAGUCACCUGAUUAAGAAUCCGUGGGAUCCCGACCCUUCCCACAUAUAUAUUUUUUAUUUUUACACACAUAUUACAAAAUAAUACUUUUGGAGCUAAAUAAGUAAUUUCAUUAAACAAAAUACAUUAUAAAUAUGAAAAAUUAAAGUUUAUUUAUAAGAUUCAUUUAUAGAUGUCAUGAUUUCUUUUUUUUAAGGAAACAGUUUAAUUAAUAUAGAACAUAUAUUUGUAAAAAGGUACUAUUUAUUUGAAUUUUCAUUGAUUUUGAAUUCUUUUAAUUUUCUUUUCCCGUAUUCUCUUUGCAUGUUCAUUUUUUUAUUGAGAAAAAAUCUUUAUUAAGUUUUAGAUGAAUAUUCAAAAUACAAAAUUAAAUUACUAUAAAUUAUUUUUUAAAACAAUUAAAUGAUAACCAGCGUGAUGCAAAUAUCUGUUAACUCAACCCUACUUUAAUGGAAACCCACUCAUAUACGGGAUGGUUAAAGGUCAAAAGAUAGCUGUCUUGCAAGGUACGGGUCUAGUCAGCCAAAUGAAGCAUAGAACGAGUACUACUUGACCUGUACCUACCCCUACCCAAAACAAAUCUUAAUAAUCAUAAAAUAGCAACCUGCACUUGCAAAAUCCAAUUUUCAAUUUUCUCCUCAAAAUUUAGCAUCAAAUUUUACAAAAAUUACACAAAAACAAUCCAAUCAACAAAUAAAUACUCAAGCAUUGAAUUGACAUUAUACUGUAUUUGUGCAGCACCGAAUUGACAUUAUCUGACUUGUAUGUAUGGCAAAAUAAAGGAACUAUGAAGAGGAUGGGGAGGAGGGAGAAGGAUGCUGAGAGUAAGGGAGGAGAUGAAUCGGAAAAUUUAGAUAUUUUUUCUUUUUAUAUUUUCUAUUAACCGGAUUUAUAGGUAACUAGAGCUGUUAAUCGAACCGAGUAGCUGGCGAGCCGAGCUCGACCCGGCUCGACAAGGGCUCGGAUCGGCUCGUUUACAGAGAGAAACAAUCCGAGCUCGAGCUCUACUCAGUAUUCGUUUAAUAUAUGCUCGGCUCGUUUAAGCUCAGUAGGCUCGAAGAGUAGGGGCAUUAACAUCAUUUCAUUGUGUAUGUGGUACUCUAACCUAAGUCAUUCUCCCGUUUGUAACCAUAAUUUUUCUUUCCUCUUUUGGUCUUACCUUCUCCCGUUCCACAGCCGUAGCCACAGUCGCACGCCAGCACCCUCCAUUUUUACCACCGUCACCGAGUCACCAUUCACCAAUUCAUCCAUCAUCUCACCUCCAUCAGGACCAUCACCUAUCCGUCCACUAUCUCACCGCCAGGCGUUAUCCCUAAUUUUUUCUUUCCUCUUUCGAUCUUUCCUUUUCCCGUUCCACAGCCGCAGCCGCACCCUCCAUUCUUACCACCGUCACUGACUCACCAAUCCAUUCAUCUCACCUCCAUCACCAAUCCGUCCACCAUCUCACUGCCAUCAUUCAAUCCACUUCUCGUGAAUCCGUGAGCAGCGCCAUACGGAGCCACCUCGGUAAAGCCAGGGGCCUCUACCAUAUCCCGAUUCCUUGCAUAAUCUGGUAACCAUUUCUUCUCAAUUUUUGCAAUUUAUUUUGGUUUUAAGAGGUUGUGUGGGUUUUGGUUAAUGGUGGAUAGCCCCGUAUCCCAUAUGGCUUCCCCGUAUCCGUUGGCUUCCUGUGUUUUAUCCCGAAUUUCACCUGCACGGAUUGCUUAUGCAUCGCUUAGUGGACUUUUGGUUUCAAAUAGCAUGUCUUUUACCCGUUAAAUAACCUUUUUUUUACCCAUUGUUCUGGAUUGUUGCAUAAGUGUCAAAUUUCGCCUGAAAUGCUCACAUAUUCUUCUAUGAGAUUACGUGUAUCACUACUGCGUUACCUUCCUUCGACACCUGAAGCUGGAGUUUGACGUUUCAUUUCGUUCAGACCAUGGAAUAGUUGCUGCGAUUAAACUUAUGUCUCUAAGAAAAUAAAGAAGGAAACAUCACUUUUUGUCUCUGUGCUCUUUGAUUUCUGCAUUUUCUAAUCCAUGUUAUAGAACUGACUGUUGAUGAUACCAAACAUUUUGUUAAAAGAAAACCAAAGUAUUCAAUUCCCAUACAUUUAACUCUUCCUGGUUAAAAUGUAACUUCCUCUAUUGAUGUCCAUAAAUUUCCUCGAAAAAGCUUGCGAAUUGCAAAAGUUUCCACCAGUCGUCUUAAAAUGGCACUCUAAACCGUCUGCUAUGAUACUUUUGAUAAGCACAGUUAUACUGCCAGGAAGGGCAAGUAGGUAUGCAUCAUGGACCAUGAAAAUGCCAAUUUCCAGAAAUCAAUUACAGCUUUGACGAGUUGCAAACUUCUUGGACUAUGAAAAUGCCAGUUUCUAGCAAUGAAAUGAUAGCUUUCACGAUCUGCAACUUCUUAUUGAUUAAUGAAUACUGAAAAGUACGUAUCAGCCCAAUCUUGCCUCUCUUCGUAGUACCUGGAAAAGAUUUAACAGUCAACCAUAAGUGACAGAACUUUAACAGCGCUAGCCAUAUAACAAACAGUGGACAAAACUUUAACAAAGCUAGUCAUUUUCUUUUCUUUAGCAUGUGAUAUUUCUUCAUGUUUUGCACUUUUGUUUAAGCUUGACAGUGAAAACAUUUUUCAACCUAGAAGAUUCUGCAAGGCAAAACUUUCUUCAUUUUAGUUUCUUCAUUUCAGCAAAAUUAACUUUUUGUUUGGACUGCCAUUUUAAGAGUUUUUCACUGUUAUUUCAUUAAUCUGAAUGUAAGCUUGAGAAUUGAGAUAGGAACAAGUUAAACAAAUGUUAAAACUGGCUUGAAGUGGGCAUUAUUUCUUGGAAUCUGUUUUAUUACUUUUGUACCUUAUUUUUAGAAAUGUCAUUCUAAAUAUCUAUUUUGGCUAAUCAGAAUCUGUAUUGGUUAUUAAAUGUGUUUUGAUUAAGGAAUGUACAGCUCUCCAUUCAACUCAUUUCAAGGUUCAUCAUCAAGUCCUGUGAUGGAGCAAAAUAAUGAAGUGUGAACAAUUGAACUACAACGAAAAAAGAGCUGAUGAGAUGAGUGAAAAAGAGAUAGAAAUGAUAAAAGAUGAGGGCAAUGAAGAACGACAGCAAGAGAUGGAGAUGAAGGAGCUGGUCCUUUUGAGAAAAAACAAAGGAAGAAGAAAUCUAGCAUAUGGGAUGAAAUGACAACAAUAGUGCUAGAUAAUGGGACGGUCAAAGUGAAAUGUAACAAUUGCAAGGAACUUUUUGUCAAGAGUGCAACCGAAGCCAUAUCUCAGCACAAGAGACACUUGAAUUCUUGCCUACAAAGAAAGAUAGCCAUUGGAAAGCAAAGCAAACAAAAGCAACAAGUGUUGUCAUUCAUCGAAGGCCAAAGUAAUGGUAUCACUUCCAUCACAAAUUUCUUGUAUGAUCAUGCCAAGGUAAGAGAGCUUGCAUCACACAUGAGUACCCCUUUUCUAUAAUAGAUCAUGUAGUUUUCAACAAAUUCAUGAAAGCGGCUUCUCCAUUUUAUAAUUGUUAAGAAAGAUUGCAUUAGUACUUAUAAAUUGAAAAAAGGAACCUGAAAUCAUUGUUGAAAGGUGCUGGUAGGAUUAGUAUUACCACAGAUUUGUGGACAUCUGGUCAAAAAAAUUCAAUAUAUGGUUGUGACUGGUCAUUUUGUUGAUUUUGAUUGGGUGCUACAAAAACGUGUUGAAUUUUUUAAUGUUCCUCCUCCUCAUGCUGGAGUUAUUAUAGCUGAUACUCUAAGUAAGUGCUUUAUUGAUUGAGGGAUUGAGAAUAAGGUUUCUAACAUAACUGUUGAUAAUGCUUCAUACAAUGAUGUGUGCAUUAGGAGACUUAGAGAGGAUUUUUCUCUAAAAAAGAGAUUAAGUAUUGGAGGAAAAAUUUUCAUGUUAGAUGUUGUGCACAUAUACUUAAUCUCUUAGUGCAAGAUGGUCUUGGUCAACUUGGUGGUGUGAUUGAUGUUGUUAGAGAAGGGAUAAAGUACUUGAACAAUUCUGAAUCUAGGCUUCUUGAAUUUGCCAAAAUUAAAAAACAGCUUCAAUUGCCCUCUAGAAAGCUAAUUUUGGACUGUCCAACAAGAUGGAAUAGCACCUAUUUGAUGUUAGCUUCAGGUUUAGAGUUCAAGGAUGUUUUUUCAGAUAUGCAGACAUUGACCCUGGAUUUCACUAUGUUUUUACUGAUUUUGAGUGGAUGAAAGUGAAAGAAGUGUGCAAAUUUCUAGGAAUAUUUUAUGAAAUCACUGAUAUGAUUUCCGGGUCCGAGUAUCCAACGGCUAACAUUUUCUUGUGGAGCUCUAUAGGAUUAAAGAGCUUUUAAAUGAAAAAGCUCUUGACCCUUUUUAGCAUCUUCGGGUUAUGGCUGGAAGUAUGUCUGCUAAAUUUGAUAAGUAUUGGGGGAAAGUAAUGUACUGCUAUCUUUGGGUGCAAUUUUGGAUCCGAGAUACAAAAUAUUUCUUAUUAAUCAUACUUUUCCGGUGAUUUAUGGUGAGGAUGCAGCUCCUAGAUUCGUGGCUGAAAUUAGAGACACUCUUUAUGAGCUUUACAAUGAAUAUGUUGAUUGUCACAUAGUUUCCCAUUCUGAACAAUAACAGAGGCAGGUUGUAAAAGGGAGACAAAAUGAAGGUUCUAGUUCUUCUAGUAAGAAACAGAAAAUGACUGGACCUGCCGUUUUAACUAGUAAAGAAAAGUUGCACAUGCAUGUGAGUGAAAUUAACAGGGCUCCACCACAAAAAUCAGAUUUAGAUGUUUAUUUAGAGGAAAGUAGGUAUUGUGACGCCCCCACUUCUCCUUAAGGUGAACCAAAGAGUAUCCACGGGACGCCUGCCCAACUCUUACCAGGACUGGUACAAUUCCCGUUCAACCUUAUUACAAUACUAGCUAUCACGACAAGAUGAAGUAAAAAAGAUAAAGUCGCUUCUAUAAAUAAUAUUCAAACUUACACCACGAGUUCCAAAAUACAUCAAAUUUCCAAAAUAUACAACUGCCAAAAGUCUAGUCGAUUACAUUUGGAACCCUAAUACAAAAGUACAACAAAAGGAUUUCUCCGAGUUUCACUCCAUAUCUAUGCCUGUUAAGGAAAAUAAAUCUACGGGGUGAUCAAUUGCUCGUGAGGCCAAAAAACACACAUACAAGCACGUUGUCCAAUUAACAAGAAAACGAUAAUAUUCGAGUAAUUAACAAUUCAAGCGGAAUGUAAACAGAAACAAUUCAAGGAUAUGGGAGCUCUCAGGAGCUAUUGUCCACUGGCACGAUCAAGAACCUCCACGAGUUGACACUCCGUCAAUCGGGUAGGUCAUAUCCGUAGAAGCUUCACUUACGCGUUCCUCGUCCACCAUACAUACCGCACCGGGCCCGAACAUCAUUUAUAAGGUGAUACUCCACGAGUAUGUCAAGCGAGAUCUUUCAAAUAGAUCAAACUUAUCAUGUUAUUCUCAUGACUCAUCGAGAUUCCCGACCAAACCCAUGCCGGCUCGAGUUCCAAGGUCGACCUAUGAGUUUGGGCCCCCAUGUAACAUUUGUGAGUGGAAGAGAUUCACUCCAACGAUGUAUGCAGCCAUAGCAUACUAUUUCAUGUCAUUCAAGCAUUCGAUACAUUCAAUCAUUCAUUUCAUCUCAUUCAAGUCAUUCAUGAUCCAUUCAUUUCAUUUCAAUUAAUUCAAUCAUGAGUCAUUCAUUUCAAAUGAGAACGAGUGCGGUAAAAUACACACUCGACUCCAUUUUCAAAAUCUCCAAUCAUUAAUAACAGUUAAGCAUGUAUCAAGUUCCCAUACACUUGACACUCACCAAGUAAUUCAAGAAGUAAAGCACAAGCGGUUGUUUAGGCGUCUCCUGUGAGAUCCUCUUGAAGGUCCUCUUGAGUGCCUGAGUAAUAAUAAUGAACUAUUACACACUAUCGUUUAAAACCCCUACUUAUCGAGAAAGAUUGCACUCGUGUACAAUUUAAGAAGAUAUUAUGAGAAUGAGCCUUAAUUACUCGUAAAUCGAGACUCAAAAGUGGGGUUUUAAUAAUACAAGGAAAUUCGAUUUUCAUCUUUGAAAUCAAAUGUAAAACGAUCAAGCAAUAUCGAGGAAAAAUGGUGAGUACUAAAAACUCAAUUUUCUUUAAGUUCGGAAAUUUCAGAUUUGAUAAGCAAUUUUUGAAAAACCGUAUCUCAUUCUCUGUAGGUCCAAAAUUAGAAAAAUUGGUACCGUUGGAAACUACUUCCAAAGUACUAAAAGUUCUUAGAAGACAUUUUUCCAUGAUUCCAAAUAGAUGACAUUCAAAAUUCGGUUCAAAGUUGCUGUUUUGGGCUACCAAGACAAUUUCGGGGUUGGUUUUUGGCCAACUUUGGAAAUUCGGCAAAAUUCACAAAAUGUGAACUAGCCUCUGCAAUUUGGAAUCAAUUAUAGUUACAAACAAAGUUUAAAACACAACAAACAGAACAAGAAUGGAGUUUUGAGUGCCAAGAUAUAGCAGCUCAAAUUUGCUGAAAUUUUCUCACUGAAUAAGGAUUUUCCAGAUUUGAAACAUGAAAUUUGGGAUUUCAGUUGAGCAUCGAAAUGGACUUGGAAUGGCACCAAAUUUGGUAGUAUUACCCUACCAUAGAAGGGCUAUUCCUCUGUCAAAUUUCAUGCAAAAAUUCAUAUGGAAGGUCAGUUAACAAAGCCGCUAAAGUUCCAAGAAUUUCCAAGGCAAAUCUGCCUUGUACUUCCGUUUUACUUUUUCAAGCAUUUGGCCAAUGAAAUCUUCUCAAACAUGGUUCAUUUAUGAAGACAAGAUCUAAGAAACAUCCAAAAUGUGUUUGGUAGGUGAUUAAUACCAAGAGUUCCAAAAUAACGACUCCCAAUUCGAGUUAAGGCAUUCAACUAGCCAAGAUUAGGGUUUCCUUUCACUGACACAGGUCUGGAAUUUGGCCACAACUCACUCAAUUCAACUUGGAAUUAGACAUGAUCAGUGGCGUUGGAAACUAAAUUCAUAGGGCUAUAAUUUCUCAGAAAAAAUCAUUUUGAAAUUCUGUCCAUAACUAGUUCAUAUUCUAGCAACAAGUUGCAGCACACAACAGGUUUUCUAACACAGACGAGAAACAGGGCAGGUGACUUUGAAAGGCUGGUACGGUUCACUCAAGUGGAAUCAGGGGAUGCAUUUUAUACUGUUAGAAAACUGGAAGUAUCUAGUUUCUAAUUCCUCAAAUGGCACUCGAUUUUGAUGUCGGAGAAAGAGUUAUUGUCGUUUGAAAUUCGCUGCCAGAGCAACUCUGGACAUGUUUUCCAACCAUGAAGAAAUUUCGAAAUCCAAACAUUUACCCAACCAAAUCAAGUGAUUUUUGGUGGAAACUUUUCACACAACCUAUAAAACAUAUAUACACCGAAAUCAAGUCAAUUAGAUCACAAAAAAUUGCACCAAGAGGUGCGGCAAUGACAGGGCAGAUCUGGCCCUUCUUCCAUUUCAACUUCCUUUGAGUUUCUUUCCACUCUUUCAACUUAAAUCCACUAGAUUAACACUUAAUCAACAUAAAUAACACUCAAAAUCAUCAAAUCAGAUGAUCAAGUCCAUUGUGGGAUUUCAUAGAGUCUACUCACAUGAUUUUCAACAAUCCAAAGCUACCCACAUGAAGCUACAAGCUUCUAAGUGAAAUCUAACUUACAAAAGCUAAGAUUUAAAGGGUGGAUGAUCAUUACCUCUUAGAUGUUGCUAGAGCAGAAAUUUCGGUCCUUAGAGCUCCAAGAAAACCGUGAGAAUGAAGCUCUUCUCCUAGCUGAAGAUGAUCUCCAAGUUAUUUGCAAGGUGUGGUAUGAAUUUGAGAGGAUUUGGUGCAAGAUUGAGAGACGAAAUGGUGAAGAAACUUGGUCUUCUUCUCCUUGUUGUUGCACGGCUGCUUGAGGGAGAGAAAGAGAGAGUUGUGGCUGAUGGAAAGCUUCUCUUGGAAGCUUAAGAGUUUGUGGCCAAAAUUACUCCAAAAGUCAACUAAGAAUAGUGCAUGUACACGCGCGUUUCGUGCUCGUUUCCUCUUGGAUUUGUUUCACUUGUGCACUAAACCUCUAAUGCACUUCCAUUCAUACUAUUAUUAUUCACUUUUAAUAGUCUAAAAAUAAAGGUCUAAAGUCCCUCAAUUAAUCGCGCGCGCGAAAACACGUACUUCCGUUUUGUGCGCGAUAGAGUAAAAUUUCUAAGAAAUUCUUACAAUGAUAUUAUAACUGACUAGUACUUGAGUACUUAAACAUAAAAAUACCUAUUUUGAAACUAAUGUAUGAGUCUUCAAUCUCCAAACUCACUGUACCCUCAAAUCGAUUAUUGUCUCCAAACGCACAUUCACUAUUCUCACUAAACGAGUUUCUAAAAAUUAAAUUUUUGCAACAAGUCAUUUUAAAUAUAUAUAUAAGUCAUAAUUCCAUGUAAUUGAGUCUAAAAAGGUUGGAAUAAAAUAUUCGGAGCAAACAGACAAUUAAAUAUUUAAAUAAGCUAGUAAUAGAAAUUUAAAAUAAGUAAAUUUGCGGGUCCUUACAGGUAUGCUUGUGAUGCAAAUGCAAAUUUGGAUGUUUUGGGUUGGUAGAAAUAGGAAAGAUUGAGAUUUCCUAUCUUGUCGAGGAUGGCUGCCGAUAUACUCUCCGUUCCUGUUACAACUGUGGCUUCAGAAUCUACCUUCAGCGCCGGAGGUAGAGUAAUUGAUGAUCGACGAGCUUCUAUGUCAAUUGAGACGGUGCAAAUAUUGCUUUGCGGCAACGAUUGGAUCCGCAGUCUUCAUGGCCUAAAGAAUAAGUCUCGCGUUAAGUAAUUGAUUAGAUGUUUUUGUUGUUGUUACAGUUUCUUUAUAUCUGAUUUUAAAGAAUUUUAUAACUUUCAUACUUUUGUUUUGUAGGAAUCACUUGAUGCGACCGAAUCAAUCACAUUUGAGGAAGUUAAACUUCCCGAAUCAUUCACAACCUGAUUUGGUGGCUGUUGAUGUUGCUUGGUGCAAACUGAUUCAUUCACAUGUUGAUUUCGUUGAAGACCUAAAGAAUAAGUCUCGCGUUAAGUAAUUGAUUAGAUGUUUUUGUUGUUGUUACAGUUUCUUUAUUUUAAAGAAUUUUAUAACUUUCAUACUUUUGUUUUGUAGGAAUCACUUGAUGCGACCGAAUCAAUCACAUUUGAGGAAGUUAAACUUUCCGAAUCAUUCACAACCUGAUUUGGUGGCUGUUGAUGUUGCUUGGUGCAAACUGAUUCAUUCACAUGUUGAUUUCGUUCAAAAGCUGCAUCGUUCACAAGUGUUUUCACCCAAGAAAGUUAUUUUUAACUCUUGGUCUAGAGUGUGGACAUUUUAGAAACUGCUUAAAACGUAUUGAUGGCUGAUCUUUAAUUGUUUGGACUCUUUUAUGUAAUUUUUCAUUUUGUAAUCUGAUCUGGUCUGCUGCCGAGUUUGGACAUUUUAUUCCUCCAUUUGAUAGUUUGAGCUGCAAUUUUAACUUCUUUUUUGCUACUCGUGCUUAUGAUGCUUCUGUUUUGCGUUGUCGAAUUGAGUGGAUGAUAUAUUAGGGAAUGUGUUGUUCUUUUUUGUCAAACUAAAUAUGAGUGUAGAAGAAGCUGAUAUGCUAUCUUACGUAAACGACUUAUGAAGCUCGAAUUACUAAUCGAGCGAGCUCGAACUGCUCGAUUAGAUGUUCGAGUCGAGCUCGAUUGUCGUGUGCUCGAGCUCGACUCGGCUAGUUUAACAGCAAGGUAACAUGCAUCAAAGCAGGCUUAUUCUCUUAGUACUUUUUUUUUUCUUUUUAUAAAACACAGGUGCAUUAACGCACGACAGAAGCACCCUAUCAAUCUAAGAUCCCAGCUUGCUUGUAGCUUUCGAUAGAGUCAACAAGAGUUUCUUCCACUGGCCUAUACCUCCAGCCCAGCCUCUCCAAUUUUUCUGAGCUAAUAUUCCAUCGGCUUUGAUCCUUCACCUCUAUAAGUCUGCGAAGAAAUGAGUUAUAUCAAAAAAUAUGCAGACAACAUAAAUGGUUCUUGUAGAGACUCGUAGAUGCCACACUUUUGGAAAUGGAAAUCAUGACGGACAUGAACAAACAAGAAAAUCAGGACAAACGGGGUGUCUGAAAAAUGAGACAAUUAAUUUCAAAGAUGGUAAUCCACCUCUUAGGGUACUUGUAGUUGGCAUAGUUUUUCCUCAGAGUUUCCACCAUAUCUUUUGUCGUGGUGACGUGAGGUGAACAUAUGUACCGGCCUUCAGCUUCAGGUCUCCCGUAAACCAAAAGCAGUGCCUCGGCCACAUCACGCACAUCUACUGUGUUGUAGAAUUUGUUUUCUGUUUCUUCACAUCCGUCUGUGCAGCCAAGGAGUGAAACAAAAGAGCAGUUUAAUCUCAAAAAAGGAGAUGUUAUCUGUGCUAAUCUCUGAGUUCUUUACUGCAUAUAUGAAACCUACAAUCCCUUUGACAAAUAGUACAGCAAUAAAUUCAUGGGACUUUUGAAUUGCAAAGGACCUACAGGUCACAAUGUUAACCUUUUAUAUCUUCAACAAUGCUCCAAAGCAAAUCAAGCAAACAGUUGAAAGAUGCAACCUCUUCAGAUGUUAUGCCUAUUGUCUGUCUCAUCUUCCAUUAGGUCAAACUCACACAAUUUUCACAUCAAUAAAAUUUGAAUCGCUUGUGCAUGUGUCUGGAAAGAUUACAUUAGCACAAUUUAGUAUUUUUGGCAGCACUGCUCGUUUAAAUUUCCCUGCCAUCAAGCAGAAAAUUUAAUUCCAUUCCAACAGUAAAAGCCAAACACCACAAUCUUAGUUUUUUUUAGAUAACUUUGCAAGUUUUUAGAGCAUUGCCAAAAUCAUAAAACUAUCAGAAUGGCAGAUAGCUUACAGGUUUAGAAUCUGAAAACCUCAGCUGGCUUGAAGAUUAAAUAAAAAUGCCAAAAGACGGCAAAGCAGUUAUCUCCAUGAAUGUAGUUUCAUUCCUAGAAGGUCAACCGCAACCAGAUAGACGGAUUUUGUGAAAUUUUAUUGGCAUCAAUUCAUUGUGUAUCAUGUAAAUAACACUGGAAGCCAGAAGCAUAAAAAUGAUGGGUUACUUGGAAAAUUAGCUGAUCAACCACAUGAAGAAAUUCAAUUGUUUGACCUUUCAAGUACAAAAAAAGGAAAAAAUUGCUAAGCUUUAGAGGUCAUCUGAGUUCUAGAGUGACAUCCAUGCUCACUUAGGCACAAACCAAUAUCAAGGAGAAAACUGUAUCAUUUACGACCACUUCCAUGCAGAAGGUGAAAGAAAGAAAAAUAAAAUAUAACAUAACGGAAUAAGUUCUCCAAUUGACUACAAAGCACUAAUAAAUCACCUUUCAACAGCUUUAUAAGAGCCAGACUGCUAGCAUUCACAUCAUGCUGAAGCAUGGGGCCGAGAACAAAGGAUGGGCAUACAGUUAAAACAUCAAGGCCAGUUUCUUUUGCAUAUUGUAAUGCCUCACUUUCAGCAACCGUCUUGGAGUAACAAUACCAGUUCUGGAGCAAUAUUAGUACUAGAUGGUCAGCCAGAAACAGAUAGUAGUUGCAAAAAUCUGAUUUCUCAGCAAUCUUAGAAACAGUAUGAAUAAGACAGUGAAUUUUCUGCACAAUUACAACACCAAGGUGCAACUGCAAAAAGUCAAAUUAUGUUGAUGCAUACAUUUGUUGCCUUGCAGUAUUCGCCGUCUGACCAACACUUCUCAUCUAUGAUUUCACCUUCAGGCAGAUUAGGACUCAUUACAACAGCUGCAGUAGAGGAAACAACUACAACGCGCUUGACAUUUGCUUCAGAACAAGCCUUCAGUACAUUAAGGGUACCCUUUACAGCUGGCUCAACAAGUUCAACCUGCAACAAAUCAUCAUGUUGGCAGAGGUACUAGCACUCAACUCUUCAUGCUGAACUGCUUGUUUUUGCGUAAAAUAUAUCCAGAUAGACAGCUAAGUAGUGUCAGUUAACCUGACAUCUUUAGAGUGAAUGAGUACAUAGUUAAAAGACUCAUGACUGCUUAUGCCUGUGAUUUAACUUGGUUACCAGCAUAGGUUAUUAUUAUAUGCAUUUAUUCACUCAUUUCAACAUUUGAAAAAUCCUUCCACGAAAUGAUAGAAAGACAAAGAGCCCCAGUGACUUCAUAAGUUUGUACAAACGCUUUAACAAGGUUCUAUUUUAAACGAUACCCAACUUUAGCUCAUGUUUGGCAAAACGCAAUAAAAUAUUAUCUGUUAUGACAAAAGCUGUCUCAUAAACAAAAGAUAUGUUAAAAAUGUUAUUCUGGGGAAACCAAAAGGAAGAAAUAUCAUAGCAAUUGAAACGAUUGAAAAUGGUCUUGCCUCAGGAUUGGGAACAGAGCCUGAAGGAACAGGACUAGCUACAUGAAAUACGCCAUCACAACCCCUGAUGGCUGCAGAAAUGGAGUUGUAAUCCAGCAAAUCAGCCUUAAAGAGUUUCAAAUUCUCAGCUGCUUUGUCAAGUUUCUUCAGAUGAACAUAUUUCUCAUCGUCUACAAAACAUACACAGCAAUGCCCACAUCAUCAAGUAACGAAGCACACAAUUCACAGCAGGUGCUUUUAUAUAUUUCUUCAAUUAAACAUAUUUCUCACCCUUCACAAAACAUUUACAGCAAUUCCCACUACAUCAAAUAGGAAACAGCCAAUUGACAGCAGGCAAAAAAUCAAUUGCGGUAUUAAAGGGAAUGAAACAAUCAUACAAUACCCAAAACAAAAACAAAAAAAAAACGAGUAGUAAAUCAGGAAGGAAGGGUUAUGAGGAUGAAAUACGUACUGGGAUUUCUGAGGGUGGCAUGAACAGUAUAAUGGCGGGAAAGGAGUAGCUUGACUACCCAAGAUGCCAGGUAUCCCCCUGCUCCUGUAACACACACUGUCCUGUCCUUCUUAGCCUCCCACGCUGCCAUGUCUGAUUGCUUACCAGUAGCAGUAGCGGGAUUAGUAUUUUAGCACCAAAUUCACUAUAGACUGAUCAAGAAGGUGGGUGAAGUUCUAUUCUUUUCUUUUUUAUGAAUAUUAAUUCUUUUUUGGUUGGACAAGGCAGAGAUUUCGUCGAUUCUUAAAGAGGAGGACUGAAGAAGAGGGCGGUUGGAAGAGGAGGAGGAGGCGGAGGUGGUGGUGUUGGAAUUUUGAAUAGACGAGUCCUGUAUGUAUGAGCUAGCUGAUUCCAGCAGCCUCUGUCAAUACUAGGAGUAAUCAGCAGCUGGCAGGCUUGGGGCUUAUAUAUAGCAGCAGACCAAUGGUCCUGUUGCGAUUUGCACGGCUCAUGGAAGACGUAUGGUUUCAACGCAGGGUUGGGCUGGGUGGGUGGGGAAACGGUACUAAUGAUAAAUGUAUGUAUAAUGAAAUUUGAGAUAUUCUAGCAAUCUGUUAGUAAAAUUUAUUUUAUAAAAAAAAAAGGAGUAAAGGAGCAUAAUAUUAUUAAGUUAUAGUAAAACUUGAUGCACAUAUCAAUAAAACAAGAUAUUCUGUGCAUUUGAAUACAAUAGUAUAAUAUGAUUUUACCAUUGUCGGAUGUUUAACAAAUUUAUUUAUUAAUGGAUAUUAAAGUGUUACAUUUUAUCUCAUAUUUUCCCAAUUUAUGACUCAGAUUUUAAAUUGAUUAACUCAUUAGAGAAUAAAAAACUCAUCCCGUUGCUAAAUUGGACAAGUGACAAAAACUCAUGUCCAUAAUGGGAUUUUGCUUCUGACUCAAAUCCUAUAAUGCGAACCAAACCCCAAAUCACUCCAUUAUAACGGAAACACAAACUAAACUAUUUAAUAUUCAAAUCAAGUUCCGCUCAAUAACAGUUUGUUCGAAUUUGAUUCGCAAACUAAUCUAAUCAAGUUAGAAUAACAUUUUAUUCAAAUCAAGUUCCGCUCAAUAACAGUUUGUUCGAAUUUGAUUCGCAAACUAAUCUAAUCAAGUUAGAAUAACAUUUUAUGUUUGAAAAAAUUUUAACUGCAGCUCAAGCUUAGCUCAAUAAUCAUAAAAUUGGAUUUUAUAGAUAAAAAUUACUCGAACUCGACUCAAUAAAAAUUCUUUUGAACGUGACUUAGUAAAUAAAAAAGCCAAUCUUGAAUACUAUUUCAAAAUUCUUUAAAAUAAAUAACAAGAUACUUGGUUUGAUUAGACACAUUCACACCCCUGUUUUUCAUAUGCUCGAUAACAUAUAUUUUUGCCAUUGAAUUUUGGGACAUGUUUAUCAUUUUUUAAAAUCUUUUUUUUUAUUUCUGGCUUUUAUAGGAAAAAAAAAACUAAAGGAUGUGUUCGGAUAGGAGACCGAUAAACUUUUCUCUCCCCCUCGCGCCUAAUUGCAGGUUAAAAGCAGUGUUUUGAAAACCGGACCGGACGGCCGGUUCGACCGGUUGGACCGCGAACCGGCCAUGAUUCCGGUCCGAUUCUAUGCUAUAGUUGACCAGGUUAGAAAAAGCCGGUUAAACCGUGAAAACCGCCGGACCGGAUUGAACCGGCGGUUUUCGGUUUUCGAGAUUUCCCUUUUUUUUUUUUUUUUUUUUUUUUUUACGUUUUGCAAAAUGCAGCUAUCAAGAUUCGAACUCAAGACUUUUGUAAUAGAAGACCAAUGUAGUAACCAUAGUAACCAUUGCACCAUCACAUCUUAUUAGUUUUUUUUGAUAACUUGUUUAUAUAAAACAAAAACUCAUAUUUCUUUUUGUCAUUUUUUUUACAAAAUCUAAUCCUCUCAUAGCUCUUUCUUUUUAAUCUUCAACACACACACACACACACUCUCUCCUCUUUUUUUUGUCACUCUCUUUUUAAUCAAACCACUUUAUUUUUAAUUUAUUGAUGUUUUCUUCCAUCUUUUAAUUUUAUUUUUGUCCAUUAAAUUAAAAAAGGUUAAAAAAGAAUUAUUUUUCUUUAACCCAAAUUAUUUAAUGCCACAACCACUCACUUUUAUCUCAUUUUUUAUUUCUUAUCAAGUUUGCAUUUCUAUUUUCGAUUCUCUUGACUUCUUUCGAGCUCCAAAAUUCCUUUUUUAAAUUGCAAUUUCUAAUCCCAAAACGUAAAUUAAAAUUUAAGUUCACAAAAUCUAAAUUCUCAUAGACAUGAAUUUUGUAUAAUUUUAAAAUAUUAUGAUAUUUUUGGGUUAGAUCUAAGAUUUUUUUGGUAGAUAUAAUUGAAAUUGAAAUGAAAUUUAUUUGUUUUAACUUAUAAUUUAAAAUUUUUAUUUUUAAAAAAUCAAGUUAUUCAAAAAUAGUAAACUUUUCAUCAUAUAAUGUAUUAAAUUAGUCCAUUACAUGUCUUAUUUUGUGCAUAAAUAUUUACAUAAAUUAUUUUUAAAAAAAUUCAUUGAACCGAGGUUGAACCGGUCCGACCGGUUAAAUCUCGACCUUUCACGUCACCGGUUCAAUUAACGGUCGAUUUUUAAAACAUUGGUUAAAAGGAAUAUCCAGUUCUUAGAUAACUUUUCUAGCACAACUCUAGUUGUCAGAAAACUGGUCUACUUUGACUGUGGGUUUUCCUUUAGUCAGGCCAUUUUGUCAUUAGUGAUGAUUGCUUCUUCUAAACCUUAGCUAACUGCACACGCCAUGCGCAUGAAACUUCUUCUAAACCUUAGCUAACUGCACACGCCAUGCGCAUGAAAAUCCAAACUUCAAAUAAAAUAAUUUGAACUCGUCAACUUGCAAAAUAAGAUAAUUUGGGUUUCGUCUGAUAUGAGUAGUAAGGGAAAAUUUAAUUACUAUAUUUAUGAUUCUUGACUAAUGUGAUUGCUCAUCUAUCACCACGCAUCAGUUUAAUACCUUAUCUUCAUUUAAAUGUGACGAUUGUAGAAUUGAUGGCUGAAACUGAAAGGAAACUGAAAAAGAAAUGUCAUGUGAGUGCAUAUGCAUGGUUAAAACAAUACUCCCACAAAUUAUAACCAAUUCGAUCCCUUGUUUUUAAGGUUUUGAUCGUUUUGGUUCCUUGGUAUCAUGACAAGCCAAUUUUGCCUCUUAAAUUUAAAAAUAUGGUUAAGGAGAUCCUUUUGAUGGAAAUUUGAGUUGCUAAUGAAGUGAAGAGACCAUUUAGUGCCUUUCGUGUCACAUCCGUCUCAACACUAUAUUAAAGUUUCAAAAAAUCUCAAAUAAGUCAUAAAACUCAUAAAACAAACCCCAAAACUCUUUAUCGUGAAGAAAAUAAAUUUUUAUAACUUUAAAAUAAAUCAAACACAAAACCUUAAACAUAAUUAUGGAAUUUGUGCCAUUUUCGAGUUGAAAUAUCAUGAAAAGGAGUACCAAAAGGUGAAAGAAAAAUGCAUAAACUUAUGUUUGACAUAGUAUUAAAAACUUUUAUUUCAUUAUAUUGAAGAGUUUUGGGUGAGUUUAGGCUUUUAGGAUUUUAUUUGAAUGCUUGGUGUUUUCUGCGAGAUGGCACGAAGUACCCUCUAAGGUCUCUUAACUCCAUUAACAACUCUAAAUUAGCCUUGACCAAAUUCUUCAAAUUUAAGAAAAAUUGGUUCGCCAUAAUACAAAGGGACUAUUUUGUUAAUACAUUGGAGAUAAGAAACCAGAUUAAUUAAUUUUUGUUGUUUGCGUAACUCAAGGGAUUUCUCCGUUAGCUUCCCACAAUUUUGCUACAUUAGUCUCUUUUGAUGGAGAUAGAGCACCAACUCACAGUUGUAUUAGAACUUCACUUACGCUAUAAUCGUUAGGAUUUUCUUAUAUUCAUCCGACUACUCAAUAAGUAUCCUAUUUUAUAAUAACUAUCCUACACCUCUUCAAAGCCUGAUAAGAUGAAGAAAAUCUCUUUACUAGCAUCUUAAUGCCUUAUAUCCAGUAUUGAGGGAAAAAAUUUAAUCACAUUACAGUCUGAGAAUUUGAAUCCAGCAAUUUCACGGUCUGAUGUAGUCACCCCAAGUAGGUUCUCCAGUAAAACAGGGUAGUGAGGCAAAAUGUACAUCAAAUAGGUCAAUUGUCGAGCCCCUCGGGGUUCGGUUCCGUGGUUGUAGCCCCAGUUGGGGGAGAGCCACGUCCAGGGAUCGAGUCCCCGUUCUACCGUGGCUGGUGAUGCUUGAGGCGGGCCGCUCCCAGCCCGCAGUGGAUUAGUUGGGCCGUACGGUAACCAGUCAUGGGUCCAGAUACCCACUGUGAUGAAAAAAAAAAAAUAGGCCAAUUGUCGAUCUUUGAUUAUGUCUACACUUUCAAAAGAUAGGCUUAAUCAUAUUAGUGGAAAUAACUCAUAGUUCAUCAUAUAUUAAUUUGCUAUUCAAUUUAGUUUGAAUACAUGAUCAAUGUUAUUGUAUGCCAAAAAAGAUUGAGGAUACUUUUGACCUAGUUCUUUGCACUAACUUGAAAUCUUCCAAUUGUUCUUUCUUUGAUGCACUUGCAAAAUCUCCUGCAAAAGUAAAAUAACUCAGUUGGUGAAUUUUGGCUAACUGAGAGGCCCAUCUUCUUUUUACUUCUUUAGCACAAGCGAAGAAUGAAUUUAUGCAUAAUAACCGUGUGAUUCUAAUGAGAUAUGAUUUUUUUGGUUUUGCAUGCUGGUUAAACAAUUGUUCAAGCUCUUAUCUUGGUUUUUGAUACUUCACCGGUAUGUGGAUGUUGCUGCUAAAGAAAUUUACAUUUGUCAUUAGAAGAAUUUUCUAUUUUAUGACUGGCAAGUGAUUUGGUAUCUUAGCAGUUCAUCGAUUUUGGUGCUUUGUUUACAAUUUAAUUGGCUUCAAUGGUCCAUACAUAUAGGAACUUGGAAUUUACCCUUUUAUUUCCUUUUGCAUGAGCAAAGAUUAGUAAUUUUUAAUCAUAAUUUUCGAUUCCUCUAUUCUGGCCAUAGUGAAGAAAUCUACCUUUUUGUACUUGUGUAUAUGCACACCAAACAUCAUUGGGCUGUCUACUUUUGACAUUAUUCUUGAAUUACUCAGUUUAGAAUGUGUAUUAGCUGCUAGCUGCAUCAUCGUUGGCAAUUACUAAACAGAAAAUAUGCAUGCCAUUACUAUUUUCACUGAAAUUAGCAUCUAACUUAUAAUGAUCUAAUUAAAGGUUAACCACAUUGGUUUUGACUAGAACUAAGAGAUCACUAGCCCUCUUAUUUUUGGAUUUGCAUUAAUCCAGUAUCAUCAAACUUCUUCAAAUGGGCUCUUUAGCUACUAACCCCUUCAAAAAUAAUUUAGGCUUACGGUUCUGUUGAUGUCGCAAUUGCAGGAGGUUCAGAAGAUAACGAAAGGCUCAUCUAAGAUUUCUUAAGGUGUUUGGCUUAUAUUGCUAGAUUUACUUAAUCUAUUUUCAUUCUUCUCCGAUGUCAUUAUUGUUAAAGUUCAAUUCAUAAGUUGGUUGUGUUAGAAAAUUGGCUUAAUUUCUUUUUAGAUAGGUUUUUGUUUUGUGCAAAAGUAACUAGUUUCCUAAUUGGUUUUAGUUACUCGGAAUAGUAGCCAAGAAAUUUCUUAUUUUGUUUAGAAUUAGAAGUUAUUUCUUAUUUUCUACAAGUCUAGGAAUUAGAAUUAAUUUCCUGUUGUUAUUUGGAUUUUUUGACCAAAUAAUAUUUUUAUAAAUAGGUGGGUUGGCAUACUAUAAAAGAGACACAUAAGGGCACACAAGGACGACAUGUAACCUUAUACAUGGGUGGUGAGAGAGAGUUCUUAGGAGAUGAGAAAUGGUAUACAAAGGUUGGACUUGAGUUCGAGUUGUAUUCUUGUAUAAGGUUUUUCUCUCAUAAUAAAUAACAAGUUUCUCUCCGUGGACGUAGGUUCAAUGGAGUCAAACUACGUUAAAUAUUGUGUGUUGUUUAUCUUUUAUACUUGUGGCUUGUUUCUCAUUAAAUUAUUGUGUACUUGAUAUCUUAAUAGUUAUUUAUUCUGCAUUUAGUUCCUAACAAAUGGUAUCAGAACUUGAUUGCGAGAUUGGGCUGCUCACAAGCACUUGGAUCCCAACAAACUGAAUAGUUGGAUCAAGAGUUUGGUUGUUCAAGGAUGGAUCCUAGUUAGCUAUUGAGAUCAAGUAGGUUGGUGACUGUUACCAAUUGAACAAUUUAAUGGGCGGUAUCCUUUUUCAAGAGUUUGGCAAAAAAGCAUUGACGGUGAAUGAUGAAAAGUCGAAAAGCAUGGAGAUACUUGACGGUGAAUCUAGGCAGAUGAUUCAAGAGUCAAGGAAAAGGUGGAAUCCAAUAUCGAUUUUGGACGUGAAUCGGUGGAGACUUUCUCACAACUUCAACGGUUGAUACUUCAUCUCGGUGAUUUUUAGAUUUCGCUUAUGUUUUUUGAGUGGUACGGCACCUGACCCAAAAAAAUAAAGAGAUUUAAUUUCUAUGCGCUAGAAGACUCUGACAGUUACGAGUCUUUUGUUUCAGGUGAAUUUUUGGAAACCACACGUGGCGAGAUAGUCUUGAGGAAGGGAAGAAGUAUGAUGAUUUUAUCACUUGGUUGCCUCAAUGAUUAAGGUUAGAGCUCAUAGAAGGAGAUUUUGGGUUGCAAGUGGUGGUGAGAAGAAAUCCUGUAAAGAAAAAUGGUGAAUUGAGGCAUCUUCUCACGAAUCAACUGGAGGUUGUACUAGGUGUAAAUACACAUAUUCAUUUGGCAAUUAAAUUAAUUUGGUAUCAGAACUGUAUUGAUUCGGGUGUGUAGUUCGGUACCAUAUUAUUUGGUAGUUGAAAGUAAAUAAUUGUUAAAAGAAAUUUUCGCCAAGAUAGAGAUUUGUUAGGAAAUUGAUUUAAUUUCUUUUCAGACAGGUUUUUGUUUUGUGUAGGGAUUUAGUUUUACUUGAAAUAGUAGCCAAGGAAUUUCCUAUUUUGUUUAGGAUUAAAAAUUAUUUCCUAUUCUAUACAAGUCUAGAAAUUAGAAUUGGUUUCCUAUUAUUAUUUAAUUUUUUGGCCAAAUAAUAUUCUUUAUAAAUAGGUGGGUUGGCAUACUACAAAGAGACACACAAAAGCACACAAGAGACGACAUGUAGCCUUAUAUAUGGGUGGUGAGAGAGGAUUUUUAGGAGAUGAGAGAUGGUAUACAAAGGUUGAAUUGGGGUUCAAGUUGUGUUCUUGUAUAGAAUUUUUCUCUUAUAAUAAAGAACGAGUUUCUCUCUGUGGAUGUAGGUUCAAUGGUGGAGCCGAACCACAUUAGAAAAUAGUGUGUCAUUUAUUUUUCAUGUUUGUGGCUUGUUUCUCAUUAAAUUGUAGCGUACUUGAUAUCUCAAUAGUUGUUUAUUCCAUGUUUGGAUCCUAACAGAUUGCUAAACCAAGAUUGAUGUAAUUGCGUCCUAUAAGAGAGUUUGCAAUUCAAUUGAUUAAGGGAAGAACAGAGAAAAUCCCUGAAAAUGGGAAUUAAAGGAAACAAAGGAAACCCUAAAACUAGUUUCCAAGAACAAUUCUGUCGAAGACAGAAAACAAAGAAAAUAGUAUCAAAGGCUAUAUCGUUAUUUAGGAAACAAGAAGCACUUGAAGGUGAAUGUUGCAGAAAGUAGAAGAUCCCACUACAAUUUACUAAUUCAAGGAGCUGUAAUUAAGAAAGAAAGAAGACAACUCAGAGAAUUAGGGAUUGUUAUUAAUUGAUGAAUGAGUAGGAAGAAUGUAGAUGAAGAUGAUAAUCAAUUACAAGUAAUGGAAAUCGGAAAUCCUAGAACUGCCUUCAACUUACCACCCUCCUCUCUUUUAUUCGGCUACUACACUUGUCCAAGUCAGCUAAUUCAUUACAACCAACUGACAUACAAGAAUUAUAAGGAUUUAUUCAUUAAGUCCCUAUCAUACUCGCUUUAUUACAAAAAAAAAAAAAACCCUAUCAAUAAAACUAAGGUAACAAAUACUUCCCCCUCAGAGAAUCCUUGUCCUCAAGGAUUAAAUUCAGGAAAUUGUUGUUUAAGGUCAAACCAGAAUUCCCAGAUAGCAUCUUCAAGAAAAGAAUUGCUUCACUAUGCCAAAACUUUUGUAGCAAGAGAGUUACCACAUUUCACCAAUUUCUGAUCAAGUAUGGCUAUAGGCUCCAUUAAUAAUUAUCCCUGUGUAUUGAUUGUGUAUUGAUUGCAAAAGGAAUGUGUGAGGUAACUAGUGAGUGCCCACUUUCUUCUUUAGAAGAGAUACAUAAAAAAUAGAGUGUAUUUUUGCCAUAUUAGGCAGCUAAAGCUGAUAUGCAACAGGGUGUACUCUUUUGAUCACUUGGAAAGGUCCAAAAAACUUAGAAGCUAACUUCUGACAAGAGUGUACCUUCAAAGAGUGUUGCCUCUACAGUUGUAGUUUCACAUAUACCCAAUCUCUUGCCGAGUACUGUCUAUCAGACCUGUGUUGGUCAGCUUGUUGCUCCAUCCUAUUUUGUGCCUUAUGAAGGUUGUACUUUAAGUGAUGCAAAACUAUCUCCCUUGCUGCCAAGAUUCUAUCCACCACUUCCACUACUGAAUUCCCAAGUAGACAAGGCAUAUGCAGAGAUGGUGCAUGACCAUACACCACCUCAAAUUGGAUAACCUUAGUGGCAGCAUGAAAUUUGGUAUUGGACCAAUAUUCAGCCAAGGGUAACUAGAUAGACCACUGCUUUGGAAAAUCUCCACACAUGCACCUCAAAUAUUACUCCAAACACCUGUUUACCACCUCAGUUUGACCAUCUGACUGAGGGUGGUAGGUAGAAGAGGUAUUAAUCUGCACUUUUAGUAACUUAAAAAGUUCUUGCCAAAAAGUGCUAAUGAAGACCACAUCCUUGUCACUAACAAUGCUCUGAGACAAGCCGUGAAGUCUACAGAUCUGAUCCAGGAAUAUGUGCAAAUAUAAAUGCUGAAUAAGCAUGUGACAAUGCCAAGAAGUGUGCAUACUUACCUAACUUGUCAACCACCACCAAGAUGGCUUGUUUACCAUGUGCAUUAGGUAAACCUUCCAUAAAGUCCAUGGAAAUUCACUCCAAACCUUUUGAGGCACACGUAAAAGUCGUAAUAAACCCAAAUAAGCAGUAUUGUCAUAUUUGUUGCACUGACAGACAUCACAUGCAGCCACAUAGUUGACUAUGUCUUGAUACAUUCUUCUCUAAUAAACCACUGACUUCAACUUCUUUUAGGCAGCAUAAACUCCUGAAUGCCUCCAACAGCACUAGAAUGCCACAAGUGAAUUAUAUUAUUCUUGAAUUGGCAGUCAUUUUCUACCACUAGUCUCCCCAUUCUCCUUAACUGCUAGUUGCUCCAUGUGUAAUAAGGUGAGACCUUAGAAAGAUCAAAUUGUAAUUGAGUGAUGAAGUUCUAUAGCCUUAUAUCUAUUUGCCAUCCCUUUUUAAUCACUAUCAAAGAUCACUGUUAACAAUGAUGAUGGCAAGAGCUUCUCUUGGUUCUGCUAGUUUUCUAAAGAGAGUAUCUCUCACCAUAUUAUAUGCUUCUUUCCUGUAGUGAAGCUCAUAAUAAAAUCUUACUAGCUUAGUCAUCCAUUUCUGCUGCAUAAGAGUAGGGCUGUCAAUGGUCUGGGUCUAGACCCGGAUCCGGACCGGAUAAAUAUCCGGGUAUGGAUACUAAUUUACAACCGGAUCCGGAUAUAAAUGGAUUACUAUAUUUAAAAUAUAUAUUUAUUAAUAUAAUUUGAUUAGGAUGAUGUAUUUGAGUAUCAAUAUAAUUGGACCCGGAUCCUAAUCAAUAUAAUUUGAUUAGGAUGAUGUAUUUGAGUAAGGUUAAUUUGAUUUCUUUUCUUAUUUGAUUUUUUUUGUAUUAGUUAGAAAUUAGUUUAUAAAUAUAUGUUUUUUCUCAUUUUUGUUAGAAAUUAUAAAUUUUGUUAGUUUUUUUUCGGGUAGACCCGGAUCCGGAUCCGGACCCGUCGGAUCUGGAUCCGGAACAUAGAGUAAAGACUCAUCGGGUAAACGGGUCGGGUCCGGAUCCGAUAUAGUGUGCCGGGUCCGGGUCUGGAAUAAUGAAUUCCGGCCCGGACCCGCCCGUUGACAAGCCUACAUAAGAGUGUUCAAUCUUUGUUCCAUCAUAUAUUCAAUGCUCUAAUGGUCAUUUUUAAUGAUAACGUACCUUCCAGGUAGAUAAGGUCUCCACUUCUAUACAGCAGCAACUAUGGCCAAUAUUUGCACUUUUCCAAUAUACUAUCAUAUGCUAUUCCCCCACACACCUAAAUCUUAUAUUGUCCCCAAUGUAAAAUAAAGAAUAAAAGAAAAGUAAUGGGGAUAACGAAACUUCCUUGAUAACUGAGGGGGCCGUCGACAGCUACAGGUGAGGGGCGAAUGACUGUGGAGCUCGACGUAUGUUGAUGGUUGGUGGCGGUGGAGUUCGGAUGGAGAAGGAGGAAGAAGAAAGAAGAGAAGAAAAAGAAGAGAGAAAGAAAGAAAGAAAAAGAAAAGGAAAAAGAAAGGAAAAGGAAGAGAAAAGAAAAGGGAAAUACGAAUGGGAAUUGCUCCAAUCCGAGCUGGUUUUUUGUACUACUACUUUGCUUCUUGUACGAAGCUUGAAGAUGCAGCAAGCGCGGAAAUUUUUUUUUUUUACAUCUGAUUUUGAUUUUUUCUUUUUCUUUUUCCUUUUCUGUAUUUCCUUUUCUUUUCUUUCUAAUUUUUCUGCAAAAACAAUCAAAUAGAAAUCAAAUGAGAUGGAAUGAUUUUUUUUAAAAAAGGUAAAAAUAUAAAUAGAGAUAAAUAAAUAAUAAUAGUUAUUAACAAAUCAUAAAAUGAUUUAUGAAAUUUUUUUGGUGUCUACAUAUAUUACUAAUAAUUUUUAUAUUUAUAUAUUUUUCUAUUUAAUCUUACCUAUAAUUUUCUUAUUUUAUUUACUUUUCUAAUUAAUUUUAUAUUUUUAAAAAUAUAACAUCUAAAAAUAUAUAUUAACGAAGAGGACAUCCGUUAGACAGGUCCUAUUUUAUGUAGCAUAUAUGUCUCUACAUGAAAAAAACUUUUUUAAUAGGUAUCCCGUUUUUUGACAUGAAAAAUACCUUUUGACUACAUUCUGACUAGCGCCAAAAGCUAUCCACUUUUGACAUGCUGCCCAUGCAGGCCUAAUUUUUUUUAGUACUGAAUUUGUUUUGGAUACGUUAGUAUUUCUUGAAUUUUAGAAAAUGCUUCUCUUUAAUAAAUGUAAGUUCAUUUUAAUCUUGAUUCGCAAGCUUUUUCUUGAAAAUGGUUUGCCAUUUCUUAUUAGUUGUUACAGUAAAUUUAGCAUGCAUAUAUGCUUUUUGUCAAAAUUCAAUCAUUUCAAAAUCUAGAAGGGAACUUCUAAAAUACCUGCAUCCUCCUUUUUCUUUUUUUUUUUAUUCCCCCCCCCCCCCCGGCUUUGUAUUCAGAAUCAGAUUGUGUUCAAUUAGUUGGAAUUUGGCUUUGGAGUUAAAAGGGAUUUCCAUUUUUUCCUAGGUAUUCCACAGCUUGCAUACCAAAAGCACAGAGGCGGAAGAAAACCUAUGAUUAAAUCAUACAACAGGCUUGUAAGAAAAUGCCCACUCUGAAAAAAUGAAAAGUUGAAUUUCCUAUUUUCAAAUUUACAUGCAAAAAAUCAAAAUGACAUGCAAGAAAUAGUCUGCUAUUUCGCCAUGUUUCACAGUUUAUGAGAAAUAUAUUACAAAUAAAUCCACAUAAAUGGUGGGAAUAAUAACUCAAAUAUGGUGGGACAAAAAACAUACAGGGUGACCCCUGCCAGCUGAGAUAACUAGCUGGUUUAUUUAAUUUAAUACUUUGAAUACAAUAGUAAAUCAAUGCCAUAGCUCAGAUACUGACUAAAUUUUUCUCCCUGAAGAAUUCAACAGCAUCUUUUAGGCUGACCUCCAAAGGAGUGAAUUGAACUCCCAGCCUUUUUGCCUUCUCAUUGGAGGCUCUGUAGUUUGGGCUGAUAAGGUUGGUAUUGUUUGACAUUCUGCUGUAUGCGGGACAAUACACAAUUAUGGCAAACAUAAAUAAAGCUUAGGUAAUGAAAAUGCAAAUGUAAAUUCAAAUGCUUGAAAAUCUACUGGACAAUUGCCUCAUAUCUACUGUAAAUUGUGCCUUUUUACGAAGUUUCAAAAGACCUUUUAAAAGAUAACUUUAGUUGUGAUAUGAAUGAAAUUUAUUUUUUUCUAAAAAAAAGCCUAAAACGGAAUUUCUAUUUUGGAGACAAAGCCAAUUUGGUGAUAUAUCCUAGUCCAAAGAAGACCAUCUUCUAGAAAUCAACCUGAGAAAGAGCUCAUUUUUUAUGGAACAUGAGACCAAAAGAAAAAAAAAAAGAAGGCAGAAAAUUUAGGAUUUAGUGUCCUUUAAAAGAGAGUAUAAAAAUAUGUGAUACAUUUUGGACGUAUACAAGGCCAUCAGCAAAAGCCUGUAAAGACCUAAACAAGGAAAACAAGACUUACUUAUCAGGAAAUUGGUGAGUUGGGUAAUGCUCAUGCAAAAUCUUGAUGAUCUGAGAGGCAUUUGCACAUCUUUCAACCAGACAAUAUCUUCCACUUGCAGAAGGGGUUUCAAGGGCAAGAACAUGUGCAUAGGCAACAUCUCUAACAUCAACCCAGCUACAUGUUGCCUUAGGAAAUGGUUCAACCCCUGCAUUUGGCACCUAAGAUCUUUAAACACAUUUUUUUGCAGGCUCUUCAGCAAACAUAAGUGAAACCAUAUUUGGUUUGUUUGGAUCAGCAUGAUUUCAGAUAAAAUAAUUUGCUUCCUUCCAAAUUCCAAUCACCUUUUUAUCUCACAUACAGCACAUCACAAAAAGUGUUACAGUAAUUAUCUCAAAUAAAUCAUCCAAAUAAACUUCUAUCCAAACAAAAAUGUUGUUUGCCAUGAAAAGAGUCAAAUUUAGAGGCCAUGGCCUGCCUUCCAGAAGAAAUGUGUGGUAUGUACUACUUUGUUCUGUUUUAGUAUCAGCAAAGCCACAGAGGGGAGGGAGAUGUGAGGAAUGAACUAGUUGAGACAAUUCAGAUAAUUGGUGAAUAAUAAGAAAGAUUAAUCCCAACAAUCUACUAGUUAAUCUGUCCCUGGAAUUUCACAGAUUUAGAGUUAGGUUUCUCUUUCAAAGGAUAGUUUAUUUAUUUUCUUCCAAAAAGGAUCAAUUACUAGACAAAAGAAUAAACUACAGGCAUGAUAAUACUAGUUGUCUCGUACUUAAGAGUUAAAUGGUGAGAGUUGAAGAAACUUGUCCCUUCACUCUCAUCCAGAUAGAAAAACAGAAUUUAUUCCUGUUGUUUUGUUCAGAGAGUGAAAUAGUAAUCAAUUCCUGAAAUUUGUUUCUUGCCAUUGUUGUACAAAGUGGCUAUUUGGGUCGAAGGAGUCCUGCGAAUUGAAAGAAUAAUAAACAUGCUUUAGCAAGUCUGUACAACAUAAACAGUGACUACUCCUAACAAAUUUUUCCUCACAAUUACCACCCAAAAAUUUCUUUUCCUUCCUGUUAAUCACAUAGAACCUCAAUGUUGUUGAAAGGAAGAUGCACACAACGUGAAUUUCAGAUGAAAGAUUGUACUGCAAACCUUUAAAACAUCAUAAGCUGGUCAGAGUUUAUAGCUUGAUAUAUCAGUUCACAUUCUGACCUAUGUCUGUCAAUCAUGUGAUAGCCAGCAGUGCCUUGAAAUGUUAUUAGUCAUAAGUUUUUUGUUCUACUGUAACAAAGAAAGUUGUGGUGCAUAAUAAAGCUAUAAGUAACAUAGAUGGAAGAGUCAGUUAGACAAUGAUUACUAAGGUGAUUCAAUAAAUUUUGAAACAAACCCUUUAAUAGGUUGAGGAACAAAACAGCGCUCGAAUUAACAGAUGGCUGCAAGAGAGGACCAAUGACCAAUCCUGGAUGAAUUGUAAUCACGUCAAUGCCAUGCUCCUUUGCAAAUUUCCAUGCAGCAUUCUCGGCCAUGGUUUUUGAAAGUUCAUACCAAGACUAUCAACACCGAAAAAUCAGUAAAUGUUGGUAAGAUGGUAGCAGAAAGUAAUUAGAUUUGUAAACUUUAAGAAGUAACAUUAUAAAUUUCUACAAAUUUGACAAAACCAGCAACUUACAUCAGUUGAAACUAUUAUUGCUGUAGCUACAAAGCACAGAGUGAAAGCAUCCACAUUUCCCAGGACAAGCUAUGCUAUAAGUGAAUAAGUAGAUUUCUCAAGGAUCCUAGGAAUGGUGUAAACUUUCUAUAUUCAAGGAAUGAUGCAAAGCACCAGUGUCGACAUAUCCUGAUCAUCUGAUCUCUUAAUCCACAAGCUAACAGCAAAACUACAAGGGACCUUGACACUUUAACACAAUAGCCAUAUUCAUAAUAUUAUAGCAGAAGUUCCUUUCCAACUGACCGACCAAAUAUUGCUCAUCUAGGUGUGUAUUCUCAGACAAUAGUAUAGAAUUUGAUCAUGCAAGAGAUGCAUAAUUAAGUAGGAAAACUUUCAUAUUGCUCUUUCCCCGACUAUUCCACACUACAUUAUUAAUUUUUCAUUAAAGUUAAGUUGUUACUUAGAUAGAAGGAAAGAAAUGGACUGACCAUUCUGGUUACAAAAAUAUCCUUUUUUUGCCUAUUAAAGUACCACCAAGUCAUGAAGAUCCUAACUUAAUUAUCUCCACAGCUGGGCUAACUCCUCAUAUGUGUUCCAACAACAAGUUAAAACUAAAGAAUUCCAGCAUUCCAUAUUAGAUUUUACUGGAAGAAGACAGAUAAUAUAUGUACCUUUUGCUCCUCACAGUAUGAUGGAUCGGAAAACCAACUUUCAUCAACUACCACAUCCUCCUUUAAUUCUCUGUUUUUUGAAACUGCAACCAUAGAGGAUGUUAUAACUACUCUUUUGACAGAAGAAGAAUUUGCACAUGACCGCAGCACAUUCAGUGUUCCGCUUACUGCAGGUUCCAGUAGUUCUGCCUAUGAAAUCAAACCAAGUAAAAAAGGAAGUCAUUACCAGUCAUAGGUAAGACUAUGCUUUUAACCUGCAAAAAACUUAUCAUUCUGGUAUUAUGUUUGAGAAUUUCACCACAAAUGCUGUAAACCUACAGCUUUAGUUACUUAGCUAAAGGAUGCAUAUUGUUGUCUUAUCUCCUCUUGCUGCUAAAAUAAGUUCUCAGGUCCUUUAUUGUUGUUUUUUCCCAAAUUUUUUCAGCUUUCACUGGGUGACAGGAACUUAAGACCAAUAGAGGAACAACUGAAAUAAGUCUCAGAUGUGGUCACCAAUUAAACCGUUUGCUACCAAAUAUCAACCGAUGAAAUUCUGUUCUGGCUUGAACAGGACAGACAGAAAAUAUAAAAGGUGUAGCUCCCAUGAAUCCUGCGAACAGAUUUUAGCGUGAACACAUAAUGCAUGUUGCAAUUUCUUUUAGUGUCUGUGAGUCAACCUUGUUCAUUGAAAUGACUAAAAUCAAAGUUCUACAAAGUUACUUAAAAAAAAUCCAUAAACACAAUUUGAGAAACAGACAAGGAUAGGUGUACUGCAUAAAAUUAAGGCACAAUCAUUAAUAGAAGUUAAUCAACUUACAAAUGAAGAUACAUAUAAUUUGCAGAUGCUUGAACAUAUAUUGUAGUUUCUAUAAGCUUCUUAUUCAUUCUGGUAUGGGCACGCAAAAGCCAUUGGCUCUACACUGGCUGAAUAAUUAGUUGGUCAAAGCAGGGAUUCAUUUGCUCCAGGACAAGCUUAUAGCUUGCUCUAUAACCUUACCCUGACUGACUUACCCAGGAAAAUAGUUAGUCGGACCCAAUCUACUGCCCAAUUGUGGACCAUUUGCUAUGUUUAUGGCUCUUAAUGUUUUUAUUUCACAACAUUACACCCUUUGAAUUGUUUCGCUGAAGUACCAAUUUCCAGAUCAUUUCAUAGAAACAUCAUGUAUACUGAUUAAAAAGAGACUAAAGCACAUAACACACGACAGUCUUUUUGUGAAUGACCUGCUGGAACAGAUUAGUUUUGUAUGUACCAAAUGUAAAGAAAUAUUCUUCAGGUGUUUGACCUGAUUGCUACAUUAAUCUCCUCCCUUUGGUUAAUAAAAGAAAAAGUAGAGCCAUAGAAUUGGAAACAUUUGAAUCUAACUCUCUUUUUUUUUUUGCCUUUACAGUUAUAACCUUGUCAUAAAUCACAUAUAGAGGAGUAGACUAUCACCCAAAAAAGCCAGUAAAAAUGCAACAGAGGAAGAUACUAAAAGAAGUCGUACAAUUAUAAAUCAGAAAAUAUGCUACGAUUUCAAACUUCACUUGAUAAAUAGCAGAUUUUGUAGACAGUAGAGAAUUUUCAAUCUUGUAAAGCAAAUGUACCUCUGGAUUGCUAAAUGAAAGUUUGAUUGGAGAUGCAGUAUGGAAAACCCCUUCACAUCCCUCGACUAUUGCAUCAAACGAUCCCUCUUCCAGUAAGUUUGCCGAGUACAACUGAAGCCUUUCCUUAGCUCCAUCAAGUGAUGUCAAAUGUUGUGUCCUUUCCGGAUCAUCUGUGUCAUGAUUGUAUCAGUAGAAUGUUCAGACAGCUAUAAUCAAAACCUUGCCGCCUUGGUAAAGUGUACUAUGUUUUCACUAUGGUGAAACUCAAGAAGAAAUGGACAUAGAGUAAUAAUAAACGAAUCUCAAAGCAAUGAUAAAUUUGACUAGCUAAAGGCAAGCGGGGAAAAACGAAAAGAAAUUGACGGGCAACAUAAUAUGACCACAAUAAUAUCAUAGCCCUAUGAUUUCUGGUUUUGAGAUGCGUACAUUUGUAACUUUCUUGAUAACAAUUAAUUCUUGAGAUAAUUAUCAGAGGGACAAUUGUAUGCCAUCUACCACUAUUUUUAUAACAAACUCAGUCCUUCAGAAGAAGGAUAUAGAUUCGAUAGGCUAAAGAUUUUUUAUUAUAACUUGAUCGUUGUAUCUGGAGCAUGAAACAAUUAAGUUGGUCCACAUCAAAAAUAUAUAUAUAUUUUGCAUGUGAUUUUCUUUUGAGCAAACAGAACAUGGGGAGCAUUUAGCUGUUGCAAGAAUAUCAUCUGGAGCUACAAGACAAUUUCACACUGCAGAGUUGAAUAAAAAUAUUGGGCAAAUUACAUAUAAUCCUCCUGUGGCUUUGUCUGUUGCCACAUGACCCUUCUAACAUUUUAAAAUAUCCAAUUCACCCACUAUGAUUUUAUGUAAAGCGGAAACUUGAUGGAGAAUAGCCUAUAUAAUGUCGUUAAUUGAAAUACCAUUAGUACUUUUACUUAAAUGCUAAAUCAAUCGACGAUUUAAUUACCUUAUAUAAAAAGUAUAAGGGGAUUAUAUGGAUAAUAUAAAAAUCACAGGAGGGAUAAAGUGGACAAUUAUACAAACUAUAAGGGAAUUACAUUGAAAUUAAGACUUUAUCACACCCUUUUAGAGCGCGUUUGGUAUAAAUGCCGUAAUUAAUUGUGCAUUCCAUCAUUUUCCGCUUUACAUAUAACUAUAGGGAAUUAUGUGGCUAUUUUGAAAUUUUAGAGGGACCAUCUAGCAUUAUAUAAAAUCACCCUAAAAUAUAGUUAUAAGUAAUUUACCCUAAAAUGUUAGAUUCCAGGGGCAAUUAAACAACAAUCAGAACAGGGCAUCAAAAACUGCACAAGCCACUAAGAUAGUUGAUCAAGAACAAAAACUGGACUUACAGGCAUCUCGAACUGAACCUUUAACAGUAUAACCGCGCUCGAGCAGCAGCUUCACCAGCCAUGAAGCUAUGUAACCCGAAGCUCCGGUCACACACACCAUUUUCCCUUCUCCUGCUCCACUCAUUUUGUUAAUAUUUUUGUGUGUGAACCUGUCACCUGUUUGCCUUACUUCUGGACUUAAUGGAGGGAUGCAUAUAUGGUGUAUAUAUAGCUAUGGUGAAGAAGACGAAAGAUUGGAUAUGAGAUUACGUGGGAGACUAGGGAGAUCCAUAUGUAUUCUUGCAAUUUGCAUGCAUCAUCGCUGACAUACGUAUGGUAUAAUCGCGUCACAUCCCAUUUUAUCAAGGUCAAUUGAUCAGUGUAAAAUAGAAAUGAACAAUAAAUACAAUGGUAAAUUACCUUCUACACCCUAUGGUUUGAUGUUUUAUCACACUCCCUAUGAUUUAAAAACCUAUAUUUGACCCUUUCAUAGUUUGGAUUAUUGUGUCACUUUAGAUUUUUCCGUUAAAACUAACGGUCAAUAGUAAAAAGUCAAAUUCAAACUACUAAAUUGAUAAAUUCACCAUUUCACUACUUUUUUUUUCUUGUUUUCCUUUUCUUUCUCUCCUUUUUUUUUUUUUGGAAAGAGAAGAGAUGACUUUGAAAACUUGUAUUUUGGCUUACAAAACCUUAAUUGUUUCCAAAUACAAAAGAGAUAGAAGGGAAAUAAAAAUAAAUCAACAAGAAACAAAAUAUGGAAGGUAAAGAUAUAACAAAUAAAUAAGAAACAAAAAAACACCAAAUCUUUUUUACUAUGAAUAUCAUUAUAGGUUUUUAAACCAAAUCUUUAAUAGUAUUUUCUAGUUCUUAUUUAUCUAUAUUUUAUUUCAAUUUCUUCUUUUUGAUGUUUGUAGGGGAAAAAAACAAGUAAUGAAGGGAUAAAUUUGUCAAUUUAUUAGUUUGACUUUUUAAUAUUAACUGUUAGUUUUAACAAAAAAAACUAACUAUUAGGGGGUUAUGUAUAGUUUUUAAACGAUAGGGGUUAUGUGAGAAAAUACCAAACUAUAGAGGUUAAAAGGCAAUUUAUCCUAAAUACAAAAUCAGGCGGUUGCAUAUGAAAAAAUACCAAGGUUCUUGACUUUGCUCAAUACAAUUCCAAGUCUAGAGACACAAUUUUUAAAUUCACUACCAGGAUAAACCAUUCUCCUUUUUUUUUUCGGGUUAAAAAAUACAAACUACUUGAACUAGAAACUAGUCCUGACAAAGUUUGUGGGUUUUUUGCAAGAGUUUUAGUUAAAUAUUGGUUACUUCGCCUAAUUUGCACCUAUUUUAUCACGUAAAUGCACACACACUUUUAAAAAAAUAAUGCAUGCACUUAUAUUAUUGCCUUUCGUACAUUUAAAUACUUUUUUCAAUUUAAUUUUACUUUUCUGGCAAAAUUAAAUCUGAAGCCCAUUUCAAGAAAUAUCCACCGAAUACCAGGUCAACAAAUCCCCUUCGUAAUAAAGAACGAAAAGAACCGCAGCGUUCUUAACACGCAGCGGUCUUUUUGCAUCUAAGAAAGCUUUUGAUUGGCUAGAAAUCCUUCUCUGAUUGAGAAAUGGGAAUUGACUUGAUGAUGGCAACUCCAUUUAGAAAACUGGUCCACACCCUUGAAUGUGGUUUAAAUUUAAUAACACCAUUUCAUCAUUUCUGACGACUGCUUCUUCUAUAUCGAUCCUAGCUCACUGCACACGCCAGUCGUGUGAAACUUGGCAAAAGAGUUACACCCGCCGUCCUAAAAUUGUUUGUCGCAUUUCGAAACCCAACUUUUUAAAAAUAGCAGCUUGAUGAUGAUAUUUGUAGAUUUGUCUCAAAAAUUGUCAUCAAAAAUUCAAAUUUUAAAUUGAAUUUAGUAUGAAAUAUAGAUAAAGUUAUUGGAAUAAUAUUGAAAAAAGAGAUUAAAAGUUAUUUUGAUUUUGAUAAGAUAAUAAAUAUUUUAGAACGUUUCAAAAUAAAAAAAAAAAUAUGACACUUUCAAUGAGACAAAAGAAUGGAGAGAAUAUAUAUAUAAGAUACUGAAAACUAGCGUCCAUCAGAAGCAGUCAAAUCAAAGCCAACAUAUUACUUGUAGUUUGGUUAUAACAAUAUCUCAGCUUGCUGGUAGCCCAAAAAUUUAGCAAAAUAAAUUAGGAAACCAAGUGCGAUAGAGCAUAUUUCACCCAAAUAUAUUAAAAGUGAAAAAGAUUUAUUUUUAUUUAGUCAAUGUGAUUUUUUGUGUCCGCAUGCCCAUAAAGCUCAAGGACCAAAAAGCCAAACAUACGAAGUGAAAAUGUGAAGAGCAAUAAUUUGAAUAUAAAAAAAAAAACGGGUAGAUGGAUAGAAAACCAUGUCGAAGGUCUCUUCUCUCUCUUUUUUUUUUUUUGGUUUGACCAUGCAUGGUGCAUAUGAUAUGAAGGAUAAUUGUAAAGCACACCAUAUACUGCCCAAGGAAAGUAGAUUACACAGUGGGAACCAAAAAUAGAAGAAAAUAAAGCCUCAUAUGAACCGAAUCUUUCCCCUUGCUUUUUUUCUGGGAAUUUAAAGGUAUAAUGCAAGAAAUAACUCCUGGUCAUGCAAAAUUGCCAACAAAAAUGCGUCUUUGGUUUUAAAUUCCUUAAUAACAUACUAUCCAGCAUACUAUUUAGCAUAAUAACAUACUAUCUCAGAUGCAUCCACUCAAAUAUCCUGGCCGAGAUGGUAUGAGGCCAAUUUUCUAUCAAAAAUAUAGGUCUGUAGCAGGUAAUGACGUUACCUCACUACAACAAAAAUGGCCUUUAGCGGCAUUUAAAGGUGUCAGUAUAGAAAAUCUAACCUGACACUUUAUCUAUCCUGACACCCAUGGCGAGUGUUGUCCCUUCCAAUGUGGGGAUAGCCUCAAAUCUUUAGCAGCAUUCAAAUGUGUCAGGCAAACCAUGCUGCUAUAUCUUUACCUCUGCCAACAAAUCUUUUUUUUGUGAUAAUCGAAAGUGUCUGUAUAGCGUUAGGACAUCAGUAGGGAAUCAGUAGGAUAUCAAAUUUAUGAAGACAUCUUGAGUUGUCUUAAUAUAUGGCUUUAAGGACACGUAGCCAUGUGAAUUUACAAUGUGUUGGACGACAUGCCCAUUUGUUGUUAGUGUUUUUCGAAGCUACAUAAUUUUAUCAACCCAUAUGACAAGGGUUUAUUUUACGUAUUUUUAGUGUGUUUUAUUAGUUAAUUUUGGUUUGAUUAUUUAGUAUUAUAACUAAAAUAACUAAGGUUUUGGUAAAAAACUACAUUUUAUGUUAAAAUGGCUAAACAUUGCAUUUUAUGGAUUUUUAUGGUAAAAACUUCAUAUUUUGUAGGUUUAAUGAUUCAAUCAUCAAAUGAAGUGCAUUGAGAAGAUAUUUGGAUGAUUGAAGAUGGAUUAAAGUGAGGAAAAUAAAAUAUGAAGUGUAAAAGGAAGAAAUGCAAUUUGAGGACAAAAAUCAAGAAAAGUCAGCUUUGACAACUCAGACAUAUUUUCGUAUUUUGACUAUAUCAGGAGCUACAAUGAUCGGAUCAAGGUGAUCUUGGUACCAUUUUGAAGUUAAGAGAUAUAUCUACAUUUGGUAUGAAGACAUCAAAGUCCAGUUCAGCCGUUUUCAUAGUCCAAAAGUUGAAAUACCGAAAUUCAACUCAGCUGUCCAAAGUGGAAAACAGAGUUCCGACCAGUGUUUAGUAUUUUGAUCAUAUCUCAGUCUACAAAGCUCCGAUUUGGAUGAUUCUUGAAGCAUUGGAAAGCUAACUCAAAGAUAUACAACUUUGAUGUUUUGCACAAAAGCCAGUUCGGCCUGCAUCAUGGAGAAAAUCGCAGUUGAAGUAAGGACAAAGUGAAAACGCGAGUGCACAAAACGCGAGUUGUAGACGCGUUUUGUAAAGGCGCGUUUUCUGGCCGAAAUUCUGCAAUUUGCUCAGUCAAUUCUCUUGUGUUCAUACCACUUUCCAGCUAUAAGUUGCAAGAGAAUUCGGUGCACAUGCUUCAGAAGACAAAAGGGCAGACAAGGUGGCUUAUUUUCAAGUCAAAAACAUUUGUUAUUGACUAUCCUAACAAAGUUGAGAUUUGGGAAUCAAAACAUUUGUUAUUUUACUUGUAAAUUUUCUCCAUUUGCUGCCAUUAAGGUUUCCUUUGUUCUUUCACAAUAUUUAGUAGAAAUUAUUCCUUCUUUAAUACAACUUGAAUCAGCUCCACUAUCUAUUAAAGCUACAUAUAUUUCUUUGAAAUCUUCUACUGUAAUAGUUACUAAAGCAUACCAUUUUUGAAAUAUCAUUUUUUCUAUGGUAUUUAAAUAUUGAAUUUCAUCUGUUGGUCUUUCUGAUAUACUUAUUUCUUCUGUUUUAGAAUUGGAAGUUGAUGGUUGAUUUUCUAGUAAUGUUAUUUUUGCUUCUAUUUCUAAAUCUUUUGUUUUUAAUUCUAUGAUUUCUCUUUGUAAUUGUUUUACUUGUAUUUUAAGAUCAUUAAUUUCUGUUUGAAGAUCUUUAGUGGUUUCUUUUUUCAUUAUAUUUAUGUUUAGAUAUUUAUCUAUUAAUUUAGAAAUACUAAAAGGUUCUAUUAUUUUUGGCAUUUUGUCUUCUUGUAUAAUUAGACUUUUUAAUCUUUCUAAAUACUCUUUUUUAGCUACUGGAUCAUCAAUUUUUUCUAUUAUAUCUAAUAAAAAUUCUUUAUCUUCUUUUUUGGUUAUAACAUUUAUAUAUUUUGAAGUGUUAGAACAAUUACAAUUUUCUUCACUUUCUGUACUAGAUAUAUCAUUAUAAUAAUCAUCUUCAGAAUUUUGAUCUUUUUCAUUUAUUAAUUUAUUUUUAAUUUCUUCUUCUUUUGCACAAAUCUCUGUAAUUUUUUCUUUUAAUUUACAUUUGUUUGCUUUAUGUCCUAUUUUUUCACAUUUAUAACAAACAAUUUUUCUUUUAAUAAAUUUUCUCUUCUUUUCUGGUUUAUCUUCUUUAGAUCUUUUAUACUUUAUUUUCUUAUUAUAUUUUUUAACUUUUUUGUUAUAUGCAGAUGGUGAUUUAAUUCUUUAGUAGCAAAUUCUAAAGCUCUAUUAAUUGGUUUUAUUGUUCCUUGAUAUAUAUCAUGUCCUAAAAAUCUUAUUUUUGUUUGGAAUAAUUUCAUUUUUGGUGCUGAAACAACUAAUCCAUUUUUCUUAACUACUUUUAAAAAUAUAUUUAAAUGUUUGAAAUGCUGUUCUAUUGAUUCAGAAAAUAUUAAUACAUCAUCAAUAUAAACUAUGCUAAAUGAACUAUAAGGAUUGAAAAUAUCAUUCAUUAUAUUUUGAAAUUCUGAUGGUGCAUUUUUUAAUCCGAAUGGCAUUACGUUCCAUUCAUAAUGACCAAAAGGUGUUGUGAAUGCUGUUUUAUAUCUAUCUUUUGGUGUUAUUAAUAUUUGCCAAUAUCCUGAUUUUAGUUGUUUCAGCACCAAAAAUGAAAUUAUUUCAAACAAAAAUAAGAUUUUUAGGACAUGAUAUAUAUCAAGGAACAAUAAAACCAAUUAAUAGAGCUGUAGAAUUUGCUACUAAAUUUCCAGAUGAAAUAAAAGAUAAAAAUCAAUUACAAAGGUUUUUAGGAUGUUUAAAUUAUAUAGCAGAUUUCUUUCCUAAAUUAAGACAAGAAUGCUCUAUAUUAUUUAAUAGAUUAAAAAAGAACCAUUUCCACCAGUGAUUGAACCAGAUUGGGAAUUCUCUACUGCAACUUUUUUGAAUGUGAAGAACCAUGAAUGAUUGAAUGGUCUAUACAAAAAAAGCAAAAGUCUAAUUAUACAAGAAGACAAAAUGCCAAAAAUAAUAGAACCUUUUAGUAUUUCUAAAUUAAUAGAUAAAUAUCUAAACAUAAAUAUAAUGAAAAAGAAACCACUAAAGAUCUUCAAACAGAAAUUAAUGAUCUUAAAAUACAAGUAAAACAAUUACAAAGAGAAUCAUAAAAUUAAAAACAAAAGAUUUAGAAAUAGAAGCAAAAAUAACAUUACUAGAAAAUCAACCCUCAACUUCCAAUUCUAAAAACAGAAGAAAUAAGUAUAUCAGAAAGACCAACAGAUGAAAUUCAAUAUUUAAAUACCAUAGAAAAAAUGAUAUUUCAAAAAUGGUAUGCUCUAGUAACUAUUACAGUAGAAGAUUCAAAGAAACAUAUGUAGCUUUAAUAGAUAGUGGAGCUGAUUCAAGUUGUAUUAAAGAAGGAAUAAUUCCUACUAAAUAUUGUGAAAGAACAAAGGAACCUUAAUGGCAGCAAAUGGAGAAAAUUUACAAUUAAAAUAUAAAUUUACAAAAGGAUCAAUAUGUAACAAUGAAUAUUGUAUUAGACAUAAUUUCAUAAUUGUAAAAAAUAUAAAUCAUGAUAUAAUAUUAGGAACACCUUUUUUAAUUCAAAUUUACCCAUUUUCAGUUAGUCAUGAAGGAAUUUCAAUAAAUAUAAUGGGAAAAACUGUUAUCUUUAGAUUUCUAACUCCAGUAAAACAAAGAGAAUUACAGACAUUACAAACAUCCUCUAUUUACAAAACAAUAAAUAGUAUUACUAAAGUACAACAACAAAUAAAUUAUAUAAAAGAAAAAAUCUUAUUUAAAAAUUGAAGAACAAUUAAAAGAAAGUAAAAUGCAAAAAGAAUUUCAGAAUUAGAAGAAUUAUUACAAAAAGAAAUUUGUGCAGAUAUUCCUAAUGCUUUUUGGAUAGAAAACAACAUAUGAUUGAAUUACCUUACGAAACAGGUUUUAAUGAGAAAAACAUUCCUACUAAAGCAAGACCAAUACAAAUAAUUCUAAUCUAUUAGAAUUUUGUAAAAAGGAAAUAAAAACAUUAAUAGACAAAAAAUUAAUAACACCUUCAAAAUCACCUUGGAGUUGUGCUGCAUUCUAUGUAAUGAAUCAAGCUGAAAAAGAAAGAGGAGUUCCAAGAUUAGUUAUAAAUUAUAAACCAUUAAAUAAAGUAUUACAAUGGAUUAGUGAAUAAUACAAUAAAUUUAUAAAUUUAGAAUUAAUAGAGGAUACAAUAAAUUAAAGUAACCAUUUUUAUAAAUUUAAUAGAGCUCAAAUGCAAAUAAUACAAUAAAUUUAGAAGACAUUAAAAAAGUUUAUCAACAAAAUAAUUAUACAAAUCAAAUCCUUCAUACAAUUUCUCAACAUAUGGAAGUAUUAAACACAAAAAUAGAUACUAUAAAGAAACCAGAAUUAAAAUUCCCUAAUAAUAUUUCAGCACCUCAUUUUCAACCUAGAAGUUUGACAAGAGAAAAAGAACAAGAUUUAGAUUCAAAAUCAGAAGACAAAGCAUCGGCGAAUUAGUGAGAAAAAGAGAACAAAACACUCUCAUGUAAAAAUCCUUAGACAAAUCUCUCAAUCCCUCUUUCCAACUACUCUUGUAUUCAAUUACUUUUGUUUCCUUCCUUCUCCAAAUAUAAUAAAGAUCAAGGAUUCAACCAUUCAUCAAGCUUCUGUUAUCAAAGGCCACUCUAAAUUUUCAGUAAGUCCAAUUUUUAUACUAAAUUUUCUAUGAACAUUUCAAUAGAAAGUAGCCUGGGUAGAAGUGGUAUCAGAGCCACUUAUCACAUUAUCUUUACAGUGUUAUUAAGGAAAGUAGAUUACACAGUGGGAACCAAAAAUAGAAGAAAAUAAAGCCUCAUAUGAACCGAAUCUUUCCCCUUGCUUUUUUUUCUUGGAAUUUAAAGGUAUAAUGCAAGAAAUAACUCCUGGUCAUGCAAAAUUGCCAACAAAAAUGCGUCUUUGGUUUUUAAUUCCUUAAUAACAUACUAUCCAGCAUACUAUUUAGCAUAAUAACAUACUAUCUCAGAUGCAUCCACUUAAAUAUCCUGGCCGAGAUGGUAUGAGGCCAAUUUUCUAUCAAAAAUAUAGGUCUGUAGCAGGUAAUGACGUUACCUCACUACAACAAAAAUGGCCUUUAGCGGCAUUUAAAGGUGUCAGUAUAGAAAAUCUAACCUGACACUUUAUCUAUCCUGACACCCAUGGCGAGUGUUGUCCCUUCCAAUGUGGGGAUAGCCUCAAAUCUUUAGCAGCAUUCAAAUGUGUCAGGCAAACCAUGCUGCUAUAUCUUUACCUCUGCCAACAAAUCCUUUUUUUGUGAUAAUCGAAAAUGUAUGUAUAGUGUUAGGACAUCAGUAGGGAAUCGGUAGGAUAUCAAAUUUAUGAAGGCAUCUUGAGUUGUCUUAAUAUAUGGUUUUAAGGACACGUAGCCAUGUGAAUUUACAAUGUGUUGGACGACAUGCCCAUUUGUUGUUAGUGUUUUUCGAAGCUAAGCUAUGCUGACACUUUUAAUUGCCAGGAGAAUUUUCCCUGGUUUUUUUUUAUAUGGAAGCAACCUGCAAUUAGUCCUCCUUGCUGUACAUUCCAUCAAUCAGAAUCCCAAGGGACUUGUAAAAUUAUCCCAAAGAGCAGAAUGCAUAUGGCAAUGUAAAGAAGAAGUCGAUACUCAAAUAUAAUUCAUUGAAUUAAAAGUCGAUAACAAGUACAAACAUAGCAAAUACUAAAACGCAAACAAGUGCUAAAAGCAAGUACUAAAAUAUCAAACCAGUACCGAAAGAUUCUCAUUUACAAUAACUUAAAAGCUCUAUCGGAAGCACAAAAUAAAAGACUCCCAUCCCUAAUAAGUUGAAAGAAGUAGAAGUAGCUUCCAAACUUUCCAUUUUGUUGAGAGUCCUCAGGCAUAACCACGAAGUCCCCAUCAUUCUUCAGCUGGUUCCACCUGUGCACAAAGACCAAGGGGAUCAUUAGAUCAUCAUAACUAAAACUAAAAUUCCAGAAAAUCCGCAAUGUAUUUAAGUGCAUAUCUCACCAAAUGACAAGGCCAAGCAACUGGUGCACCAAGUGCAUCUUGAAUCGUUUGUUGUAAACCAUAUGGUCUAAUCAAUUGCUCACGUGGAGUCAUUGCAACUUGUAUCUGUAUUUCACACCAGUUUGGCCCAAGAGCUUGUCCCCCGACCUCAUCCAAUGGAUUCAGACUCCGUAAAUAUCCCUUUGCCACGAUUUUUGUUGGGUCAAACAAACUUUUUAGUGAAACCAUAUUCCCUACCUAGUAAACAUCCAACAAGUACAAGAAUCAAACUCAUGCCAAAUUCCAGAUUACAAAUGCAAAAGUUUAGAAGUUGUAAAUACUUACUCAAAUAGGUCGCGUGGCUCGCGAUGGAGCAUGGCUUGACACAUUGUUAGAUGAUGAUGAAGGAUGUCUCGGGCUGUCAAUUGGAGAGCCCCUUCCAUGUUGAACUAAAAUCAUUUUCUUCAAGCUGGCUAUUUCAUCAUCUUGUCGCUGAAGCCUUUCCUCCAAACGGACUAAUGUUGACUGUUGUUGAACACUUAUACGGUAGCAUGUGUUACGACUAGGAAUGUCUUCCCAUAAGUCCGUUGGAUUCACACCGUCACUAAGCAAGCGAACAUGACCAUAUUUGUCUUGCCCAACCACCUGGGCAAAUAUAUCAUCACGACCAACUGGAUCUUGCGAAUCCGAUGGAAGCUGAUUUUUCAGCUCAGUCAUUUUUUCCUACAUAAUAAAGGAAAACACUUGUUAUUGCAAAAGACUGUCUGAAAACAUCCAUGGUAGAAUUGAUAGGCUUGUGUUCUCGGAUCCUUACCAAAUUCUCAGCAACUAUGGUACUUGAUGGAGUUUGUUGACCUUGGUCGAUCAAUCCUUGGUUUUGAUGAUUAACAAACCAAAAUGUAGAUUUGGGCUAAUGUUUUUAUGUGAGCAAUUUGUUAGAACAGAUUCUUGUGGCACAAAAGAAGAAGCAAAAACAGGGCACUCAUGUGAGACGUCCGAAAGGAAGCUAUCGGACGUCCGAAAGGAUGAAGAACAUCAGGAAGGAUAUUCUGUCGGACGCUCGUGAGAAAGCAUCGGACGUCCGGAUGGAUCGGACACACUCUUCGGACGCACAUCGAUCGUGUCGGACGUCCUAAAAAUUUCACGAAGAUUUGAUAACUCUCUGGACGACGUUCGGACGCAGGGUUCGGACGUCCGACAGGUGGUUUGGACGCAGGGUUCGGACGUCCGACAGGUGGUUCGAACGUCCGACAGGCCAACGGCUAGUUUUGACAGCAUUUAAUAUUUGACCGUUGGAGAGCCUUUUGGAGCCAUUUCUCACAUUCUAUAAACACCCCAAAGCACAAGAAGACACGGGACUUUUGCCAACACAAUAUACAAGCUUACAAGUGAGAUUUUUGAGUAGAAAGAUUCUUUGUUGGUUGUAUAAGGGGUUGGGGAAGUUGGGUUGUGAGGUUGCUCAAGUGAAGGUUAUUCUCUAGGAGGAGUAAAACCUUGGUGAAGGUGAACCUAUCACUUGAAGUGGUAAAACCUUGGUGAAGGUUGCCUCAUUUGUAUAAAAUAGUUCUUAAUUGGGUGAGUGAUCUUUCAAGUGUAGGUUGUUGAGGGUUAACUAGAAUUGUUGUAAAACUCCUUGGCUCAACCAAAGUGUGUUUGGCGUGAGGAAGGAGUGAGCCUUCACUUGUACAUCUUGGUUAGCAUCGCCAUCAAUUGAAGAGGCUAUUGGUUUGAUAUUUGGUUUGCAUUUCUUAUCCUUUCUCUUUAAUUAAGUUUUCUUUAUUGUGCUUAAAUUUGAUAUAUCUUUGUGCAUCAUUGUGAAUUUGUUUGUACUCAUUAGGUUGCACCGAGCACUUACAAUUGGUAUCAGAGCUUGGUCUCCUUGAGACUAAGCUCAAUCGGCUUGGAGUAAAGAUCAUGGCAACCAUAAAAGUUUCCUUUUUAGAAGGGCAAUCUAUUGAUAGACCACCUAUGUUUAAUGGUUCUCAUUUUAGCAUGUGGAAACAAAGAAUGAUGAUUUUCUUACAAUCCAUUUAUAUUGAAUUAUGGUAUGUGGUAGAAGAUGGUCCUUAUGAAGCUAGAAUAGUUGACUCUACCAUCAAUUUGAGUAGAUUAAAGACUAGACAAGAAUUGAAUGAAAAAGACAAGAGAUACCUUUCUUUGAAUGCCAAGGCCAUGUGUAUAUUGUACAAUGCAUUAGAUGUAAAUGAAUCUAGUAGGAUUAAAGGUUGUAAAUCAGCUAAAGAUAUUUGGGAUAAAUUGUGUAUUUCAUGAAGGUAACCAAGAUAUUAAAGAACAAAAGAAAUCUUUGCUUGUUUCUCAAUAUGAAUUUUUCAAAAUGCAUCCUCUUGAAAAUGUUGAUAAGAUGUGUAGUAGAUUUUGUGACAUUAUUCAAGAUCUUAAAUUGCUUGGAAGAGAAUAUUCUUUGGGUGAGAAAAAUAGAAAGAUUUUGAAUGCCUUGCCAAAAGAAUGGGAAAACAAAAUAAAUGCUAUAGAAGAGGCAAAGGAUUUAAAUUCUAUGUCCAUUGAAUCUCUUGUGAAUUCCCUAACUUCUUAUGAAUUAAAGCUGCAAUUCAAAGUGCAAGAGAAAGAAAAUGCAAGAAUGUAUAAGAGAGGCAUAGCUUUUAAAGCAUCUCAAGUGGGGGAUAACCCAUCUUUCAUGGGUAAUGAAAACAUGGAAGUGGACAAUGAUAUAACUCCUCACAUCAAAAGUUUCAAGAAGAUCUUCAACAAGAGAAGUUCAAGAGGAGAUUGCAAAAUUACAUGGGAUGAAUACAAUUCAAAAAGAGAAAAAGAAGAGUUGGCACAAAUGGCACUAAUGGCCUUUGGAGAAGAUGAGGUAAAUUCUUAUCACUCUUCUUGUGAUGAAGAUAAUGAAGAUGAUGAUGUGAAAAUUCUUAUGAUUAAAAUGCAUAAAAGUUUGAGAAAAUCUUAUGCUAAAAAUAAAGAUUUGAAAACAAAAAUAAAUGAUUUGUUGGAAGAAAACUCCAAACUUUUUCAGGAAAACAAAUGUUUGAGAAUGGAAAAUGAUGAUUUAAAAAAUCAAAAAAAUGUUUUUGAUUGCAAAAAUAAUUUGAAAAGGAAGUUGGAAGAGAAAACAAAGUUUUAUGGAAAAAUGUUGGAUGAACAAAAUUUGUUAAAGAAAAGAAUUAAUGACUUGAACGAGUUUCUCCAAAAUGAAAAACAAAAGUUUUCUCAAACAAAAGAAAGCAAAUCUUUUCAAGGCACAAAUACGUUUGCUAUGAUAAGAAGUAAGAAAAUUAGUUGCAUUAAAUCCACUUAUGUGCAAAAUACUUCUAUCAUGUGUCACUUUUGUUGUCAAUUUGGACAUAUGCAAAAUGAUUGCUAUGUAAAGAAAAAUAUGAGAAAAGGUAUGAAAUCCAUGUGGAUUGCUAGAUCAUGUUGUACUAACUCCCAAGAACCCUAUAAAAACUUACAAUUGGUAUCAUGAAAGUUUUGUCAUUCUAUAUGGUCUUGAUUUGGAAAAUAAAGGGGGAGUUUACUUUUUGAUUGAUGUCAAAAGAGGGAGUAGGAUUUAUUGAAAUUUCUUUGUAUGUUGGCAUUUUCUAAGGGAGAGUUUUAUUUGAACUUAUUUGAUCAAAGAAAUCUUCAUUUUGUUUGUCAUCAUCAAAAAGGGGGAGAUUUUUGACCUUGGUCGAUCAAUCCUUGGUUUUGAUGAUUAACAAACCAAAAUGUAGAUUUGGGCUAAUGUUUUUAUGUGAGCAAUUUGUUAGAACAGAUUCUUGUGGCACAAAAGAAGAAGCAAAAACAGGGCACUCAUGUGGGACGUCCGAAAGGAAGCUAUCGGACGUCCGAAAGGAUGAAGAACAUCAGGAAGGAUAUUCUGUCGGACGCUCGUGAGGAAGCAUCGGACGUCCGGAUGGAUCGGACACACUCUUCGGACGCACAUCGAUCGUGUCGGACGUCCUAAAAAUUCCACGAAGAUUUGAUAACUCUCUGGACGACGUUCGGACGCAGGGUUCGGACGUCCGACAGGUGGUUUGGACGCAGGGUUCGGACGUCCGACAGGUGGUUCGAACGUCCGACAGGCCAACGGCUAGUUUUGACAGCAUUUAAUAUUUGACCGUUGGAGAGUCUUUUGGAGCUAUUUCUCACCUUCUAUAAACACCCAAAGCACAAGAAGACACGGGACUUUUGCCAACACAAUAUACAAGCUUACAAGUGAGAUUUUUGAGUAGAAAGAUUCUUUGUUGGUUGUAUAAGGGGUUGGGGAAGUUGGGUUGUGAGGUUGCUCAAGUGAAGGUUAUUCUCUAGGAGGAGUAAAACCUUGGUGAAGGUGAACCUAUCACUUGAAGUGGUAAAACCUUGGUGAAGGUUGCCUCAUUUGUAUAAAAUAGUUCUUAAUUGGGUGAGUGAUCUUUCAAGUGUAGGUUGUUGAGGGUUAACUAGAAUUGUUGUAAAACUCCUUGGCUCAACCAAAGUGUGUUUGGGGUGAGGAAGGAGUGAGCCUUCACUUGUACAUCUUGGUUAGCAUCGCCAUCAAUUGAAGAGGCUAUUGGUUUGAUAGUUGGUUUGCAUUUCUUAUCCUUUCUCUUUAAUUAAGUUUUCUUUAUUGUGCUUAAAUUUGAUAUAUCUUUGUGCAUCAUUGUGAAUUUAUUUGUACUCAUUGGGUUGCACCGGGCACUUACAGAGUUCCAUCGGCAUGGGUAUAAAACUUAUUGAACAUUUCUACUCUAGUAGGAGGUCUUCCCAACUGUUUGGCCUAUAAGAAAUUGAAUCGUUUUAAUUAUAGUUUUAGCAUUUAGCAUAUAAUUAAAAAACAAGCUAACAUAAUGAAACAUGUACGAGCAAAAAAAAUUAGCAACUAAAAAGUGGAUGAGGUAUCACCAAGUGGUUCCGAAGAUGAGCAAAUGACUUUUUUCCGGUUGUGUGGUUCAUCUUCUUCUCCCCUCUAGCUUUCUUGUUCCUCUCACUUAGUUUCUAAAUUUCAAAAUCAAAAGCAAGAUUACAGCAUUGAAUGAACACAACUUUAUGAAGAAUGUUGUAGCUGAUUUGUACCUUUGCUUCUUCACUUUUCCAAUAAGCCCAAAGUUUGAUCCAUUGCUCUUCCCGUACCCUUAUGUCCUUUUGAAACCGAGCUUCAGCAUUUGGCACGGCAGAAUCAAAAUAGUUAGCCUUUAAAUCUGCCUUCCAGCUUCUCCAUUUUUUGCCAAUAGAUCUUAAGGUCCAAGCUUCCAGUCCCAUAGGCAAAGCAAACCUUUCCUGAAACGUAGUUAGCAACAAGAAAAUCAACACAACUUCACAGUAAUUUUUGUACAAAGCAUACAUAAUACAAAAGCUGCCAUUACCUUUAUCACUUCUAACAUGUCCAUUUUAAGUUUCCUUGGCAUCUUAAGCCAUGUUUCAACAUCUAUUGGACAAUACAUACCAUUCCUAGCCAAACUGCCCAAGAAUUCAGAGAAAGAGUUUUUCUCACUUAUUGGGAUCCCAUUGUCAUCGAGUUUAAUCUCAAUCCGUGGAAGUUCCUUAGGCCGACCCCAAAUUUCUUUCAUAAAUAUAGGGCCUCGGGUUUUAUGAUUUACUUCACUUGAAUCAUUUGUAGUUUCUUUUCCUGUUUAAAAUAAGAAAAAGGUGCAAGUUAUGAACAUAACAAAAUGCACUUCUGGAAUUGGUUCAAAACAGUUAGUAAUACCUGCAUUGUCCGAGUUGCAUGACAUGAAGGUGGUGUCACUGGAAUGUGGACCUCGAGAAUCCUGAUUUGGACUUUCUUCGGUUGCUUCAUGCCUUGUUCCAAGUGGAGAUUGUUGAAUUGGAGAGUUCUGGCACUGCUCAUGCGACUUGGAACCUCCAUCAGCUUGUUGAGUAACUUGGUCACCUGAUUCAUGCAUUAUUCCCAAUGUAGAAUUCUGAAUUGCAGAUUGAGGUGCCCGAGCAGCUUCUCCUUGCACUUGUUCAAUUACAUUUUCAUGGCUUGUUCCAAGUGGAGGCUGCUGCCUUGUUUCAUAACAUGAGGGAGGUUGCUCAAUUGGUUCAUCUCUCAAUCCAUUUGCAGCGCGCUUACAUUUUCGACCUCUACGGGCCAUACCUGCAUAAUAUUUGAGUGAAGAAAGGGACAAAUGUAAAUGUUUAAAAUUUAUUGAAGCACACUCUCUACCUAUAGUUUCUUUAACUUACAAAUGCUAUUAUAAAGAAGUACUACUUGAACAAUAAACUGGCAUGACAAGUAACAAAUGGCAUUCUGCAAGAAUAAACCAGGGGAAGACUAUGGAGCUGUCAACAGAACAGAGAAACAAAUGGAGAAUAUAUGAUUCAAUGCAGCAACUAAUUGGAAAUGAAAUGAAAGCUACAUGCUUAAGUGACUGCAAGAAUAUACAUGGGAAAUGCUUUGAUCUACAUCCUUUCAGCAUGAAAGAUAUGCAGAAUUUACUACCGCUAGACACGAAACUUUUUCCAUAUUGUUCUGAGAAUGAUGCCUAUGAUCAAAAGUUGGUAUGCUUAUGCUCAAUGAGGGUGUAAGUAGAAGAGUCCACGUAAUUUUAACUUCAGUAAUGGAGCAAACUAAUAAAUGAUUGUCUUGAAUUAACGAAAUAUACUUGGCCAUGUGAUAACCAAAAAUUGCAGAGGAUAAUGUAUUCUACCAACAAAUACAAGUCUUGGUUUUGUAUGUUUAGGGUGGCAAUCGGGUCGGUUAUGAAGCUCUACUGAAUACUUUUAUUUCCAGAUUCUGACAUGGUUCUGCAUUUAUCAAGAACUUGUCUCAUCUAAACAAGAGCUCAAGCUUUACGUAGCAUUGACGAUUCCAAACCAAAUUACUUCUCUUUUUGCCAGAGCCACAUCCACAGUUAUGGGUUGACACUUAACAGUAAAUGCACAAACACUUUUCCAAUACAAUUGUAGCAGUACAAACAAUACAGUUGUAGAACAGGAAGGAGACGAAGAGCAUCACGGUGAAAGACUGAAAACGAGAACCCAUCACCAAAAAUAGAUGGUUGAAAUUGUACAUUCAGUUCACAGUAGCAGUCUCCAUUCGACCAGGCUCACCUAGAAAUGUGCUUCUCAGAAAUGUGCUUUUCACACCGCCACCACCCCAAAAGCUUUUCACACCACCACCACCCCCCAAAGCAAACAUUCUACCUAGAAAUGUGCUUCUCAGAAACGGAGAAGGUGCUUGUCAGAGAUGGGAAUCGAAUAGCCUAAAAACUAAAUCUACCAAGCAAUGCAAGAACAUGUCUACCAUGCAAUGCAGAAUUAGACACAAAAUACUGAAAUUACCUCAAACUAUGGCUUGAAUCCCUAAUUUCUCGGUUUCCCAAGCUUUGAAGCCCUAAUUCUGAUUUCUUCCCACCAAGCCAACACAACAGCCGAAUUAGGGAUUUGCCUGGUGCGAGCUCAACCAAGUUACCCAAAAGGGUGCGAGUUCAUGGACGGCAAUUGACUCAAAUUGGUUGUGCGAGCUUGAAAGAGAGAGAGAGGACAAAGGCAGAGGACAACGAGAGAGGGAGAAGAUGUCUGAAAUAAAGGCAGUACUAAUGACGCCAAAGUAAAUUAGUCAAGCCUCUUGAAUUUUUCAAUUUGCCGCGCUACUAAUGACAAUUUUUGUGUGUUUGGGCAAAAUUUUGUUAAAGCUAGAUAACAACUAAAAAUUUGGUUAAAGCUAUAUACAAUAUAAUAUAACAACUAAAAAUAUAAAGGCUAAAAAUCUUGUUAAAGCUAUAUAACAACUAAAAAUAUAACAAAUAAAAAUUUUGCAAGAGCUAUAUACAAUAUAAUAUAACAAUCAAAAAUUUUGUUACAGCUAUAUAACAACUAAAAAUAUAACAAAUAAAAAUUUUGUUAAAGCUAUAUACAAUGUAAUAUAAUAACUAAAAAUAUAAAAAUAAUUAAAAAUUUUGAGAAGCUAACAAAAAACAUUCUUUUAAUCAAAAUGUUUUUUACUCAAUUUAUUUUAUGCUGCGAGCAAUUAUGUACGGCUUGUAGUCUAACAAGCCAUUGGAAGGAUCGAAUUAGUUUAUGAAACAAGAAAAUUAACUUGUGAAUGCAUGAACUUUCCAUUGAUAAACAUUGGGAUUAGAAUUGAUUGAACAUAAACAAUGAAUAUAUAUAUAUAUAUAUAUAUAUAUUCAAUGUUUUCAAUUCCAAAGCAAUUGCCAUUGAACUUUGUGUUAAUUAGAAACUUACUAUCACUUACAAGAUCUUACUAUUGAACUUUUCAAUGAUUAACCUUAGGCUUACACUUACAACGCAUUAAUUGAACAUAAACAUAUAUAUAUAUAUAUAUAUAUAUAUAUAUAUAUAUAUAUAUAUAUAGGGUAAAAAAAAAAAAGGCCCCCUGUGUAGUUAACCUAAUACACAGAAAAGCUCCCCAUGGUUUCAAAAUAUACAACACGAUCCCUCAUGCUUUGAACUAAAUUGUAAAGGUGACGGAAUCCGUUAAACUUAACGGAAAUGGACGAAAUGACCAAAAUGCACUGAUAUAAUUAAGCAAAAGACAGCUCAAAAAAAUCAUUUGUUUCAUUCUCUAAGUAGAGAGAAUUGAGGGUUAAGGGGUAGAAUAUGCAUAUUUGAUAAAAAAUAGGCAUAAAAAUUUUUUUUAGGUUCCAAUAAGUCAUUUCCGUUAAGUUUAACGGAUUCCGUCACCUUUAUAAUUUAGUUCAAAACAUGAGGUGUCGUAUUGUAUAUUUUGAAACCAUAGGGGAUUUUUCUGUGUAUUAGGCUUACCACAGGGGGUUUUUUGUUUUUUACCCAUAUAUAUAUAUAUAUAUAUAUUCAUUGUUAAAAAUUCCAAAGCAAUUGCCACUGAACUUUGUGUUAAUUAGAAACUUACUAUCACUUACAAGAUCUUACUAUUGAACUUUUCAAUGAUUAACCUCAGGCUUACACUUACAACGCAUUAAUUGAACAUAAACAUAUAUAUAUAUAUAUAUAUAUUCAAUGUUUUCAAUUCCAAAGCAAUUGCCAUUGAACUUUGUGUUAAUUAGAAGCUUACUAUCACUUACAAGAUCUUAAUAUUGAACUUUUCAAUGAUUAACCUUAGGCUUACACUUACAACGCAUUGAUUGAAGGAUAAUCUAAAAUUGCGACUAAACCGAUUAAAUUCGAUCAAAGAUCAGUUGGACUAGAAAGCUCUAUCGGAAUUAACUUUUUGUAUUGUUAUUGGUUUAAAAAAUAAUUUUUUCAUGGUAUUAAAAAAUUAUUUAAGAAAUUUAUAGAUUAAAGUUUCAAAAUAUUUCUAUUAAAAAAUUAGACCUCGGUUAUUGGGAAAAAGAAUUGGCCAUAAAAUAAUGAUUCACAAAUGUAAUAUUACAGCUUACAAUUAAUGGAAUUGCUUAUAAAAUAAUGACAAGUAUUUAUCCAGCCCAUUGGGCUCUUAAAAUAAGUAAUGGGUUCCUUGGAAAGUUGGAUAGUUUUAUGUUUGGUCUGAAAUGAUUUGCACAUUCCGUACGUUGCCAAUUGUUCUCCCCAAAUCAUAGCCUCGGUUGCCAAUUGUUCUCAUGCUAUUAAAAGAAAAAUCAUUCCAAUACCAUUUUUAUGAAUAAGACUGACGAUUACUAACCAAGACUAGAAAUCCAAAAACUGGACCAUGGGAGUAUCAAUGAAGAAAGGCCUUAAAGAGGCAAAUUAAUACACAAGUUUUAACUAAUAGCACCAACUCUUUUAUCACAUCUGUCAGAAGGCUUAACAUGACAUCGAGAGCACUAAACUCAAAAAAAAAAAAAUGCAAAACCCAUCGACAAAAGGAAAUAAAGCCUAGGCCUCGCAAUUGAAACAGAGAAGAAUAAGGCCAGUAAGCUUUAAAGCUAUAAAAGAUUCUAAAUCAGAUUAUAUUGGGACAAAUCAACUUCAAUCCCAAGUCCAUUCUCACGAACCCAACUAAUUUCCUCAUUUUCAUUCUCAACAACAGGAUUGCCAACAUCACUUUGCAAAUAUGUCUCAACAUCCAUGGUUGUGCCCAUGUUAUAUCCAGCUCUUGCAGUGGUAGAGAUAACCACUUGCCAAUCCUUAUCAGUUGGAUCUUCCACAUAAAAAACCUGUGAUGCUUGUGAAGCAAGUAUAAAUGGCUCAACAUGAGGCCUCACGUUUGCAAAAUUGACUAAAGUAAACCCAUCAGCAUCUUGUUUCAUUCUCGAACCAUUUGAUAUCCAAUCACAUUCGAAUAACACCACCCGCGACCUCCGUAAAUUAAUUCAAUCAUAUUUUUCAAGAUGCCGAAGUAAACUAGUUCACUCAAAACUGGAUUUUGAUCCCUUAUACUUGCAAAACUGGAUGUUGUUGCAUUGACUGUAACACCACUAUUCUGCGUUUUUCUUUUCUUCUCAACUUCUUUGGUGUGAAACCGAAAUCCAUUAACAACAUACCUGCCAUGUUGGAUUCCAACAACAUCUGGACCUUUAGCAAGGAACCUCAACUCUCUCAACACCGAAACAUUUUGAGGAAGUUCUAACUUGUCAAUCUGUAAAAAAAAAAAAAAAAAAAAGAUGAAACUAUAUUUGAAGUCCUACAAUUCAAAUUGUACUUAAUAUUCAGAAUUUUACUUACAUGUUCAGCAAACCAACAUGCAAAAUUUUCACUGUGCAAGCGCUCUUUUAGAUGCUGUGGAACUUGAGGAUGUCCUUCUUCUAUCAAUCUACGAUGCUGCCUAGAAGUACAUGAGUCAAAAUUGUAAUCAUACAUUGAAUUCUACAAUAAAAUUUUAAUGCAUCAAGUUGUAGUUGAACUUACUCUAUGUAAGGUGUGACAGCAUCACAGUUAAAUAAAAUAUACUGAUGUGCUUUACUCAAGAUAUGAGCAUCAAAGACUGUUGGCUUGCCCCUCCCCAAAGGAUGUCCUGAUUCAGAGAAUAUAUCUAAACCAUCUUCAAUUUCCUUAUGUACUUCUUCAUUUCUGCUUGGACGAUUGAAUUUUGUCUCAACAUAGUCCGCAAGAUACAAUGAGCAAAAGUUAAUGCAUUCUUCUGCCAAGUAGCCUUGAGCAAUCGAACCUUCAGGCCUACUUUUAUUUCGAACAUAAGAUUUUAAUGUUCCUAAGUACCUAAAUUAUCAUCAUUCCAAACUCUCUAAUUAGUUCCACAAAUCAAAGAAAGCAAAAAAGGAAUAAACAUUUAAGGCAUAAUGAGAAUUACAAGCAGUACCUCUCUACAGGAUACAUCCAACGAUAAUACACCGGCCCACCUAAUUUCACUUCAAUUGCCAAAUGAACAACUAAAUGCACCAUGACAUCGAAGAAGGUUGGUGGGAAGCAUUUCUCAAGAUCGCAGAGUAUGACGGCAAUUUCACUUUCCAAACGAACCACAUCUUGAGGACAAAUAACUUUAGAACAAAGCUGCCUGAAGUAUCUACUCAAUCGAAUCAAAGGAUAGCGCACUGAUUUUGGUAAAGUCUUUCUCAAAGCUAUAGGCAUCAAUUGCUGCAUUAGGAUAUGAUUAUCAUGACUUUUAAGCCCUGAAAUUCUUGGUGGUUUUACUCGAACGCAUCUUGAGACGUUAGCUGCAUAACCAUCUGGAACUUUCACCUUUUUUAGCACAUUGCAAAACAUAGUUUUCUGUUUUUUAUCCAUUGCAAAGGAAGAUGGAGGUAAGUACACCUUUCCAGGUUCUGUCUCAAUGGGAUGCAGCUCUUUUCUUAGUCCCAUUUCUCUCAAAUCACGGCGGGAAUUAUAAUGGUCCUUUGUUUUAUCCUCGGUGUCCAGCAAUGUCCCCCAAAUGUUUUCACAAACAUUUUUCUCAAUGUGCAUGAAGUCAAGAUUGUGUCUUAAGACAUUAUCUUUCCAAUAUGGCAAGUCAAAGAAAAUACUCCUCUUUUUCCAAUUGAAAGGCAGCUUCGGAUUACCUUUCACAAGUUUUCCAAAUUUAAUUUGCAAGUCUCCCAAUUCACUCACAAUCAUAUCCCCGGUUUGCAAAGGUGGUCGCUUUCCAUGUUCUUCGGUGCCAUCAAAGAAUUGGGCUUGCUUUCUAAAUUUAUGCUUACUAUCUAAGAAUCUCCGAUGACCAUGUAGCAAUAUUUGAAACUAUGAGUCAACCGUCGUGCAUGAGUGAACUUGUGACAAACAGGACAAGCAUAUUCACCUUUAGUGCUCCACCCAGAUAACAUUGCAUAUCCAGGGAAAUCACUAAUGGUCCACAACAGAGCCGCAUGCAGUUGAAAAUUUUCUUUUUGGGAUGCAUCAUAAGUUUGAAUGCCAAAAUCCCACAAUUCGGUCAGUUCUUUAACUAGAGGCUGUAGAUAAACAUCAAUAUUAUUCCUAGGAGAGGAUGGUCCGGGUAUUAACAAAGACAACAUGAAGUACGGUUGCUUCAUACACAUCCACAGAGGUAAGUUAUAUGGUAUUAAAACUACAGGCCAAGUACUGUGUGUAGAACUCAUGUUGUUGAAUGGAUUAAACCCGUCAGAUGCCAACCCCAAUCUAACAUUUCGACAAUCCUUAGCAAAUUCUGGAUGUAGAUGGUCAAAAGUUUGCCAAGCUGGAGAAUCAGCUGGAUGUCUCAUACAACCAUCUUUUGUACGUUUUCCUCAUGCCAUCUCAUUUGAGAUGCAAUUUUAGAAGACAUAAAUAGUCUUUGUAAUCUAGGUUUUAAGGGAAAAUGCCACAACACUUUUUGAGGAAUUUUCCUUUUUUCCCCAGUUGGAUCAUUUUCUGAAGCAACCCACCUAAGCUCGUUACAUGUUUCGCAUGAAGUUCUUUUUUCAGCACUACCCCUAUAAAGAGAACAAUCAUUAGGACAUGCAUCGAUCUUUUCAUAACCCAGCCCCAAUGUAUUCAUCAAUUUCUCAGCCUCAUAGUAAGAAGACGGCAAAUUAGUCAUGGCCUCCGGAAAUGCUUCUCUCAACAGCUCAACAAGCAUAUUAAAAAUCUUGUUACUCAUCUUACCCAGGCAUUUUAGGUGAAGCAAACGAAUAAUGAAAGACAAUUUCGAGAAAUUUUUGCAACCAUUGUACAAAUCCUGUUGAGAAUCAUCAAUCAAUUUGUAAAAUUUUUCAGCCUCUGAAACAGGAAUGUCCCCUUCUCUAUUCAAUUCAUUUGUUCCAUGUGGUAUCCCAAAUACAUCAUGGACCAAGUCUUGCAUGUCAUUAGUCCCAUUUGAAACCCAAUUGAUGUAUUUUCAGAAUUAGAUGUGGCUUCAUUGUAGUUUGAAAGUUCUCCAUGUGCUAUCCAAUUAUUAUAACCCUUGAUAAAUCCUACCACUUUCAAAUGAUCAUAUGCUUCCAUUUUUGUCACACAAACACCCAUGCCGCAAUCUUUGCAAGGACACAAAAUCUUUCCGUCACAACUUGAUCUAGAAAAUGCGAAGUUUAGAAACAUUUGAAGUCCUGUCUCGUACUUUUCACUUGUUCUUGGAAAAUCCAUCCAUCUUUUAUCCAUACUUUUAAUAUAAAUAAAUGUCCUCCAACGAGCUUCCAAUAGCCUACUUUUUAAACUCAGGUCGUGGCUUACAAGUCCCUAAUUUCAAGUUCAAGAAUUUCUCACAAAAAGGAAUUUAUCAAGCAGCCAGCAAAUAAAGGAAAUCAACAAAAUGCAAAAUUUCUCAACAAUCUAUAAAAACAGAAUUUGCAAGUAAGCGGAUAGAAAUUUUAUUUACCUAAUAACAGAAAAAAACCCUUCGUACCAACUCCUGCGCUCACGUCUUCGCAAAAUUCCUAAGUUCAAUCUGAAAUGUCAAUGGUUAAACAAACACAUGAGCAUGAAAACUAAAGGUGAAAUUCAAGAAUUUUACUAAAUUUUCAUCAAAGUAUACAUACAUCUUUGGUGUGUAGUGAUUAAUUUUAUAAGUCAUCUCUUUAGAAAGGCAUGCAAUUGACGGCAUAGGUAAUUGGAAAAAGAAUGACAGAAAAGUCCCCUAGCUUCUAAUCAUGCCUAUGAAGAUCCUUAUGAACAUGUCAAAAUACUUUGACCCAACUACAUCAAUGUCUCUGUCUUAUUAAUCUAAAAGUCCCCUUUUUUGGGCUCAAAAUUUGCACUAUAAUAGACUGAUCAAGUGCAGAAGACACUUAGUACAAGCGUUAUACUAUAUAUUUCAAGCAACUCACGUACUGAUUAGACAUACAAUUUAAAACAGAAAAAUGAUGUAAAGAUGCAAGUACUACAUAGAAUUUAACAUAGAAAAAAGCAAUAGUGAUAUAAGUGAUACCAUUGGGUGAAAUAUGCACUUAGCCGGAGGACCACCUUUGUGGCAAAAGCCAAAAGGCAGCAAAGGUUACCAUUGUUAUGCAAAUUUUGUGCCUCACAUUGGCGGUCCAUUAUCUGCAUCUUAAUUGUCUUUGGGCUUAUAUAGUCACGGUUUCCCAAUUCUGUCACCAGAAUAAUUUCCUGCUAGGCAUAUAUAGACCAUGGUCCUUGUUUCAUUUAUUUAUAUCGAACUUGUUGCUGAGUGUUCAUGAUUACGAUAAGCAAUGCAAUUUGGUUGAAGCUCUCUAUUCACAGUUUUGCUUAACCGUCCCCAUCCCCAAACAGAACUAGCUGCCUAAACAAACUUCAAUUACAGCUAGGUUUCAUAGAAAAAAAUGAAAAACAGGGGGAAUUGACUUUUUAUCGAACAGGUUUUGGGCAACAUACUAAUCACCCGUGGACACUUUAUUAGCUAGCCUAUGUACAAUUAUGGCAUGACGAUAGAACAAAUGUAACAUGGACAUAAAGAUCGAUCUCCUCAAAAAAUACGCAAUCCAAUUGAACAAAUUUCCUCAAGUUUUCAUCUCCAUUGCAGCUAAAGAAAAAGCAUCCAACACCGAGUUGCUAUUAAUGCUACAAUUAGAUAGAUAUCAUAUUUAAAUCUUUCAACAAUCUUAAAUGAGGACAAUAUAACUCAACUAGCGACAGCUCAGGCCAAGAAUCUUUACUUCUCAGAAAAAAAUUUCCAAGUUGCAGGUAAUUUCUUGACAACGAAAUCAAACAUAAGAGCUUCAUUGUGUUUACCACUUCGAUUUUGGAACAACAUUUGCGCGCCUGAAGUAUCUUCCAGCUUUCCCAAUGUACAGCUCCGAUCUUCUAAUUUUACUCCCUGCCUGCCCUUCCAGAUGUCUUAGCCGAAGGAUUUAAAGUUGAGGUUAGAAAAGAUGAAGAUGGUUGUUUGCGGAGACAGCUUGACCAACAUUCUGGAUUGGCUGAGAUAGAUUGUAUGCGGAGAGGUGAGAGAGAUGAGAAGAAGAAAAUUUUCACCAAGUCCUUUUGCCGGCAAAAUGAAACUUCAGAGUACUUUACCAAGUGUCUGGAGCCAAAUUAAAACGAUGUCAUUUUCUGUCUUUUUUUUUCUCACAUUUUCCCAAGUGUCAUGAUAGGUAGUCUAAAGACACAUUAUUAUUUUAUAUCAUGAUAAAAUAAAAAAAUUAUAGUACAGAUUAUUGAGUUGGUUAAUAAGUGUCAUGAUACGUUUGGUAUAACGACACAAACCAACAAGUGUCCUUAUAAACAUGUCAGAAAAGGCCAUUUUUGUUGUAGUGCCUGUUGCGUUUUGAAUUUCUUAAAUAAAGGUCUUCUCUUACCCCCAAGCUAAAUUUCACACACGUUGCUCUUAUUCCUAAAUAUUUAGAGCCCAAGCAAGCAAAUAUCUCAAUUCCGUCCACUAAGUUUAUGUAAUGUAGUGUACAAAUUAGCGUCUAAAGCCAUCUCUAAUCGAGUCCGUGUUCUUUUACCGAAUAUUAUUUCUGAUCUCAAUCGGCUUUUAUUCCUGGCCAAUUAAUCACCAGUAAUGUCCUUGUUGCUUAUGAAGUCCAUCAUCUUAAAUGUAAAAAUGCAGGCAAGGAGGAACUCAGGUCGAUUAAAAUGGAUACGAGCAAAGCGUAUGAUCGAGUUGAGUGAUAUUUCUCUUAAAAAUAUUACUAGCUUUAGGUUUCAAUUCUAAAUUUAUUUUCUUAAUUUUCAAAAGUAUUUCAACAGUUUCUUAUUCUUUUUUGCUCAUCGGUUUGGGAUUUGGCCACUUAAAACCUAGUUGGGGUAUUAGACAAGGAGACCCACUUUCCGCAUAUCUAUUUAUAUUGUGUGCAGAAGCUUUUUACAUUUUAUCUCAGAAGCUAGUCUUUGUGGAAAGUUGGGAGGCAUUGCUGUUGCGCCUGGUGCUUCAUCCAUUUCUCAUUUGUUUUUUGCCAGAUGAUACUCUUUUAUUUGGAAAGCUACAGGGGAGGAGGCUUCAAAUUUUAUGCAGGUUAUCAAUCUUUAUGAAGGUGCAUCAGGCCAGCCGAUUAAUGUGGAGAAGUCAGUGGUGGUAUUUAGCAAGAAUACUCCAGAAGCUGAUUAAUUGGCAAUUGAAUGUUCUCUUCGAAUGCCGCCUGUGGAAUCACAUGAAAAGCACCUCUGGGGUUGCCUACUAUCGUUGAGAGAUCUAAAGGUGAGGUCUUUAAUUCUAUCAAACAAAGGGUUUUUAAACGGAUUAAUGGAGCAGCAGUUAUCUCGAGCAGGAGAAGAAAUUUUAUUGAAUGUCCCUUGUAAAGUUAAGCAUUAUCUCUGGAGAAUUUGCUGUGAUUUCUUGCCUACUAAAGUAAAUCUGCUCCGGAGAAGAGCUUCAGUGGAGCUCAACUGUCUGUCUUGUGGUUUUGAUAUUGAGGAUCUUAUUCAUGCAAUUUCUUUCUGGGCGUUAAGCUGCCUUAAAGGGCAAGUACGUAAGUGGCAGCAAUCAAUUCCCAAAGAGUGGGCUCUGGAGUUGUUAGUUACGUUGAAAAAUCGUGAAGCAGAGUUGUUUGAGAUGUUAUGUUGGGCUAUUUGGCUUGGGAGGAACCAAAAGCUGCAUGAAGAUAAACGAGUGGACCCUUUUGAGUUUAGUUAGCUUUGCUUCGGUGCGCUCCAAUAAUUCCAAGAAGCUAAUGUUACUCAGAAAUGUCCAGGCGAUGGCAAGUUAAAGUUUAAUUUUGACGGUGUGGUGUUUAAGGAAACUCAAUCUAUUGGUUUAGAUGACGGUGCGGUGUUGAUUUAUCUAGUUUAGACCCUCCAAUUUUUGACAUUACGAGGGACUUAACUAGUUUAGAGAUGUCUAGUAUUUCAGGAAUGAGUAGGAAUCAUAAUAAAAUCACUCAUAUAUUAGCUAAGAUCGCAGAAUUCAUAUGUGAUCAUGUCUUUUGGUGGAGAGAUCUCCAGAGUUUGUUGUGCCAUUUCUAAUGGCGGAUUUGUUAGAAAGUUAAUGAAAGUUCAAUACAGGUUAUGUUGAGUAAGACGUUGGAUUGAAAAUUCAAGAUUUUGAACUGAAAUUUCAAGAUUUUGAGAUGAAAAUAAAAGAUCACGCUAAACUUAAUGGAUUCAAAUCUUAAUAUGUGCAAAUGCGUUUGAUAACCAAAAUUGGACAUCUGAAUUAAUUAAGUGCUACUGAAUUUUCUAAACGAAAUUUGUUCUAAAAAAUAAGUGAUAAACUAUGCAUUUAUUACUGAAUGUGAUAUACACUUAAAUAUACUUGAUUUAAUACUUAACAAUCUAAUAAAUUAAUGGACUCAGAUUUUAGAUUUCAAUUUUAUCAAAGUAACCUAAAAAUAUAGACUAUAGAUAAAAUAACUGCAGAUAAUGAUUUAUGUUGAGUAAGCUUUCAAAGCUACGUUUCCCAAAACAAACUUUAGAUAAUCAUUCUCUAAUUUUUGCUUUCACUCUAGAAGAUGCGUACAAUAAUGGGUGUAUACAAAAAUGGAAGUUAAAUUGAUAACACUAAGCUCGCCAAUUCUCAUAAAAAAAAUGAUGACAUUGCCUGCAUUAAUUCUAGUAACGGACUGAAGACAAUAAUUAAUAGGUGACUAUAUGGUGCCUAAGGCACACAAUAAAAUGUGGACUUGGUACCAUUAUUUAUUUUUGUGAAAGGAUAAACCUAUUUUGUAAGGUGUCGCAAUUCAUCAUCAUGAAAUGAGUGGUAAUUUUAAAGCAUUAAUAGUGAAUUCACCUUCAUUUUUAACGUUCAUAUCGCAAAGCCUAUUAAAAAAUUUCCACCAGCACAAAUUCCACUUUUAAUAGGUUCGAAAAUUCACUCACAAAUUUAUCCACAAAUCCCAUUAACAAAAAAAAAAAAAAAAAAUGCAGAAAGUUAUCAACGGAACUUCUAUAGUGCGUUGAUGCGACACGUGUUGGUUGGAGAUUACUAGAUGGGAGUGGGGUUAAUCAAAGGUGGUAUUUUAGUAUUAAGCCCAAAAACCACCGGUAACAAUGGUAUUGACCCAAUUUCAGAGGAAUUGACCCACAUAAACUGUGAAAGAUUAUUUUCUCUGUCAUUUAAGGCAAUUUCUGAACAAGAUUUAGGCGUAUAAUAAAGAAAUUAUCAACCCCAACCCCCAAUAUUAUGCUAAUAUGCAAUUGGAAAAAAUUAAAUGAAUAUUUACUUGAAGUUAAGAAGUGGAUACCAAUCGGUAGAAAGUGUUUAUAACAUACUCCGAAAUGCCAAAGGACUUCCCAAAAAGUGGGAAGCAGGACAACAUCUGAAAUAUAGUCCAAGUUUGAAGUGCUUUAUGUCAAACAUAUUUCAAUAUAGAAAAAAAAAAAUUACUGGUUAGCAUAUGUUUGUGCGCAGUAUUUGUUGAUUGGGAGACGGUUCUAAGGAGGCGGUUUUGCAACAAAUAAGUAAACGGGAUGUCGAUUACUUGGAGUUGUAUCUUAUGCUGGAAAAAUAAUUAGACAUGUCAGUUAAGUAAUAUUUCAAUUUAAAUAAAGUUAGUUAGGAACUAGAACUCGUAACAUGGUUGGAUAUGGUUAGUGAAUAGGAUAUGAAUGUUGGGGGAUAGAAUACAACUAGAAUUACUAAGACAAAUUAAGCGUGACACUUUGAAUUCAAAUUUUACUAACAUUGCAUAAUAACACCUUUGACUGAUAAUUUUUUUUGAUACGGAAACUGGAAAAAUUUUAUUAAGAAGAGGAUAGAUCCGUAUUAAUUGCGAAAGAAAGAAAAAAUGGUGGAGAAAAUCUCCAACUAUAAAUACCUGAAAUAGAACUAGCAUUACUAUCUAAGAAAUGAGCAGGCACAAUUAGAUUCCUAGGAAUCCAAUCAGCCUCCCAAGUAAUGAAAUUCUGUAAACUAACAAAGAUAUCAUCUAACAGCACUCCAUAAGCUGAAUCAUCGGAUUCCAUAUUUUUAAGCAUGUUGAUGAUCUUCAAAGAGUCACCCUCUAAAACAAUCUUAGAACCUUCAACUGAAGUAACGAGGAAAUUGCAGAUAUUGCAGCAUAAGUUUCAGUUACUUCAGGAGAAAAGAUACCUAAGAUUUUGUGAAAAAUACUAGCAACAAAUUUGCCCCAUUCAUUCCUCACAACAAUUCCAACUCUAAAGUUGUCGUCUUCAUAGAAUAUUGCACCAUCGAAGUUUGCACUGCACCAUCGAAGUUUGCCUUUAGAAAUCUUGCAGAGGGCUUUAUCCAAUGAAGUUGAGCAGUGGAAGAGCAUAUUGGAAUGUUUGGAAAUGUGUUUAUUUCAUGGUAUUUCUAUAAGAAAUUGAUAGAGAGGGAGAGACCAAACUGAAGGAUCACGAUAGAACCAUCAAAUAAUGCAUCAUUUCGGUUAAACCGUAGAUUCCAAAGAAUUAUGGCUACCAAUUCCAUGUCCUGCUUUUUCAAAAGAUGAAGGCCAGACAACCGAGACGAAACUUGAUCGGUAGAGUCUAAUCUUAUCUUUAGUGUAAGAAAGCUAAGGGCCCAAGGUUGAAUUGCUACUGGACAGCACAAGAAAAGAUGAUUAACAUCAUCAAUAGGGGCCUUACAUAAAGAACAAGUAGGAUCAAAAUAGACUCCGCGACUAUUCAACUUGGAAGUUAUAGGUAGAAUGUCUUUGCAAAUUCACCACAAGAAUAUUUUAACUUUACUUGGUAUGUUGAGUUUCCACAAGCAGGGCCAAAUAUCAUCCAUAGAACCAUUACUACAUGAAGCUACAUCUUGUCAAUUUGUAGAUUAUAUUUUGAUAAGAUGAUAGGCAAUUUUCACUGUGAAGGAGCCAUUUUUAGAAUAGUGCCAAAUGAGCUUAUCUUGAUUUCGUCUAUCACCCAAUGGAAUACUCAUAAUCAACUCAAUCACAUCUAAGGAUAGCAACGGGGGCAGUGCCCGGGGGGCUAUGGGGCAGAGGUGGGGGGGGCGGGGGAAUUUUUCCCCCAUUUAGAAACGGGGCAGGGGCCCACCCAUUUGGAAAAAAAGAGAGAUAUAUAUAUGUACAUAAUUAUAUAUAUAAUAUAUUAUCAAUUAUACAUGUCUAUUAAUAAAAAUUAUUAAUUAUUUAUACUAAAUUUAUUAAUACAUUUAUAUUAAAUUCCUAACUACACUUAAUACAAUAACACUUUUUUUCUAAAAAAAACACAAUAAUAAUUUAGUGAUUGUAUUUGUAUCAAAAGUAAAAACAAUUAUUUUAGUUAUAUUUGUUUUAUCAUAUUAGAUCGUAUUCAAAUAACUUUUGUUUAAUUAUUUUUAUGAGUUUCAAUUGUGAAGUUAUAAUGAAUAAUAAUUUGGUGAUGUGAUUGAUAUUUUAGUACUUGAUUACUUGCUCAAAUUUAAUUAUAAUAAAAUUAUAUAAUAAUUUUUUUAACCGCGGGGGAAGCGGGGCGGGCGGAGGACGGGACGGGACGGGGGAAUUAAUAGGCAACGGGGGGGGGAGGGGCCACCCUAAUCACAUCCUGCCAAAAAAGCUCUUGAAGCAAAUCAUAUUUCCAUUUCCUGCUAUUUUCAUCAAUUAAACAAUCUAUAGUGGAGAUUUCUAGUAGCACAUCAAAACGAGAUAUAAUUUUGAAAUUAGAAAGACGUGGAAUCCACCUCUUUCCAAAUUUUGAUAUGAUUCCCGUGUCCAUCUCACCAUCUACUACCAAAAACACCUUUGAUUGAUAAUUAAAUAGUUAAAAAAAUAUAUCUACUUAAUUUGUUUACUCAAUAGUUAUGUGAACUAAAACAUAAAAAAGAAGGUCAAUUAUUAUAUUAGUGUUAUAUUUGUAAUAUUAGUUCCCUAUAUAGUAGGUUGCCGAGUUGGGCAUAUUUAUAUUCUACCAAGUAAAUGCCCUAUCUUUUCGAAACGUGGCAAAAAAAAUUGUGUUUGUUUUUUUGGUAGAUUUCAUUCUUUUUCUUUUUUGGUAACAAUUAAUUUACUAUUCAUUUUCACUUCAUUAUUUAUAGUAAAUUUCAAUCAAUUAUCAAUUACUUACCUUAUAUGCAUUUCUAUUAAUUAUACCUUUAUUUUUUUAAUCAACUUAUAGCUUUCCUUUUUAAUUAGGCACUCGUUAAUAUAUGUCUUAGGUGUUAAAUUUUUAGAAAUAUAAGAUGAAUUAGGGAGCAUAUAAAUGUAAGGGAAUUAAUUAGAAAAAUAUAUAAAUAAAAGAAAAAGUAGUAAUGUUGCGUAUAUAUAUGGCAGGUUAGGUGGAAUGCAGGUGUGUUAACGAUUACCCAUAGGGCACCCAUUAGAAAUACUCAUCAAAAUUUGGAUUAAUUUUUUUCCUUUCAUUGCAAUCAUUACUACCAUUUUUCCUAUCAUUUAUUACUAUACCUUCAUGUUUCUAAAUACCAAUAAAUGUAUUACUCUCUUACUUUUUAUUUGAUUGUGCUAAUUAUAGCUUUCCUUUUACUUAAUCAAUUAGUCAAUCGAUCAAUCAACCCAUGAUUUUAAUUCUCUUUUCAAUCGCACGAUCUUUCUUUUAUCCAUCAUUAGGGAGAUUUACAAUUUAGUCACAUAUUUGUUAUGUGUACAAUAAUUAUGCAAUCAUAAGCACAAACUAAUGCAAUUCUAAUAAUUUUGCAUAUAUGCAUUCAUAUUGUAUUGCAACACCUUUAAUAAUUCAUUAUAUGGUUACAAAAGCCAAAAAAAAUCUAGUAUUACCUAGACCUUAGAUAGUCCCCAAUGUAUACACUGAUACUGUAUAAAAUGAUUUUAAACCCGUUAAUAUAUAUACUGAUUGCAUAUGAAGAUUCAUCCCUAAUUUAGACCUCUUAGAUAGUUUGCAUGCAUUAUAUUCCCUUUUUUAAUUUCUUAUUUAGUUUACCUUAUUACCAUUUAUGAUUUUUUUUUAAUUUAAGCAACAUCUUCCAAUAUUUUAUCACCAUUUUAAGUUAGUUCAUUUUUAGGAGAUAGUAGUAUAAGUGUGGUAGUUUGUCCAAAUAACUUUGAAUAUGCAUAUACAACCCAAAAAUAAAAUGAUAGUUGUUUAUAUUCUUAUCACUCAACGAUGAUAGUGUUAUGUAAUUUAAAUGAUUGAGAUCUAUUGCCAUCCAAAUAUAAAUUUAAUAUGAGGGUAUGAUAACUAAAAAUGACUAUAGAAUCUCCCUAAAUACUAAAUAAUGCGAAUAGAGAUAUUCCCUCAAAAACUUGUAAAGUACUUAAUGUGUAUACGGGUAAAUUCUUGCAAUAGUGAAAGGAAAAUAUCUUACUAGCCUUGAAAUUUUGGCCCGUGUAUUGACUUUUGUUAGCUAAAUUAAACUAUCUUGGAGUGAAGACAUAAAAUCUGCGGCAAAUUUGAGAGAGUUGUGAACAUAGCUUAUCUAGCGUACACAUUUUUUCCGAGUUUGAAUUCUCUCACUUACACGACAAAAAGAAAAAACUAUCGUACAUUUAACUUCCAACUAACAAUGAUGUAUAGGUAAUAAAUUAUAUGCAUGGGAUAUUCCAUAAAUAAAUGAAAUAUAUUUACACGACAAAGAGUAAAUUCUUAAAUUAAGAAGAAAUAAUAUUAUAGUAGCUGUCAAUUUGUUUAUAUGACUUUUUGGUUUGUCUUUACUCAUGACAACCAAUUAUGUUAUUUUGAUGUAAAAAUAUCCAAAAACGGUUGAAUACAAUGUGGGACAUUAUUAUUAUUACUCGGAUACCUCAAUAUUUAUAAAAUUGAUUAAAUUGGAAUCCAUUUGGAUUUAACAGUAUUUUGAAAAAACUAUUUUUGUUGUUCAAGUCUAUAGUAAUAAACUUUAAAAAUAACCUCAAAAAUAAUUUAAAAAUACAACAUAUCUCAAAUACAUUAAAAAAUAAUUAAAAAAUUUCCCUAAUUCUUCUUCCCCACACUACCCACUACAACCACCACCACUACCCAUCACUGUCCACUACCACCACCAUCACCCCACACCCAUGACCCGUCUUCCUCUCUCCUCUCUCUCUUUCUCCUCUCUCUCUCCUCCCUCCUUCCUCCUUUUCUUAUUCUCCUUCUCCUUUCUCCUUCCUCCUCUGCCUUGUCUUUCCUCCCUUCUCCCUUCCUUUCCCCACCCCCUAAUCCCCCCUUCCCUCUACUGACUGUGGCCUUCUUGGUCUUGACCAGAAAGGUUGCAGCCAGAAGCCGCGACUAGUGGCUUCUGGUUGCAACCAAGGUCACAGAUGGAGUCGCGGUUACCAUCCACGAUUGGGAGAGGUUUGAGGGUCAAACGAGAGGGAGGGGAGAGAAGGAGAAGAAAGAGGAGGGAGAAGGAAGAGGAAGGGAGAAAGAGAGGGAAAACAGAGGGAGAGACAAGAGAGGAGAGGGGGUAACGGCGUGAGUGGUGGUGGUGGCUGGCGUAAAAUUUUUUAAAAAUACCCCAAAAAAGUUGUAAAUUAUAAAAAUAUCCCAAAAAUGUAUUUUAAAAAGCCCUAAAAAUACCUUUAAAAAACCCCCCAAAAACAUCUAUAGUACAAGUUAUUUAUAUAUAUAGUUACCGUAAAGUUUUUAAAAGAUACCCUAAAAACAGUUAGUCCAAAUGGAGUCUUGAGUUUUGAGGUUAAGGUUCAAUGAUUGACCACAAUUUAGGUCAAAGUAAAACUUGGCCGAAAGUUUAGUGGGUAAAAUAUAAUUUUAAAAAUUAAUCAUCUUCCCUGAUCCUCACAGUUGCAAUGGUGAACUGUCAGCCCCUUAGGACGUGUUCCAGACGGAAACGCGCAACCGUGGUAGAUUUCGGUCACUCAUGGUCAACUUGGAAGGCUGAAGGUGAACUGGUUGGGAAAAACUUGGACACAUGUUUGAUGAUGUAUUCCAUGCCUAUGUAUGGGUUUGGAAAAGUUUCAGGGCUAGGAAAUGUCUCUAAAUUAGGGGAAAUGAGGGGUGGCUUUACUAGCGGUCCGAAAUUUUUAGCUAGGACUACUAUAGAGAGAGAUAACUAUAACUAAGCCAAGUCAAUGCCAAGGGCUGGGGGCUAAGGCUUUAUGGGUUAUUUGGAUGGUUCCAAGCAUUUGGGCUGUGUGCCUAAGUUGCUAAGUGUUGGGCCAAGUUGGGCACGGAACUAAGCAAAUGGCAAGAAGCUGGGUGUGCGAAACUGUGUGACCAUUGCCUGUGCGCUCCAAAGACGAACGUUGGGACUGUCUGGCAGUUGCUAGUCGUUUGCUGGAGUUGCGGACGAUUAUCAGUCAACUCAGACACGUUCUUAUCGGUUUCCUGACUUCAUGUACAUUCGGGUCGGACCAACGGUUGGGUCUUGUCAACUAUAACAAUGCAUAUAAAUAAAUGGCUAGGUAGGGACUAAAGGCAGAUAGUGAGAAACACCCUUAGAUGUUCUGCAGCUAAAUGUUUGUAGAAUUGUCCUUGUAAUCUCUAUAGUGAAAUACAAGGUUGGCCGUUUGUUGUAACUUGUGCGUGUGUUCCUUUGUUUUUGCCUAAGUAUUCUAUGUUGAAUACUUGUAUGCAAGUGUCAGUGUAAGGGCUGACUGGAAGCGCGGCUUAUCAAUGCCAUUACAUGCUUGUUAGGCUAGUGAGCGUAAACACCUCGUAAUAGUUUGGUAUCAAAGCACGGCUUUGAUCUAUUAGACUGUGCUUCUGUUAUGUGUUUUGUUGGUUAAUGAUGGUUGGACACAGGAAUUCUGUUGCAAUGCUUGGAAUGGUUGCAAUGUUAGGAACUUGCAUUCGAGGACUUGAUGCAGUGUCUAGGAGAUGGCCUAGAAGGCUUCAAUGUCAUAGAAGUUCUAUUGCAGACUAGAGAGAUGAUCAACACCCUGACUGCACAGAUGGACCAGGCAGACAGUUUCUUCUGUUGGGGAUGUUGAGAUGCUAAGGAAUGAAAUGAUUGCUCCCAUGCAAAGAUCGUGGCUUUACAAUCGAAGAUCAAUGUGUUAAAAAAGGCAGUCGGCUCUUGUAACACACAGACCUUUCAAAAAUCUUCGAAGAGGAAAGUGAAAGUCCUAGAUCCGAAACCAUACCAAGGUAGUAGGAGUUCGAAGUAUUUGGAAAACUUUUUGUGGGAUUGUCGAGUAGUACUUCAAGGCUAUUGACAUUCCUGAAGUAGAGAAGGUGUCAAUUGCAUCAAUGUGUCUUAGUGGUGAUGUAAAGUUAUGGUGGAGAACAGUGCAAUCAGACCUACCAAACCCAAGAUCGGUACUUGAGAAGUACUGAAGGAGGAAUUGAAGAAGCAAUUCCUUUCCACGAAUGUUUAAUGAAAAGUUAGAGGUGUAUUGUGAAACUUAAAGGAGAAUAAGAAAGUACAGAGUACGUUACAGAGUUCCAAGCCUUGAUGUUAGAUGUAAGGGAAAUGUCUGAGGAAGACAGACUCUACAUCUUCAUCCAUGGACUUCAACCGUGGGUACAGAUGGAGUUGCGGUGAUAAAAUGUUCAGACCGUGUCUCAAGCACUUGCUACUGUCGAGAAGUUGAUAGACUUCAAGUCCAUAGGAUCCAAAAGUGAAAAAAAAAGAAGGGCAAGGAUAAGGCUAAGGGCUCGAAAGGUGGUCAAUUCUCAAAAAGAAUAAAAAGAAGCAGACAGUAACAACGACCGAAACUAGCGGUGCUUCCUCUUCUAAGAAGAAGCAAACAUCCAACCCUAAAAAGGAUGGCUGCUAUACCUGUGGAAGACCACACUUAACCUGCAAUUGCCUCAAUAAGAAGGACCAGAACGUUAGUGCCUUAGUGGCAGAAGACAAUAGUGACCAGUUGGAGGUCCAGGAUGCACGGGUCAACCCCAUGUAAUUCUUGAACGCCAUCACCGAUACUAAUGUCUGUACUCUUUACAAUGGUUUGAUGUAUGUGCAGGUUACAUUGAAUGGUAACCAUAUAUUGACGAUGGUUGAAACGGGAGCAUCAUAUAGUUCUAUGAUGGAAAAAGUAAUGAGUCGGUUCCGGUUACAGUUGAAAGACUUGGGUUUCAAAAUUGAAGGCUGUAAACUCUGAAACCAAACCAGUGCUAGGCAUGGCGACCGUAGAUUAGAGUUGGAGCCAUGGAAGGGUUGGUGCAAUUUCAUGGCAAGUCAAAUGGAUGAUUUUGACUUGAUUCUAGACAAAGAUUUCAUAGUUGCAAAUAGGAUCUAUCCAAUUCCGCACUUGGAUGGCGUCAUGGUGAAUGAUGGCUAGAGUCCAGGCUUUGUUCUUGUAGUAAAGUUGCAGAAACAAAAGAACAAUCAACAAAAGAACAUGGUAUCAACGAUAGAGAUUGAGUCAUAUCUUCUGAGGCGGUGAAGUUGUGUAUAUUGCUGCAUUGGUGGAAACCAAACCUAACAUGUACCAGAAGUACCUAACGCCAUGGCCCACGUUCUAGAGAAGUUUACAAAUAUCAUGCCUACAAAGUUUUCGAGAUAGCUUCCUCCAUCCUGUGCCGUGGAACACAAGAUCGAGUAGGUUCCAAGAGCCCAACCACCUGCCCAAACUCCUUAUCGCAUGUCCCCGAUAAAGUUGGCUGAGAAAGAUAUAGUACGCAUGAGAAAGAAAUGACAGUUGUUGUACAUUGUCUCAAGAUAUGGAAGCACUAUCUAUUAGAAACCAAGUUUGUGGUGGUGACUAAUAACAUGGACAAUACUUACUUCAAGACACAGAGAGAGUUGACCCCGAAGCAAGCUCGUUGACAAGAGUUUCUGGCUGAAUUUGACUUUGACUGGAUUCAUAAGUUAGGAAGGGAGAAUGCAGUGGUCGACAUACUUAGUAGAAAGUAUGUCGAAGAAUACAUUGUUGUGCUUAGCACUGUUGAGACGGACUUCAGGGACAAGAUCAAGUGGGAGUCCCCGAGUGACCCAAUUUAUCAAAACUUGGUGUUCGUGAAGUCAAAGUUCGUCGUUAUUGGCUGGAGGAUGACUUACUAUUUUGCCAAUAGUGGUCAAGCAUAUGUUCCAGCAGGAGGGGACUUAGGCGACAGUUACUACGAGAAACUCACAAUGCUUCUUGGAUUGGUCAUUCUGAAGUUGAACGAAUGCGGGCAUUAUUGUCGCGUAGCUUCUAUUGGCCAAAGAUGGAAGAGGAUAUUUUAAGAGGUUGUGUGGGUUUUGGUUAAUGGUGGAUAGCCCCGUAUCCCAUAUGGCUUCCCCGUAUCCCGUUGGCUUCCUGUGUUUUAUCCCGAAUUUCACCUGCACGGAUUGCUUAUGCAUCGCUUAGUGGACUUUUGGUUUCAAAUAGCAUGUCUUUUACCCGUUAAAUAACCUUUUUUUUACCCAUUGUUCUGGAUUAUUGCAUAAGUGUCAAAUUUCGCCUGAAAUGCUCACAUAUUCUUCUAUGAGAUUACGUGUAUCACUACUGCGUUACCUUCCUUCGACACCUGAAGCUGGAGUUUGACGUUUCAUUUCGUUCAGACCAUGGAAUAGUUGCUGCGAUUAAACUUAUGUCUCUAAGAAAAUAAAGAAGGAAACAUCACUUUUUGUCUCUGUGCUCUUUGAUUUCUGCAUUUUCUAAUCCAUGUUAUAGAACUGACUGUUGAUGAUACCAAACAUUUUGUUAAAAGAAAACCAAAGUAUUCAAUUCCCAUACAUUUAACUCUUCCUGGUUAAAAUGUAACUUCCUCUAUUGAUGUCCAUAAAUUUCCUCGAAAAAGCUUGCGAACUGCAAAAGUUUCCACCAGUCGUCUUAAAAUGGCACUCUAAACCGUCUGCUAUGAUACUUUUGAUAAGCACAGUUAUACUGCCAGGAAGGGCAAGUAGGUAUGCAUCAUGGACCAUGAAAAUGCCAAUUUCCAGAAAUCAAUUACAGCUUUGACGAGUUGCAAACUUCUUGGACUAUGAAAAUGCCAGUUUCUAGCAAUGAAAUGAUAGCUUUCACGAUCUGCAACUUCUUAUUGAUUAAUGAAUACUGAAAAGUACGUAUCAGCCCAAUCUUGCCUCUCUUCAUAGUACCUGGAAAAGAUUUAACAGUCAACCAUAAGUGACAGAACUUUAACAGCGCUAGCCAUAUAACAAACAGUGGACAAAACUUUAACAAAGCUAGUCAUUUUCUUUUCUUUAGCAUGUGAUAUUUCUUCAUGUUUUGCACUUUUGUUUAAGCUUGACAGUGAAAACAUUUUUCAACCUAGAAAAUUCUGCAAGGCAAAACUUUCUUCAUUUUAGUUUCUUCAUUUCAGCAAAAUUAACUUUUUGUUUGGACUUCCAUUUUAAGAGUUUUUCACUGUUAUUUCAUUAAUCUGAAUGUAAGCUUGAGAAUUGAGAUAGGAACAAGUUAAAGAAAUGUUAAAACUGGCUUGAAGUGGGCAUUAUUUCUUGGAAUCUGUUUUAUUACUUUUGUACCUUAUUUCUUAGAAAUGUCAUUCUAAAUAUCUAUUUUGGCUAAUCAGAAUCUGUAUUGGUUAUUAAAUGUGUUUUGAUUAAGGAAUGUACAGCUCUCCAUUCAACUCAUUUCAAGGUUCAUCAUCAAGUCCUGUGAUGGAGCAAAAUAAUGAAGACGUGAACAAUUGAACUACAACGAAAAAAGAGCUGAUGAGAUGAGUGAAAAAGAGAUAGAAAUGAUAAAAAAUGAGGGCAAUGAAGAACGACAGCAAGAGAUGGAGAUGAAGGAGCUGGUCCUUUUGAGAAAAAACAAAGGAAGAAGAAAUCUAGCAUAUGGGAUGAAAUGACAACAAUAGUGCUAGAUAAUGGGACGGUCAAAGUGAAAUGUAACAAUUGCAAGGAACUUUUUGUCAAGAGUGCAACCGAAGCCAUAUCUCAGCACAAGAGACACUUGAAUUCUUGCCUACAAAGAAAGAUAGCCAUUGGAAAGCAAAGCAAACAAAAGCAACAAGUGUUGUCAUUCAUCGAAGGCCAAAGUAAUGGUAUCACUUCCAUCACAAAUUUCUUGUAUGAUCAUGCCAAGGUAAGAGAGCUUGCAUCACACAUGAGUACCCCUUUUCUAUAAUAGAUCAUGUAGUUUUCAACAAAUUCAUGAAAGCGGCUUCUCCAUUUUAUAAUUGUUAAGAAAAAUUGCAUUAGUACUUAUAAAAUUGAAAAAAGGAACCUGAAAUCAUUGUUGAAAGGUGCUGGUAGGAUUAGUAUUACCACAGAUUUGUGGACAUCUGGUCAAAAAAAUUCAAUAUAUGGUUGUGACUGGUCAUUUUGUUGAUUUUGAUUGGGUGCUACAAAAACGUGUUGAAUUUUUAUAAUGUUCCUCCUCCUCAUACUGGAGUUAUUAUAGCUGAUACUCUAAGUAAGUGCUUUAUUGAUUGGGGGAUUGAGAAUAAGGUUUCUAACAUAACUGUUGAUAAUGCUUCAUACAAUGAUGUGUGCAUUAGGAGACUUAGAGAGGAUUUUUCUCUAAAAAAGAGAUUAAGUAUUGGAGGAAAAAUUUUCAUGUUAGAUGUUGUGCACAUAUACUUAAUCUCUUAGUGCAAGAUGGUCUUGGUCAACUUGGUGGUGUGAUUGAUGUUGUUAGAGAAGGGAUAAAGUACUUGAACAAUUCUGAAUCUAGGCUUCUUGAAUUUGCCAAAAUUAAAAAACAGCUUCAAUUGCCCUCUAGAAAGCUAAUUUUGGACUGUCCAACAAGAUGGAAUAGCACCUAUUUGAUGUUAGCUUCAGGUUUAGAGUUCAAGGAUGUUUUUUCGAGAUAUGCAGACAUUGACCCUGGAUUUCACUAUGUUUUUACUGAUUUUGAGUGGAUGAAAGUGAAAGAAGUGUGCAAAUUUCUAGGAAUAUUUUAUGAAAUCACUGAUAUGAUUUCCGGGUCCGAGUAUCCAACGGCUAACAUUUUCUUGUGGAGCUCUAUAGGAUUAAAGAGCUUUUAAAUGAAAAAGCUCUUGACCCUUUUUAGCAUCUUUGGGUUAUGGCUGGAAGUAUGUCUGCUAAAUUUGAUAAGUAUUGGGGGGAAAGUAAUGUACUGCUAUCUUUGGGUGCAAUUUUGGAUCCGAGAUACAAAAUAUUUCUUAUUAAUCAUACUUUUCCGGUGAUUUAUGGUGAGGAUGCAGCUCCUAGAUUCGUGGCUGAAAUUAGAGACACUCUUUAUGAGCUUUACAAUGAAUAUGUUGAUUGUCACAUAGUUUCCCAUUCUGAACAAUAACAGAGGCAGGUUGUAAAAGGGAGACAAAAUGAAGGUUCUAGUUCUUCUAGUAAGAAACAGAAAAUGACUGGACCUGCCGUUUUAACUAGUAAAGAAAAGUUGCACAUGCAUGUGAGUGAAAUUAACAGGGCUCCACCACAAAAAUCAGAUUUAGAUGUUUAUUUAGAGGAAAGUAGGUAUUGUGACGCCCCCACUUCUCCUUAAGGUGAACCAAAGAGUAUCCACGGGACGCCUGCCCAACUCUUACCAGGACUGGGUACAAUUUCCGUUCAACCUUAUUACAAUACUAGCUAUCACGACAAGAUGAAGUAAAAAAGAUAAAGUCGCUUCUAUAAAUAAUAUUCAAACUUACACCACGAGUUCCAAAAUACAUCAAAUUUCCAAAAUAUACAACUGCCAAAAGUCUAGUCGAUUACAUUUGGAACCCUAAUACAAAAGUACAACAAAAGGAUUUCUCCGAGUUUCACUCCAUAUCUAUGCCUGUUAAGGAAAAUAAAUCUACGGGGUGAUCAAUUGCUCGUGAGGCCAAAAAACACACAUACAAGCACGUUGUCCAAUUAACAAGAAAACGAUAAUAUUCGAGUAAUUAACAAUUCAAGCGGAAUGUAAACAGAAACAAUUCAAGGAUAUGGGAGCUCUCAGGAGCUAUUGUCCACUGGCACGAUCAAGAACCUCCACGAGUUGACACUCCGUCAAUCGGGUAGGUCAUAAUCCGUAGAAGCUUCACUUACGCGUUCCUCGUCCACCAUACAUACCGCACCGGGCCCGAACAUCAUUUAUAAGGUGAUACUCCACGAGUAUGUCAAGCGAGAUCUUUCAAAUAGAUCAAACUUAUCAUGUUAUUCUCAUGACUCAUCGAGAUUCCCGACCAAACCCAUGCCGGCUCGAGUUCCAAGGUCGACCUAUGAGUUUGGGCCCCCAUGUAACAUUUGUGAGUGGAAGAGAUUCACUCCAACGAUGUAUGCAGCCAUAGCAUACUAUUUCAUGUCAUUCAAGCAUUCGAUACAUUCAAUCAUUCAUUUCAUCUCAUUCAAGUCAUUCAUGAUCCAUUCAUUUCAUUUCAAUUAAUUCAAUCAUGAGUCAUUCAUUUCAAAUGAGAACGAGUGCGGUAAAAUACACACUCGACUCCAUUUUCAAAAUCUCCAAUCAUUAAUAACAGUUAAGCAUGUAUCAAGUUCCCAUACACUUGACACUCACCAAGUAAUUCAAGAAGUAAAGCACAAGCGGUUGUUUAGGCGUCUCCUGUGAGAUCCUCUUGAAGGUCCUCUUGAGUGCCUGAGUAAUAAUAAUGAACUAUUACACACUAUCGUUUAAAACCCCUACUUAUCGAGAAAGAUUGCACUCGUGUACAAUUUAAGAAGAUAUUAUGAGAAUGAGCCUUAAUUACUCGUAAAUCGAGACUCAAAAGUGGGGUUUUAAUAAUACAAGGAAAUUCGAUUUUCAUCUUUGAAAUCAAAUGUAAAACGAUCAAGCAAUAUCGAGGAAAAAUGGUGAGUACUAAAAACUCAAUUUUCUUUAAGUUCGGAAAUUUCAGAUUUGAUAAGCAAUUUUUGAAAAACCGUAUCUCAUUCUCUGUAGGUCCAAAAUUAGAAAAAUUGGUACCGUUGGAAACUACUUCCAAAGUACUAAAAGUUCUUAGAAGACAUUUUUCCAUGAUUCCAAAUAGAUGACAUUCAAAAUUCGGUUCAAAGUUGCUGUUUUGGGCUACCAAGACAAUUUCGGGGUUGGUUUUUGGCCAACUUUGGAAAUUCGGCAAAAUUCACAAAAUGUGAACUAGCCUCUGCAAUUUGGAAAUAAAUUAUAGUUACAAACAAAGUUUAAAACACAACAAACAGAACAAGAAUUGGAGUUUUGAGUGCCAAGAUAUAGCAGCUCAAAUUUGCUGAAAUUUUCUCACUGAAUAAGGAUUUUCCAGAUUUGAAACAUGAAAUUUGGGAUUUCAGUUGAGCAUCGAAAUGGACUUGGAAUGGCACCAAAUUUGGUAGUAUUACCCUACCAUAGAAGGGCUAUUCCUCUGUCAAAUUUCAUGCAAAAAUUCAUAUGGAAGGUCAGUUAACAAAGCCGCUAAAGUUCCAAGAAUUUCCAAGGCAAAUCUGCCUUGUACUUCCGUUUUACUUUUUCAAGCAUUUGGCCAAUGAAAUCUUCUCAAACAUGGUUCAUUUAUGAAGACAAGAUCUAAGAAACAUCCAAAAUGUGUUUGGUAGGUGAUUAAUACCAAGAGUUCCAAAAUAACGACUCCCAAUUCGAGUUAAGGCAUUCAACUAGCCAAGAUUAGGGUUUCCUUUCACUGACACAGGUCUGGAAUUUGGCCACAACUCACUCAAUUCAACUUGGAAUUAGACAUGAUCAGUGGCGUUGGAAACUAAAUUCAUAGGGCUAUAAUUUCUCAGAAAAAAUCAUUUUGAAAUUCUGUCCAUAACUAGUUCAUAUUCUAGCAACAAGUUGCAGCACACAACAGGUUUUCUAACACAGACGAGAAACAGGGCAGGUGACUUUGAAAGGCUGGUACGGUUCACUCAAGUGGAAUCAGGGGAUGCAUUUUAUACUGUUAGAAAACUGGAAGUAUCUAGUUUCUAAUUCCUCAAAUGGCACUCGAUUUUGAUGUCGGAGCAAAGAGUUAUUGUCGUUUGAAAUUCGCUGCCAGAGCAACUCUGGACAUGUUUUCCAACCAUGAAGAAAUUUCGAAAUCCAAACAUUUACCCAACCAAAUCAAGUGAUUUUUGGUGGAAACUUUUCACACAACCUAUAAAACAUAUAUACACCGAAAUCAAGUCAAUUAGAUCACAAAAAAUUGCACCAAGAGGUGCGGCAAUGACAGGGCAGAUCUGGCCCUUCUUCCAUUUCAACUUCCUUUGAGUUUCUUUCCACUCUUUCAACUUAAAUCCACUAGAUUAACACUUAAUCAACAUAAAUAACACUCAAAAUCAUCAAAUCAGAUGAUCAAGUCCAUUGUGGGAUUUCAUAGAGUCUACUCACAUGAUUUUCAACAAUCCAAAGCUACCCACAUGAAGCUACAAGCUUCUAAGUGAAAUCUAACUUACAAAAGCUAAGAUUUAAAGGGUGGAUGAUCAUUACCUCUUAGAUGUUGCUAGAGCAGAAAUUUCGGUCCUUAGAGCUCCAAGAAAACCGUGAGAAUGAAGCUCUUCUCCUAGCUGAAGAUGAUCUCCAAGUUAUUUGCAAGGUGUGGUAUGAAUUUGAGAGGAUUUGGUGCAAGAUUGAGAGACGAAAUGGUGAAGAAACUUGGUCUUCUUCUCCUUGGUGUUGCACGGCUGCUUGAGGGAGAGAAAGAGAGAGUUGUGGCUGAUGGAAAGCUUCUCUUGGAAGCUUAAGAGUUUGUGGCCAAAAUUACUCCAAAAGUCAACUAAGAAUAGUGCAUGUACACGCGCGUUUCGUGCUCGUUUCCUUUUGGAUUUGUUUCACUUGUGCACUAAACCUCUAAUGCACUUCCAUUCAUACUAUUAUUAUUCACUUUUAAUAGUCUAAAAAUAAAGGUCUAAAGUCCCUCAAUUAAUCGCGCGCGCGAAAACGCGUACUUCCGAUUUGUGCGCGAUAGAGUAAAAUUUCUAAGAAAUUCUUACAAUGAUAUUAUAACUGACUAGUACUUGAGUACUUAAACAUAAAAAUACCUAUUUUGAAACUAAUGUAUGAGUCUUCAAUCUCCAAACUCACUGUAUUCUCAAAUCGAUUAUUGUCUCCAAACGCGCAUUCACUAUUCUCACUAAACGAGUUUCUAAAAAUUAAAUUUUUGCAACAAGUCAUUUUAAAUAUAUAUAUAAGUCAUAAUUCCAUGUAAUUGAGUCUAAAAAGGUUGGAAUAAAAUAUUCGGAGCAAACAGACAAUUAAAUAUUUAAAUAAGCUAGUAAUAGAAAUUUAAAAUAAGUAAAUUUGCGGGUCCUUACAGGUAUGCUUGUGAUGCAAAUGCAAAUUUGGAUGUUUUGGGUUGGUAGAAAUAGGAAAGAUUGAGAUUUCCUAUCUUGUCGAGGAUGGCUGCCGAUAUACUCUCCGUUCCUGUUACAACUGUGGCUUCAGAAUCUACCUUCAGCGCCGGAGGUAGAGUAAUUGAUGAUCGACGAGCUUCUAUGUCAAUUGAGACGGUGCAAAUAUUGCUUUGCGGCAACGAUUGGAUCCGCAGUCUUCAUGGCCUAAAGAAUAAGUCUCGCGUUAAGUAAUUGAUUAGAUGUUUUUGUUGUUGUUACAGUUUCUUUAUAUCUGAUUUUAAAGAAUUUUAUAACUUUCAUACUUUUGUUUUGUAGGAAUCACUUGAUGCGACCGAAUCAAUCACAUUUGAGGAAGUUAAACUUCCCGAAUCAUUCACAACCUGAUUUGGUGGCUGUUGAUGUUGCUUGGUGCAAACUGAUUCAUUCACAUGUUGAUUUCGUUGAAGACCUAAAGAAUAAGUCUCGCGUUAAGUAAUUGAUUAGAUGUUUUUGUUGUUGUUACAGUUUCUUUAUUUUAAAGAAUUUUAUAACUUUCAUACUUUUGUUUUGUAGGAAUCACUUGAUGCGACCGAAUCAAUCACAUUUGAGGAAGUUAAACUUUCCGAAUCAUUCACAACCUGAUUUGGUGGCUGUUGAUGUUGCUUGGUGCAAACUGAUUCAUUCACAUGUUGAUUUUGUUCAAAAGCUGCAUCGUUCACAACUUGUUUUCACCCAAGAAAGUUAUUUUUAACUCUUGGUCUAGAGUGUGGACAUUUUAGAAACUGCUUAAAACGUAUUGAUGGCUGAUCUUUAAUUGUUUGGACUCUUUUAUGUAAUUUUUCAUUUUGUAAUCUGAUCUGGUCUGCUGCCGAGUUUGGACAUUUUAUUCCUCCAUUUGAUAGUUUGAGCUGCAAUUUUAACUUCUUUUUUGCUACUCGUGCUUAUGAUGCUUCUGUUUUGCGUUGUCGAAUUGAGUGGAUGAUAUAUUAGGGAAUGUGUUGUUCUUUUUUUGUCAAACUAAAUAUGAGUGUAGAAGAAGCUGAUAUGCUAUCUUACGUAAACGACUUAUGAAGCUCGAAUUACUAAUCGAGCGAGCUCGAACUUGCUCGAUUAGAUGUUCGAGUCGAGCUCGAUUGUCGUGUGCUCGAGCUCGACUCGGCUAGUUUAACAGCCAAGGUAACAUGCAUCAAAGCAGGCUUAUUCUCUUAGUACUUUUUUUUUUUUUCUUUUUAUAAAACACAGGUGCAUUAACGCACGACAGAAGCACCCUAUCAAUCUAAGAUCCCAGCUUGCUUGUAGCUUUCGAUAGAGUCAACAAGAGUUUCUUCCACUGGCCUAUACCUCCAGCCCAGCCUCUCCAAUUUUUCUGAGCUAAUAUUCCAUCGGCUUUGAUCCUUCACCUCUAUAAGUCUGCGAAGAAAUGAGUUAUAUCAAGAAAAUAUGCAGACAACAUAAAUGGUUCUUGUAGAGACUCGUAGAUGCCACACUUUUGGAAAUGGAAAUCAUGACGGACAUGAACAAACAAGAAAAUCAGGACAAACGGGGUGUCUGAAAAAUGAGACAAUUAAUUUCAAAGAUGGUAAUCCACCUCUUAGGGUACUUGUAGUUGGCAUAGUUUUUCCUCAGAGUUUCCACCAUAUCUUUUGUCGUGGUGACGUGAGGUGAACAUAUGUACCGGCCUUCAGCUUCAGGUCUCCCGUAAACCAAAAGCAGUGCCUCGGCCACAUCACGCACAUCUACUGUGUUGUAGAAUUUGUUUUCGGUUUCUUCACAUCCGUCUGUGCAGCCAAGGAGUGAAACAAAAGAGCAGUUUAAUCUCAAAAAAGGAGAUGUUAUCUGUGCUAAUCUCUGAGUUCUUUACUGCAUAUAUGAAACCUACAAUCCCUUUGACAAAUAGUACAGCAAUAAAUUCAUGGGACUUUUGAAUUGCAAAGGACCUACAGGUCACAAUGUUAACCUUUUAUAUCUUCAACAAUGCUCCAAAGCAAAUCAAGCAAACAGUUGAAAGAUGCAACCUCUUCAGAUGUUAUGCCUAUUGUCUGUCUCAUCUUCCAUUAGGUCAAACUCACACAAUUUUCACAUCAAUAAAAUUUGAAUCGCUUGUGCAUGUGUCUGGAAAGAUUACAUUAGCACAAUUUAGUAUUUUUGGCAGCACUGCUCGUUUAAAUUUCCCUGCCAUCAAGCAGAAAAUUUAAUUCCAUUCCAACAGUAAAAGCCAAACACCACAAUCUUAGUUUUUUUUAGAUAACUUUGCAAGUUUUUAGAGCAUUGCCAAAAUCAUAAAACUAUCAGAAUGGCAGAUAGCUUACAGGUUUAGAAUCUGAAAACCUCAGCUGGCUUGAAGAUUAAAUAAAAAUGCCAAAAGACGGCAAAGCAGUUAUCUCCAUGAAUGUAGUUUCAUUCCUAGAAGGUCAACCGCAACCAGAUAGACGGAUUUUGUGAAAUUUUAUUGGCAUCAAUUCAUUGUGUAUCAUGUAAAUAACACUGGAAGCCAGAAGCAUAAAAAUGAUGGGUUACUUGGAAAAUUAGCUGAUCAACCACAUGAAGAAAUUCAAUUGUUUGACCUUUCAAGUACAAAAAAAGGAAAAAAUUGCUAAGCUUUAGAGGUCAUCUGAGUUCUAGAGUGACAUCCAUGCUCACUUAGGCACAAACCAAUAUCAAGGAGAAAACUGUAUCAUUUACGACCACUUCCAUGCAGAAGGUGAAAGAAAGAAAAAUAAAAUAUAACAUAACGGAAUAAGUUCUCCAAUUGACUACAAAGCACUAAUAAAUCACCUUUCAACAGCUUUAUAAGAGCCAGACUGCUAGCAUUCACAUCAUGCUGAAGCAUGGGGCCGAGAACAAAGGAUGGGCAUACAGUUAAAACAUCAAGGCCAGUUUCUUUUGCAUAUUGUAAUGCCUCACUUUCAGCAACCGUCUUGGAGUAACAAUACCAGUUCUGGAGCAAUAUUAGUACUAGAUGGUCAGCCAGAAACAGAUAGUAGUUGCAAAAAUCUGAUUUCUCAGCAAUCUUAGAAACAGUACGAAUAAGACAGUGAAUUUUCUGCACAAUUACAACACCAAGGUGCAACUGCAAAAAGUCAAAUUAUGUUGAUGCAUACAUUUGUUGCCUUGCAGUAUUCGCCGUCUGACCAACACUUCUCAUCUAUGAUUUCACCUUCAGGCAGAUUAGGACUCAUUACAACAGCUGCAGUAGAGGAAACAACUACAACGCGCUUGACAUUUGCUUCAGAACAAGCCUUCAGUACAUUAAGGGUACCCUUUACAGCUGGCUCAACAAGUUCAACCUGCAACAAAUCAUCAUGUUGGCAGAGGUACUAGCACUCAACUCUUCAUGCUGAACUGCUUGUUUUUGCGUAAAAUAUAUCCAGAUAGACAGCUAAGUAGUGUCAGUUAACCUGACAUCUUUAGAGUGAAUGAGUACAUAGUUAAAAGACUCAUGACUGCUUAUGCCUGUGAUUUAACUUGGUUACCAGCAUAGGUUAUUAUUAUAUGCAUUUAUUCACUCAUUUCAACAUUUGAAAAAUCCUUCCACGAAAUGAUAGAAAGACAAAGAGCCCCAGUGACUUCAUAAGUUUGUACAAACGCUUUAACAAGGUUCUAUUUUAAACGAUACCCAACUUUAGCUCAUGUUUGGCAAAACGCAAUAAAAUAUUAUCUGUUAUGACAAAAGCUGUCUCAUAAACAAAAGAUAUGUUAAAAAUGUUAUUCUGGGGAAACCAAAAGGAAGAAAUAUCAUAGCAAUUGAAACGAUUGAAAAUGGUCUUGCCUCAGGAUUGGGAACAGAGCCUGAAGGAACAGGACUAGCUACAUGAAAUACGCCAUCACAACCCCUGAUGGCUGCAGAAAUGGAGUUGUAAUCCAGCAAAUCAGCCUUAAAGAGUUUCAAAUUCUCAGCUGCUUUGUCAAGUUUCUUCAGAUGAACAUAUUUCUCAUCGUCUACAAAACAUACACAGCAAUGCCCACAUCAUCAAGUAACGAAGCACACAAUUCACAGCAGGUGCUUUUAUAUAUUUCUUCAAUUAAACAUAUUUCUCACCCUUCACAAAACAUUUACAGCAAUUCCCACUACAUCAAAUAGGAAACAGCCAAUUGACAGCAGGCAAAAAAUCAAUUGCGGUAUUAAAGGGAAUGAAACAAUCAUACAAUACCCAAAACAAAAACAAAACAAAAAAACGAGUAGUAAAUCAGGAAGGAAGGGUUAUGAGGAUGAAAUACGUACUGGGAUUUCUGAGGGUGGCAUGAACACUAUAAUGGCGGGAAAGGAGUAGCUUGACUACCCAAGAUGCCAGGUAUCCCCCUGCUCCUGUAACACACACUGUCCUGUCCUUCUUAGCCUCCCACGCUGCCAUGUCUGAUUGCUUACCAGUAGCAGUAGCGGGAUUAGUAUUUUAGCACCAAAUUCACUAUAGACUGAUCAAGAAGGUGGGUGAAGUUCUAUUCUUUUCUUUUUUAUGAAUAUUAAUUCUUUUUUGGUUGGACAAGGCAGAGAUUUCGUCGAUUCUUAAAGAGGAGGACUGAAGAAGAGGGCGGUUGGAAGAGGAGGAGGAGGCGGAGGUGGUGGUGUUGGAAUUUUGAAUAGACGAGUCCUGUAUGUAUGAGCUAGCUGAUUCCAGCAGCCUCUGUCAAUACUAGGAGUAAUCAGCAGCUGGCAGGCUUGGGGGCUUAUAUAUAGCAGCAGACCAAUGGUCCUGUUGCGAUUUGCACGGCUCAUGGAAGACGUAUGGUUUCAACGCAGGGUUGGGCUGGGUUGGGUGGGGAAACGGUACUAAUGAUAAAUGUAUGUAUAAUGAAAUUUGAGAUAUUUCUAGCAAUCUGUUAGUAAAAUUUAUUUUUAUAAAAAAAAAGGAGUAAAGGAGCAUAAUAUUAUUAAGUUAUAGUAAAACUUGAUGCACAUAUCAAUAAAACAAGAUAUUCUGUGCAUUUGAAUACAAUAGUAUAAUAUGAUUUUACCAUUGUCGGAUGUUUAACAAAUUUAUUUAUUAAUGGAUAUUAAAGUGUUACAUUUUAUCUCAUAUUUUCCCAAUUUAUGACUCAGAUUUUAAAUUGAUUAACUCAUUAGAGAAUAAAAAACUCAUCCCGUUGCUAAAUUGGACAAGUGACAAAAACUCAUGUCCAUAAUGGGAUUUUGCUUCUGACUCAAAUCCUAUAAUGCGAACCAAACCCCAAAUCACUCCAUUAUAACGGAAACACAAACUAAACUAUUUAAUAUUCAAAUCAAGUUCCGCUCAAUAACAGUUUGUUCGAAUUUGAUUCGCAAACUAAUCUAAUCAAGUUAGAAUAACAUUUUAUUCAAAUCAAGUUCCGCUCAAUAACAGUUUGUUCGAAUUUGAUUCGCAAACUAAUCUAAUCAAGUUAGAAUAACAUUUUAUGUUUGAAAAAAAUUUUAACUGCAGCUCAAGCUUAGCUCAAUAAUCAUAAAAUUGGAUUUUAUAGAUAAAAAUUACUCGAACUCGACUCAAUAAAAAUUCUUUUGAACGUGACUUAGUAAAUAAAAAAGCCAAUCUUGAAUACUAUUUCAAAAUUCUUUAAAAUAAAUAACAAGAUAUUUGGUUUGAUUAGACACAUUCACACCCCUGUUUUUCAUAUGCUCGAUAACAUAUAUUUUUGCCAUUGAAUUUUGGGACAUGUUUAUCAUUUUUUAAAAUCUUUUUUUUUUAUUUCUGGCUUUUAUAGGAAAAAAAAAACUAAAGGAUGUGUUCGGAUAGGAGACCGAUAAACUUUUCUCUCCCCCUCGCGCCUAAUUGCAGGUUAAAAGCAGUGUUUUGAAAACCGGACCGGACGGCCGGUUCGACCGGUUGGACCGCCAACCGGCCAUGAUUCCGGUCCGAUUCUAUGCUAUAGUUGACCAGGUUAGAAAACCGGUUAAACCGUGAAAACCGCCGGACCGGAUUGAACCGGCGGUUCUCGGUUUUCGAGAUUUCCCUUUUUUUUCUUUUUUUUUCUUUUUUUUACGUUUUGCAAAAUGCAGUUAUCAAGAUUCGAACUCAAGACUUUUGUAAUAGAAGACCAAUGUAGUAACCAUAGUAACCAUUGCACCAUCACAUCUUAUUAGUUUUUUUUGAUAACUUGUUUAUAUAAAACAAAAACUCAUAUUUCUUUUUGUCAUUUUUUUUAUAAAAUCUAAUCCUCUCAUAGCUCUUUCUUUUUAAUCUUCAACACACACACACACACACUCUCUCCUCUUUUUUUUGUCACUCUCUUUUUAAUCAAACCACUUUAUUUUUAAUUUAUUGAUGUUUUCUUCCAUCUUUUAAUUUUAUUUUUGUCCAUUAAAUUGAAAAAGGUUAAAAAAGAAUUAUUUUUCUUUAACCCAAAUUAUUUAAUGCCACAACCACUCACUUUUAUCUCAUUUUUUAUUUCUUAUCAAGUUUGCAUUUCUAUUUUCGAUUCUCUUGACUUCUUUCGAGCUCCAAAAUUCCUUUUUUAAAUUGCAAUUUCUAAUCCCAAAACGUAAAUUAAAAUUUAAGUUCACAAAAUCUAAAUUCUCAUAGACAUGAAUUUUGUAUAAUUUUAAAAUAUUAUGAUAUUUUUGGGUUAGAUCUAAGAUUUUUUUGGUAGAUAUAAUUGAAAUUGAAAUGAAAUUUAUUUGUUUUAACUUAUAAUUUAAAAUUUUUAUUUUUAAAAAAUCAAGUUAUUCAAAAAUAGUAAACUUUUCAUCAUAUAAUGUAUUAAAUUAGUCCAUUACAUGUCUUAUUUUGUGCAUAAAUAUUUACAUAAAUUAUUUUUUAAAAACUUCAUUGAACCGAGGUUGAACCGGUCCGACCGGUUAAAUCUCGACCCUUUCACGUCACCGGUUCAAUUAACGGUCCGAUUUUUAAAACAUUGGUUAAAAGGAAUAUCCAGUUCUUAGAUAACUUUUCUAGGCACAACUCUAGUUGUCAGAAAACUGGUCUACUUUGACUGUGGGUUUUCCUUUAGUCAGGCCAUUUUGUCAUUAGUGAUGAUUGCUUCUUCUAAACCUUAGCUAACUGCACACGCCAUGCGCAUGAAACUUCUUCUAAACCUUAGCUAACUGCACACGCCAUGCGCAUGAAAAUCCAAACUUCAAAUAAAAUAAUUUGAACUCGUCAACUUGCAAAAUAAGAUAAUUUGGGUUUCGUCUGAUAUGAGUAGUAAGGGAAAAUUUAAUUACUAUAUUUAUGAUUCUUGACUAAUGUGAUUGCUCAUCUAUCACCACGCAUCAGUUUAAUACCUUAUCUUCAUUUAAAUGUGACGAUUGUAGAAUUGAUGGCUGAAACUGAAAGGAAACUGAAAAAGAAAUGUCAUGUGAGUGCAUAUGCAUGGUUAAAACAAUACUCCCACAAAUUAUAACCAAUUCGAUCCCUUGUUUUUAAGGUUUUGAUCGUUUUGGUUCCUUGGUAUCAUGACAAGCCAAUUUUGCCUCUUAAAUUUAAAAAUAUGGUUAAGGAGAUCCUUUUGAUGGAAAUUUGAGUUGCUAAUGAAGUGAAGAGACCAUUUAGUGCCUUUCGUGUCACAUCCGUCUCAACACUAUAUUAAAGUUUCAAAAAAUCUCAAAUAAGUCAUAAAACUCAUAAAACAAACCCCAAAACUCUUUAUCGUGAAGAAAAUAAAUUUUUAUAACUUUAAAAUAAAUCAAACACAAUACCUUAAACAUAAUUAUGGAAUUUGUGCCAUUUUCGAGUUGAAAUAUCAUGAAAAGGAGUACCAAAAGGUGAAAGAAAAAUGCAUAAACUUAUGUUUGACAUAGUAUUAAAAACUUUUAUUUCAUUAUAUUGAAGAGUUUUGGGUGAGUUUAGGCUUUUAGGAUUUUAUUUGAAUGCUUGGUGUUUUCUGCGAGAUGGCACGAAGUACCCUCUAAGGUCUCUUAACUCCAUUAACAACUCUAAAUUAGCCUUGACCAAAUUCUUCAAAUUUAAGAAAAAUUGGUUCGCCAUAAUACAAAGGGACUAUUUUGUUAAUACAUUGGAGAUAAGAAACCAGAUUAAUUAAUUUUUGUUGUUUGCGUAACUCAAGGGAUUUCUCCGUUAGCUUCCCACAAUUUUGCUACAUUAGUCUCUUUUGAUGGAGAUAGAGCACCAACUCACAGUUGUAUUAGAACUUCACUUACGCUAUAAUCGUUAGGAUUUUCUUAUAUUCAUCCGACUACUCAAUAAGUAUCCUAUUUUAUAAUAACUAUCCUACACCUCUUCAAAGCCUGAUAAGAUGAAGAAAAUCUCUUUACUAGCAUCUUAAUGCCUUAUAUCCAGUAUUGAGGGAAAAAAUUUAAUCACAUUACAGUCUGAGAAUUUGAAUCCAGCAAUUUCACGGUCUGAUGUAGUCACCCCAAGUAGGUUCUCCAGUAAAACAGGGUAGUGAGGCAAAAUGUACAUCAAAUAGGUCAAUUGUCGAGCCCCUCGGGGUUCGGUUCCGUGGUUGUAGCCCCAGUUGGGGGAGAGCCACGUCCAGGGAUCGAGUCCCCGUUCUACCGUGGCUGGUGAUGCUUGAGGUGGGCCGCUCCCAGCCCGCAGUGGAAUUAGUUGGGCCGUACGGUAACCAGUACAUGGGUCCAGAUACCCACUGUGAUGAAAAAAAAAAAAUAGGCCAAUUGUCGAUCUUUGAUUAUGUCUACACUUUCAAAAGAUAGGCUUAAUCAUAUUAGUGGAAAUAACUCAUAGUUCAUCAUAUAUUAAUUUGCUAUUCAAUUUAGUUUGAAUACAUGAUCAAUGUUAUUGUAUGCCAAAAAAGAUUGAGGAUACUUUUGACCUAGUUCUUUGCACUAACUUGAAAUCUUCCAAUUGUUCUUUCUUUGAUGCACUUGCAAAAUCUCCUGCAAAAGUAAAAUAACUCAGUUGGUGAAUUUUGGCUAACUGAGAGGCCCCAUCUUCUUUUUACUUCUUUAGCACAAGCGAAGAAUGAAUUUAUGCAUAAUAACCGUGUGAUUCUAAUGAGAUAUGAUUUUUUUGGUUUUGCAUGCUGGUUAAACAAUUGUUCAAGCUCUUAUCUUGGUUUUUGAUACUUCACCGGUAUGUGGAUGUUGCUGCUAAAGAAAUUUACAUUUGUCAUUAGAAGAAUUUUCUAUUUUAUGACUGGCAAGUGAUUUGGUAUCUUAGCAGUUCAUCGAUUUUGGUGCUUUGUUUACAAUUUAAUUGGCUUCAAUGGUCCAUACAUAUAGGAACUUGGAAUUUACCCUUUUAUUUCCUUUUGCAUGAGCAAAGAUUAGUAAUUUUUAAUCAUAAUUUUCGAUUCCUCUAUUCUGGCCAUAGUGAAGAAAUCUACCUUUUUGUACUUGUGUAUAUGCACACCAAACAUCAUUGGGCUGUCUACUUUUGACAUUAUUCUUGAAUUACUCAGUUUAGAAUGUGUAUUAGCUGCUGGAAGUAAAUGCAUCAUCGUUGGCAAUUACUAAACAGAAAAUAUGCAUGCCAUUACUAUUUUCACUGAAAUUAGCAUCUAACUUAUAAUGAUCUAAUUAAAGGUUAACCACAUUGGUUUUGACUAGAACUAAGAGAUCACUAGCCCUCUUAUUUUUGGAUUUGCAUUAAUCCAGUAUCAUCAAACUUCUUCAAAUGGGCUCUUUAGCUACUAACCCCUUCAAAAAUAAUUUAGGCUUACGGUUCUGUUGAUGUCGCAAUUGCAGGAGGUUCAGAAGAUAACGAAAGGCUCAUCUAAGAUUUCUUAAGGUGUUUGGCUUAUAUUGCUAGAUUUACUUAAUCUAUUUUCAUUCUUCUCCGAUGUCAUUAUUGUUAAAGUUCAAUUCAUAAGUUGGUUGUGUUAGAAAAUUGGCUUAAUUUCUUUUUAGAUAGGUUUUUGUUUUGUGCAAAAGUAACUAGUUUCCUAAUUGGUUUUAGUUACUCGGAAUAGUAGCCAAGAAAUUUCUUAUUUUGUUUAGAAUUAGAAGUUAUUUCUUAUUUUCUACAAGUCUAGGAAUUAGAAUUAAUUUCCUGUUGUUAUUUGGAUUUUUUGACCAAAUAAUAUUUUUAUAAAUAGGUGGGUUGGCAUACUAUAAAAGAGACACAUAAGGGCACACAAGGACGACAUGUAACCUUAUACAUGGGUGGUGAGAGAGAGUUCUUAGGAGAUGAGAAAUGGUAUACAAAGGUUGGACUUGAGUUCGAGUUGUAUUCUUGUAUAAGGUUUUUCUCUCAUAAUAAAUAACAAGUUUCUCUCCGUGGACGUAGGUUCAAUGGAGUCAAACUACGUUAAAUAUUGUGUGUUGUUUAUCUUUUAUACUUGUGGCUUGUUUCUCAUUAAAUUAUUGUGUACUUGAUAUCUUAAUAGUUAUUUAUUCUGCAUUUAGUUCCUAACAAAUGGUAUCAGAACUUGAUUGCGAGAUUGGGCUGCUCACAAGCACUUGGAUCCCAACAAACUGAAUAGUUGGAUCAAGAGUUUGGUUGUUCAAGGAUGGAUCCUAGUUAGCUAUUGAGAUCAAGUAGGUUGGUGACUGUUACCAAUUGAACAAUUUAAUGGGCGGUAUCCUUUUUUCAAGAGUUUGGCAAAAAAGCAUUGACGGUGAAUGAUGAAAAGUCGAAAAGCAUGGAGAUACUUGACGGUGAAUCUAGGCAGAUGAUUCAAGAGUCAAGGAAAAGGUGGAAUCCAAUAUCGAUUUUGGACGUGAAUCGGUGGAGACUUUCUCACAACUUCAACGGUUGAUACUUCAUCUCGGUGAUUUUUAGAUUUCGCUUAUGUUUUUUGAGUGGUACGGCACCUGACCCAAAAAAAUAAAGAGAUUUAAUUUCUAUGCGCUAGAAGACUCUGACAGUUACGAGUCUUUUGUUUCAGGUGAAUUUUUGGAAACCACACGUGGCGAGAUAGUCUUGAGGAAGGGAAGAAGUAUGAUGAUUUUAUCACUUGGUUGCCUCAAUGAUUAAGGUUAGAGCUCAUAGAAGGAGAUUUUGGGUUGCAAGUGGUGGUGAGAAGAAAUCCUGUAAAGAAAAAUGGUGAAUUGAGGCAUCUUCUCACGAAUCAACUGGAGGUUGUACUAGGUGUAAAUACACAUAUUCAUUUGGCAAUUAAAUUAAUUUGGUAUCAGAACUGUAUUGAUUCGGGUGUGUAGUUCGGUACCAUAUUAUUUGGUAGUUGAAAGUAAAUAAUUGUUAAAAGAAAUUUUCGCCAAGAUAGAGAUUUGUUAGGAAAUUGAUUUAAUUUCUUUUCAGACAGGUUUUUGUUUUGUGUAGGGAUUUAGUUACUUGAAAUAGUAGCCAAGGAAUUUCCUAUUUUGUUUAGGAUUAAAAAUUAUUUCCUAUUCUAUACAAGUCUAGAAAUUAGAAUUGGUUUCCUAUUAUUAUUUAAUUUUUUGGCCAAAUAAUAUUCUUUAUAAAUAGGUGGGUUGGCAUACUACAAAGAGACACACAAAAGCACACAAGAGACGACAUGUAGCCUUAUAUAUGGGUGGUGAGAGAGGAUUUUUAGGAGAUGAGAGAUGGUAUACAAAGGUUGAAUUGGGGUUCAAGUUGUGUUCUUGUAUAGAAUUUUUCUCUUAUAAUAAAGAACGAGUUUCUCUCUGUGGAUGUAGGUUCAAUGGUGGAGCCGAACCACAUUAGAAAAUAGUGUGUCAUUUAUUUUUCAUGUUUGUGGCUUGUUUCUCAUUAAAUUGUAGCGUACUUGAUAUCUCAAUAGUUGUUUAUUCCAUGUUUGGAUCCUAACAGAUUGCUAAACCAAGAUUGAUGUAAUUGCGUCCUAUAAGAGAGUUUGCAAUUCAAUUGAUUAAGGGAAGAACAGAGAAAAUCCCUGAAAAUGGGAAUUAAAGGAAACAAAGGAAACCCUAAAACUAGUUUCCAAGAACAAUUCUGUCGAAGACAGAAAACAAAGAAAAUAGUAUCAAAGGCUAUAUCGUUAUUUAGGAAACAAGAAGCACUUGAAGGUGAAUGUUGCAGAAAGUAGAAGAUCCCACUACAAUUUACUAAUUCAAGGAGCUGUAAUUAAGAAAGAAAGAAGACAACUCAGAGAAUUAGGGAUUGUUAUUAAUUGAUGAAUGAGUAGGAAGAAUGUAGAUGAAGAUGAUAAUCAAUUACAAGUAAUGGAAAUCGGAAAUCCUAGAACUGCCUUCAACUUACCACCCUCCUCUCUUUUAUUCGGCUACUACACUUGUCCAAGUCAGCUAAUUCAUUACAACCAACUGACAUACAAGAAUUAUAAGGAUUUAUUCAUUAAGUCCCUAUCAUACUCGCUUUAUUACAAAAAAAAAAAAACCCUAUCAAUAAAACUAAGGUAACAAAUACUUCCCCCUCAGAGAAUCCUUGUCCUCAAGGAUUAAAUUCAGGAAAUUGUUGUUUAAGGUCAAACCAGAAUUCCCAGAUAGCAUCUUCAAGAAAAGAAUUGCUUCACUAUGCCAAAACUUUUGUAGCAAGAGAGUUACCACAUUUCACCAAUUUCUGAUCAAGUAUGGCUAUAGGCUCCAUUAAUAAUUAUCCCUGUGUAUUGAUUGUGUAUUGAUUGCAAAAGGAAUGUGUGAGGUAACUAGUGAGUGCCCACUUUCUUCUUUAGAAGAGAUACAUAAAAAAUAGAGUGUAUUUUUGCCAUAUUAGGCAGCUAAAGCUGAUAUGCAACAGGGUGUACUCUUUUGAUCACUUGGAAAGGUCCAAAAAACUUAGAAGCUAACUUCUGACAAGAGUGUACCUUCAAAGAGUGUUGCCUCUACAGUUGUAGUUUCACAUAUACCCAAUCUCUUGCCGAGUACUGUCUAUCAGACCUGUGUUGGUCAGCUUGUUGCUCCAUCCUAUUUUGUGCCUUAUGAAGGUUGUACUUUAAGUGAUGCAAAACUAUCUCCCUUGCUGCCAAGAUUCUAUCCACCACUUCCACUACUGAAUUCCCAAGUAGACAAGGCAUAUGCAGAGAUGGUGCAUGACCAUACACCACCUCAAAUUGGAUAACCUUAGUGGCAGCAUGAAAUUUGGUAUUGGACCAAUAUUCAGCCAAGGGUAACUAGAUAGACCACUGCUUUGGAAAAUCUCCACACAUGCACCUCAAAUAUUACUCCAAACACCUGUUUACCACCUCAGUUUGACCAUCUGACUGAGGGUGGUAGGUAGAAGAGGUAUUAAUCUGCACUUUUAGUAACUUAAAAAGUUCUUGCCAAAAAGUGCUAAUGAAGACCACAUCCUUGUCACUAACAAUGCUCUGAGACAAGCCGUGAAGUCUACAGAUCUGAUCCAGGAAUAUGUGCAAAUAUAAAUGCUGAAUAAGCAUGUGACAAUGCCAAGAAGUGUGCAUACUUACCUAACUUGUCAACCACCACCAAGAUGGCUUGUUUACCAUGUGCAUUAGGUAAACCUUCCAUAAAGUCCAUGGAAAUUCACUCCAAACCUUUUGAGGCACACGUAAAAGUCGUAAUAAACCCAAAUAAGCAGUAUUGUCAUAUUUGUUGCACUGACAGACAUCACAUGCAGCCACAUAGUUGACUAUGUCUUGAUACAUUCUUCUCUAAUAAACCACUGACUUCAACUUCUUUUAGGCAGCAUAAACUCCUGAAUGCCUCCAACAGCACUAGAAUGCCACAAGUGAAUUAUAUUAUUCUUGAAUUGGCAGUCAUUUUCUACCACUAGUCUCCCCAUUCUCCUUAACUGCUAGUUGCUCCAUGUGUAAUAAGGUGAGACCUUAGAAAGAUCAAAUUGUAAUUGAGUGAUGAAGUUCUAUAGCCUUAUAUCUAUUUGCCAUCCCUUUUUAAUCACUAUCAAAGAUCACUGUUAACAAUGAUGAUGGCAAGAGCUUCUCUUGGUUCUGCUAGUUUUCUAAAGAGAGUAUCUCUCACCAUAUUAUAUGCUUCUUUCCUGUAGUGAAGCUCAUAAUAAAAUCUUACUAGCUUAGUCAUCCAUUUCUGCUGCAUAAGAGUAGGGCUGUCAAUGGUCUGGGUCUAGACCCGGACCCGGACCGGAUCCGUCAAAUUUAUCCGGGUAUGGGUAGGGAUUUAAUUCCGUUACCCGGACCCGGAUCCGGAUAUAAAUGGAUUACUAAUUUAAAAUAUAUAUAUUUAUUAAUAUAAUUUGAUUAGGAUGAUGUAUUUGAGUGAUCAAUAUAAUUGGACCCGGAUCCUAAUCAAUAUAAUUUGAUUAGGAUGAUGUAUUUGAGUAAGGUUAAUUUGAUUUCUUUUCUUAUUUGAUUUUUUUUGUAUUAGUUAGAAAUUAGUUUAUAAAUAUAUGUUUUUUCUCAUUUUUGUUAGAAAUUAUAAAUUUUGUUAGUUUUUUUUCGGGUAGACCCGGAUCCGGAUCCGAGACCCGUCGGAUCUGGAUCCGGAACAUAGAGUAAAGACCCAUCGGGUAAACGGGUCGGGUCCGGAUCCGAUAUAGUGUGCCGGGUCCGGGUCUGGAAUAAUGAAUUCCGGCCCGGACCCGGCCCGUUGACAAGCCUACAUAAGAGUGUUCAAUCUUUGUUCCAUCAUAUAUUCAAUGCUCUAAUGGUCAUUUUUAAUGAUAACGUACCUUCCAGGUAGAUAAGGUCUCCACUUCUAUACAGCAGCAACUAUGGCCAAUAUUUGCACUUUUCCAAUAUACUAUCAUAUGCUAUUCCCCCACACACCUAAAUCUUAUAUUGUCCCCAAUGUAAAAUAAAGAAUAAAAGAAAAGUAAUGGGGAUAACGAAACUUCCUUGAUAACUGAGGGGGCCGUCGACAGCUACAGGUGAGGGGCGAAUGACUGUGGAGCUCGACGUAUGUUGAUGGUUGGUGGCGGUGGAGUUCGGAUGGAGAAGGAUGGAAGAAAGAAAGAAAGAAGAAAGAAAAAGAAGAGAGAAAGAAAGAAAGAAAAAGAAAAGGAAAAAGAAAGGAAAAGGAAGAGAAAAGAAAAGGGAAAUACGAAUGGGAAUUGCUCCAAUCCGAGCUGGUUUUUUGUACUACUACUUUGCUUCUUGUACGAAGCUUGAAGAUGCAGCAAGCGCGGAAAUUUUUUUUUUUUUACAUCUGAUUUUGAUUUUUUUCUUUUUCUUUUUCCUUUUCUGUAUUUCCUUUUCUUUUCUUUCUAAUUUUUCUGCAAAAACAAUCAAAUAGAAAUCAAAUGAGAUGGAAUGAUUUUUUUUUAAAAAGGUAAAAAUAUAAAUAGAGAUAAAUAAAUAAUAAUAGUUAUUAACAAAUCAUAAAAUGAUUUAUGAAAUUUUUUUGGUGUCUACAUAUAUACACAUACUAAUAAUUUUUAUAUUUAUAUAUUUUUCCUAUUUAAUCUUACCUAUAAUUCUUUCUUAUUUUAUUUACUUUUUCUAAUUAAUUUUAUAUUUUUAAAAAUAUAACAUCUAAAAAUAUAUAUUAACGAAGAGGACAUCCGUUAGACAGGUCCUAUUUUAUGUAGCAUAUAUGUCUCUACAUGAAAAAAACUUUUUUAAUAGGUAUCCCGUUUUUUGACAUGAAAAAUACCUUUUGACUACAUUCUGACUAGCGCCAAAAGCUAUCCACUUUUGACAUGCUGCCCAUGCAGGCCUAAUUUUUUUUAGUACUGAAUUUGUUUUGGAUACGUUAGUAUUUCUUGAAUUUUAGAAAAUGCUUCUCUUUAAUAAAUGUAAGUUCAUUUUAAUCUUGAUUCGCAAGCUUUUUCUUGAAAAUGGUUUGCCAUUUCUUAUUAGUUGUUACAGUAAAUUUAGCAUGCAUAUAUGCUUUUUGUCAAAAUUCAAUCAUUUCAAAAUCUAGAAGGGAACUUCUAAAAUACCUGCAUCCUCCUUUUUCUUUUUUCUUUUUUAUUUUUCCCCCUCUUGGCUUUGUAUUCAGAAUCAGAUUGUGUUCAAUUAGUUGGAAUUUGGCUUUGGAGUUAAAAGGGAUUUCCAUUUUUUCCUAGGUAUUCCACAGCUUGCAUACCAAAAGCACAGAGGCGGAAGAAAACCUAUGAUUAAAUCAUACAACAGGCUUGUAAGAAAAUGCCCACUUUGAAAAAAUGAAAAGUUGAAUUUCCUAUUUUCAAAUUUACAUGCAAAAAAUGAAAAAUGACAUGCAAGAAAUAGUCUACUAUUUCGCCAUGUUUCAUAGUUUAUGAGAAAUAUAUUACAAAUAAAUCCACAUAAAUGGUGGGAAUAAUAACUCAAAUAUGGUGGGACAAAUAAACAUACAGGGUGACCCCUGCCAGCUGAGAUAACUAGCUGGUUUAUUUAAUUUAAUAGUUUGAAUACAAUAGUAAAUCAAUGCCAUAGCUCAGAUACUGACUAAAUUUUUCUCCCUGAAGAAUUCAACAGCAUCUUUUAGGCUGACCUCCAAAGGAGUGAAUUGAACUCCCAACCUUUUUGCCUUCUCAUUGGAGGCUCUGUAGUUUGGGCUGAUAAGGUUGGUAUUGUUUGACAUUCUGCUGUAUGCGGGACAAUACACAAUUAUGGCAAACAUAAAUAAAGCUUAGGUAAUGAAAAUGCAAAUGUAAAUUCAAAUGCUUGAAAAUCUACUGGACAAUUGCCUCAUAUCUACUGUAAAUUGUGCCUUUUUUACGAAGUUUCAAAAGACCUUUUAAAAGAUAACUUUAGUUGUGAUAUGAAUGAAAUUUAUUUUUCUCUAAAAAAAAGCCUAAAACGGAAUUUCUAUUUUGGAGACAAAGCCAAUUUGGUGAUAUAUCCUAGUCCAAAGAAGACCAUCUUCUAGAAAUCAACCUGAGAAAGAGCUCAUUUUUUAUGGAACAUGAGACCAAAAGAAAAAAAAAAAGAAGGCAGAAAAUUUAGGAUUUAGUGUCCUUUAAAAGAGAGUAUAAAAAUAUGUGAUACAUUUUGGACGUAUACAAGGCCAUCAGCAAAAGCCUGCAAAGACCUAAACAAGGAAAACAAGACUUACUUAUCAGGAAAUUGGUGAGUUGGGUAAUGCUCAUGCAAAAUCUUGAUGAUCUGAGAGGCAUUUGCACAUCUUUCAACCAGACAAUAUCUUCCACUUGCAGAAGGGGUUUCAAGGGCAAGAACAUGUGCAUUGGCAACAUCUCUAACAUCAACCCAGCUACAUGUUGCCUUAGGAAAUGGUUCAACCCCUGCAUUUGGCACCUAAGAUCUUUAAACACAUUUUUUUGCAGGCUCUUCAGCAAACAUAAGUGAAACCAAUUUGGUUUGUUUGGAUUGGCAUGAUUUCAGAUAAAAUAAUUUGCUUCACAAAUUCCAAUCACCUUUUUAUCUCACAUACAGCACAUCACAAAAAGUGUUACAGUAAUUAUCUCAAAUAAAUCAUCUAAAUAAACUUCUAUCCAAACAAAAUGUUGUUUGCCAUGAAAAGAGUCAAAUUUAGAGGCCAUGGCCUGCCUUCCAGAAGAAAUGUGUGGUAUGUACUACUUUGUUCUGUUUUAGUAUCAGCAAAGCCACAGAGGGGAGGGAGAUGUGAGGAAUGAACUAGUUGAGACAAUUCAGAUAAUUGGUGAAUAAUAAUAAAGAUUAAUCCCGACAAUCUUCUAGUUAAUCUGUCCCUGGAAUUUCUCAGAUUUAGAGUUAGGUUUCUCUUUCAAAGGAUAGUUUAUUUAUUUUCUUCCAAAAAGGAUCAAUUACUAGACAAAAGAAUAAACUACAGGCAUGAUAAUACUAGUUGUCUCGUACUUAAGAGUGUUAAAUGGUGAGAGCUGAAGAAACUUGUCCCUUCACUCUCAUCCAGAUAGAAAAACAGAAUUUAUUCCUGUUGUUUUGUUCCAGAGAGUGAAACAGUAAUCAAUUCCUGAAAUUUGUUUCUUGCCAUUGUUGUACAAAGUGGCUAUUUGGGUCGAAGGAGUCAUGGCGAAUUGAAAGAAUAAUAAACAAGCUUUAGCAAGUAAAGUUUGUACAACAUAAACAGUGACUACUCCUAACAAAUUUUUCCUCACAAUUACCACCCAAAAAUUUCUUUUCCUUCCUGUUAAUCACAUAGAACCUCAAUGUUGUUGAAAGGAAGAUGCACACAACGUGAAUUUCAGAUGAAAGAUUGUACUGCAAACCUUUAAAACAUCAUAAGCUGGUCAGAGUUUAUAGCUUGAUAUAUCAGUUCACAUUCUGACCUAUGUCUGUCAAUCAUGUGAUAAGCCAGCAGUGCCUUGAAAUGUUAUUAGUCAUAAGUUUUUUGUUCUACUGUAACAAAGAAAGUUGUGGUGCAUAAUAAAGCUAUAAGUAACAUAGAUGGAAGAGUCAGUUAGACAAUGAUUACUAAGGUGAUUCAAUAAAUUUUGAAACAAACCCUUUAAUAGGUUGAGGAACAAAACAGCGCUCGAAUUAACAGAUGGCUGCAAGAGAGGACCAAUGACCAAUCCUGGAUGAAUUGUAAUCACGUCAAUGCCAUGCUCCUUUGCAAAUUUCCAUGCAGCAUUCUCGGCCAUGGUUUUUGAAAGUUCAUACCAAGACUAUCAACACCGAAAAAUCAGUAAAUGUUGGUAAGAUGGUAGCAGAAAGUAAUUAGAUUUGUAAACUUUAAGAAGUAACAUUAUAAAUUUCUACAAAUUUGACAAAACCAGCAACUUACAUCAGUUGAAACUAUUAUUGCUGUAGCUACAAAGCACAGAGUGAAAGCAUCCACAUUUCCCAGGACAAGCUAUGCUAUAAGUGAAUAAGUAGAUUUCUCAAGGAUCCUAGGAAUGGUGUAAACUUUCUAUAUUCAAGGAAUGAUGCAAAGCACCAGUGUCGACAUAUCCUGAUCAUCUGAUCUCUUAAUCCACAAGCUAACAGCAAAACUACAAGGGACCUUGACACUUUAACACAAAUAGCCAUAUUCAUAAUAUUAUAGCAGAAGUUCCUUUCCAACUGACCGACCAAAUAUUGCUCAUCUAGGUGUGUAUUCUCAGACAAUAGUAUAGAAUUUGAUCAUGCAAGAGAUGCAUAAUUAAGUAGGAAAACUUUCAUAUUGCUCUUUCCCCGACUAUUCCACACUACAUUAUUAAUUUUUCAUUAAAGUUAAGUUGUUACUUAGAUAGAAGGAAAGAAAUGGACUGACCAUUCUGGUUACAAAAAUAUCCUUUUUUUUGCCUAUUAAAGUACCACCAAGUCAUGAAGAUCCUAACUUAAUUAUCUCCACAGCUGGGCUAACUCCUCAUAUGUGUUCCAACAACAAGUUAAAACUAAAGAAUUCCAGCAUUCCAUAUUAGAUUUUACUGGAAGAAGACAGAUAAUAUAUGUACCUUUUGCUCCUCACAGUAUGAUGGAUCGGAAAACCAACUUUCAUCAACUACCACAUCCUCCUUUAAUUCUCUGUUUUUUGAAACUGCAACCAUAGAGGAUGUUAUAACUACUCUUUUGACAGAAGAAGAAUUUGCACAUGACCGCAGCACAUUCAGUGUUCCGCUUACUGCAGGUUCCAGUAGUUCUGCCUAUGAAAUCAAACCAAGUAAAAAAGGAAGUCAUUACCAGUCAUAGGUAAGACUAUGCUUUUAACCUGCAAAAAACUUAUCAUUCUGGUAUUAUGUUUGAGAAUUUCACCACAAAUGCUGUAAACCUACAGCUUUAGUUACUUAGCUAAAGGAUGCAUAUUGUUGUCUUAUCUCCUCUUGCUGCUAAAAUAAGUUCUCAGGUCCUUUAUUGUUGUUUUUUCCCAAAUUUUUUCAGCUUUCACUGGGUGACAGGAACUUAAGACCAAUAGAGGAACAACUGAAAUAAGUCUCAGAUGUGGUCACCAAUUAAACCGUUUGCUACCAAAUAUCAACCGAUGAAAUUCUGUUCUGGCUUGAACAGGACAGACAGAAAAUAUAAAAGGUGUAGCUCCCAUGAAUCCUGCGAACAGAUUUUAGCGUGAACACAUAAUGCAUGUUGCAAUUUCUUUUAGUGUCUGUGAGUCAACCUUGUUCAUUGAAAUGACUAAAAUCAAAGUUCUACAAAGUUACUUAAAAAAAAUCCAUAAACACAAUUUGAGAAACAGACAAGGAUAGGUGUACUGCAUAAAAUUAAGGCACAAUCAUUAAUAGAAGUUAAUCAACUUACAAAUGAAGAUACAUAUAAUUUGCAGAUGCUUGAACAUAUAUUGUAGUUUCUAUAAGCUUCUUAUUCAUUCUGGUAUGGGCACGCAAAAGCCAUUGGCUCUACACUGGCUGAAUAAUUAGUUGGUCAAAGCAGGGAUUCAUUUGCUCCAGGACAAGCUUAUAGCUUGCUCUAUAACCUUACCCUGACUGACUUACCCAGGAAAAUAGUUAGUCGGACCCAAUCUACUGCCCAAUUGUGGACCAUUUGCUAUGUUUAUGGCUCUUAAUGUUUUUAUUUCACAACAUUACACCCUUUGAAUUGUUUCGCUGAAGUACCAAUUUCCAGAUCAUUUCAUAGAAACAUCAUGUAUACUGAUUAAAAAGAGACUAAAGCACAUAACACACGACAGUCUUUUUGUGAAUGACCUGCUGGAACAGAUUAGUUUUGUAUGUACCAAAUGUAAAGAAAUAUUCUUCAGGUGUUUGACCUGAUUGCUACAUUAAUCUCCUCCCUUUGGUUAAUAAAAGAAAAAGUAGAGCCAUAGAAUUGGAAACAUUUGAAUCUAACUCUCUUUUUUUUUUUGCCUUUACAGUUAUAACCUUGUCAUAAAUCACAUAUAGAGGAGUAGACUAUCACCCAAAAAAGCCAGUAAAAAUGCAACAGAGGAAGAUACUAAAAGAAGUCGUACAAUUAUAAAUCAGAAAAUAUGCUACGAUUCUCAAACUUCACUUGAUAAAUAGCAGAUUUUGCAGACAGUAGAGAAUUUUCAAUCUUGUAAAGCAAAUGUACCUCUGGAUUGCUAAAUGAAAGUUUGAUUGGAGAUGCAGUAUGGAAAACCCCUUCACAUCCCUCGACUAUUGCAUCAAACGAUCCCUCUUCCAGUAAGUUUGCCGAGUACAACUGAAGCCUUUCCUUAGCUCCAUCAAGUGAUGUCAAAUGUUGUGUCCUUUCCGGAUCAUCUGUGUCAUGAUUGUAUCAGUAGAAUGUUCAGACAGCUAUAAUCAAAACCUUGCCGCCUUGGUAAAGUGUACUAUGUUUUCACUAUGGUGAAACUCAAGAAGAAAUGGACAUAGAGUAAUAAUAAACGAAUCUCAAAGCAAUGAUAAAUUUGACUAGCUAAAGGCAAGCGGGGAAAAACGAAAAGAAAUUGACGGGCAACAUAAUAUGACCACAAUAAUAUCAUAGCCCUAUGAUUUCUGGUUUUGAGAUGCGUACAUUUGUAACUUUCUUGAUAACAAUUAAUUCUUGAGAUAAUUAUCAGAGGGACAAUUGUAUGCCAUCUACCACUAUUUUUAUAACAAACUCAGUCCUUCAGAAGAAGGAUAUAGAUUCGAUAGGCUAAAGAUUUUUUAUUAUAACUUGAUCGUUGUAUCUGGAGCAUGAAACAAUUAAGUUGGUCCACAUCAAAAAUAUAUAUAUAUUUUUUGCAUGUGAUUUUCUUUUGAGCAAACAGAACAUGGGGAGCAUUUAGCUGUUGCAAGAAUAUCAUCUGGAGCUACAAGACAAUUUCACACUGCAGAGUUGAAUAAAAAUAUUGGGCAAAUUACAUAUAAUCCUCCUGUGGCUUUGUCUGUUGCCACAUGACCCUUCUAACAUUUUAAAAUAUCCAAUUCACCCACUAUGAUUUUAUGUAAAGCGGAAACUUGAUGGAGAAUAGCCUAUAUAAUGUCGUUAAUUGAAAUACCAUUAGUACUUUUACUUAAAUGCUAAAUCAAUCGACGAUUUAAUUACCUUAUAUAAAAGUAUAAGGGGAUUAUAUGGAUAAAUAUAAAAAUCACAGGAGGGAUAAAGUGGACAAUUAUAUAUAAGAGAAUUACAUUGAAAUUAAGACUUUAUCACACACGCUUUUAGAGCGCGUUUGGUAUAAAUGCCGUAACUAAUUGUGCAUUCCAUCAUUUUCCGCUUUACAUAUAACUAUGGGGGGUAUGUGGCUAUUUUGAAAUCUUAGGGGACCAUCUAGCAUUAUAUAAAAUCACCCUAAAAUAUAGUUAUAAGUAAUUUACCCUAAAAUGUUAGAUUCCAGGAGCAAUUAAACAACAAUCAGAACAGGGCAUCAAAAACUGCACAAGCCACUAAGAUAGUUGAUCAAGAACAAAAACUGGACUUACAGGCAUCUCGAACUGAACCUUUAACAGUAUAACCGCGCUCGAGCAGCAGCUUCACCAGCCAUGAAGCUAUGUAACCCGAAGCUCCGGUCACACACACCAUUUUCCCUUCUCCUGCUCCACUCAUUUUGUUAAUAUUUUUGUGUGUGAACCUGUCACCUGUUUGCCUUACUUCUGGACUUAAUGGAGGGAGGCAUAUAUGGUGUAUAUAUAGCUAUGGUGAAGAAGACGAAAGAUUGGAUAUGAGAUUACUGGGAGACUGGGGAGAUCCAUAUGUAUUCUUGCAAUUUGCAUGCAUCAUCGCUGACAUACGUAUGGUAUAAUCGCGUCACAUCCCAUUUUAUCAAGGUCAAUUGAUCAGUGUAAAAUAGAAAUGAACAAUAAAUACAAUGGUAAAUUACCUUCUACACCCUAUGGUUUGAUGUUUUAUCACAUAACUCCCUAUAAUUUAAAAACCUAUAUAUGACCCUUUCGUAGUUUGGGUUAUUGUGUCACUUUAGCUUGUUCUGUUAAAACUAACGGUCAAUAGUAAAAAGUCAAAUUCAAACUACUAAAUUGACAAAUUCACCAUUUCACUACUUUUUUUUUCUUGUUUUCCUUUUCUUUCUUUCCUUUUUUUUUCUUGGAAAGAGAAGAGAUGACUUUGAAAACUUGUAUUUUGGCUUACAAAACCUUAAUUGUUUCCAAAUACAAAAGAGACAGAAGGGAAAUAAAAAUAAAUCAACAAGAAACAAAAAAUAUGGAAGGUAAAGAUAUAACAAAUAAAUAAGAAACAAAAAAACACCAAAUCUUUUUUACUAUGAAUAUCAUUAUAGGUUUUUAAACCAAAUCUUUAAUAGUAUUUUCUAGUUCUUAUUUAUCUAUUUUUUAUUCCAAUUUCUUCUUUUUGAUGUUUGGAGGAAAAAAAAAAACAAGUAAUGAAGGGAUAAAUUUGUCAAUUUAUUAGUUUGACUUUUUAAUAUUAACUGUUAGUUUUGACGAAAAAACUAAUAAUGACACAUUAACUCAAAUCAUGAGGGGGUUAUAUAUAGUUUUUAAACUAUGGGGGUUAUGUGAGAAAAUACCAAACUAUAGAGGUUAAAAUGCAAUUUAGCCUAAAUCCAAAAUUUGGCGGUUGCAUAUGAAAAAAUAACAAGGUUCUUGACUUUGCUCAAUACAAUUCCAAGUCUAGAGACACAAUUUUUAAAUUCACUACCAGGAUAAACCAUUCUCCUUUUUUUUUUCCAUUUUUUCGGGUUAAAAAGUACAAACUACUUGAACUAGAAACUAGUCCUGACAAAGUUUGUGGGUUUUUUGCAAGAGUUUUAGUUAAAUAUUGGUUACUUCGCCUAAUUUGCACCUAUUUUAUCAUGUAAAUGCAUGCACACUUUUAAAAAAUAAUGCAUGCACUUAUAUUAUUGCCUUUCUUACAUUUAAAUACUUUUUUCAAUUUAAUUUUACUUUUCUGGCAAAACUAAAUCUGAAGCCCAUUUCAAGAAAUAUCCACCGAAUACCAGGUCAACAAACCCCCUUCGUAAUAAAGAACGAAAAGAACCGCAGCGUUCUUAACACGCAGCGGUCUUUUUGCAUCUAAGAAAGCUUUUGAUUGGCUAGAAAUCCUUCUCUGAUUGAGAAAUGGGAAUUGACUUGAUGAUGGCAACUCCAUUUAGAAAACUGGUCCACACCCUUGAAUGUGGUUUAAAUUUAAUAACACCAUUUCAUCAUUUCUGACGACUGCUUCUUCUAUAUCCUAGCUCACUGCACACGCCAGUCGUGUGAAACUUGGCAAAAGAGUUGCACCCUCCGUCCUAAAAUUGUCUGUCGCAUUUCGAGAUCCAACUUUUUAAAAAUAGCAUGAUGAUGAUAUUUGUAGAUUUGUUUUAAAAAUUGUCAUCAAAAAUUCAAAUUUUAAAUUGAAUUUAGUAUGAAAUAUAGAUAAAGAUUGGAAUAACAUUGAAAAAAAGAGAUGAAAAGUUAUUUUGAUUUUGAUAAGAUGAUAAAUAUUUUAGAACGUUUCAAAAUAAAAAAAAUAUAUGACAUUUUCAAUGAAACAAAAGGAUGGAGAGAAUAUAUAUAAGAUACUGAAAACUAGCAUCCAUCAGAAGCAGUCAAAUCAAAGCCAACAUAUUACUUGUAGUUUGGUUAUAACAAUAUCUCAGCUUGCUGGUAGCCCAAAAAUUUAGCAAAAUAAAUUAGGAAACCAAGUGCGAUAGAGCAUAUUUCACCCAAAUAUAUUAAAAGUGAAAAAGAUUUAUUUUUAUUUAGUCAAUGUGAUUUUUUGUGUCCGCAUGCCCAUAAAGCUCAAGGACCAAAAAGCCAAACAUACGAAGUGAAAAUGUGAAGAGCAAUAAUUUGAAUAUAAAAAAAAAAACGGGUAGAUGGAUAGAAAACCAUGUCGAAGGUCUCUUCUCUCUCUUUUUUUUUUUUUUGGUUUGACCAUGCAUGGUGCAUAUGAUAUGAAGGAUAAUUGUAAAGCACCAUAUACUGCCCAAGGAAAGUAGAUUACACAGUGGGAACCAAAAAUAGAAGAAAAUAAAGCCUCAUAUGAACCGAAUCUUUCCCCUUGCUUUUUUUCUGGGAAUUUAAAGGUAUAAUGCAAGAAAUAACUCCUGGUCAUGCAAAAUUGCCAACAAAAAUGCGUCUUUGGUUUUAAAUUCCUUAAUAACAUACUAUCCAGCAUACUAUUUAGCAUAAUAACAUACUAUCUCAGAUGCAUCCACUCAAAUAUCCUGGCCGAGAUGGUAUGAGGCCAAUUUUCUAUCAAAAAUAUAGGUCUGUAGCAGGUAAUGACGUUACCUCACUACAACAAAAAUGGCCUUUAGCGGCAUUUAAAGGUGUCAGUAUAGAAAAUCUAACCUGACACUUUAUCUAUCCUGACACCCAUGGCGAGUGUUGUCCCUUCCAAUGUGGGGAUAGCCUCAAAUCUUUAGCAGCAUUCAAAUGUGUCAGGCAAACCAUGCUGCUAUAUCUUUACCUCUGCCAACAAAUCUUUUUUUUGUGAUAAUCGAAAGUGUCUGUAUAGCGUUAGGACAUCAGUAGGGAAUCAGUAGGAUAUCAAAUUUAUGAAGACAUCUUGAGUUGUCUUAAUAUAUGGCUUUAAGGACACGUAGCCAUGUGAAUUUACAAUGUGUUGGACGACAUGCCCAUUUGUUGUUAGUGUUUUUCGAAGCUACAUAAUUUUAUCAACCCAUAUGACAAGGGUUUAUUUUACGUAUUUUUAGUGUGUUUUAUUAGUUAAUUUUGGUUUGAUUAUUUAGUAUUAUAACUAAAAUAACUAAGGUUUUGGUAAAAAACUACAUUUUAUGUUAAAAUGGCUAAACAUUGCAUUUUAUGGAUUUUUAUGGUAAAAACUUCAUAUUUUGUAGGUUUAAUGAUUCAAUCAUCAAAUGAAGUGCAUUGAGAAGAUAUUUGGAUGAUUGAAGAUGGAUUAAAGUGAGGAAAAUAAAAUAUGAAGUGUAAAAGGAAGAAAUGCAAUUUGAGGACAAAAAUCAAGAAAAGUCAGCUUUGACAACUCAGACAUAUUUUCGUAUUUUGACUAUAUCAGGAGCUACAAUGAUCGGAUCAAGGUGAUCUUGGUACCAUUUUGAAGUUAAGAGAUAUAUCUACAUUUGGUAUGAAGACAUCAAAGUCCAGUUCAGCCGUUUUCAUAGUCCAAAAGUUGAAAUACCGAAAUUCAACUCAGCUGUCCAAAGUGGAAAACAGAGUUCCGACCAGUGUUUAGUAUUUUGAUCAUAUCUCAGUCUACAAAGCUCCGAUUUGGAUGAUUCUUGAAGCAUUGGAAAGCUAACUCAAAGAUAUACAACUUUGAUGUUUUGCACAAAAGCCAGUUCGGCCUGCAUCAUGGAGAAAAUCGCAGUUGAAGUAAGGACAAAGUGAAAACGCGAGUGCACAAAACGCGAGUUGUAGACGCGUUUUGUAAAGGCGCGUUUUCUGGCCGAAAUUCUGCAAUUUGCUCAGUCAAUUCUCUUGUGUUCAUACCACUUUCCAGCUAUAAGUUGCAAGAGAAUUCGGUGCACAUGCUUCAGAAGACAAAAGGGCAGACAAGGUGGCUUAUUUUCAAGUCAAAAACAUUUGUUAUUGACUAUCCUAACAAAGUUGAGAUUUGGGAAUCAAAACAUUUGUUAUUUUACUUGUAAAUUUUCUCCAUUUGCUGCCAUUAAGGUUUCCUUUGUUCUUUCACAAUAUUUAGUAGAAAUUAUUCCUUCUUUAAUACAACUUGAAUCAGCUCCACUAUCUAUUAAAGCUACAUAUAUUUCUUUGAAAUCUUCUACUGUAAUAGUUACUAAAGCAUACCAUUUUUGAAAUAUCAUUUUUUCUAUGGUAUUUAAAUAUUGAAUUUCAUCUGUUGGUCUUUCUGAUAUACUUAUUUCUUCUGUUUUAGAAUUGGAAGUUGAUGGUUGAUUUUCUAGUAAUGUUAUUUUUGCUUCUAUUUCUAAAUCUUUUGUUUUUAAUUCUAUGAUUUCUCUUUGUAAUUGUUUUACUUGUAUUUUAAGAUCAUUAAUUUCUGUUUGAAGAUCUUUAGUGGUUUCUUUUUUCAUUAUAUUUAUGUUUAGAUAUUUAUCUAUUAAUUUAGAAAUACUAAAAGGUUCUAUUAUUUUUGGCAUUUUGUCUUCUUGUAUAAUUAGACUUUUUAAUCUUUCUAAAUACUCUUUUUUAGCUACUGGAUCAUCAAUUUUUUCUAUUAUAUCUAAUAAAAAUUCUUUAUCUUCUUUUUUGGUUAUAACAUUUAUAUAUUUUGAAGUGUUAGAACAAUUACAAUUUUCUUCACUUUCUGUACUAGAUAUAUCAUUAUAAUAAUCAUCUUCAGAAUUUUGAUCUUUUUCAUUUAUUAAUAAAUUAAUUAAUUUAUUUUUAAUUUCUUCUUCUUUUGCACAAAUCUCUGUAAUUUUUUCUUUUAAUUUACAUUUGUUUGCUUUAUGUCCUAUUUUUUCACAUUUAUAACAAACAAUUUUUCUUUUAAUAAAUUUUCUCUUCUUUUCUGGUUUAUCUUCUUUAGAUCUUUUAUACUUUAUUUUCUUAUUAUAUUUUUUAACUUUUUUGUUAUAUGCAGAUGGUGAUUUAAUUCUUUAGUAGCAAAUUCUAAAGCUCUAUUAAUUGGUUUUAUUGUUCCUUGAUAUAUAUCAUGUCCUAAAAAUCUUAUUUUUGUUUGGAAUAAUUUCAUUUUUGGUGCUGAAACAACUAAUCCAUUUUUCUUAACUACUUUUAAAAAUAUAUUUAAAUGUUUGAAAUGCUGUUCUAUUGAUUCAGAAAAUAUUAAUACAUCAUCAAUAUAAACUAUGCUAAAUGAACUAUAAGGAUUGAAAAUAUCAUUCAUUAUAUUUUGAAAUUCUGAUGGUGCAUUUUUUAAUCCGAAUGGCAUUACGUUCCAUUCAUAAUGACCAAAAGGUGUUGUGAAUGCUGUUUUAUAUCUAUCUUUUGGUGUUAUUAAUAUUUGCCAAUAUCCUGAUUUUAGUUGUUUCAGCACCAAAAAUGAAAUUAUUUCAAACAAAAAUAAGAUUUUUAGGACAUGAUAUAUAUCAAGGAACAAUAAAACCAAUUAAUAGAGCUGUAGAAUUUGCUACUAAAUUUCCAGAUGAAAUAAAAGAUAAAAAUCAAUUACAAAGGUUUUUAGGAUGUUUAAAUUAUAUAGCAGAUUUCUUUCCUAAAUUAAGACAAGAAUGCUCUAUAUUAUUUAAUAGAUUAAAAAAGAACCAUUUCCACCAGUGAUUGAACCAGAUUGGGAAUUCUCUACUGCAACUUUUUUGAAUGUGAAGAACCAUGAAUGAUUGAAUGGUCUAUACAAAAAAAGCAAAAGUCUAAUUAUACAAGAAGACAAAAUGCCAAAAAUAAUAGAACCUUUUAGUAUUUCUAAAUUAAUAGAUAAAUAUCUAAACAUAAAUAUAAUGAAAAAAGAAACCACUAAAGAUCUUCAAACAGAAAUUAAUGAUCUUAAAAUACAAGUAAAACAAUUACAAAGAGAAAUCAUAAAAUUAAAAACAAAAGAUUUAGAAAUAGAAGCAAAAAUAACAUUACUAGAAAAUCAACCCUCAACUUCCAAUUCUAAAACAGAAGAAAUAAGUAUAUCAGAAAGACCAACAGAUGAAAUUCAAUAUUUAAAUACCAUAGAAAAAAUGAUAUUUCAAAAAUGGUAUGCUCUAGUAACUAUUACAGUAGAAGAUUUCAAAGAAACAUAUGUAGCUUUAAUAGAUAGUGGAGCUGAUUCAAGUUGUAUUAAAGAAGGAAUAAUUCCUACUAAAUAUUGUGAAAGAACAAAGGAAACCUUAAUGGCAGCAAAUGGAGAAAAUUUACAAUUAAAAUAUAAAUUUACAAAAGGAUCAAUAUGUAACAAUGAAUAUUGUAUUAGACAUAAUUUCAUAAUUGUAAAAAAUAUAAAUCAUGAUAUAAUAUUAGGAACACCUUUUUUAAUUCAAAUUUACCCAUUUUCAGUUAGUCAUGAAGGAAUUUCAAUAAAUAUAAUGGGAAAAACUGUUAUCUUUAGAUUUCUAACUCCAGUAAAACAAAGAGAAUUACAGACAUUACAAACAUCCUCUAUUUACAAAACAAUAAAUAGUAUUACUAAAGUACAACAACAAAUAAAUUAUAUAAAAGAAGAAAAAUCUUAUUUAAAAAUUGAAGAACAAUUAAAAGAAAGUAAAAUGCAAAAAAGAAUUUCAGAAUUAGAAGAAUUAUUACAAAAAGAAAUUUGUGCAGAUAUUCCUAAUGCUUUUUGGGAUAGAAAACAACAUAUGAUUGAAUUACCUUACGAAACAGGUUUUAAUGAGAAAAACAUUCCUACUAAAGCAAGACCAAUACAAAUAAUUCUAAUCUAUUAGAAUUUUGUAAAAAGGAAAUAAAAACAUUAAUAGACAAAAAAUUAAUAACACCUUCAAAAUCACCUUGGAGUUGUGCUGCAUUCUAUGUAAUGAAUCAAGCUGAAAAAGAAAGAGGAGUUCCAAGAUUAGUUAUAAAUUAUAAACCAUUAAAUAAAGUAUUACAAUGGAUUAGUGAAUAAUACAAUAAAUUUAUAAAUUUAGAAUUAAUAGAGGAUACAAUAAAUUAAAGUAACCAUUUUUAUAAAUUUAAUAGAGCUCAAAUGCAAAUAAUACAAUAAAUUUAGAAGACAUUAAAAAAGUUUAUCAACAAAAUAAUUAUACAAAUCAAAUCCUUCAUACAAUUUCUCAACAUAUGGAAGUAUUAAACACAAAAAUAGAUACUAUAAAGAAACCAGAAUUAAAAUUCCCUAAUAAUAUUUCAGCACCUCAUUUUCAACCUAGAAGUUUGACAAGAGAAAAAGAACAAGAUUUAGAUUCAAAAUCAGAAGACAAAGCAUCGGCGAAUUAGUGAGAAAAAGAGAACAAAACACUCUCAUGUAAAAAUCCUUAGACAAAUCUCUCAAUCCCUCUUUCCAACUACUCUUGUAUUCAAUUACUUUUGUUUCCUUCCUUCUCCAAAUAUAAUAAAGAUCAAGGAUUCAACCAUUCAUCAAGCUUCUGUUAUCAAAGGCCACUCUAAAUUUUCAGUAAGUCCAAUUUUUAUACUAAAUUUUCUAUGAACAUUUCAAUAGAAAGUAGCCUGGGUAGAAGUGGUAUCAGAGCCACUUAUCACAUUAUCUUUACAGUGUUAUUAAGGAAAGUAGAUUACACAGUGGGAACCAAAAAUAGAAGAAAAUAAAGCCUCAUAUGAACCGAAUCUUUCCCCUUGCUUUUUUUUCUUGGAAUUUAAAGGUAUAAUGCAAGAAAUAACUCCUGGUCAUGCAAAAUUGCCAACAAAAAUGCGUCUUUGGUUUUUAAUUCCUUAAUAACAUACUAUCCAGCAUACUAUUUAGCAUAAUAACAUACUAUCUCAGAUGCAUCCACUUAAAUAUCCUGGCCGAGAUGGUAUGAGGCCAAUUUUCUAUCAAAAAUAUAGGUCUGUAGCAGGUAAUGACGUUACCUCACUACAACAAAAAUGGCCUUUAGCGGCAUUUAAAGGUGUCAGUAUAGAAAAUCUAACCUGACACUUUAUCUAUCCUGACACCCAUGGCGAGUGUUGUCCCUUCCAAUGUGGGGAUAGCCUCAAAUCUUUAGCAGCAUUCAAAUGUGUCAGGCAAACCAUGCUGCUAUAUCUUUACCUCUGCCAACAAAUCCUUUUUUUGUGAUAAUCGAAAAUGUAUGUAUAGUGUUAGGACAUCAGUAGGGAAUCGGUAGGAUAUCAAAUUUAUGAAGGCAUCUUGAGUUGUCUUAAUAUAUGGUUUUAAGGACACGUAGCCAUGUGAAUUUACAAUGUGUUGGACGACAUGCCCAUUUGUUGUUAGUGUUUUUCGAAGCUAAGCUAUGCUGACACUUUUAAUUGCCAGGAGAAUUUUCCCUGGUUUUUUUUUAUAUGGAAGCAACCUGCAAUUAGUCCUCCUUGCUGUACAUUCCAUCAAUCAGAAUCCCAAGGGACUUGUAAAAUUAUCCCAAAGAGCAGAAUGCAUAUGGCAAUGUAAAAGAAGAAGUCGAUACUCAAAUAUAAUUCAUUGAAUUAAAAGUCGAUAACAAGUACAAACAUAGCAAAUACUAAAACGCAAACAAGUGCUAAAAGCAAGUACUAAAAUAUCAAACCAGUACCGAAAGAUUCUCAUUUACAAUAACUUAAAAGCUCUAUCGGAAGCACAAAAUAAAAGACUCCCAUCCCUAAUAAGUUGAAAGAAGUAGAAGUAGCUUCCAAACUUUCCAUUUUGUUGAGAGUCCUCAGGCAUAACCACGAAGUCCCCAUCAUUCUUCAGCUGGUUCCACCUGUGCACAAAGACCAAGGGGAUCAUUAGAUCAUCAUAACUAAAACUAAAAUUCCAGAAAAUCCGCAAUGUAUUUAAGUGCAUAUCUCACCAAAUGACAAGGCCAAGCAACUGGUGCACCAAGUGCAUCUUGAAUCGUUUGUUGUAAACCAUAUGGUCUAAUCAAUUGCUCACGUGGAGUCAUUGCAACUUGUAUCUGUAUUUCACACCAGUUUGGCCCAAGAGCUUGUCCCCCGACCUCAUCCAAAGGAUUCAGACUCCGUAAAUAUCCCUUUGCCACGAUUUUUGUUGGGUCAAACAAACUUUUUAGUGAAACCAUAUUCCCUACCUAGUAAACAUCCAACAAGUACAAGAAUCAAACUCAUGCCAAAUUCCAGAUUACAAAUGCAAAAGUUUAGAAGUUGUAAAUACUUACUCAAAUAGGUCGCGUGGCUCGCGAUGGAGCAUGGCUUGACACAUUGUUAGAUGAUGAUGAAGGAUGUCUCGGGCUGUCAAUUGGAGAACCCCUUCCAUGUUGAACUAAAACCAUUUUCUUCAAGCUGGCUAUUUCAUCAUCUUGUCGCUGAAGCCUUUCCUCCAAACGGACUAAUGUUGACUGUUGUUGAACACUUAUACGGUAGCAUGUGUUACGACUAGGAAUGUCUUCCCAUAAGUCCGUUGGAUUCACACCGUCACUAAGCAAGCGAACAUGACCAUGUUUGUCUUGCCCAACCACCUGGGCAAAUAUAUCAUCACGACCAACUGGAUCUUGCGAAUCCGAUGGAAGCUGAUUUUUCAGCUCAGUCAUUUUUUCCUACAUAAUAAAGGAAAACACUUGUUAUUGCAAAAGACUGUCUGAAAACAUCCAUGGUAGAAUUGAUAGGCUUGUGUUCUCGGAUCCUUACCAAAUUCUCAGCAACUAUGGUACUUGAUGGAGUUUGUUGACCUUGGUCGAUCAAUCCUUGGUUUUGAUGAUUAACAAACCAAAAUGUAGAUUUGGGCUAAUGUUUUUAUGUGAGCAAUUUGUUAGAACAGAUUCUUGUGGCACAAAAGAAGAAGCAAAAACAGGGCACUCAUGUGAGACGUCCGAAAGGAAGCUAUCGGACGUCCGAAAGGAUGAAGAACAUCAGGAAGGAUAUUCUGUCGGACGCUCGUGAGAAAGCAUCGGACGUCCGGAUGGAUCGGACACACUCUUCGGACGCACAUCGAUCGUGUCGGACGUCCUAAAAAUUUCACGAAGAUUUGAUAACUCUCUGGACGACGUUCGGACGCAGGGUUCGGACGUCCGACAGGUGGUUUGGACGCAGGGUUCGGACGUCCGACAGGUGGUUCGAACGUCCGACAGGCCAACGGCUAGUUUUGACAGCAUUUAAUAUUUGACCGUUGGAGAGCCUUUUGGAGCCAUUUCUCACAUUCUAUAAACACCCCAAAGCACAAGAAGACACGGGACUUUUGCCAACACAAUAUACAAGCUUACAAGUGAGAUUUUUGAGUAGAAAGAUUCUUUGUUGGUUGUAUAAGGGGUUGGGGAAGUUGGGUUGUGAGGUUGCUCAAGUGAAGGUUAUUCUCUAGGAGGAGUAAAACCUGGUGAAGGUGAACCUAUUCACUUGAAGUGGUAAAACCUUGGUGAAGGGUUGCCUCAUUUGUAUAAAAUAGUUCUUAAUUGGUGAGUGGGGAUCUUUCAAGUGUAGGUUGUUGAGGGUUAACUAGAAUUGUUGUAAAACUCUUGGCUCAACCAAAGUGUGUUUUGGCGUGAGGAAGGGAGGUGAGCCUUCACUUGUACAUCUUGGUUAGCAUCGCCAUCAUUGAAGAGGCUAUUGGUUUGAUAUUUGGUUUGCAUUUCUUAUCCUUUCUCUUUAAUUUAAGUUUUCCUUUAUUGUGCUUAAAUUUGAUAUAUCUUUGUGCAUCAUUGUGAAAUUUGUUUGUACUCAUUAGGUUGCACCGGGCACUUACAAUUGGUAUCAGAGCUUGGUCUCUUUUGAGAGCUUAAUCCGGCUUGGAGUAAAGAUCAAUGGCAACCAUAAAAGUUUCCUUUUUUAGAAGGGCAAUCUAUUGAAGACCACUAUGUUUAAUGGUUCUCAUUUUAGCAUGUGGAAACAAAGAAUGAUGAUUUUCUUACAAUCCAUUUAUAUUGAAUUUGGUAUGUGGUAGAAGAUGGUCCUUUAUGAAGCUAGAAUAGUUGACUCUACCAUCAAUUUGAGUAGAUUAAAGACUAGACAAGAAUUGAAUGGAAAAGACAAGAGAUACCUUUCUUUGAAUGCCAAGGCCAUGUGUAUAUUGUACAAUGCAUUAGAUGUAAAUGAAUCUAGUAGGAUUAAAGGUUGUAAAUCAGCUAAAGAUAUUUGGGAUAAAUUGUGUAAUUUCAUGAAGGUAACCAAGAUAUUAAAGAACAAAAGAAAUCUUUGCUUGUUUCUCAAUAUGAAUUUUUCAAAAUGAUCCUCUGAAAAUGUUGAUAAGAUGUUAGUAGAUUUGUGACAUUAUUAAGAUCUUAAAUUGCUUGCUAGAGAAUAUUCUUUGGUGAGAAAAUAGAAGAUUUUGAAUGCUUGCCAAAAGAAUGGGAAAACAAAAUAAAUGCUAUAGAAGAGCAAAGGAUUUAAAUUCUAUGUCCAUUGAAUCUCUUGUGAAUUCCCUAACUUCUUAUGAAUUAAAGCUGCAAUUCAAAGUGCAAGAGAAAGAAAAUGCAAGAAUGUUAUAAGAGAGGCAUAGCUUUUAAAGCAUCUCAAGUGGGGGAUAACCCAUCUUUCAUGGGUAAUGAAAACAUGGAAGUGGACAAUGAUAUAACUCCUCACAUCAAAAGUUUCAAGAAGAUCUUCAACAAGAGAAGUUCAAGAGGAGAUUGCAAAAUUACAUGGGAUGAAUACUAAUUCAAAAAGAGAAAAAGAAGAGUUGGCACAAAUGGCACUAAUGGCCUUUGGAGAAGAUGAGGUAAAUUCUUAUCACUCUUCUUGUGAUGAAGAUAAUGAAGAUGAUGAUGUGAAAAUUCUUAUGAUUAAAAUGCAUAAAAGUUUGAGAAAAUCUUAUGCUAAAAAUAAAGAUUUGAAAACAAAAAUAAAUGAUUUGUUGGAAGAAAACUCCAAACUUUUUCAGGAAAACAAAUGUUUGAGAAUGGAAAAUGAUGAUUUAAAAAAUCAAAAAAAUGUUUUUGAUUGCAAAAAUAAUUUGAAAAGGAAGUUGGAAGAGAAAACAAAGUUUUAUGGAAAAAUGUUGGAUGAACAAAAUUUGUUAAAGAAAAGAAUUAAUGACUUGAACGAGUUUCUCCAAAAUGAAAAACAAAAGUUUUCUCAAACAAAAGAAAGCAAAUCUUUUCAAGGCACAAAUACGUUUGCUAUGAUAAGAAGUAAGAAAAUUAGUUGCAUUAAAUCCACUUAUGUGCAAAAUACUUCUAUCAUGUGUCACUUUUGUUGUCAAUUUGGACAUAUGCAAAAUGAUUGCUAUGUAAAGAAAAAUAUGAGAAAAGGUAUGAAAUCCAUGUGGAUUGCUAGAUCAUGUUGUACUAACUCCCAAGAACCCUAUAAAAACUUACAAUUGGUAUCAUGAAAGUUUUGUCAUUCUAUAUGGUCUUGAUUUGGAAAAUAAAGGGGGAGUUUACUUUUUGAUUGAUGUCAAAAGAGGGAGUAGGAUUUAUUGAAAUUUCUUUGUAUGUUGGCAUUUUCUAAGGGAGAGUUUUAUUUGAACUUAUUUGAUCAAAGAAAUCUUCAUUUUGUUUGUCAUCAUCAAAAAGGGGGAGAUUUUUGACCUUGGUCGAUCAAUCCUUGGUUUUGAUGAUUAACAAACCAAAAUGUAGAUUUGGGCUAAUGUUUUUAUGUGAGCAAUUUGUUAGAACAGAUUCUUGUGGCACAAAAGAAGAAGCAAAAACAGGGCACUCAUGUGGGACGUCCGAAAGGAAGCUAUCGGACGUCCGAAAGGAUGAAGAACAUCAGGAAGGAUAUUCUGUCGGACGCUCGUGAGGAAGCAUCGGACGUCUGGAUGGAUCGGACACACUCUUCGGACGCACAUCGAUCGUGUCGGACGUCCUAAAAAUUCCACGAAGAUUUGAUAACUCUCUGGACGAUGUUCGGACGCAGGGUUCGGACGUCCGACAGGUGGUUUGGACGCAGGGUUCGGACGUCCGACAGGUGGUUCGAACGUCGACAGGCCAACGGCUAGUUUUGACAGCAUUUAAUAUUUGACCGUUGGAGAGUCUUUUGGAGCUAUUUCUCACCUUCUAUAAACACCCCAAAGCACAAGAAGACACGGGACUUUUUGCCAACACAAAUAUACAAGCUUACAAGUGAGAUUUUUGAGUAGAAAGAUUCUUUGUUGGUUGUAUAAGGGGUUGGGAAGUUGGGUUGUGAGGUUGCUCAAGUGAAGGUUAUUCUCUAGGAGGAGUAAAACCUUGGUGAAGGUGAACGCUAUCACUUGAAGUGGUAAAACCUUGGUGAAGGUUGCCUCAUUUGUAUAAAAUAGUUCUUAAUUGGGUGAGUGAUCUUUCAAGUGUAGGUUGUUGAGGGUUAACUAGAAUUGUUGUAAAACUCCUUGGCUCAACCAAAGUGUGUUUGGGGUGAGGAAGGAGUGAGCCUUCAGCUUGUACAUUCUGGUUAGCAUCGCCAUCAAUUGAAGAGGCUAUUGGUUGAUAGUUGGUUUGCAUUUCUUAUCCUUUCUCUUUAAUUAAGUUUUCUUUAUUGUGCUUAAAUUUGAUAUAUCUUUGUGCAUCAUUGUGAAUUUAUUUGUACUCAUUGGGUUGCACCGGGCACUUACAGAGUUCCAUCGGCAUGGGUAUAAAACUUAUUGAACAUUUCUACUCUAGUAGGAGGUCUUCCCAACUGUUUGGCCUAUAAGAAAUUGAAUCGUUUUAAUUAUAGUUUUAGCAUUUAGCAUAUAAUUAAAAAACAAGCUAACAUAAUGAAACAUGUACGAGCAAAAAAAAUUAGCAACUAAAAAGUGGAUGAGGUAUCACCAAGUGGUUCCGAAGAUGAGCAAAUUACUUUUUUCUGGUUGUGUGGUUCAUCUUCUUCUCCCCUCUAGCUUUCUUGUUCCUCUCACUUAGUUUCUAAAUUUCAAAAUGAAAAGCAAGAUUACAGCAUUGAAUGAACACAACUUUAUGAAGAAUGUUGUAGCUGAUUUGUACCUUUGCUUCUUCACUUUUCCAAUAAGCCCAAAGUUUGAUCCAUUGCUCUUCCCGUACCCUUAUGUCCUUUUGAAACCGAGCUUCAGCAUUUGGCACGGCAGAAUCAAAAUAGUUAGCCUUUAAAUCUGCCUUCCAGCUUCUCCAUUUUUUGCCAAUAGAUCUUAAGGUCCAAGCUUCCAGUCCCAUAGGCAAAGCAAACCUUUCCUGAAACGUAGUUAGCAACAAGAAAAUCAACACAACUUCACAGUAAUUUUUGUACAAAGCAUACAUAAUACAAAAGCUGCCAUUACCUUUAUCACUUCUAACAUGUCCAUUUUAAGUUUCCUUGGCAUCUUAAGCCAUGUUUCAACAUCUAUUGGACAAUACAUACCAUUCCUAGCCAAACUGCCCAAGAAUUCAGAGAAAGAGUUUUUCUCACUUAUUGGGAUCCCAUUGUCAUCGAGUUUAAUCUCAAUCCGUGGAAGUUCCUUAGGCCGACCCCAAAUUUCUUUCAUAAAUAUAGGGCCUCGGGUUUUAUGAUUUACUUCACUUGAAUCAUUUGUAGUUUCUUUUCCUGUUUAAAAUAAGAAAAAGGUGCAAGUUAUGAACAUAACAAAAUGCACUUCUGGAAUUGGUUCAAAACAGUUAGUAAUACCUGCAUUGUCCGAGUUGCAUGACAUGAAGGUGGUGUCACUGGAAUGUGGACCUCGAGAAUCCUGAUUUGGACUUUCUUCGGUUGCUUCAUGCCUUGUUCCAAGUGGAGAUUGUUGAAUUGGAGAGUUCUGGCACUGCUCAUGCGACUUGGAACCUCCAUCAGCUUGUUGAGUAACUUGGUCACCUGAUUCAUGCAUUAUUCCCAAUGUAGAAUUCUGAAUUGCAGAUUGAGGUGCCCGAGCAGCUUCUCCUUGCACUUGUUCAAUUACAUUUUCAUGGCUUGUUCCAAGUGGAGGCUGCUGCCUUGUUUCAUAACAUGAGGGAGGUUGCUCAAUUGGUUCAUCUCUCAAUCCAUUUGCAGCGCGCUUACAUUUUCGACCUCUACGGGCCAUACCUGCAUAAUAUUUGAGUGAAGAAAGGGACAAAUGUAAAUGUUUAAAAUUUAUUGAAGCACACUCUCUACCUAUAGUUUCUUUAACUUACAAAUGCUAUUAUAAAGAAGUACUACUUGAACAAUAAACUGGCAUGACAAGUAACAAAUGGCAUUCUGCAAGAAUAAACCAGGGGAAGACUAUGGAGCUGUCAACAGAACAGAGAAACAAAUGGAGAAUAUAUGAUUCAAUGCAGCAACUAAUUGGAAAUGAAAUGAAAGCUACAUGCUUAAGUGACUGCAAGAAUAUACAUGGGAAAUGCUUUGAUCUACAUCCUUUCAGCAUGAAAGAUAUGCAGAAUUUACUACCGCUAGACACGAAACUUUUUCCAUAUUGUUUUGAGAAUGAUGCCUAUGAUCAAAAGUUGGUAUGCUUAUGCUCAAUGAGGGUGUAAGUAGAAGAGUCCACGUAAUUUUAACUUCAGUAAUGGAGCAAACUAAUAAAUGAUUGUCUUGAAUUAACGAAAUAUACUUGGCCAUGUGAUAACCAAAAAUUGCAGAGGAUAAUGUAUUCUACCAACAAAUACAAGUCUUGGUUUUGUAUGUUUAGGGUGGCAAUCGGGUCGGUUAUGAAGCUCUACUGAAUACUUUUAUUUCCAGAUUCUGACAUGGUUCUGCAUUUAUCAAGAACUUGUCUCAUCUAAACAAGAGCUCAAGCUUUACGUAGCAUUGACGAUUCCAAACCAAAUUACUUCUCUUUUUGCCAGAGCCACAUCCACAGUUAUGGGUUGACACUUAACAGUAAAUGCACAAACACUUUGUCCAAUACAAUUGUAGCAGUACAAACAAUACAGUUGUAGAACAGGAAGGAGACGAAGAGCAUCACGGUGAAAGACUGAAAACGAGAACCCAUCACCAAAAAUAGAUGGUUGAAAUUGUACAUUCAGUUCACAGUAGCAGUCUCCAUUCGACCAGGCUCACCUAGAAAUGUGCUUCUCAGAAAUGUGCUUUUCACACCGCCACCACCCCAAAAGCUUUUCACACCACCACCACCCCCCAAAGCAAACAUUCUACCUAGAAAUGUGCUUCUCAGAAACGGAGAAGGUGCUUGUCAGAGAUGGGAAUCGAAUAGCCUAAAAACUAAAUCUACCAAGCAAUGCAAGAACAUGUCUACCAUGCAAUGCAGAAUUAGACACAAAAUACUGAAAUUACCUCAAACUAUGGCUUGAAUCCCUAAUUUCUCGGUUUCCCAAGCUUUGAAGCCCUAAUUUCUGAUUUCUUCCCACCAAGCCAACACAACAGCCGAAUUAGGGAUUUGCCUGGUGCGAGCUCAACCAAGUUACCCAAAAGGGUGCGAGUUCAUGGACGGCAAUUGACUCAAAUUGGUUGUGCGAGCUUGAAAGAGAGAGAGAGGACAAAGGCAGAGGACAACGAGAGAGGGAGAAGAUGUCUGAAAUAAAGGCGGUACUAAUGACGCCAAAGUAAAUUAGUCAAGCCUCUUGAAUUUUUCAAUUUGCCGCGCUACUAAUGACAAUUUUUGUGUGUUUGGGCAAAAUUUUGUUAAAGCUAGAUAACAACUAAAAAUUUGGUUAAAGCUAUAUACAAUAUAAUAUAACAACUAAAAAUAUAAAGGCUAAAAAUCUUGUUAAAGCUAUAUAACAACUAAAAAUAUAACAAAUAAAAAUUUUGCAAGAGCUAUAUACAAUAUAAUAUAACAAUCAAAAAUUUUGUUACAGCUAUAUAACAACUAAAAAUAUAACAAAUAAAAAUUUUGUUAAAGCUAUAUACAAUGUAAUAUAAUAACUAAAAAUAUAAAAAUAAUUAAAAAUUUUGAGAAGCUAACAAAAAACAUUCUUUUAAUCAAAAUGUUUUCGGUUACUCAAUUUAUUUUAUGCUGCGAGCAAUUAUGUACGGCUUGUAGUCUAACAAGCCAUUGGAAGGAUCGAAUUAGUUUAUGAAACAAGAAAAUUAACUUGUGAAUGCAUGAACUUUCCAUUGAUAAACAUUGGGAUUAGAAUUGACUGAACAUAAACAAUGAAUAUAUAUAUAUAUAUAUUCAAUGUUUUCAAUUCCAAAGCAAUUGCCAUUGAACUUUGUGUUAAUUAGAAACUUACUAUCACUUACAAGAUCUUACUAUUGAACUUUUCAAUGAUUAACCUUAGGCUUACACUUACAACGCAUUAAUUGAACAUAAACAUAUAUAUAUAUAUAUAUAUAUAUAUAUAUAUAUAGGGUAAAAAACAAAAAGGCCCCCUGUAGUUAACCUAAUACACAGAAAAGCUCCCCAUGGUUUCAAAAUAUACAACACGAUCCCUCAUGCUUUGAACUAAAUUGUAAAGGUGACGGAAUCCGUUAAACUUAACGGAAAUGGACGAAAUGACCAAAAUGCACUGAUAUAAUUAAGCAAAAGACAGCUCAAAAAAAUCAUUUGUUUCAUUCUCUAAGUAGAGAGAAUUGAGGGUUAAGGGGUAGAAUAUGCAUAUUUGAUAAAAAAUAGGCAUAAAAAUUUUUUUUUAGGUUCCAAUAAGUCAUUUCCGUUAAGUUUAACGGAUUCCGUCACCUUUAUAAUUUAGUUCAAAACAUGAGGUGUCGUAUUGUAUAUUUUGAAACCAUAGGGGAUUUUUCUGUGUAUUAGGCUUACCACAGGGGGUUUUUUUGUUUUUUACCCAUAUAUAUAUAUAUAUAUAUAUUCAUUGUUAAAAAUUCCAAAGCAAUUGCCACUGAACUUUGUGUUAAUUAGAAACUUACUAUCACUUACAAGAUCUUACUAUUGAACUUUUCAAUGAUUAACCUCAGGCUUACACUUACAACGCAUUAAUUGAACAUAAACAUAUAUAUAUAUAUAUAUAUUCAAUGUUUUCAAUUCCAAAGCAAUUGCCAUUGAACUUUGUGUUAAUUAGAAGCUUACUAUCACUUACAAGAUCUUAAUAUUGAACUUUUCAAUGAUUAACCUUAGGCUUACACUUACAACGCAUUGAUUGAAGGAUAAUCUAAAAUUGCGACUAAACCGAUUAAAUUCGAUCAAAGAUCAGUUGGACUAGAAAGCUCUAUCGGAAUUAACUUUUUGUAUUGUUAUUGGUUUAAAAAAUAAUUUUUUCAUGGUAUUAAAAAAUUAUUUAAGAAAUUUAUAGAUUAAAGUUUCAAAAUAUUUCUAUUGAUAAAAAAUUAGACCUUGGGUUAUUGGGAAAAAGAAUUGGCCAUAAUAUAAUGAUUCACAAAUGUAAUAUUACAGCUUACAAUUAAUGGAAUUGCUUAUAAAAUAAUGACCAGUAUUUAUGCAGCCCAUUGGGCUCUUAAAAUGAGUAAUGGGUUCCUUGGAAAGUUGGAUAGUUUUAUGUUUGGUCUGAAAUGAUUUGCACAUUCCGUACGUUGCCAAUUGUUCUCCCCAAACCAUAGAUGUCUGAGGAAGACAGACUCUACAUCUUCAUCCAUGGACUUCAACCGUGGGUACAGAUGGAGUUGCGGUGACAAAAUGUUCAGACCGUGUCUCAAGCACUUGCUACUGUCGAGAAGUUGAUAGACUUCAAGUCCAUAGGAUCCAAAAGUGAAAAAAAAAGAAGGGCAAGGCCUAGCAAUUGAAACAGAGAAGAAUAGGGCCAGCAAGCUUAGCAACUAUAAAAGAUACUAAAUCAGAUUAUAUUGGGACAAAUCAACUUCAAUCCCGAGUCCAUCCUCACGAACCCAACUAAUUUCCUCAUUUUCAUUCUCAACAACAGGAUUGCCAACAUCACUUUGCAAAUAUGUCUCAACAUCCAUGAUUGUUCCCAUGUUAUAUCCAGCUCUUGCAGUGGUAGAGAUAACAACUUGCCAAUCCUUAUCAGUUGGAUCUGCCACAUAAAAAACCUGUGAUGCUUGUGAAGCGAGUAUAAAUGGCUCAACAUGAGGCCUCACGUUUGCAAAAUUGACUAAAGUAAACCCAUCAGCAUCUUGUUUCAUUCUCGAACCAUUUGAUAUCCAAUCACAUUCGAAUAACACCACCCGAUGACCUCCGUAAAUUAAUUCAAUCAUAUUUUUCAAGACGCCGAAGUAAACUAGUUCACUCAAAACUGGAUUUUGAUCCCUUAUACUUGCAAAACUGGAUGUUGUUGCAUUGACUGUAACACCACUAUUCUGCGUUUUUCUUUUCUUCUCAACUUCUUUGGUGUGAAACCGAAAUCCAUUAACAACAUACCUGUCAUGUUGGAUUCCAACAACAUCUGGACCUUUAGCAAGGAACCUCAACUCUCUCAACACCGAAACAUUUUGAGGAAGUUCUAACUUGUCAAUCUGUAAAAAAUAAAUAAAUAAAUAAAUAAAUAAAAGAAGAUGAAACUAUAUUUGAAGUCCUACAAUUCAAAUUGUACUUAAUAUUCAGAAUUUUACUUACAUGUUCAGCAAACCAACACGCAAAAUUUUCGCAGUGCAAGCGCUCUUUUAGAUGCUGUGGAAUUUGAGGAUGUCCUUCUUCUAUCAAUCUACGAUGCUGCCUAGAAGUACAUGAGUCAAAAUUGUAAUCAUACAUUGAAUUCUACAAUAAAAUUUUAAUGCAUCAAGUUGUAGUUGAACUUACUCUAUGUAAGGUGUGACAGCAUCACAAUUAAAUAAAAUAUACUGAUGUGCUUUACUCAAGAUAUGAGCAUCAAAGACUGUUGGCUUGCCCCUCCCCAAAGGAUGUCCUGAUUCAGAGAAUAUAUCUAAACCAUCUUCAAUUUCCUUAUGUACUUCUUCAUUUCUGCUUGGACGAUUGAAUUUUGUCUCAACAUAGUCCGCAAGAUACAAUGAGCAAAAGUUAAUGCAUUCUUCUGCCAAGUAGCCUUGAGCAAUCGAACCUUCAGGCCUACUUUUAUUUCGAACAUAAGAUUUUAAUGUUCCUAAGUACCUAAAGUAUCAUCAUUCCAACCUCUCUAAUUACUUCCACAAAUCAAAGAAAGCAAAAAAGGAAUAAACAUUUAAGGCAUAAUGAGAAUUACAAGCAGUACCUCUGUAUAGGAUACAUCCAACGAUAAUACACCGGCCCACCUAAUUUCACUUCAGUUGCCAAAUGAACAACUAAAUGCACCAUGACAUCGAAGAAGGUUGGUGGGAAGCAUUUCUCAAGAUCGCAGAGUAUGACGGCAAUUUCACUUUCCAAACGAACCACAUCUUGAGGACAAAUAACUUUAGAACAAAGCUGCCUGAAGUAUCUACUCAAUCGAAUCAAAGGAUAGCGCACUGAUUUUGGCAAAGUCUUUCUCAAAGCUAUAGGCAUCAAUUGCUGCAUUAGGAUAUGAUUAUCAUGACUUUUAAGCCCUGAAAUUCUUGGUGGUUUUACUCGAACGCAUCUUGAGACAUUAGCUGCAUAACCAUCUGGAACUUUCACUUUUUUUAGCACAUUGCAAAACAUAGUUUUCUGUUUUUUAUCCAUUGCAAAGGAAGAUGGAGGUAAGUACACCUUUCCAGGUUCUGUCUCAAUGGGAUGCAGCUCUUUUCUUAUUCCCAUUUCUCUCAAAUCACGGCGGGAAUUAUAAUGGUCCUUUGCUUUAUCCUCAAUAUCCAGCAAUGUCCCCCAAAUAUUUUCACAAACAUUCUUCUCAAUGUGCAUGAAGUCAAGAUUGUGUCUUAAGACAUUAUCUUUCCAAUAUGGCAAGUCAAAGAAAAUACUCCUCUUUUUCCAAUUGAAAGGCAGCUUCGGAUUACCUUUCACAAGUUUUCCAAAUUUAAUUUGCAAGUCUCCCAAUUCACUCACAAUCAUAUCCCCGGUUUGCAAAGGUGGUCGCUUUCCAUGUUCUUCGGUGCCAUCAAAGAAUUGGGCUUGCUUUCUAAAUUUAUGCUUACUAUCUAAGAAUCUCCGAUGACCUAUGUAGCAAUAUUUGAAACUAUGAGUCAACCGUCGUGCAUGAGUGAACUUGUGACAAACAGGACAAGCAUAUUCACCUUUAGUGCUCCACCCAGAUAACAUUGCAUAUCCAGGGAAAUCACUAAUGGUCCACAACAGAGCCGCAUGCAGUUGAAAAUUUUCUUUUUGGGAUGCAUCAUAAGUUUGAAUGCCAAAAUCCCACAAUUCGGUCAGUUCUUUAACUAGAGGCUGUAGAUAAACAUCAAUAUUAUUCCUAGGAGAGGAUGGUCCGGGUAUUAACAAAGACAACAUGAAGUACGGUUGCUUCAUACACAUCCACAGAGGUAAGUUAUAUGGUAUUAAAACUACAGGCCAAGUACUGUGUGUAGAACUCAUGUUGUUGAAUGGAUUAAACCCGUCAGAUGCCAACCCCAAUCUAACAUUUCGACAAUCCUUAGCAAAUUCUGGAUGUAGAUGGUCAAAAGUUUGCCAAGCUGGAGAAUCAGCUGGAUGUCUCAUACAACCAUCUUUUGUACGUUUUGCCUCAUGCCAUCUCAUUUGAGAUGCAAUUUUAGAAGACAUAAAUAGUCUUUGUAAUCUAGGUUUUAAGGGAAAAUGCCGCAACACUUUUUGAGGAAUUUUCCUUUUUUCCCCAGUUGGAUCAUUUUCUGAAGCAACCCACCUAAGCUCGUUACAUGUUUCGCAUGAAGUUCUUUUUUCAGCACUACCCCUAUAAAGAGAACAAUCAUUAGGACAUGCAUCAAUCUUUUCAUAACCCAGCCCCAAUGUAUUCAUCAAUUUCUCAGCCUCAUAGUAAGAAGACGGCAAAUUAGUCAUGGCCUCCGGAAAUGCUUCUCUCAACAGCUCAACAAGCAUAUUAAAAAUCUUGUUACUCAUCUUACCCAGGCAUUUUAGGUGAAGCAAACGAAUAAUGAAAGACAAUUUCGAGAAAUUUUUGCAACCAUUGUACAAAUUCUGUUGAGAAUCAUCAAUCAAUUUGUAAAAUUUUUUCAGCCUCUGAAACAGGAAUGUCCCCUUCUCUAUUCAAUUCAUUUGUUCCAUGUGGUAUCCCAAAUACAUCAUGGACCAAGUCUUGCAUGUCAUUAGUCCCAUUUGAAAACCCAAUUGAUGUAUUUUCAGAAUUAGAUGUGGCUUCAUUGUAGUUUGAAAGUUCUCCAUGUGCUGUCCAAUUAUUAUAACCCUUGAUAAAUCCUACCACUUUCAAAUGAUCAUAUGCUUCCAUUUUUGUCACACAAACACCCAUGCCACAAUCUUUGCAAGGACACAAAAUCUUUCCGUCACAACUUGAUCUAGAAAAUGCGAAGUUUAGAAACAUUUGAAGUCCUGUCUCGUACUUUUCACUUGUUCUUGGAAAAUCCAUCCAUCUUUUAUCCAUACUUUUAAUAUAAAUAAAUGUCCUCCAACGAGCUUCCAAUAGCCUACUUUUUAAACUCAGGUCGUGGCUUACAAGUCCCUAAUUUCAAGUUCAAGAAUUUCUCAACAAAAAGGAAUUUAUCAAGCAGCCAGCAAAUAAAGGAAAUCAACAAAAUGCAAAAUUUCUCAACAAUCUAUAAAAACAGAAUUUGCAAGUAAGCGGAUAGAAAUUUUAUUUACCUAAUAACAGAAAAAAACCCUUCGUACCAACUCCUGCGCUCACGUCUUCGCAAAAUUCCUAAGUUCAAUCUGAAAUGUCAAUGGUUAAACAAACACAUGAGCAUGAAAACUAAAGGUGAAAUUCAAGAAUUUUACUAAAUUUUCAUCAAAGUAUACAUACAUCUUUGGUGUGUAGUGAUUAAUUUUAUAAGUCAUCUCUUUAGAAAGGCAUGCAAUUGACGGCAUAGGUAAUUGGAAAAAGAAUGACAGAAAAGUCCCCUAGCUUCUAAUCAUGCCUAUGAAGAUCCUUAUGAACAUGUCAAAAUACUUUGACCCAACUACAUCAAUGUCUCUGUCUUAUUAAUCUAAAAGUCCCCUUUUUUGGGCUCAAAAUUUGCACUAUAAUAGACUGAUCAAGUGCAGAAGACACUUAGUACAAGCGUUAUACUAUAUAUUUCAAGCAACUCACGUACUGAUUAGACAUACAAUUUAAAACAGAAAAAUGAUGUAAAGAUGCAAGUACUACAUAGAAUUUAACAUAGAAAAAAGCAAUAGUGAUAUAAGUGAUACCAUUGGGUGAAAUAUGCACUUAGCCGGAGGACCACCUUUGUGGCAAAAGCCAAAAGGCAGCAAAGGUUACCAUUGUUAUGCAAAUUUUGUGCCUCACAUUGGCGGUCCAUUAUCUGCAUCUUAAUUGUCUUUGGGCUUAUAUAGUCACGGUUUCCCAAUUCUGUCACCAGAAUAAUUUCCUGCUAGGCAUAUAUAGACCAUGGUCCUUGUUUCAUUUAUUUAUAUCGAACUUGUUGCUGAGUGUUCAUGAUUACGAUAAGCAAUGCAAUUUGGUUGAAGCUCUCUAUUCACAGUUUUGCUUAACCGUCCCCAUCCCCAAACAGAACUAGCUGCCUAAACAAACUUCAAUUACAGCUAGGUUUCAUAGAAAAAAAUGAAAAACAGGGGGAAUUGACUUUUUAUCGAACAGGUUUUGGGCAACAUACUAAUCACCCGUGGACACUUUAUUAGCUAGCCUAUGUACAAUUAUGGCAUGACGAUAGAACAAAUGUAACAUGGACAUAAAGAUCGAUCUCCUCAAAAAAUACGCAAUCCAAUUGAACAAAUUUCCUCAAGUUUUCAUCUCCAUUGCAGCUAAAGAAAAAGCAUCCAACACCGAGUUGCUAUUAAUGCUACAAUUAGAUAGAUAUCAUAUUUAAAUCUUUCAACAAUCUUAAAUGAGGACAAUAUAACUCAACUAGCGACAGCUCAGGCCAAGAAUCUUUACUUCUCAGAAAAAAAUUUCCAAGUUGCAGGUAAUUUCUUGACAACGAAAUCAAACAUAAGAGCUUCAUUGUGUUUACCACUUCGAUUUUGGAACAACAUUUGCGCGCCUGAAGUAUCUUCCAGCUUUCCCAAUGUACAGCUCCGAUCUUCUAAUUUUACUCCCUGCCUGCCCUUCCAGAUGUCUUAGCCGAAGGAUUUAAAGUUGAGGUUAGAAAAGAUGAAGAUGGUUGUUUGCGGAGACAGCUUGACCAACAUUCUGGAUUGGCUGAGAUAGAUUGUAUGCGGAGAGGUGAGAGAGAUGAGAAGAAGAAAAUUUUCACCAAGUCCUUUUGCCGGCAAAAUGAAACUUCAGAGUACUUUACCAAGUGUCUGGAGCCAAAUUAAAACGAUGUCAUUUUCUGUCUUUUUUUUUUCUCACAUUUUCCCAAGUGUCAUGAUAGGUAGUCUAAAGACACAUUAUUAUUUUAUAUCAUGAUAAAAUAAAAAAAUUAUAGUACAGAUUAUUGAGUUGGUUAAUAAGUGUCAUGAUACGUUUGGUAUAACGACACAAACCAACAAGUGUCCUUAUAAACAUGUCAGAAAAGGCCAUUUUUGUUGUAGUGCCUGUUGCGUUUUGAAUUUCUUAAAUAAAGGUCUUCUCUUACCCCCAAGCUAAAUUUCACACACGUUGCUCUUAUUCCUAAAUAUUUAGAGCCCAAGCAAGCAAAUAUCUCAAUUCCGUCCACUAAGUUUAUGUAAUGUAGUGUACAAAUUAGCGUCUAAAGCCAUCUCUAAUCGAGUCCGUGUUCUUUUACCGAAUAUUAUUUCUGAUCUCAAUCGGCUUUUAUUCCUGGCCAAUUAAUCACCAGUAAUGUCCUUGUUGCUUAUGAAGUCCAUCAUUAUCUUAAAUGUAAAAAUGCAGGCAAGGAGGAACUCAGGUCGAUUAAAAUGGAUACGAGCAAAGCGUAUGAUCGAGUUGAGUGGAUAUUUCUCUUAAAAAUAUUACUAGCUUUAGGUUUCAAUUCUAAAUUUAUUUUCUUAAUUUUCAAAAGUAUUUCAACAGUUUCUUAUUCUUUUUUGCUCAUCGGUUUGGGAUUUGGCCACUUAAAACCUAGUUGGGGUAUUAGACAAGGAGACCCACUUUCCGCAUAUCUAUUUAUAUUGUGUGCAGAAGCUUUUUACAUUUUAUCUCAGAAGCUAGUCUUUGUGGAAAGUUGGGAGGCAUUGCUGUUGCGCCUGGUGCUUCAUCCAUUUCUCAUUUGUUUUUUGCCAGAUGAUACUCUUUUAUUUGGAAAGCUACAGGGGAGGAGGCUUCAAAUUUUAUGCAGGUUAUCAAUCUUUAUGAAGGUGCAUCAGGCCAGCCGAUUAAUGUGGAGAAGUCAGUGGUGGUAUUUAGCAAGAAUACUCCAGAAGCUGAUUAAUUGGCAAUUGAAUGUUCUCUUCGAAUGCCGCCUGUGGAAUCACAUGAAAAGCACCUCUGGGGUUGCCUACUAUCGUUGAGAGAUCUAAAGGUGAGGUCUUUAAUUCUAUCAAACAAAGGGUUUUUAAACGGAUUAAUGGAGCAGCAGUUAUCUCGAGCAGGAGAAGAAAUUUUAUUGAAUGUCCCUUGUAAAGUUAAGCAUUAUCUCUGGAGAAUUUGCUGUGAUUUCUUGCCUACUAAAGUAAAUCUGCUCCGGAGAAGAGCUUCAGUGGAGCUCAACUGUCUGUCUUGUGGUUUUGAUAUUGAGGAUCUUAUUCAUGCAAUUUCUUUCUGGGCGUUAAGCUGCCUUAAAGGGCAAGUACGUAAGUGGCAGCAAUCAAUUCCCAAAGAGUGGGCUCUGGAGUUGUUAGUUACGUUGAAAAAUCGUGAAGCAGAGUUGUUUGAGAUGUUAUGUUGGGCUAUUUGGCUUGGGAGGAACCAAAAGCUGCAUGAAGAUAAACGAGUGGACCCUUUUGAGUUUAGUUAGCUUUGCUUCGGGUGCGCUCCAAUAAUUCCAAGAAGCUAAUGUUACUCAGAAAUGUCCAGGCGAUGGCAAGUUAAAGUUUAAUUUUGACGGUGUGGUGUUUAAGGAAACUCAAUCUAUUGGUUUAGAUGACGGUGCGGUGUUGAUUUAUCUAGUUUAGACCCUCCAAUUUUUGACAUUACGAGGGACUUAACUAGUUUAGAGAUGUCUAGUAUUUCAGGAAUGAGUAGGAAUCAUAAUAAAAUCACUCAUAUAUUAGCUAAGAUCGCAGAAUUCAUAUGUGAUCAUGUCUUUUGGUGGAGAGAUCCUCCAGAGUUUGUUGUGCCAUUUCUAAUGGCGGAUUUGUUAGAAAGUUAAUGAAAGUUCAAUACAGGUUAUGUUGAGUAAGACGUUGGAUUGAAAAUUCAAGAUUUUGAACUGAAAUUUCAAGAUUUUGAGAUGAAAAUAAAAGAUCACGCUAAACUUAAUGGAUUCAAAUCUUAAUAUGUGCAAAUGCGUUUGAUAACCAAAAUUGGACAUCUGAAUUAAUUAAGUGCUAGUGAAUUUUCUAAACGAAAUUUGUUCUAAAAAAUAAGUGAUAAACUAUGCAUUUAUUACUGAAUGUGAUAUACACUUAAAUAUACUUGAUUUAAUACUUAACAAUCUAAUAAAUUAAUGGACUCAGAUUUUAGAUUUCAAUUUUAUCAAAGUAACCUAAAAAUAUAGACUAUAGAUAAAAUAACUGCAGAUAAUGAUUUAUGUUGAGUAAGCUUUCAAAGCUACGUUUCCCAAAACAAACUUUAGAUAAUCAUUCUCUAAUUUUUGCUUUCACUCUAGAAGAUGCGUACAAUAAUGGGUGUAUACAAAAAUGGAAGUUAAAUUGAUAACACUAAGCUCGCCAAUUCUCAUAAAAAAAAUGAUGACAUUGCCUGCAUUAAUUCUAGUAACGGACUGAAGACAAUAAUUAAUAGGUGACUAUAUGGUGCCUAAGGCACACAAUAAAAUGUGGACUUGGUACCAUUAUUUAUUUUUGUGAAAGGAUAAACCUAUUUUGUAAGGUGUCGCAAUUCAUCAUCAUGAAAUGAGUGGUAAUUUUAAAGCAUUAAUAGUGAAUUCACCUUCAUUUUUAACGUUCAUAUCGCAAAGCCUAUUAAAAAAUUUCCACCAGCACAAAUUCCACUUUUAAUAGGUUCGAAAAUUCACUCACAAAUUUAUCCACAAAUCCCAUUAACAAAAAAAAAAAAAGAAAAUGCAGAAAGUUAUCAACGGAACUUCUAUAGUGCGUUGACGCGCGACACGUGUUGGUUGGAGAUUACUAGAUGGGAGUGGGGUUAAUCAAAGGUGGUAUUUUAGUAUUAAGCCCAAAAACCACCGGUAACAAUGGUAUUGACCCAAUUUCUAGAGGAAUUGACCCACAUAAACUGUGAAAGAUUAUUUUCUCUGUCAUUUAAGGCAAUUUCUGAACAAGAUUUAGGCGUAUAAUAAAGAAAUUAUCAACCCCAACCCCCAAUAUUAUGCUAAUAUGCAAUUGGAAAAAAUUAAAUGAAUAUUUACUUGAAGUUAAGAAGUGGAUACCAAUCGGUAGAAAGUGUUUAUAACAUACUCCGAAAUGCCAAAGGACUUCCCAAAAAGUGGGAAGCAGGACAACAUCUGAAAUAUAGUCCAAGUUUGAAGUGCUUUAUGUCAAACAUAUUUCAAUAUAGAAAAAAAAAAAAUUACUGGUUAGCAUAUGUUUGUGCGCAGUAUUUGUUGAUUGGGAGACGGUUCUAAGGAGGCGGUUUUGCAACAAAUAAGUAAACGGGAUGUCGAUUACUUGGAGUUGUAUCUUAUGCUGGAAAAAUAAUUAGACAUGUCAGUUAAGUAAUAUUUCAAUUUAAAUAAAGUUAGUUAGGAACUAGAACUCGUAACAUGGUUGGAUAUGGUUAGUGAAUAGGAUAUGAAUGUUGGGGGAUAGAAUACAACUAGAAUUACUAAGACAAAUUAAGCGUGACACUUUGAAUUCAAAUUUUACUAACAUUGCAUAAUAACACCUUUGACUGAUAAUUUUUUUUGAUACGGAAACUGGAAAAAUUUUAUUAAGAAGAGGAUAGAUCCGUAUUAAUUGCGAAAGAAAGAAAAAAUGGUGGAGAAAAUCUCCAACUAUAAAUACCUGAAAUAGAACUAGCAUUACUAUCUAAGAAAUGAGCAGGCACAAUUAGAUUCCUAGGAAUCCAAUCAGCCUCCCAAGUAAUGAAAUUCUGUAAACUAACAAAGAUAUCAUCUAACAGCACUCCAUAAGCUGAAUCAUCGGAUUCCAUAUUUUUAAGCAUGUUGAUGAUCUUCAAAGAGUCACCCUCUAAAACAAUCUUAGAACCUUCAACUGAAGUAACGAGGAAAUUGCAGAUAUUGCAGCAUAAGUUUCAGUUACUUCAGGAGAAAAGAUACCUAAGAUUUUGUGAAAAAUACUAGCAACAAAUUUGCCCCAUUCAUUCCUCACAACAAUUCCAACUCUAAAGUUGUCGUCUUCAUAGAAUAUUGCACCAUCGAAGUUUGCACUGCACCAUCGAAGUUUGCCUUUAGAAAUCUUGCAGAGGGCUUUAUCCAAUGAAGUUGAGCAGUGGAAGAGCAUAUUGGAAUGUUUGGAAAUGUGUUUAUUUCAUGGUAUUUCUAUAAGAAAUUGAUAGAGAGGGAGAGACCAAACUGAAAGGAUCACGAUAGAACCAUCAAAUAAUGCAUCAUUUCGGUUAAACCGUAGAUUCCAAAGAAUUAUGGCUACCAAUUCCAUGUCCUGCUUUUUCAAAAGAUGAAGGCCAGACAACCGAGACGAAACUUGAUCGGUAGAGUCUAAUCUUAUCUUUAGUGUAAGAAAGCUAAGGGCCCAAGGUUGAAUUGCUACUGGACAGCACAAGAAAAGAUGAUUAACAUCAUCAAUAGGGGCCUUACAUAAAGAACAAGUAGGAUCAAAAUAGACUCCGCGACUAUUCAACUUGGAAGUUAUAGGUAGAAUGUCUUUGCAAAUUCACCACAAGAAUAUUUUAACUUUACUUGGUAUGUUGAGUUUCCACAAGCAGGGCCAAAUAUCAUCCAUAGAACCAUUACUACAUGAAGCUACAUCUUGUCAAUUUGUAGAUUAUAUUUUGAUAAGAUGAUAGGCAAUUUUCAUUGUGAAGGAGCCAUUUUUAGAAUAGUGCCAAAUGAGCUUAUCUUGAUUUCGUCUAUCACCCAAUGGAAUACUCAUAAUCAACUCAAUCACAUCUAAGGAUAGCAACGGGGGCAGUGCCCGGGGGGGCUAUUGGGGCAGAGGUUGGGGCGGGGGUGGGGCUGGAGCGGGGGGAAUUUUUCCCCCCAUUUAGAAACGGGGCAGGGGGCCCACCCAUUUGGAAAAAAAAGAGAGAUAUAUAUAUGUACAUAAUUAUAUAUAUAAUAGUAUUAUCAAUUAUACAUGUCUAUUAAUAAAAAUUAUUAAUUAUUUAUACUAAAUUUAUUAAUACAUUUAUAUUAAAUUCCUAACUACACUUAAUACAAUAACACUUUUUUUCUAAAAAAAACACAAUAAUAAUUUAGUGAUUGUAUUUGUAUCAAAAGUAAAAACAAUUAUUUUAGUUAUAUUUGUUUUAUCAUAUUAGAUCGUAUUCAAAUAACUUUUGUUUAAUUAUUUUUAUGAGUUUCAAUUGUGAAGUUAUAAUGAAUAAUAAUUUGGUGAUAUGUUGAUAUUUUAGUACUUGAUUACUUGCUCAAAUUUAAUUAUAAUAAAAUUAUAUAAUAAUUUUUUUAACCCCGCGGGGGAAGCGGGGCGGGGGCGGAGGACGGGACGGGGACGGGGGGGAAUUAAUAGGCAACGGGGCGGGGGUGGGGGAGGGGCCACCCCUAAUCACAUCCUGCCAAAAAAGCUCUUGAAGCAAAUCAUAUUUCCAUUUCCUGCUAUUUUCAUCAAUUAAACAAUCUAUAGUGGACAUUUCUAGUAGCACAUCAAAACGAGAUAUAAUUUUGAAAUUAGAAAGACGUGGAAUCCACCUCUCUUUCCAAAUUUUGAUAUGAUUCCCGUGUCCAUCUCACCAUCUACUACCAAAAACACCUUUGAUUGAUAAUUAAAUAGUUAAAAAAAUAUAUCUACUUAAUUUGUUUACUCAAUAGUUAUGUGAACUAAAACAUAAAAAAGAAGGUCAAUUAUUAUAUUAGUGUUAUAUUUGUAAUAUUAGUUCCCUAUAUAGUAGGUUGCCGAGUUGGGCAUAUUUAUAUUCUACCAAGUAAAUGCCCUAUCUUUUCGAAACGUGGCAAAAAAAUUGUGUUUGUUUUUUUUGGUAGAUUUCAUUCUUUUUCUUUUUUGGUAACAAUUAAUUUACUAUUCAUUUUCACUUCAUUAUUUAUAGUAAAUUUCAAUCAAUUAUCAAUUACUUACCUUAUAUGCAUUUUUAUUAAUUAUACCUUUAUUUUUUUUAAUCAACUUAUAGCUUUCCUUUUUAAUUAGGCACUCGUUAAUAUAUGUCUUAGGUGUUAAAUUUUUAGAAAUAUAAGAUGAAUUAGGGAGAGCAUAUAAAUGUAAGGGAAUUAAUUAGAAAAAUAUAUAAAUAAAAGAAAAAGUAGUAAUAGUUGCGUAUAUAUAUGGCAGGUUAGGUGGAAUGCAGGUGUGUUAACGAUUACCCAUAGGGCACCCAUUAGAAAUACUCAUCAAAAUUUGGAUUAAUUUUUUUUCCUUUCAUUGCAAUCAUUACUACCAUUUUUCCUAUCAUUUAUUACUAUACCUUCAUGUUUCUAAAUACCAAUAAAUGUAUUACUCUCUUACUUUUUAUUUGAUUGUGCUAAUUAUAGCUUUCCUUUUACUUAAUCAAUUAGUCAAUCGAUCAAUCAACCAAUGAUUUUAAUUCUCUUUUCAAUCGCACGAUCUUUCUUUUAUCCAUCAUUAGGGAGAUUUACAAUUUAGUCACAUAUUUGUUAUGUGUACAAUAAUUAUGCAAUCAUAAGCACAAACUAAUGCAAUUCUAAUAAUUUUGCAUAUAUGCAUUCAUAUUGUAUUGCAACACCUUUAAUAAUUCAUUAUAUGGUUACAAAAGCCAAAAAAAAUCUAGUAUUACCUAGACCUUAGAUAGUCCCCAAUGUAUACACUGAUACUGUAUAAAAUGAUUUUAAACCCGUUAAUAUAUAUACUGAUUGCAUAUGAAGAUUCAUCCCUAAUUUAGACCUCUUAGAUAGUUUGCAUGCAUUAUAUUCCCUUUUUUUAAUUUCUUAUUUAGUUUACCUUAUUACCAUUUAUGAUUUUUUUUUAAUUUAAGCAACAUCUUCCAAUAUUUUAUCACCAUUUUAAGUUAGUUCAUUUUUAGGAGAUAGUAGUAUAAGUGUGGUAGUUUGUCCAAAUAACUUUGAAUAUGCAUAUACAACCCAAAAAUAAAAUGAUAGUUGUUUAUAUUCUUAUCACUCAACGAUGAUAGUGUUAUGUAAUUUAAAUGAUUGAGAUCUAUUGCCAUCCAAAUAUAAAUUUAAUAUGAGGGUAUGAUAACUAAAAAUGACUAUAGAAUCUCCCUAAAUACUAAAUAAUGCGAAUAGAGAUAUUCCCUCAAAAACUUGUAAAGUACUUAAUGUGUAUACGGGUAAAUUCUUGCAAUAGUGAAAGGAAAAUAUCUUACUAGCCUUGAAAUUUUGGCCCGUGUAUUGACUUUUGUUAGCUAAAUUAAACUAUCUUGGAGUGAAGACAUAAAAUCUGCGGCAAAAUUUGAGAGAGUUGUGAACAUAGCUUAUCUAGCGUACACAUUUUUUUCCGAGUUUGAAUUCUCUCACUUACACGACAAAAAGAAAAAACUAUCGUACAUUUAACUUCCAACUAACAAUGAUGUAUAGGUAAUAAAUUAUAUGCAUGGGAUAUUCUCAUAAAUAAAUGAAAUAUAUUUACACGACAAAGAGUAAAUUCUUAAAUUAAGAAGAAAUAAUAUUAUAGUAGCUGUCAAUUUGUUUAUAUGACUUUUUGGUUUGUCUUUACUCAUGACAACCAAUUAUGUUAUUUUGAUGUAAAAAUAUCCAAAAACGGUUGAAUACAAUGUGGGACAUUAUUAUUAUUACUCGGAUACCUCAAUAUUUAUAAAAUUGAUUAAAUUGGAAUCCAUCUGGAUUUAACAGUAUUUUGAAAAAACUAUUUUUGUUGUUCAAGUCUAUAGUAAUAAACUUUAAAAAUAACCUCAAAAAUAAUUUAAAAAAUACAACAUAUCUCAAAUACAUUAAAAAAUAAUUAAAAAAUUUCCCUAAUUCUUCUUCCCCACACUACCCACUACAACCACCACCACUACCCAUCACUGUCCACUACCACCACCAUCAUCCCCACACCCAUGACCCGUCUUCCUCUCUCCUCUCUCUCUUUCUCCUCUCUCUCUCCUCCCUCCUCCCUCCUUUCUCUUAUUCUCCUUCUCCUUUCUCCUUCCUCCUCUGCCUUGUCUUUCCUCCCUUCUCCCUUCUCUUUCCCCAUCCCCUAAUCCCCCCUUCCCUCUACUGACUGUGGCCUUCUUGGUCUUGACCAGAAAGGUUGCAGCCAGAAGCCGCGACUAGUGGCUUCUGGUUGCAACCAAGGUCACAGAUGGAGUCGCGGUUACCAUCCACGAUUGGGAGAGGUUUGAGGGUCAGAAACGAGAGGGACGGGGGAGAGAAGGAGAAGAAAGAGGAGGGAGAAGGAAGAGGAAGGAGAGAAAGAGAGGGAAAACAGAGGGAGAGACAAGAGAGGAGAAAGGGGGUAACGGCGUUGAGUGGUGGUGGUGGCUGGCGUAAAAUUUUUUAAAAAUACCCCAAAAAAGUUGUAAAUUAUAAAAAUAUCCCAAAAAUGUAUUUUAAAAAGCCCUAAAAAUACCUUUAAAAAAUCCCCCAAAAACAUCUAUAGUACAAGUUAUUUAUAUAUAUAGUUACCGUAAAGUUUUUAAAAGAUACCCUAAAAACAGUUAGUCCAAAUGGAGUCUUGAGUUUUGAGGUUAAGGUUCAAUGAUUGACCACAAUUUAGGUCAAAGUAAAACUUGGCCGAAAGUUUAGUGGGUAAAAUAUAAUUUUAAAAAUUAAUCAUCUUCCCUGAUCCUCACAGUUGCAAUGGUGAACUGUCAGCCCCUUAGGACGUGUUCCAGACGGAACACGCGCAACCGUGGUAGAUUUCGGUCACUCAUGGUCAACUUGGAAGGCUGAAGGUGAACUGGUUGGGAAAAACUUGGACACAUGUUUGAUGAUGUAUUCCAUGCCUAUGUAUGGGUUUGGAAAAGUUUCAGGGCUAGGAAAAUGUCUCUAAAUUAGUGGGGAAAUGAGGGGUGGCUUUACUAGCGGUCCGAAAUUUUUAGCUAGGACUACUAUAGAGAGAGAUAACUAUAACUAAGCCAAGUCAAUGCCAAGGGCUGGGGGCUAAGGCUUUAUGGGUUAUUUUGGAUGGUUCCAAGCAUUUGGAGCUGUGGUGCCUAAGUUGCUAAGUGUUGGGCCAAGUUGGGCACGGAACUAAGCAAAUGGCAAGAAGCUGGGUGUGCGAAACUGUGUGACCAUUGCAUGUGCGCUCCAAAGACGAACGUUGGGACUGUCUGGCAGUUGCUAGUCGUUUGCUGGAGUUGCGGACGAUUAUCAGUCAACUCAGACACGUUCUUAUCGGUUUCCUGACUUCAUGUACAUUCGGGUCGGACCAACGGUUGGGUCUUGUCAACUAUAACAAUGCAUAUAAAUAAAUGGCUAGGUAGGGAGUAAAGGCAGAUAGUGAGAAACACCCUUAGAUGUUCUGCAUGCUAAAUGUUUGUAGAAUUGUCCUUGUAAUCUCUAUAGUGAAAUACAAGGUUGGCCGUUUGAUUGUAACUUGUGCGUGUUGUUCCUUUGUUUUUGCCUAAGUAUUCUAUGUUGAAUACUUGUAUGCAAGUGUCAGUGUAAGGGCUGACUGGAAGCGCGGCUUAUCAAUGCCAUUACAUGCUUGUUAGGCUAGUGAGCGUAAACACCUCGUAAUAGUUUGGUAUCAAAGCACGGCUUUGAUCUAUUAGACUGUGCUUCUGUUAUGUGUUUUGUUGGUUAAUGAUGGUUGGACACAGGAAUUCUGUUGCAAUGCUUGGAAUGGUUGCAAUGUUAGGAACUUGCAUUCGAGGACUUGAUGCAGUGUCUAGGAGAUGGCCUAGAAGGCUUCAAUGUCAUAGAAGUUCUAUUGCAGACUAGAGAGAUGAUCAACACCCUGACUGCACAGAUGGACGAAACCAGGCAGACAGUUUCUUCUGUUGGGGAUGUUGAGAUGCUAAGGAAUGAAAUGAUUGCAUCCCAUGCAAAGAUCGUGGCUUUACAAUCGAAGAUCAAUGUGUUAAAAAAGGCAGUCGGCUCUUGUAACACACAGACCUUUCAAAAAUCUUCGAAGAGGAAAGUGAAAGUCCUAGAUCCGAAACCAUACCAAGGUAGUAGGAGUUCGAAGUAUUUGGAAAACUUUUUGUGGGAUUGUCGAGUAGUACUUCAAGGCUAUUGACAUUCCUGAAGUAGAGAAGGUGUCAAUUGCAUCAAUGUGUCUUAGUGGUGAUGUAAAGUUAUGGUGGAGAACAGUGCAAUCAGACCUACCAAACCCAAGAUCGGUACUUGAGAAGUACUGAAGGAGGAAUUGAAGAAGCAAUUCCUUUCCACGAAUGUUUAAUGAAAAGUUAGAGGUGUAUUGUGAAACUUAAAGGAGAAUAAGAAAGUACAGAGUACGUUACAGAGUUCCAAGCCUUGAUGUUAGAUGUAAGGGAAAUGUCUGAGGAAGACAGACUCUACAUCUUCAUCCAUGGACUUCAACCGUGGGUACAGAUGGAGUUGCGGUGAUAAAAUGUUCAGACCAUGUCUCAAGCACUUGAUACUGUCGAGAAGUUGAUAGACUUCAAGUCCAUAGGAUCCAAAAGUGAAAAAAAAAAAGAAGGGCAAGGAUAAGGCUAAGGGCUCGAAAGGUGGUCAAUUCUCAAAAAAGAAUAAAAAGAAGCAGACAGUAACAACGACCGAAACUAGCGGUGCUUCCUCUUCUAAGAAGAAGCAAACAUCCAACCCUAAAAAGGAUGGCUGCUAUACCUGUGGAAGACCACACUUAACCUGCAAUUGCCUCAAUAAGAAGGACCAGAACGUUAGUGCCUUAGUGGCAGAAGACAAUAGUGACCAGUUGGAGGUCCAGGAUGCACGGGUCAACCCCAUGUAAUUCUUGAACGCCAUCACCGAUACUAAUGUCUGUACUCUUUACAAUGGUUUGAUGUAUGUGCAGGUUACAUUGAAUGGUAACCAUAUAUUGACGAUGGUUGAAACGGGAGCAUCAUAUAGUUCUAUGAUGGAAAAAGUAAUGAGUCGGUUCCGGUUACAGUUGAAAGACUUGGGUUUCAAAAUUGAAGGCUGUAAACUCUGAAACCAAACCAGUGCUAGGCAUGGCGACCGUAGAUUUAGAGUUGGAGCCAUGGAAGGGUUGGUGCAAUUUCAUGGCAAGUCAAAUGGAUGAUUUUGACUUGAUUCUAGACAAAGAUUUCAUAGUUGCAAAUAGGAUCUAUCCAAUUCCGCACUUGGAUGGCGUCAUGGUGAAUGAUGGCUAGAGUCCAGGCUUUGUUCUUGUAGUAAAGUUGCAGAAACAAAAGAACAAUCAACAAAAGAACAUGGUAUCAACGAUAGAGAUUGAGUCAUAUCUUCUGAGGCGCGGUGAAGUUGUGUAUAUUGCUGCAUUGGUGGAAACCAAACCUAACAUGUACCAAGAAGUACCUAACGCCAUGGCCCACGUUCUAGAGAAGUUUACAAAUAUCAUGCCUACAAAGUUUUCGAGAUAGCUUCCUCCAUCCUGUGCCGUGGAACACAAGAUCGAGUAGGUUCCAAGAGCCCAACCACCUGCCCAAACUCCUUAUCGCAUGUCCCCGAUAAAGUUGGCUGAGAAAGAUAUAGUACGCAUGAGAAAGAAAUGACAGUUGUUGUACAUUGUCUCAAGAUAUGGAAGCACUAUCUAUUAGAAACCAAGUUUGUGGUGGUGACUAAUAACAUGGACAAUACUUACUUCAAGACACAGAGAGAGUUGACCCCGAAGCAAGCUCGUUGACAAGAGUUUCUGGCUGAAUUUGACUUUGACUGGAUUCAUAAGUUAGGAAGGGAGAAUGCAGUGGUCGACAUACUUAGUAGAAAGUAUGUCGAAGAAUACAUUGUUGUGCUUAGCACUGUUGAGACGGACUUCAGGGACAAGAUCAAGUGGGAGUCCCCGAGUGACCCAAUUUAUCAAAACUUGGUGUUCGUGAAGUCAAAGUUCGUCGUUAUUGGCUGGAGGAUGACUUACUAUUUUGCCAAUAGUGGUCAAGCAUAUGUUCCAGCAGGAGGGGGACUUAGGCGACAGUUACUACGAGAAACUCACAAUGCUUCUUGGAUUGGUCAUUCUGAAGUUGAACGAAUGCGGGCAUUAUUGUCGCGUAGCUUCUAUUGGCCAAAGAUGGAAGAGGAUAUUGAAGCAUACGUGAAAACUUAUCUUGUUUGUCAACAUGACAAGAUGAGAGGAAGAAGGAGCCAGGCUUGUUGCAGCCUUUGCCGAUCUCUGAUCGACCAUGGCAAUCAGUUUCUAUGGACUUCAUUUCGAGAUUCUCUAAGGUCGAUGGUAUGGCUUUUGUCUUUGUAAUUAUUGACAGAUUUUCUAAGUAUGCUGUGUUUGUUGGUGCACCAAAGGAGUGCUCGGUUGAUGUUGUCGUUGAGUUAUUUUUCAGACAUGUUAUGAUGUAUUUCAGAUUACCCAAAGAUAUCAUAAGUGACAGGGACAUGAGAUUCAUAGGUAGAUUUUGAACCGUGAUGUUCGGGUUGCUAGGUUUCGAACUGAAGUUCUCAACUGUCGCAUACUCUUAGACCGAUGGACAAACGGAGAGGAUCAAUAUCUUGCUAGAAGAAUACUUAAGGCAUUACGUGACGACAAGUUAGAAAAAUUGGCUGGAGUUGCUGGAUACUGCAUAGUUUUACUACAACCUGCACAAGUUAUUCGUAACUAAGUUGAGUCCAUUUGAGUUAAUGAACAGGCAACAACCUCUGACUUCACCUGAAGUUGCUCUUCAAGAGUUAGUUUGUUGAUGACACAACAACGCAUGAAGAAGUACGCAGACCAACAUAGAUCGGACUUAGAGUUCCAACUGACUCCCUAGAUUUGAAAAAAAGUAAAUAACAAGACAGUCCAUCGUGGGAUCAUCCAUGAGUACAAUAGACCAUUUGAGGUAAUCAAGAAGGUGGGUCAUAUAGCUUAUCGUUUGAAACCACUUGACAAACUCAAGAUCCACCUGACCUUCCAUGUGAGUUUUCUGAAACCCUUUUACCAAGACGAGAUGGAUGGAGGACGGAGGGAAGCAAAGUGUGCCUCGCCAGUGAUCCACAAGCAAUUCCAGAAUGAUGUGAAGGCUUUGCUGGAUUACAGAAUGAUGGGACAAAGAAAAAAGAAUAGAUGGACAAACUAUCUGAUCCAUUGGAACGGUGAAACAAAAUUAGAUGCUACUUGGGAACGAGAUGUUACCUAGUGACAGUUUCAAGAUAAGAUUGUUGAGUACUUGAAGAACGUGCGAAAGCAAACCAAGUUGACGAGGGCGUCAACCUCUUCAGGUGGGGUGGUUUAUCAGCCCCUUAGGGUGCGGUCCAAACGAAAAGUGCACGACCGUGGCAGAUUUCGGCCGAUCAUGGUCAAGUUGGAAGGCCGAAGAUAAACGGGUCGAGAAAAGUUUGGACACAUGUUUGAUGAUGUUUUUCAUGCCUAUGUAUGGGUUUGGGAAAGUUUCAGGGAUAGGAGAUGUCUCUAAGUUAGUGGGGGAAUGAGGGGUGUCUCUACUAACGGUCCGAAGUUUUUAGCCAGGAAUACUAUGUAGAGGAAUAACUGUGACUAAACCAAGUCAAGACCAAGGGCCGGGGGCCGGGGGCCAAGGGUGUGGUACGACUAGACUUUGUGGGUUAUUUCAGAUGGUUCCAAGCAUUUGGAACCGUGGUGUCUAAGUUGCUAGGUGUUGGAGCAAGUUGGGCACGAAACGUAGCAAAUGGUGGGAAGUUGGGCGCGCAAAAUCGUGCGACCGUUGCCUGUGCUUGCAAAGACGAACGUUGGGACUGUCUGACAGCUGCUAGCCGUUGUUGGAGUUGCGGAAGGUUACCAGCCAACUCAGACACGUUCUUAUCGAUUUCCUAACUCAUGUGCAUUUGGGUUGGACCAAUGGUUGGGUCUUGUCAACCGUAACAAUGCCUAUAAGUAAAUGGCUAGGCAGAGACUAAGGGCAGAUACUAAGAAACAUCCUUAGAUGUUCUGCACGCCAAGUGUUUGUAGAAUUGUCCUUGUAAUCUCUAUUGUGAAAUACAAGGUUGGCCGCUUGGCUUUAACUUGUGCGUGCUGUUCCUUUGUUUUGUCUGAGUGUUCUACGUUGAAUACUUGUGCACAAGUGUGAGUGUGAGGGCUGACUGGUAGUGCGACUUACCAGUGCCAUUACGUGCAUGUUUGGCUAGCAAGAGUAAACACCUCGUAACACGAACACUGGUCGCCCAUCUUCAACCACCAUCUAACACUUCUUUUCAAGAUCAAUUCUUGCCUAACACUCAUUUUAUUCGCUUGAGUCAUGAUUAUGGCAUCACUUUUCUUCAGUUUAAACCCUUUGACGAUACAAAAAUAAGGUCACAAUUGAAAUUCUGAUUCGAAAAUUUGAAACUUUCGGGAUUGCCUCCUGCUAUGGGCUUUUCUCAAACUCGAUCAUAUGCCCGAACAAAUUCAUCAACCAACACUCACUCUGCCCUUGGGGCACCCAAUUAACCCCUUUAAAACAAUUUUGAAGACACCCGAAACUAGGGUUGGGCAAAAAUACUUGUUAAUCCAAAAAUCUGACAUAUCCGAUUCGAUUCGAUUCAACAAAUAGGGUUCCGGUGUGUAUUAUUUGAUCGGGUCAAAAGAAAGUUGGAUAAUUACUUGUAUGCGGCGUUAGGUGGAGUCACCUGAUUAAGAAUCCGUGGGAACCCGACCCUUCCCACAUAUAUAUUUUUUAUUUUUACACACAUAUUACAAAAUAAUACUUUUGGAGCUAAAUAAGUAAUUUCAUUAAACAAAAUACAUUAUAAAUAUGAAAAAUAAAGUUUAUUUAUAAGAUUCAUUUAUAGAUGUCAUGAUUUCUUUUUUUUAAGGAAACAGUUUAAUUAAUAUAGAACAUAUAUUUGUAAAAAGGUACUAUUUAUUUGAAUUUUCAUUGAUUUUGAAUUCUUUUAAUUUUCUUUUCUCGUAUUCUCUUUGCAUGUUCAUUUUUUAUUGAGAAAAAAUCUUUAUUAAGUUUUAGAUGAAUAUUCAAAAUACAAAAUUAAAUUACUAUAAAUUAUUUUUUAAAACAAUUAAAUGAUAACCAGCGUGAUGCAAAUAUCUGUUAACUCAACCCUACUUUAAUGGAAACCCACUCAUAUACGGGAUGGUUAAAGGUCAAAAGAUAGCUGUCUUGCAAGGUACGGGUCUAGUCAGCCAAAUGAAGCAUAGAACGAGUACUACUUGACUUGUACCUACCCCUACCCAAAACAAAUCUUAAUAAUCAUAAAAUAGCAACCUGCACUUGCAAAAUCCAAUUUUCAAUUUUCUCCUCAGAAUUUAGCAUCAAAUUUUACAAAAAUUACACAAAAACAAUCCAAUCAACAAAUAAAUACUCAAGCAUUGAAUUGACAUUAUACUGUAUUUGUGCAGCACCGAAUUGACAUUAUCUGACUUGUAUGUAUGGCAAAAUAAAGGAACUAUGAAGAGGAUGGGAAGGAGGGAGAAGGAUGCUCAGAGUAAGGGAGGAGAUGAAUCGGAAAAUUUAGAUAUUUUUUCUUUUUAUUUUCUAUAUUUUCUAUUAACCGGAUUUAUAGGUAACUAGAGCUGUUAAUCGAACCGAAUAACUCGCGAGCCGAGCUCGACCCGGCUCGACAAGGGCUCGGCGCGGCUCGUUUACAGAGAGAAACAAUCCGAGCUCGAGCUCUACUCAGUAUUCGUUUAAUAUAUGCUCGGCUCGUUUAAGCUCAGUAGGCUCGAAGAGUAGGGGCAUUAACAUCAUUUUAUUGUGUAUGUGGUACUCUAACCUAAGUCAUUCUCCCGUUUGUAACCAUAAUUUUUCUUUCCUCUUUUGGUCUUACCUUCUCCCGUUCCACAGCCGUAGCCACAGUCGCACGCCCGCACCCUUCAUUUUUACCACCGUCACCGAGUCACCAUUCACCAAUUCAUCCAUCAUCUCACCUCCAUCAGGACCAUCACCUAUCCGUCCACUAUCUCACCGCCAGGCGCUAUCCCUAAUUUUUUCUUUCCUCUUUCGAUCUUUCCUUUUCCCGUUCCACAGCCGCAGCCGCACCCUUCAUUCUUACCACCGUCACUGACUCACCAAUCCAUUCAUCUCACCUCCAUCACCAAUCCGUCCACCAUCUCACUGCCAUCAUUCAAUCCACUUCUCGUGAAUCCGUGAGCAGCGCCAUACGGAGCCACCUUGAUAAAGCCAGGGGCCUCUACCAUAUCCCGAUUCCUUGCAUAAUCUGGUAACCAUUUCUUCUCAAUUUUUGCAAUUUAUUUUGGUUUUAAGAGGUUGUGUGGGUUUUGGUUAAUGGUGGAUAGCCCCGUAUCCCAUAUGGCUUCCCCGUAUCUCGUUGGCUUCCUGUGUUUUAUCCCGAAUUUCACCUGCACGGAUUGCUUAUGCAUCGCUUAGUCGAUUUUUGGUUUCAAAUAGCAUGUCUUUUACCCGUUAAAUAGCCUUUUUUUUUACCCAUUGUUCUGGAUUGUUGCAUAAGUGUCAAAUUUCGCCUGAAAUGCUCACAUAUUCUUCGAUGAGAUUACGUGUAUCACUACUGCGUUACCUUCCUUCGACACCUGAAGCUGGAGUUUGACGUUUCAUUUCGUUCAGACCAUGGAAUAGUUGCUGCGAUUAAACUUAUGUCUCUAAGAAAAUAAAGAAGGAAACAUCACUUUUUGUCUCUGUGCUCUUUGAUUUCUGCAUUUUCUAAUCCAUGUUAUAGAACUGACUGUUGAUGAUACCAAACAUUUUGUUAAAAGAAAGCCAAAGUAUUCAAUUCCCAUACAUUUAACUCUUCCUGGUUAAAAUGUAACUUCCUCUAUUGGUGUCCAUAAAUUUCCUCGAAAAAGCUUGCGAAUUGCAAAAGUUUCCACCAGUCGUCUUAAAAUGGCACUCUAAACCGUCUGCUAUGAUACUUCUGAUAAGCACAGUUAUACUGCCAGGAAGGGCAAGUAGGUAUGCAUCAUGGACCAUGAAAAUGCCAAUUUCCAGAAAUCAAUUACAGCUUUGACGAGUUGCAAACUUCUUGGACUAUGAAAAUGCCAGUUUCUAGCAAUGAAAUGAUAGCUUUCACGAUCUGCAACUUCUUAUUGAUUAAUGAAUACUGAAAAGUACGUAUCAGCCCAAUCUUGCCUCUCUUCGUAGUACCUGGAAAAGAUUUAACAGUCAACCAUAAGUGACAGAACUUUAACAGAGCUAGCCAUAUAACAAACAGUGGACAAAACUUUAACAAAGCUAGUCAUUUUCUUUUCUUUAGAAUGUGAUAUUUCUUCAUGUUUUGCACUUUUGUUUAAGCUUGACAGUGAAAACAUUUUUCAACCUAGAAAAUUCUGCAAGGCAAAACUUUCUUCAUUUUAGUUUCUUCAUUUCAGCAAAAUUAACUUUUUGUUUGGACUUCCAUUUUAAGAGUUUUUCACUGUUAUUUCAUUAAUCUGAAUGUAAGCUUGAGAAUUGAGAUAGGAACAAGUUAAAGAAAUGUUAAAACUGGCUUGAAGUGGGCAUUAUUUCUUGGAAUCUGUUUUAUUACUUUUGUACCUUAUUUCUUAGAAAUGUCAUUCUAAAUAUCUAUUUUGGCUAAUCAGAAUCUGUAUUGGUUAUUAAAUGUGUUUUGAUUAAGGAAUGUACAGCUCUCCAUUCAACUCAUUUCAAGGUUCAUCAUCAAGUCCUGUGAUGGAGCAAAAUAAUGAAGACGUGAACAAUUGAACUACAACGAAAAAAGAGCUGAUGAGAUGAGUGAAAAAGAGAUAGAAAUGAUAAAAAAUGAGGGCAAUGAAGAACGACAGCAAGAGAUGGAGAUGAAGGAGCUGGUCCUUUUGAGAAAAAACAUAGGAAGAAGAAAUCUAGCAUAUGGGAUGAAAUGACAACAAUAGUGCUAGAUAAUGGGAUGGUCAAAGUGAAAUGCAACAAUUGCAAGGAACUUUUUGUCAAGAGUGCAACCGAAGCCAUAUCUCAGCACAAGAGACACUUGAAUUCUUGCCUACAAAGAAAGAUAGCCAUUGGAAAGCAAAGCAAACAAAAGCAACAAGUGUUGUCAUUCAUCGAAGGCCAAAGUAAUGGUAUCACUUCCAUCACAAAUUUCUUGUAUGAUCAUGCCAAGGUAAGAGAGCUUGCAUCACACAUGAGUACCCCUUUUCUAUGAUAGAUCAUGUAGUUUUCAACAAAUUCAUGAAAGCGGCUUCUCCAUUUUAUAAUUGUUAAGAAAGAUUGCAUUAGUACUUAUACAAUUGAAAAAAGGAACCUGAAAUCAUUGUUGAAAGGUGCUGGUAGGAUUAGUAUUACCACAGAUUUGUGGACAUCUGGUCAAAAAAAUUCAAUAUAUGGUUGUGACUAAUCAUUUUGUUGAUUUUGAUUGGGUGCUACAAAAACGUGUGUUGAAUUUUUGCAAUGCUCCUCCUCCUCAUACUGGAGUUAUUAUAGCUGAUACUCUAAGUAAGUGCUUUAUUGAUUGGGGGAUUGAGAAUAAGGUUUCUAACAUAACUGUUGAUAAUGCUUCAUACAAUGAUGUGUGCAUUAGGAGACUUAGAGAGGAUUUUUCUCCAAAAAAGAGAUUAAGUAUUGGAGGAAAAAUUUUCAUGUUAGAUGUUGUGCACAUAUACUUAAUCUCUUAGUGCAAGAUGGUCUUGGUCAACUUGGUGGUGUGAUUGAUGUUGUUAGAGAAUGGAUAAAGUACUUGAACAAUUCUGAAUCUAGGCUUCUUGAAUUUGCCAAAAUUAAAAAACAGCUUCAAUUGCCCUCUAGAAAGCUAAUUUUGGACUGUCCAACAAGAUGGAAUAGCACCUAUUUGAUGUUAGCUUCAGGUUUAGAGUUCAAGGAUGUUUUUUCAAGAUAUGCAGACAUUGACCCCGGAUUUCACUAUGUUUUUACUGAUUUUGAGUGGAUGAAAGUGAAAGAAGUGUGCAAAUUUCUAGGAAUAUUUUAUGAAAUCACUGAUAUGAUUUCCGGGUCCGAGUAUCCAACGGCUAACAUUUUCUUGUGGAGCUCUAUAGGAUUAAAGAGCUUUUAAAUGAUAAAGCUCUUGACCCUUUUUAGCAUCUUCGGGUUAUGGCUGGAACUAAAUUUGAUAAGUAUUGGGGGGAAAGUAAUGUACUGCUAUCUUUGGGUGCAAUUUUGGAUCCGAGAUACAAAAUAUUUCUUAUUAAUCAUACUUUUCCGGUGAUUUAUGGUGAGGAUGCAGCUCCUAGAUUCGUGGCUGAAAUUAGAGACACUCUUUAUGAGCUUUACAAUGAAUAUGUUGAUUGUCACAUAGUUUCCCAUUCUGAACAAUAACAGAGGCAGGUUGUAAAAGGGAGACAAAAUGAAGGUUCUAGUUCUUCUAGUAAGAAACAGAAAAUGACUGGACCUGCCGUUUUAACUAGUAAAGAAAAGUUGCACAUGCAUGUGAGUGAAAUUAACAGGGCUCCACCACAAAAAUCAGAUUUAGAUGUUUAUUUAGAGGAAAGUAGGUAUUGUGACGCCCCCACUUCUCCUUAAGGUGAACCAAAGAGUAUCCACGGGACGCCUGCCCAACUCUUACCAGGACUCGGUACAAUUUCCGUUCAACCUUAUUACAAUACUAGCUAUCACGACAAGAUGAAGUAAAAAAGAUAAAGUCGCUUCUAUAAAUAAUAUUCAAACUUACACCACGAGUUCCAAAAUACAUCAAAUUUCCAAAAUAUACAACUGCCAAAAGUCUAGUCGAUUACAUUUGGAACCCUAAUACAAAAGUACAACAAAAGGAUUUCUCCGAGUUUCACUCCAUAUCUAUGCCUGUUAAGGAAAACAAAUCUACGGGGUGAUCAAUUGCUCGUGAGGCCAAAAAACACACAUACAAGCACGUUGUCCAAUUAACAAGAAAACGAUAAUAUUCGAGUAAUUAACAAUUCAAGCGGAAUGUAAACAGAAACAAUUCAAGGAUAUGGGAGCUCUCAGGAGCUAUUGUCCACUGGCACGAUCAAGAACCUCCACGAGUUGACACUCCGUCAAUCGGGUAGGUCAUAGUCCGUAGAAGCUUCACUUACGCGUUCCCCGUCCACCAUACAUACCGCACCGGGCCCGAACAUCAUUUACAAGGUGAUACUCCACGAGUAUGUCAAGCGAGAUCUUUCAAAUAGAUCAAACUUAUCAUGUUAUUCUCAUGACUCAUCGAGAUUCCCGACCAAACCCAUGCCGGCUCGAGUUCCAAGGUCGACCUAUGAGUUUGGACCCCCAUGUAACAUUUGUGAGUGGAAGAGAUUCACUCCAACGAUGUAUGCAGUCAUAGCAUACUAUUUCAUGUCAUUCAAGCAUUCGAUACAUUCAAUCAUUCAUUUCAUCCCAUUCAAGCCAUUCAUGAUCCAUUCAUUUCAUUUCAAUUAAUUCAAUCAUGAGUCAUUCAUUUCAAAUGAGAACGGGUGCGGUAAAAUACACACUCGACUCCAUUUUCAAAAUCUCCAAUCAUUAAUAACAGUUAAGCAUGUAUCAAGUUCCCAUACACUUGACACUCACCAAGUAAUUCAAGAAGUAAAGCACAAGCGGUUGUUUAGGCGUCUCCUGUGAGAUCCUCUUGAAGGUCCUCUUGAGUGCCUGAGUAAUAAUAAUGAACUAUUACACACUAUCAUUUAAAACCCCUACUUAUCGAGAAAGAUUGCACUCGUGUACAAUUUAAGAAGAUAUUAUGAGGAUGAGCCUUAAUUACUCGUAAAUCGAGGCUCAAAAGUGGGGUUUUAAUAAUACAAGGAAAUUCGAUUUUCAUCUUUGAAAUCAAAUGUAAAACGAUCAAGCAAUAUCGAGGGAAAAUGGUGAGUUCUAAAAACUCAAUUUUCUUUAAGUUCGGAAAUUUCAGAUUUGAUAAGCAAUUUUUGAAAAAUCGUAUCUCAUUCUCUAUAGGUCCAAAAUUGGAAAACUUGGUACCGUUGGAAACUACUUCCAAAGUACUAAAAGUUCUUAGAAGACAUUUUUCCAUGAUUCCAAAUGGAUGACAUUCAAAAUUCGGUUCAAAGUUGCUGUUUUGGGCUACCAAGACAAUUUCGGCAAAAUUCGGCAAAAUGUGAACUAGCCUCUGCAAUUUGGAAUUCAAUUAUAGUUACAAACAAAGUUUGAAACGCAAGAAACAGAACAAGAAUCGGAGUUUUGAGUGCCAAGAUAUAGCAGCUCAAAUUUGCUGAAAUUUUCUCACUAAAUAAGGAUUUUCCAGAUUUGAAACAUGAAAUUUGGGAUUUCAGUUGAGUAUCGAAAUGGACUUGGAAUGGCACCAAAUUUGGUAGUAUUACCCUACCAUAGAAGGGCUAUUCCUCUGUCAAAUUUCAUACAAAAAUUCUUAUGGAAGGUCAGUUAACAAAGCCGCUAAAGUUCCAAGAAUUUCCAAGGCAAAUCUGCCUUGUACUUCCGUUUUACUUUUUCAAGCAUUUGGCCAAUGAAAUCUUCUCAAACAUGGUUCAUUUAUAAAGACAAGAUCUAAGAAACAUCCAAAAUGUGUUUGGUAGGUGAUUAAUACCAAGAGUUCCAAAAUAAUGACUCCCAAUUCGAGUUAAGGCAUUCAACUAGCCAAGAUUAGGGUUUCCUUUCACUGACACAGGUCUGGAAUUUGGCCACAACUCACUCAAUUCAACUUGGAAUUAGACAUGAUCAGUGGCGUUGGAAACUAAAUUCAUAGGGCUAUAAUUUCUCAGAAAAAAUCAUUUUGAAAUUCUGUCCAUAACUAGUUCAUAUUCUAGCAACAAGUUGCAGCACACAACAGGUUUUCUAACACAGACGAGAAACAGGGCAGGUGACUUUGAAAGGCUGGUACGGUUCACUCAAGUGGAAUCAGGGGAUGCAUUUUAUACUGUUAGAAAACUGGAAGUAUCUAGUUUCUAAUUCCGCAAAUGGAACUCGAUUUUGAUGUCGGAGAAAGAGUUAUUGUCGUUUGAAAUUCGCUGCCAGAGCAACUCUGGACAUGUUUUCCAACCAUGAAGAAAUUUCGAAAUCCAAACAUUUACCCAACCAAAUCAAGUGAUUUUUGGUGGAAACUUUUCACACAACCUAUAAAACAUAUAUACACCGAAAUCAAGUCAAUUAGAUCACAAAAAAUUGCACCAAGAGGCGCGGCAAUGACAGGGCAGAUCUGGCCCUUCUUCCAUUUCAACUUCCUUUGAGUUUCUUUCCACUCUUUCAACUUAAAUCCACUAGAUUAACACUUAAUCAACAUAAAUAACACUCAAAAUCAUCAAAUCAGAUGAUCAAGUCCAUUGUGGGAUUUCAUAGAGCCUACUCACAUGAUUUUCAACAAUCCAAAGCUACCCACAUGAAGCUACAAGCUUCUAAGUGAAAUCUAACUUACAAAAGCUAAGAUUUAAAGGGUGGAUGAUCAUUACCUCUUAGAUGUUGCUAGAGCAGAAAUUUUGGUCCUUAGAGCUCCAAGAAAACCGUGAGAAUGAAGCUCUUCUCCUAGCUGAAGAUGAUCUCCAAGUUAUUUGCAAGGUGUGGUAUGAAUUUGAGAGGAUUUGGUGCAAGAUUGAGAGACGAAAUGGUGAAAAAACUUGGUCUUCUUCUCCUUGGUGUUGCACGGCUGCUUGAGGGAGAGAAAGAGAGAGUUGUGGCUGAUGGAAAGCUUCUCUUGGAAGCUUAAGAGUUUGUGGCCAAAAUUACUCCAAAAGUCAACUAAGAAUAGUGCAUGUACGCGCGCGUUUCGUGCUCGUUUCCUCUUGGAUUUGUUUCACUUGUGCACUAAACCUCUAAUGCACUUCCAUUCAUACUAUUAUUAUUCACUUUUAAUAGUCUAAAAAUAAAGGUCUAAAGUCCCUCAAUUAAUCGCGCGCGCGAAAACACGUACUUCCGUUUUGUGCGCGAUAGAGUAAAAUUUCUAAGAAAUUCUUACAAUGAUAUUAUAACUGACUAGUACUUGAGUACUUAAACAUAAAAAUACCUAUUUUGAAACUAAUGUAUGAGUCUUCAAUCUCCAAACUCACUGUACCCUCAAAUCGAUUAUUGUCUCCAAACGCACAUUCACUAUUCUCACUAAACGAGUUUCUAAAAAUUAAAUUUUUGCAACAAGUCAUUUUAAAUAUAUAUAUAAGUCAUAAUUCCAUGUAAUUGAGUCUAAAAAGGUUGGAAUAAAAUAUUCGGAGCAAACAGACAAUUAAAUAUUUAAAUAAGCUAGUAAUAGAAAUUUAAAAUAAGUAAAUUUGCGGGUCCUUACAGGUAUGCUUGUGAUGCAAAUGCAAAUUUGGAUGUUUUGGGUUGGUAGAAAUAGGAAAGAUUGAGAUUUCCUAUCUUGUCGAGGAUGGCUGCCGAUAUACUCUCCGUUCCUGUUACAACUGUGGCUUCAGAAUCUACCUUCAGCGCCGGAGGUAGAGUAAUUGAUGAUCGACGAGCUUCUAUGUCAAUUGAGACGGUGCAAAUAUUGCUUUGCGGCAACGAUUGGAUCCGCAGUCUUCAUGGCCUAAAGAAUAAGUCUCGCGUUAAGUAAUUGAUUAGAUGUUUUUGUUGUUGUUACAGUUUCUUUAUAUCUGAUUUUAAAGAAUUUUAUAACUUUCAUACUUUUGUUUUGUAGGAAUCACUUGAUGCGACCGAAUCAAUCACAUUUGAGGAAGUUAAACUUCCCGAAUCAUUCACAACCUGAUUUGGUGGCUGUUGAUGUUGCUUGGUGCAAACUGAUUCAUUCACAUGUUGAUUUCGUUGAAGACCUAAAGAAUAAGUCUCGCGUUAAGUAAUUGAUUAGAUGUUUUUGUUGUUGUUACAGUUUCUUUAUUUUAAAGAAUUUUAUAACUUUCAUACUUUUGUUUUGUAGGAAUCACUUGAUGCGACCGAAUCAAUCACAUUUGAGGAAGUUAAACUUUCCGAAUCAUUCACAACCUGAUUUGGUGGCUGUUGAUGUUGCUUGGUGCAAACUGAUUCAUUCACAUGUUGAUUUUGUUCAAAAGCUGCAUCGUUCACAACUUGUUUUCACCCAAGAAAGUUAUUUUUAACUCUUGGUCUAGAGUGUGGACAUUUUAGAAACUGCUUAAAACGUAUUGAUGGCUGAUCUUUAAUUGUUUGGACUCUUUUAUGUAAUUUUUCAUUUUGUAAUCUGAUCUGGUCUGCUGCCGAGUUUGGACAUUUUAUUCCUCCAUUUGAUAGUUUGAGCUGCAAUUUUAACUUCUUUUUUGCUACUCGUGCUUAUGAUGCUUCUGUUUUGCGUUGUCGAAUUGAGUGGAUGAUAUAUUAGGGAAUGUGUUGUUCUCUUUUUGUCAAACUAAAUAUGAGUGUAGAAGAAGCUGAUAUGCUAUCUUACGUAAACGACUUAUGAAGCUCGAAUUACUAAUCGAGCGAGCUCGAACUAGCUCGAUUAGAUGUUCGAGUCGAGCUCGAUUGUCGUGUGCUCGAGCUCGACUCGGCUAGUUUAACAGCUAAGGUAACAUGCAUCAAAGCAGGCUUAUUCUCUUAGUACUUUUUUUUUUUUUCUUUUUAUAAAACACAGGUGCAUUAACGCACGACAGAAGCACCCUAUCAAUCUAAGAUCCCAGCUUGCUUGUAGCUUUCGAUAGAGUCAACAAGAGUUUCUUCCACUGGCCUAUACCUCCAGCCCAGCCUCUCCAAUUUUUCUGAGCUAAUAUUCCAUCGGCUUUGAUCCUUCACCUCUAUAAGUCUGCGAAGAAAUGAGUUAUAUCAAAAAAAUAUGCAGACAACAUAAAUGGUUCUUGUAGAGACUCGUAGAUGCCACACUUUUGGAAAUGGAAAUCAUGACGGACAUGAACAAACAAGAAAAUCAGGACAAACGGGGUGUCUGAAAAAUGAGACAAUUAAUUUCAAAGAUGGUAAUCCACCUCUUAGGGUACUUGUAGUUGGCAUAGUUUUUCCUCAGAGUUUCCACCAUAUCUUUUGUCGUGGUGACGUGAGGUGAACAUAUGUACCGGCCUUCAGCUUCAGGUCUCCCGUAAACCAAAAGCAGUGCCUCGGCCACAUCACGCACAUCUACUGUGUUGUAGAAUUUGUUUUCUGUUUCUUCACAUCCGUCUGUGCAGCCAAGGAGUGAAACAAAAGAGCAGUUUAAUCUCAAAAAAGGAGAUGUUAUCUGUGCUAAUCUCUGAGUUCUUUACUGCAUAUAUGAAACCUACAAUCCCUUUGACAAAUAGUACAGCAAUAAAUUCAUGGGACUUUUGAAUUGCAAAGGACCUACAGGUCACAAUGUUAACCUUUUAUAUCUUCAACAAUGCUCCAAAGCAAAUCAAGCAAACAGUUGAAAGAUGCAACCUCUUCAGAUGUUAUGCCUAUUGUCUGUCUCAUCUUCCAUUAGGUCAAACUCACACAAUUUUCACAUCAAUAAAAUUUGAAUCGCUUGUGCAUGUGUCUGGAAAGAUUACAUUAGCACAAUUUAGUAUUUUUGGCAGCACUGCUCGUUUAAAUUUCCCUGCCAUCAAGCAGAAAAUUUAAUUCCAUUCCAACAGUAAAAGCCAAACACCACAAUCUUAGUUUUUUUUAGAUAACUUUGCAAGUUUUUAGAGCAUUGCCAAAAUCAUAAAACUAUCAGAAUGGCAGAUAGCUUACAGGUUUAGAAUCUGAAAACCUCAGCUGGCUUGAAGAUUAAAUAAAAAUGCCAAAAGACGGCAAAGCAGUUAUCUCCAUGAAUGUAGUUUCAUUCCUAGAAGGUCAACCGCAACCAGAUAGACGGAUUUUGUGAAAUUUUAUUGGCAUCAAUUCAUUGUGUAUCAUGUAAAUAACACUGGAAGCCAGAAGCAUAAAAAUGAUGGGUUACUUGGAAAAUUAGCUGAUCAACCACAUGAAGAAAUUCAAUUGUUUGACCUUUCAAGUACAAAAAAAGGAAAAAAUUGCUAAGCUUUAGAGGUCAUCUGAGUUCUAGAGUGACAUCCAUGCUCACUUAGGCACAAACCAAUAUCAAGGAGAAAACUGUAUCAUUUACGACCACUUCCAUGCAGAAGGUGAAAGAAAGAAAAAUAAAAUAUAACAUAACGGAAUAAGUUCUCCAAUUGACUACAAAGCACUAAUAAAUCACCUUUCAACAGCUUUAUAAGAGCCACACUGCUAGCAUUCACAUCAUGCUGAAGCAUGGGGCCGAGAACAAAGGAUGGGCAUACAGUUAAAACAUCAAGGCCAGUUUCUUUUGCAUAUUGUAAUGCCUCACUUUCAGCAACCGUCUUGGAGUAACAAUACCAGUUCUGGAGCAAUAUUAGUACUAGAUGGUCAGCCAGAAACAGAUAGUAGUUGCAAAAAUCUGAUUUCUCAGCAAUCUUAGAAACAGUAUGAAUAAGACAGUGAAUUUUCUGCACAAUUACAACACCAAGGUGCAACUGCAAAAAGUCAAAUUAUGUUGAUGCAUACAUUUGUUGCCUUGCAGUAUUCGCCGUCUGACCAACACUUCUCAUCUAUGAUUUCACCUUCAGGCAGAUUAGGACUCAUUACAACAGCUGCAGUAGAGGAAACAACUACAACGCGCUUGACAUUUGCUUCAGAACAAGCCUUCAGUACAUUAAGGGUACCCUUUACAGCUGGCUCAACAAGUUCAACCUGCAACAAAUCAUCAUGUUGGCAGAGGUACUAGCACUCAACUCUGCAUGCUAAACUGCUUGUUUUUGCGUAAAAUAUAUCCAGAUAGACAGCUAAGUAGUGUCAGUUAACCUGACAUCUUUAGAGUGAAUGAGUACAUAGUUAAAAGACUCAUGACUGCUUAUGCCUGUGAUUUAACUUGGUUACCAGCAUAGGUUAUUAUUAUAUGCAUUUAUUCACUCAUUUCAACAUUUGAAAAAUCCUUCCACGAAAUGAUAGAAAGACAAAGAGCCCCAGUGACUUCAUAAGUUUGUACAAACGCUUUAACAAGGUUCUAUUUUAAACGAUACCCAACUUUAGCUCAUGUUUGGCAAAACGCAAUAAAAUAUUAUCUGUUAUGACAAAAGCUGUCUCAUAAACAAAAGAUAUGUUAAAAAUGUUAUUCUGGGGAAACCAAAAGGAAGAAAUAUCAUAGCAAUUGAAACGAUUGAAAAUGGUCUUGCCUCAGGAUUGGGAACAGAGCCUGAAGGAACAGGACUAGCUACAUGAAAUACGCCAUCACAACCCCUGAUGGCUGCAGAAAUGGAGUUGUAAUCCAGCAAAUCAGCCUUAAAGAGUUUCAAAUUCUCAGCUGCUUUGUCAAGUUUCUUCAGAUGAACAUAUUUCUCAUCGUCUACAAAACAUACACAGCAAUGCCCACAUCAUCAAGUAACGAAGCACACAAUUCACAGCAGGUGCUUUUAUAUAUUUCUUCAAUUAAACAUAUUUCUCACCCUUCACAAAACAUUUACUGCAAUUCCCACUACAUCAAAUAGGAAACAGCCAAUUGACAGCAGGCAAAAAAUCAAUUGCGGUAUUAAAGGGAAUGAAACAAUCAUACAAUACCCAAAACAAAAACAAAAAAAAAAUGAGUAGUAAAUCAGGAAGGAAGGGUUAUGAGGAUGAAAUACGUACUGGGAUUUCUGAGGGUGGCAUGAACAGUAUAAUGGCGGGAAAGGAGUAGCUUGACUACCCAAGAUGCCAGGUAUCCCCCUGCUCCUGUAACACACACUGUCCUGUCCUUCUUAGCCUCCCACGCUGCCAUGUCUGAUUGCUUACCAGUAGCAGUAGCGGGAUUAGUAUUUUAGCACCAAAUUCACUAUAGACUGAUCAAGAAGGUGGGUGAAGUUCUAUUCUUUUCUUUUUUAUGAAUAUUAAUUCUUUUUUGGUUGGACAAGGCAGAGAUUUCGUCGAUUCUUAAAGAGGAGGACUGAAGAAGAGGGCGGUUGGAAGAGGAGGAGGAGGCGGAGGUGGUGGUGUUGGAAUUUUGAAUAGACGAGUCCUGUAUGUAUGAGCUAGCUGAUUCCAGCAGCCUCUGUCAAUACUAGGAGUAAUCAGCAGCUGGCAGGCUUGGGGGCUUAUAUAUAGCAGCAGACCAAUGGUCCUGUUGCGAUUUGCACGGCUCAUGGAAGACGUAUGGUUUCAACGCAGGGUUGGGCUGGGUUGGGUGGGGAAACGGUACUAAUGAUAAAUGUAUGUAUAAUGAAAUUUGAGAUAUUUCUAGCAAUCUGUUAGUAAAAUUUAUUUUUAUAAAAAAAAAGGAGUAAAGGAGCAUAAUAUUAUUAAGUUAUAGUAAAACUUGAUGCACAUAUCAAUAAAACAAGAUAUUCUGUGCAUUUGAAUACAAUAGUAUAAUAUGAUUUUACCAUUGUCGGAUGUUUAACAAAUUUAUUUAUUAAUGGAUAUUAAAGUGUUACAUUUUAUCUCAUAUUUUCCCAAUUUAUGACUCAGAUUUUAAAUUGAUUAACUCAUUAGAGAAUAAAAAACUCAUCCCGUUGCUAAAUUGGACAAGUGACAAAAACUCAUGUCCAUAAUGGGAUUUUACUUCUGACUCAAAUCCUAUAAUGCGAACCAAACCCCAAAUCACUCCAUUAUAACGGAAACACAAACUAAACUAUUUAAUAUUCAAAUCAAGUUCCGCUCAAUAACAGUUUGUUCGAAUUUGAUUCGCAAACUAAUCUAAUCAAGUUAGAAUAACAUUUUAUGUUUGAAAAAAUUUUUAACUGCAGCUCAAGCUUAGCUCAAUAAUCAUAAAAUUGGAUUUUAUAGAUAAAAAUUACUCGAACUCGACUCAAUAAAAAUUCUUUUGAACGUGACUUAGUAAAUAAAAAAGCCAAUCUUGAAUACUAUUUCAAAAUUCUUUAAAAUAAAUAACAAGAUACUUGGUUUGAUUAGACACAUUCACACCCCUGUUUUUCAUAUGCUCGAUAACAUAUAUUUUUGCCAUUGAAUUUUGGGACAUGUUUAUCAUUUUUUAAAAUCUUUUUUUUUUAUUUCUGGCUUUUAUAGGAAAAAAAAAACUAAAGGAUGUGUUCGGAUAGGAGACCGAUAAACUUUUCUCUCCCCCUCGCGCCUAAUUGCAGGUUAAAAGCAGUGUUUUGAAAACCGGACCGGACGGCCGGUUCGACCGGUUGGACCGCCAACCGGCCAUGAUUCCGGUCCGAUUCUAUGCUAUAGUUGACCAGGUUAGAAAACCGGUUAAACCGUGAAAACCGCCGGACCGGAUUGAACCGGCGGUUCUCGGUUUUCGAGAUUUCCCUUUUUUUUCUUUUUUUUUCUUUUUUUUACGUUUUGCAAAAUGCAGUUAUCAAGAUUCGAACUCAAGACUUUUGUAAUAGAAGACCAAUGUAGUAACCAUAGUAACCAUUGCACCAUCACAUCUUAUUAGUUUUUUUUGAUAACUUGUUUAUAUAAAACAAAAACUCAUAUUUCUUUUUGUCAUUUUUUUUACAAAAUCUAAUCCUCUCAUAGCUCUUUCUUUUUAAUCUUCAACACACACACACACACUCUCUCUCUCUCUCACUCUCUCCUCUUUUUUUUGUCACUCUCUUUUUAAUCAAACCACUUUAUUUUUAAUUUAUUGAUGUUUUCUUCCAUCUUUUAAUUUUAUUUUUGUCCAUUAAAUUGAAAAAGGUUAAAAAAGAAUUAUUUUUCUUUAACCCAAAUUAUUUAAUGCCACAACCACUCACUUUUAUCUCAUUUUUUAUUUCUUAUCAAGUUUGCAUUUCUAUUUUCGAUUCUCUUGACUUCUUUCGAACUCCAAAAUUCCUUUUUUAAAUUGCAAUUUCUAAAUCCCAAAACGUAAAUUAAAAUUUAAGUUCACAAAAUCUAAAUUCUCAUAGACAUGAAUUUUGUAUAAUUUUAAAAUAUUAUGAUAUUUUUGGGUUAGAUCUAAGAUUUUUUUGGUAGAUAUAAUUGAAAUUGAAAUGAAAUUUAUUUGUUUUAACUUAUAAUUUAAAAUUUUUAUUUUUAAAAAAUCAAGUUAUUCAAAAAUAGUAAACUUUUCAUCAUAUAAUGUAUUAAAUUAGUCCAUUACAUGUCUUAUUUUGUGCAUAAAUAUUUACAUAAAUUAUUUUUUAAAAAAUUCAUUGAACCGAGGUUGAACCGGUCCGACCGGUUAAAUCUCGACCCUUUCACGUCACCGGUUCAAUUAACGGUCCGGUUUUUAAAACAUUGGUUAAAAGGAAUAUCCAGUUCUUAGAUAACUUUUCUAGGCACAACUCUAGUUGUCAGAAAACUGGUCUACUUUGACUGUGGGUUUUCCUUUAGUCAGGCCAUUUUGUCAUUAGUGAUGAUUGCUUCUUCUAAACCUUGGCUAACUGCACACGCCAUGCGCAUGAAACUUCUUCUAAACCUUAGCUAACUGCACACGCCAUGCGCAUGAAAAUCCAAACUUCAAAUAAAAUAAUUUGAACUCGUCAACUUGCAAAAUAAGAUAAUUUGGGUUUCGUCUGAUAUGAGUAGUAAGGGAAAAUUUAAUUACUAUAUUUAUGAUUCUUGACUAAUGUGAUUGCUCAUCUAUCACCACGCAUCAGUUUAAUACCUUAUCUUCAUUUAAAUGUGACGAUUGUAGAAUUGAUGGCUGAAACUGAAAGGAAACUGAAAAAGAAAUGUCAUGUGAGUGCAUAUGCAUGGUUAAAACAAUACUCCCACAAAUUAUAACCAAUUCGAUCCCUUGUUUUUAAGGUUUUGAUCGUUUUGGUUCCUUGGUAUCAUGACAAGCCAAUUUUGCCUCUUAAAUUUAAAAAUAUGGUUAAGGAGAUCCUUUUGAUGGAAAUUUGAGUUGCUAAUGAAGUGAAGAGACCAUUUAGUGCCUUUCGUGUCACAUCCGUCUCAACACUAUAUUAAAGUUUCAAAAAAUCUCAAAUAAGUCAUAAAACUCAUAAAACAAACCCCAAAACUCUUUAUCGUGAAGAAAAUAAAUUUUUAUAACUUUAAAAUAAAUCAAACACAAUACCUUAAACAUAAUUAUGGAAUUUGUGCCAUUUUCGAGUUGAAAUAUCAUGAAAAGGAGUACCAAAAGGUGAAAGAAAAAUGCAUAAACUUAUGUUUGACAUAGUAUUAAAAACUUUUAUUUCAUUAUAUUGAAGAGUUUUGGGUGAGUUUAGGCUUUUAGGAUUUUAUUUGAAUGCUUGGUGUUUUCUGCGAGAUGGCACGAAGUACCCUCUAAGGUCUCUUAACUCCAUUAACAACUCUAAAUUAGCCUUGACCAAAUUCUUCAAAUUUAAGAAAAAUUGGUUCGCCAUAAUACAAAGGGACUAUUUUGUUAAUACAUUGGAGAUAAGAAACCAGAUUAAUUAAUUUUUGUUGUUUGCGUAACUCAAGGGAUUUCUCCGUUAGCUUCCCACAAUUUUGCUACAUUAGUCUCUUUUGAUGGAGAUAGAGCACCAACUCACAGUUGUAUUAGAACUUCACUUACGCUAUAAUCGUUAGGAUUUUCUUAUAUUCAUCCGACUACUCAAUAAGUAUCCUAUUUUAUAAUAACUAUCCUACACCUCUUCAAAGCCUGAUAAGAUGAAGAAAAUCUCUUUACUAGCAUCUUAAUGCCUUAUAUCCAGUAUUGAGGGAAAAAAUUUAAUCACAUUACAGUCUGAGAAUUUGAAUCCAGCAAUUUCACGGUCUGAUGUAGUCACCCCAAGUAGGUUCUCCAGUAAAACAGGGUAGUGAGGCAAAAUGUACAUCAAAUAGGUCAAUUGUUGAGCCCCUCGGGGUUCGGUUCCGUGGUUGUAGCCCCAGUUGGGGGAGAGCCACGUCCAGGGAUCGAGUCCCCGUUCUACCGUGGCUGGUGAUGCUUGAGGCGGGCCGCUCCCAGCCCGCAGUGGGAUUAGUUGGGCCGUACGGUAACCAGUCCAUGGGUCCAGAUACCCACUGUGAUGAAAAAAAAAAAAUAGGCCAAUUGUCGAUCUUUGAUUAUGUCUACACUUUCAAAAGAUAGGCUUAAUCAUAUUAGUGGAAAUAACUCAUAGUUCAUCAUAUAUUAAUUUGCUAUUCAAUUUAGUUUGAAUACAUGAUCAAUGUUAUUGUAUGCCAAAAAAGAUUGAGGAUACUUUUGACCUAGUUCUUUGCACUAACUUGAAAUCUUCCAAUUGUUCUUUCUUUGAUGCACUUGCAAAAUCUCCUGCAAAAGUAAAAUAACUCAGUUGGUGAAUUUUGGCUAACUGAGAGGCCCCAUCUUCUUUUUACUUCUUUAGCACAAGCGAAGAAUGAAUUUAUGCAUAAUAACCGUGUGAUUCUAAUGAGAUAUGAUUUUUUUGGUUUUGCAUGCUGGUUAAACAAUUGUUCAAGCUCUUAUCUUGGUUUUUGAUACUUCACCGGUAUGUGGAUGUUACUGCUAAAGAAAUUUACAUUUGUCAUUAGAAGAAUUUUCUAUUUUAUGACUGGCAAGUGAUUUGGUAUCUUAGCAGUUCAUCGAUUUUGGUGCUUUGUUUACAAUUUAAUUGGCUUCAAUGGUCCAUACAUAUAGGAACUUGGAAUUUACCCUUUUAUUUCCUUUUGCAUGAGCAAAGAUUAGUAAUUUUUAAUCAUAAUUUUCGAUUCCUCUAUUCUGGCCAUAGUGAAGAAAUCUACCUUUUUGUACUUGUGUAUAUGCACACCAAACAUCAUUGGGCUGUCUACUUUUGACAUUAUUCUUGAAUUACUCAGUUUAGAAUGUGUAUUAGCUGCUGGAAGCAAAUGCAUCAUCGUUGGCAAUUACCAAACAGAAAAUAUGCAUGCCAUUACUAUUUUCACUGAAAUUAGCAUCUAACUUAUAAUGAUCUAAUUAAAGGUUAACCACAUUGGUUUUGACUAGAACUAAGAGAUCACUAGCCCUCUUAUUUUUGGAUUUGCAUUAAUCCAGUAUCAUCAAACUUCUUCAAAUGGGCUCUUUAGCUACUAACCCCUUCAAAAAUAAUUUAGGCUUACGGUUCUGUUGAUGUCGCAAUUGCAGGAGGUUCAGAAGAUAACGAAAGGCUCAUCUAAGAUUUCUUAAGGUGUUUGGCUUAUAUUGCUAGAUUUACUUAAUCUAUUUUCAUUCUUCUCCGAUGUCAUUAUUGUUAAAGUUCAAUUCAUAAGUUGGUUGUGUUAGAAAAUUGGCUUAAUUUCUUUUUAGAUAGGUUUUUGUUUUGUGCAAAAGUAACUAGUUUCCUAAUUGGUUUUAGUUACUCGGAAUAGUAGCCAAGAAAUUUCUUAUUUUGUUUAGAAUUAGAAGUUAUUUCUUAUUUUCUACAAGUCUAGGAAUUAGAAUUAAUUUCCUGUUGUUAUUUGGAUUUUUUGACCAAAUAAUAUUUUUAUAAAUAGGUGGGUUGGCAUACUAUAAAAGAGACACAUAAGGGCACACAAGGACGACAUGUAACCUUAUACAUGGGUGGUGAGAGAGAGUUCUUAGGAGAUGAGAAAUGGUAUACAAAGGUUGGACUUGAGUUCGAGUUGUAUUCCUGUAUAAGGUUUUUCUCUCAUAAUAAAUAACAAGUUUCUCUCCGUGGACGUAGGUUCAAUGGAGUCAAACUACGUUAAAUAUUGUGUGUUGUUUAUUUUUUAUACUUGUGGCUUGUUUCUCAUUAAAUUAUUGUGUACUUGAUAUCUUAAUAGUUAUUUAUUCUGCAUUUAGUUCCUAACAAAUGGUAUCAGAACUUGAUUGCGAGAUUGGGCUGCUCACAAGCACUUGGAUCCCAACAAACUGAAUAGUUGGAUCAAGAGUUUGGUUGUUCAAGGAUGGAUCCUAGUUAGCUAUUGAGAUCAAGUAGGUUGGUGACUGUUACCAAUUGAACAAUUUAAUGGGCGGUAUCCUUAUUUCAAGAGUUUGGCAAAAAAGCAUUGACGGUGAAUGAUGAAAAGUCGAAAAGCAUGGAGAUACUUGACGGUGAAUCUAGGCAGAUGAUUCAAGAGUCAAGGAAAAUGUGGAAUCCAAUAUCGAUUUUGGACGUGAAUCGGUGGAGACUUUCUUACAACUUCAACGGUUGAUACUUCAUCUCGGUGAUUUUUAGAUUUCGCUUAUGUUUUUUGAGUGGUACGGCACGUGUCCCAAAAAAAUAAAGAGAUUUAAUUUCUAUGCGCUAGAAGACUCUGACAGUUACGAGUCUUUUGUUUCAGGUGAAUUUUUGGAAACCACACGUGGCGAGAUAGUCUUGAGGAAGGGAAGAAGUAUGAUGAUUUUAUCACUUGGUUGCCUCAAUGAUUAAGGUUAGAGCUCAUACAAGGAGAUUUUGGGUUGCAAGUGGUGGUGAGAAGAAAUCCUGUAAAGAAAAAUGGUGAAUUGAGGCAUCUUCUCACGAAUCAACUGGAGGUUGUACUAGGUGUAAAUACACAUAUUCAUUUGGCAAUUAAAUCAAUUUGGUAUCAGAACUGUAUUGAUUCGGGUGUGUAGUUCGGUACCAUAUUAUUUGGUAGUUGAAAGUAAAUAAUUGUUAAAAGAAAUUUUCGCCAAGAUAGAGAUUUGUUAGGAAAUUGAUUUAAUUUCUUUUCAGACAGGUUUUUGUUUUGUGUAGAAGUAACUAGUUUCCUAAUUGGUUUUAGUUACUUGAAAUAGUAGCCAAGGAAUUUCCUAUUUUGUUUAGGAUUAAAAAUUAUUUCCUAUUCUAUACAAGUCUAGAAAUUAGAAUUGGUUUCCUAUUAUUAUUUAAUUUUUUGGCCAAAUAAUAUUCUUUAUAAAUAGGUGGGUUGGCAUACUACAAAGAGACACACAAAAGCACACAAGAGACGACAUGUAGCCUUAUACAUGGGUGGUGAGAGAGGAUUUUUAGGAGAUGAGAGAUGGUAUACAAAGGUUGAAUUGGGGUUCAAGUUGUGUUCUUGUAUAGAAUUUUUCUCUUAUAAUAAAGAACGAGUUUCUCUCUGUAGAUGUAGGUUCAAUGGUGGAGCCGAACCAUAUUAAAAAAUAGUGUGUCAUUUAUCUUUCAUGUUUGUGGCUUGUUUCUCAUUAAAUUGUAGCGUACUUGAUAUCUCAAUAGUUGUUUAUUCCAUGUUUGGAUCCUAACAGACUGCUAAACCAAGAUUGAUGUAAUUGCGUCCUGUAAGAGAGUUUGCAAUUCAAUUGAUUAAGGGAAGAACAGAGAAAAUCCCUGAAAAUGGGAAUUAAAGGAAACAAAGGAAACCCUAAAACUAGUUUCCAAGAACAAUUCUGUCGAAGACAGAAAACAAAGAAAAUAGUAUCAAAGGCUAUAUCGUUAUUUAGGAAACAAGAAGCACUUGAAGGUGAAUGUUGCAGAAAGUAGAAGAUCCCACUACAAUUUACUAAUUCAAGGAGCUGUAAUUAAGAAAGAAAGAAGACAACUCAGAGAAUUAGGGAUUGUUAUUAAUUGAUGAAUGAGUAGGAAGAAUGUAGAUGAAGAUGAUAAUCAAUUACAAGUAAUGGAAAUCGGAAAUCCAAGAACUGCCUUCAACUUACCACCCUCCUCUCUUUUAUUCGGCUACUACACUUGUCCAAGUCAGCUAAUUCAUUACAACCAACCGACAUACAAGAAUUAUAAGGAUUUAUUCAUUAAGUCCCUAUCAUACUCGCUUUAUUACAAAAAAAAAAAAAAAAAAAAACCCUAUCAAUAAAACUAAGGUAACAAACAAUGUUUUCAGAACCGGACCGGACCGGCUGGUUCGACCGGUUGGACCGCGAACCGGCCAUGUCACCGGUCCGGUCUAAUGCUAAAGCCGGAAGUUCAUGGAGAACCGUUGAAACCCGGACGAACCGGACGAACCGUGCGAACCGUUAAGAACCGUGAACCGGCGGUUUUUUAAAUUCUUCAACAAAAUAUCAAGAAUGGUGUAGCUAAGAUUCGAACCUGGGUCUCCAAGUUUGGAUAUGACAAUCUCACCGCUAGACUGUAGUUAAAUUUGUUGAGAAUUCUACUUGACUAAAAAAUAUAUUAAAACAUCAAGUUCUUCUCUUAUUUUUUUUUCAAUUUUUUCUUCUUAACCAUUUUUAACCCAAAUAUCCACAACAAGAUUUUCUCAAGUCUUCACCAUUAUUAUCAGGUUAUUAUCUUUAGCAAAUUGUAAACAAGUUGAAAAUUUCAACUUUUCUUGUUUUCCAACAUCUUAGUAAGUUUAAUUUUUUUCUUUUCAAGGUUUUUUUUUCUAUAUUAUUAUCUUUAGUUGAUUUUUUGCAUUUUCUUCUUUUUCCCCUCAAUUUUCAUAUGUUUCCCUCAUUUUUGUUUUAUUUUUAUUCGAUUAAUUAAGGAUGAAAUUUUUGCAAAAGUAGUGCACAUUCGUGUAGGAAUUGGGUAGGAAUUACAAAUAAUAACAUUGGGCUGGUCAAAAAUAUGGUAGUUGGCACAUAAUCGAAGCUAUUGAUAAUUGAAUUUAAAAUAAUUAAUGGUAUAGGAUCAUUGAAUUUAAUAUAACAUGUUAAUUAGUAAUGUUUAGUAGCAAUUAAUUUUUUAUGUGUUUAACUGUAUAUUUGUUUUUCAAAAAUUUUUAGUUUUUUUUAGUUUGAGCAAUUAGAUUUAUAUUUUUAUAAUAAAAUUUUAACUUUUUCAUCUUAAGUUGAUGAAAUUGUGAAGGUGGUGUGGUUGCUUAUCAGGCCACUGAUAAAAGUUUGCUAUUCAAAUAGUUUGUCUUAACUUGAACUCUUUUAUGGAUUUUUUUAAGGGUUGUAAAAGAAUUUCAAUAUUUAAUUUAUUUAUUUUUUGUGUUUUUAUUUGUGAUAAUUGGUGAACAUUUGGAUUGUAUCUAUUUAUGUUUAUAAUGAAUUUAUGAAAACUUAUGGUGAAUUAUGAUAUUUUAAUUAUAUUUAUCAUUCCAUGUUUUAUGUAUAAUUUUUAGAAAAUUUAUUAUUAUCAUAACUUAAAUUAAGUUAUGUUGGUAAAGUUCAAGUGUAGAAUGAAACCUACUUAGUACUUAACAAAAAAAAAAAAAAAAAAAAAAAAACAGUGAACCUUUGAACCGGCCGGUUGGACCGGUCGGACCGGUCGAACCGCGAACCGGCCACCUCUCCGGUUCACUGACCGGUCCGAGUUUAAAAACAUUGGUAACAAAUACUUCCCCCUCAGAGAAUCCUUGUCCUCAAGGAUUAAAUUCAGGAAAUUGUUGUUUAAGGUCAAACCAGAAUUCCCAGAUAGCAUCUUCAAGAAAAGAAUUGCUUCACUAUGCCAAAACUUUUGUAGCAAGAGAGUUACCACAUUUCACCAAUUUCUGAUCAAGUAUGGCUAUAGGCUCCAUUAAUAAUUAUCCCUGUGUAUUGAUUGUGUAUUGAUUGCAAAAGGAAUGUGUGAGGUAACUAGUGAGUGCCCACUUUCUUCUUUAGAAGAGAUACAUAAAAAAUAGAGUGUAUUUUUGCCAUAUUAGGCAGCUAAAGCUGAUAUGCAACAGGGUGUACUCUUUUGAUCACUUGGAAAGGUCCAAAAAACUUAGAAGCUAACUUCUGACAAGAGUGUACCUUCAAAGAGUGUUGCCUCUACAGUUGUAGUUUCACAUAUACCCAAUCUCUUGCUGAGUACUGUCUAUCAGACCUGUGUUGGUCAGCUUGUUGCUCCAUCCUAUUUUGUGCCUUAUGAAGGUUGUACUUUAAGUGAUGCAAAACUAUCUCCCUUGCUGCCAAGAUUCUAUCCACCACUUCCACUACUGAAUUCCCAAGUAGACAAGGCAUAUGCAGAGAUGGUGCAUGACCAUACACCACCUCAAAUUGGAUAACCUUAGUGGCAGCAUGAAAUUUGGUAUUGUACCAAUAUUCAGCCAAGGGUAACUAGAUAGACCACUGCUUUGGAAAAUCUCCACACAUGCACCUCAAAUAUUACUCCAAACACCUGUUUACCACCUCAGUUUGACCAUCUGACUGAGGGUGGUAGGUAGAAGAGGUAUUAAUCUGCACUUUUAGUAACUUAAAAAGUUCUUGCCAAAAAGUGCUAAUGAAGACCACAUCCUUGUCACUAACAAUGCUCUGAGACAAGCCGUGAAGUCUACAGAUCUGAUCCAGGAAUAUGUGCAAAUAUAAAUGCUGAAUAAGCAUGUGACAAUGCCAAGAAGUGUGCAUACUUACCUAACUUGUCAACCACCACCAAGAUGGCUUGUUUACCAUGUGCAUUAGGUAAACCUUCCAUAAAGUCCAUGGAAAUUCACUCCAAACCUUUUGAGGCACACGUAAAAGUCGUAAUAAACCCAAAUCAGCAGUAUUGUCAUAUUUGUUGCACUGACAGACAUCACAUGCAGCCACAUAGUUGACUAUGUCUUGAUACAUUCUUCUCUAAUAAACCACUGACUUCAACUUCUUUUAGGCAGCAUAAACUCCUGAAUGCCUCCAACAGCACUAGAAUGCCACAAGUGAAUUAUAUUAUUCUUGAAUUGGCAGUCAUUUUCUACCACUAGUCUCCCCAUCCUCCUUAACUGCAAGUUGCUCCAUGUGUAAUAAGGUGAGACCUUAGAAAGAUCAAAUUGUAAUUGAGUGAUGAAGUUCUAUAGCCUUAUAUCUAUUUGCCAUCCCUUUUUAAUCACUAUCAAAGAUCACUGUUAACAAUGAUGAUGGCAAGAGCUUCUCUUGGUUCUGCUAGUUUUCUAAAGAGAGUAUCUCUCACCAUAUUAUAUGCUUCUUUCCUGUAGUGAAGCUCAUAAUAAAAUCUUACUAGCUUAGCCAUCCAUUUCUGCUGCAUAAGAGUAGGGCUGUCAAUGGUCCGGGUCUAGACCCGGACCCGAACCGGAUCCGUCAAAUUUAUUCGGGUAUGGGUAGGGAUUUAAUUCCGUUACCCGGACCCGGAUCCGGAUCCAUUUUGCCAAACAAAAAAACGGGUCGGAUACGAAAUAUAGUAUUCCGACCCGUAUUGGACCCGGAUCCGGAUAUAAAUGGAUUACUAAUUUAAAAUAUAUAUAUUUAUUAAUAUAAUUUGAUUAGGAUGAUGUAUUUGAGUAAUCAAUAUAAUUGGACCCGGAUCCUAAUCAAUAUAAUUUGAUUAGGAUGAUGUAUUUGAGUAAGGUUAAUUUGAUUUCUUUUCUUAUUUGAUUUUUUUUGUAUUAGUUAGAAAUUAGUUUAUAAAUAUAUGUUUUUUCUCAUUUUUGUUAGAAAUUAUAAAUUUUGUUAGUUUUUUUUCGGGUAGACCCGGAUCCGGAUCCGGGACCCGUCGGAUCUGGAUCCGGAACAUAGAGUAAAGACUCAUCGGGUAAACGAGUCGGGUCCGGAUCCGAUAUAGUGUGCCGGGUCCGGGUCUGGAAUAAUGAAUUCCGGCCCGGACCCAGCCCGUUGACAAGCCUACAUAAGAGUGUUCAAUCUUUGUUCCAUCAUAUAUUCAAUGCUCUAAUGGUCAUUUUUAAUGAUAACGUACCUUCCAGGUAGAUAAGGUCUCCACUUCUAUACAGCAGCAACUAUGGCCAAUAUUUGCACUUUUCCAAUAUACUAUCAUAUGCUAUUCCCCCACACACCUAAAUCUUACAUUGUCCCCAAUGUAAAAUAAAGAAUAAAAGAAAAUUAAUGGGGAUAACGAAACUUCCUUGAUAACUGAGGGGGCCGUCGACAGCUACAGGUGAGGGGCGAAUGACUGUGGAGCUCGACGUAUGUUGAUGGUUGGCGGCGGUGGAGUUCGGAUGGAAGAAAGAAAGAAAGAAGAAAGAAAAAGAAGAGAGAAAGAAAGAAAGAAAAAGAAAAGGAAAAAGAAAGGAAAAGGAAGAGAAAAGAAAAGGGAAAUACGAAUGGGAAUUGCUCCAAUCCGAGCUGGUUUUUUGUACUAUUACUUUGCUUCUUGUACGAAGCUUGAAGAUGCAGCAAGCGCGGAAAUUUUUUUUUUUUUACAUCUGAUUUUGAUUUUUUUCUUUUUCCUUUUCUGUAUUUCCUUUUCUUUUCUUUCUAAUUUUUCUGCAAAAACAAUCAAAUAGAAAUCAAAUGAGAUGGAAUGAUUUUUUUUAAAAAAAAGGUAAAAAUAUAAAUAGAGAUAAAUAAAUAAUAAAUAAAUAAUAAUAGUUAUUAACAAAUCAUAAAAUGAUUUAUGAAAUUUUUUUGGUGUCUACAUAUAUACACAUACUAAUAAUUUUUAUAUUUAUAUAUUUUUCUUAUUUAAUCUUACCUAUAAUUCUUUCUUAUUUUAUUUACUUUCUCUAAUUAAUUUUAUAUUUUUAAAAAUAUAACAUCUAAAAAUAUAUAUUAACGAAGAGGACAUCCGUUAGACAGGUCCUAUUUUAUGUAGCAUAUAUGUCUCUACAUGAAAAAAACUUUUUUAAUAGGUAUCCCGUUUUUUGACAUGAAAAAUACCUUUUGACUACAUUCUGACUAGCGCCAAAAGCUAUCCACUUUUGACAUGCUGCCCAUGGAGGCCUAAUUUUUUUUAGUACUGAAUUUGUUUUGGAUACGUUAGUAUUUCUUGAAUUUUAGAAAAUGCUUCUCUUUAAUAAAUGUAAGUUCAUUUUAAUCUUGAUUCGCAAGCUUUUUCUCGUAAAUGGUUUGCCAUUUCUUAUUAGUUGUUACAGUAAAUUUAACAUGCAUAUAUGCUUUUUGUCAAAAUUCAAUCAUUUCAAAAUCUAGAAGGGAACUUCUAAAAUACCUGCAUCCUCCUUUUUCUUUUUUCUUUUUUAUUUUUCCCCCUCUUGGCUUUGUAUUCAGAAUCAGAUUGUGUUCAAUUAGUUGGAAUUUGGCUUUGGAGUUAGAAGGGAUUUCCAUUUUUUCCUAGGUAUUCCACAGCUUGCAUACCAAAAGCACAGAGGCGGAAGAAAACCUAUGAUUAAAUCAUACAACAGGCUUGUAAGAAAAUGCCCACUUUGAAAAAAAUGAAAAGUUGAAUUUCCUAUUUUCAAAUUUACAUGCAAAAAAUGAAAAAUGACAUGCAAGAAAUAGUCUACUAUUUCGCAAUGUUUCAUAGUUAUGAGAAAUAUAUUACAAAUAAAUCCACAUAAAUGGUGGGAAUAAUAACUCAAAUAUGGUGGGACAAAUAAACAUACAGGGUGACCCCUGCCAGCUGAGAUAACUAGCUGGUUUAUUUAAUUUAAUAGUUUGAAUACAAUAGUAAAUCAAUGCCAUAGCUCAGAUACUGACUAAAUUUUUCUCCCUGAAGAAUUCAACAGCAUCUUUUAGGCUGACCUCCAAAGGAGUGAAUCCAACUCCCAACCUUUUUGCCUUCUCAUUGGAGGCUCUGUAGUUUGGGCUGAUAAGGUUGGUAUUGUUUGACAUUCUGCUGUAUGCGGGACAAUACACAAUUAUGGCAAACAUAAAUAAAGCUUAGGUAAUGAAAAUGCAAAUGUAAAUUCAAAUGCUUGAAAAUCUACUGGACAAUUGCCUCAUAUCUACUGUAAAUUGUGCCUUUUUUACGAAGUUUCAAAAGACCUUUUAAAAGAUAACUUUAGUUGUGAUAUGAAUGAAAUUUAUUUUUCUCUAAAAAAAAGCCUAAAACGGAAUUUCUAUUUUGGAGACAAAGCCAAUUUGGUGAUAUAUCCUAGUCCAAAGAAGACCAUCUUCUAGAAAUCAACCUGAGAAAGAGCUCAUUUUUUAUGGAACAUGAGACCAAAAGAAAAAAAAAAGAAGGCAGAAAAUUUAGGAUUUAGUGUCCUUUAAAAGAGAGUAUAAAAAUAUGUGAUACAUUUUGGACGUAUACAAGGCCAUCAGCAAAAGCCUGCAAAGACCUAAACAAGGAAAACAAGACUUACUUAUCAGGAAAUUGGUGAGUUGGGUAAUGCUCAUGCAAAAUCUUGAUGAUCUGAGAGGCAUUUGCACAUCUUUCAACCAGACAAUAUCUUCCACUUGCAGAAGGGGUUUCAAGGGCAAGAACAUGUGCAUAGGCAACAUCUCUAACAUCAACCCAGCUACAUGUUGCCUUAGGAAAUGGUUCAACCCCUGCAUUUGGCACCUAAGAUCUUUAAACACAUUUUUUUGCAGGCUCUUCAGCAACAUAAGUGAAACUGUGCAUACAAUUAAAUACAAUGUUGUUUGCCAUGAAAAGAGUCAAAUUUAGAGGCCUUCCAGAAGAAAUGUGUUGUAUGUACUACUUUGUUCUGUUUUAGUAUCAGCAAAGCCACAGAGGGGAGGGAGAUGUGAGGAAUGAACUAGUUGAGACAAUUCAGAUAAUUGGUGAAUAAUAAGAAAGAUUAAUCCCAACAAUCUACUAGCUAAUCUGUCCCUGGAAUUUCUCAGAUUUAGAGUUAGGUUUCUCUUUCAAAGGAUAGUUUAUUUAUUUAUGUGAGGAAUAAACAAGCUUUAGCAAGUCUGAACAACAUAAACAGUGACUACUCCUAACAAAUUUUUCCUCACAAUUACCACCCAAAAAUUUCUUUUCCUUCCUGUUAAUCACAUAGAACCUCAAUGUUGUUGAAAGGAAGAUGCACACAACGUGAAUUUCAGAUGAAAGAUUGUCCUGCAAACCUUUAAAACAUCAUAAGCUGGUCAGAGUUUAUAGCUUGAUAUAUCAGUUCACAUUCUGACCUAUGUCUGUCAAUCAUGUGAUUAGCCAGCAGUGCCUUGAAAUGUUAUUAGUCAUAAGUUUUUUGUUCUACUGUAACAAAGAAAGUUGUGGUGCAUAAUAAAGCUAUAACUAACAUAGAUGGAAGAGUCAGUUAGACAAUGAUUACUAAGGUGAUUCAAUAAAUUUUGAAACAAACCCUUUAAUAGGUUGAGGAACAAAACAGCGCUCGAAUUAACAGAUGGCUGCAAGAGAGGACCAAUGACCAAUCCUGGAUGAAUUGUAAUCACGUCAAUGCCAUGAUCCUUUGCAAAUUUCCAUGCAGCAUUCUCGGCCAUGGUUUUUGAAAGUUCAUACCAAGACUAUCAACACCAAAAAAUCAGUAAAUGUUGGUAAGAUGGUAGCAGAAAGUAAUUAGAUUUGUAAACUUUAAGAAGUAACAUUAUAAAUUUAUACAAAUUUGACAAAACCAGCAGCUAACAUCAGUUGGAACUAUUAUUGCUGUAGCUACAGACCACAGAGUGAAAGUAUCCUCAUUUCCUAGGACAAGCUAUGCUCUAAGUGAAUAAGUAGAUUUCUCAAGGAUCCUAGCAAUGGUGUAAACUUUUUAUAUUCAAGGAAUGAUGCAAAGCACCAGAGUGUCGACAUAUCCUGAUCAUCUGAUCUCUUAAUCCACAAGUUAACAGCAAAACUACAAGGGACCUUGACACUUGAACACAUAGAGCCAUAUUCAUGAUAUUAUAGCAGAAGUUCCUUUUCAACUGACCAACCAAAUAUUCUAGGUGUGUAUUCUCAGACAAUAGUAUAGAGUUUGAUAAUGCAAGAGAUGCAUAAUUGAGUAGGAAAACUUUCAUAUUGCUCUUUCCUCGACUAUUCCACACUACAUUAUUAAUUUUUCAUUAAAGUUAAGUUGUUACUUAGAUAGAAGGAAAGAAAGGGACUGACCAUUCUGGUCACAAAAAUAUCCUUCUUUUUGCCUAUUAAAGUACCACCAAGUCAUGAAGAUCCUAACUUAAUUAUCUCCACAGCUGGGCUAACUCCUCAUAUGUGUCCCAAUAACAAGUUAAAACUAAAGAAUUCCAGCAUUCCAUAUUAGAUUUUACUGGAAGAAGACAGAUAAUAUGUGUACCUUUUGCUCCUCACAGUAUGAUGGAUCGGAAAACCAACUUUCAUCAACUACCACAUCCUCCUUUAAUUCUCUGUUUUCUGAAACUGCAACCAUAGAGGAUGUUAUAACUACUCUUUUGACAGAAGAAGAAUUUGCACAUGACCGCAGCACAUUCAGUGUUCCACUUACUGCAGGUUCCAGUAGUUCUGCCUAUGAAAUCAAACCAAGUAAAAAAGGAAGUCAUUACCAGUCAUAGGUAAGACUAUGCUUUUAACCUGCAAAAAACUUAUCAUUCUGGUAUUAUGUUUGAGAAUUUCACCACAAAUGCUGUAAACCUACAGCUUUAGUUACUUAGCUAAAGGAUGCAUAUAGUUGUCUUAUCUCCUCUUGCUGCUAAAAUAAGUUCUCAGGUCCUUUAUUGUUGUUUUUUCCCAUAUUAGUUACUUAAGACCGAUAGAGGAACAACUGAAAUAAGUCUCAGAUGUGGUCACCAAUUAAACCGUUUGGUACCAAAUAUCAACCGAUGAAAUUCUGUUCUGGCUUGAACAGGACAGACAGAAAAUAUAAAAGGUGUAGCUCCCAUGAAUCCUGCGAACAGAUUUUAGCGUGAACACAUAAUGCAUGUUGCAAUUUCUUUUAGUGUCUAUGAGUCAACCUUGUUCAUUGAAAUGACUAAAAUCAAAGUUCUACAAAGUUACUUAAAUAAAAAUCCAUAAACACAAUUUGAGAAACAGACAAUGAUAAGUGUACUGCAUAAAAUUUUAAGGCACAAUCAUUAAUAGAAGUUAAUCAACUUACAAAUGAAGAUACAUAUAAUUUGCAGAUGCUUGAACAUAUAUUGUAGUUUCUAUAAGCUUCUUAUUCAUUCUGGUAUGGGCACGCAAAAGCUAUUGGCUCUACACUGGCUGAAUAAUUAGUUGGUCAAAGCAGGGAUUCAUUUGCUCCAGGACAAGCUUAUAGCUUGCUCUAUAACCUUACCCUGACUGACUUACCCAGGAAAAUAGUUAGUCGGACCCAAUCUACUGCCCAAUUGUGGACCAUUUGCUAUGUUUAUGGCUCUUAAUGUUUUUAUUUCACAACAUUACACCCUUUGAAUUGUUUCUCUGAAGUACCAAUUUCCAGAUCAUUUCAUAGAAACAUCAUGUAUACUGAUUAAAAAGAGACUAAAGCACAUAACACACGACAGUCUUUUUUGUGAAUGACCUGCAGGAACAGAUUAGUUUUGUAUGUACCAAAUGUAAAGAAAUAUUCUUCAGGUGUUUGACCUGAUUGCUACAUUAAUCUCCUCCCUUUGGUUAAUAAAAGAAAACGUAGAGCCAUAGAAUUGGAAACAUGGUUCGCCAUCGCGGGUCGCGGUCGCGUCACGGUCUCAGUUGUUCCACAUCCGUCGCGAUAUAUCGGUUGAAUAUCGGGUGAUACGAACAAUAUAACACAUUAAAGUUUUCAAAAAUUUUGAAAAAAUUACUAAAAUUAGAAAAUACUAAAAAAGACACAAUUUAAAAAAAUAUCGGAGUCGACUCCGAGUUGACUCGGAUAUAUCGGCCGAUAUCAUGCAUCACGAAUUCGAAUCGAUCAAUAUCGGCCGAGUCAGAGCGAGUCAUCGCGGAUAUGGUGAUAUCCGCGAUUCGGGGAUCGGUAUCGUAUCGGUCUCUUCUGUUCCAGAUACGACUCGGCCGAUACGUAUCGGUAUCGGCCGAUAUGGCGAACCAUGAUUGGAAACAUUUGAGUCUAACUCUUUUUUUUUUUGCCUUUACAGUUAUAACCUUGUCAUAAAUCACAUAUAGAGGAGUAGACUAUCACCCAAAAAAGCCAGUAAAAAUGCAACAGAGGAAGAUACUAAAAGAAGUCGCACAAUUAUAAAUCAGAAAGUAUGCUACGAUUUUCAAACUUCAAGAGAUAAAUAGCAGAUUUUGUAGACAGUAGAGAAUUUCCAAUCUUGUAAAGCAAAUGUACCUCUGGAUUGCUGAAUGAAAGUUUGAUUGGAGAUGCAGUAUGGAAAACCCCUUCACAUCCCUCGACUAUUGCAUCAAACGAUCCCUCUUCUAGUAAGUUUGCCGAGUACAACUGAAGCCUUUCCUUAGCUCCAUCAAGUGAUGUCAAAUGUUGUGUCCUUUCCGGAUCAUCUGUGUCAUGAUUGCAUCAGUAGAAUGUUCAGACAGCUAUAGUCAAAACCAUGCCGCCUUGGUAAAGUGUACUAUGUUUUCACUAUGGCGCAACUCAAGAAGCAAUGGACUUAGAGCAAUAAUAAACGAACCUCAAAGCAAUGAUAAAUUUGACUAGCUAAAGGCAAGCGGGGAAAAACGAAAAGAAAUUGACGGGCAACAUAAUAUGACCACAAUAAUAUCAUAGCCCUAUGAUUUCUGGUUUUAAGAUGUGUACAUUUGUAACUUUCUUGAUAACAAUUAAUUCUUGAGAUAAUUAUCAGAGGGACAAUUGUAUGCCAUCUACCACUAUUUUUAUAACAAACUCAGUCCUUCAGAAGAAGGAUAUAGAUUCGAUAGGCUAAAGAUUUUUUAGUGUAACUUGAUCGUUGUAUCUGGAGCAUGAAACAUUACUGUUAAGGUAUACAUUAUAUAGUUUCAGCUACUCAAAUAUCAAUUAGGUUGGUCCACAUCAAUUUUUUUUUUUUGCAUGUGAUUUUCUUUUGAGCAA